UUUUGAGAUAGAAACCCAGAAUGGCUUCCACAAGCUCCUUCAGAGCCUCUUCUUCUUCUUCUACUCCUUCCAUCCCUCAAACAAGUACUUAUGAUGUUUUCUUGAGUUUUAGAGGCGAAGACACCCGCUAUAAUUUCACUGAUCACCUCUACAAAGCUUUGGUUAACAGAGGCAUUCGCACCUUCAGAGACGAUAAACUCAGGAGAGGAGAAGCGAUCGCUCCAGAACUCUUGAAAGCCAUCGAAGAAUCAAGGUCUUCCGUAAUUGUUUUCUCUGAAAACUAUGCUGGUUCGAGAUGGUGUUUGGAUGAGUUGGUAAAGAUCAUGGAGUGCCACAAAGAUCUGGGACAUGUUUUCCCAAUUUUCUAUCAUGUGGAUCCAUCCCAUGUACGAAACCAAGAAGGAAGUUUUGGAAAGGCCUUUGCCGGUUAUGAAGAAAACUGGAAGGACAAGAUACCAAGGUGGAGGACGGCCUUGACGGAAGCAGCCAAUCUUUCUGGAUGGCAUAUACUAGAUGGGUAACUAUAAUUUCCUUUCAACUAUUUGUAAGUAUAGGAAUGAGUAGUUUUGCAUUUAUAGAGUGAUGAUAAGCUCAAAUUUUUUAUUUGGAGGUCUACUACUUAAGCACAAAUUUCUCCUCAAAAUGCUUUUAGUUGAAGUCUUUUAUGUGUAAAUGUGUUUAAUAUUCUUUUAUAGGAAAUGUUUUCACUAUAAGUGUUUUCUAGAAAAUCAGCUAUCUUUUCCACGAAUUUAUUUUUUCUAACCUUUUUAUAAGUGUUUUUUUCCUUUUUCUUUACUUUUUAUAAAAAGAAUAGUAGAAUAACAAUUAUAUUGAGUUAGAAUUCAUGAUAAAUGGUAGAAUGAACUUAUUAAAACCCAAUUAAUGAGUUUUACUAUUUUAGGUCAAUUUAUGAGAAUCUAUAUCUAAACUAAUUUAAUCAAAAUUUAUUACUAAUUUUUCAAUUGUCAAGAUUCAAUCCACAUUAAUGUUACAAAAAUUAAUCAAUUUAUUUGAAAUUUUGUUUGAAUAAUUAUAUAACAGGUAACAAUAAAAUUAAUGACUAUUACUAUCUGUUGAAGAGCUUCAAAAUUUUCAAUUAACCAAUCUCUUGUGUAUUCAUAGAACAACUUAAUCAAAUUAUGUAACAAGUAACAAUAACAAAAUUAUUUGACCAAAUAGUUUGAUUAAUUAUGUGACAAUUACUAAUAACAAAAUUAUGUGACGUAAAUUAUUUAGUAGGAAUUCAACUUCCCUGAGAGUUUGUGUGUGUGUAUAUAUAUAGACAAUAAAGAACAAUGGUUAGGCACUUAAUUUUCUUACAGAUGAUGCUGAAGAAAUCAACUCAAAAUAAAGAUAAAUGAAUAACUUUUUUGCAAGCCUUUAAUUUUUUUUUUUUAUUAUACAAAUCAAUAAUAAGGAGAUGAUCUUGCAGGAUAGAUAAGUUUUGAAGCUUGAGGAAUUGAAAAUGGGGUCUUUAAACUAAAAACUUCUUAUAUUAAGAGGUUGAGUACUAUAUCUACAACGAGGCUUCAGGCAUUACAAGAUAUAAAACGAAUGUCAAAGAAUAAAAUAUUUGCUCCUGCAAGGUUUCUAAUUGCCAUGGGCUGUUAAAGCGUUUUGGAAAUGUGCAUAAAUGAUAAUGCCACACAAGGAGCACAACUAACAAAAUUCAAAAUUUAUGUUUUAUUUUUUAUUCUCAUGAAUACUUGAUACAAAGAAAAAUGUCCUAAAAAUGUAAAUGAACUAAUAUCUUUGAUAGGUAUUGUUCUACUUUAAUUUAUUUCUCGUAAAUUUGUCAAACUUAAUGUGUUUUAUUUACCAUUGUGGCUUAUUGCUUAAAAUGUUGUACUCUUAUAAUUGGCAGGUACGAGUCCAAUCAAGUUAAAGAAAUAACUGCUAGCAUAUACCGUCGAUUGAAAUGUAAGAGGCUUGAUGCUGGUGACAAUUUAGUUGGUAUGGAUUCCCAUGUAAAAGAGAUGAUUUUGCGGUUGCAUAUGGAAUCAAGUGAUGUUCGUAUUGUUGGGAUAUAUGGAGUUGGUGGGAUAGGUAAGACUGCCAUUGCAAAGGUUAUAUAUAAUAAACUUUCUUGCGAAUUUGAAUGGACGAGUGUGGACCCCGCAUUUCGAUUGCUCGAUGUGUUUCCCACUCGAUGGCGAGCUCGAUUUUUAUUUGAAAUAUUGAUUUUUAUUGAUUAUUUGAAAAUGACUUGGAGUCGCCACUUAUUUUUGUUUUAUUUUUUAAAGGGUAAACAAAAUAAGAAAGAAAAACCCUAAGUGUGACUCCUUAUUUUGGAAAAGGCGGUCUGUGAAAAACCGGAUCGGGUUCGGGGGUCAGGUUACUUAUCGGGAAGGUACGGUACGGACCGUAGCACCCCUCUAAGUCCCUAAUGUCGGGUCUCUACUAAUAGAAUGAAGAUGAUGUGACAGUCAACAAGAAAAUCGAUGAAUACUCAAAUCGAUCAUGCACAAUAUGAGAAGCAAAGCAUGUAUAAAGAAUGAGCAAAAUAUGAAUAGAUGCGUACCUGGGCGGUAAUCACGAAUGCGCUAUCAUGAAACAUGGUUAGUGAACAAUGAACAUAUAUAAUAAAGCGCAUAUCAAGGAAUAAAGUAAAUCAAUCACAUGUGGCCAAUGAAGCAAACAAUCAGUUAAUCAAUCUUGAAAUCUCAUAUGUAGGCCCCCACCAAAGCCCAUUUAUUUUGCAUGAACCAAAUCUGUAAAUUCCAUCACUAAGAAUUACAAAAUUUGAUUUUUGCUUAUUUUAAAACAUUUAAAAAAAAAAAAAACAAAGAAAAUGAAAAAGGAUUGCCAAAGAGAAAAUGGCAACCAAUGUUAUUGGAAAAACGGAAUUUUUGAUGAAGGAACAUAUAGAGUUGCGAUUAUUUAAAAAGAUUAAAAUCCGAAAAAAUUAUUUGAAUGAAGGGAUUUGGAAAAUUAUUUUCAAAACUAGGGAUGGUGACAUGAGAGAAGUAAAAGGAGAUGUCAUGUGGCCACUAAGAUUUGCAUGGUGAACAGGGCCAUGCAAAGAAAAUCCCUUUCUUAGCCCAUUUGAAAAAAACAGGUCAAUUUCUGAAUCUGUGGCUUCUCAGCAAUCCUUGACCUGGGCAGGUAUGUCAAGACCAUGAACGUACCUCUCCCCUAUAUUUUGCCCCAGCAACCAAAGCACCCAUAUCCAAUGCCAUAGGUCUCACUUCAGCGAGAUUACUAGGAACGCCCCCCUCUUACAAUUUUCUGAGCUAAUCUUUCAACAACAGCAGUCUUACCCACACCUGGUUCUUCAAUAAGAACAGGGUCGUUCUUAGUUUCCCUUGGAAGAAUCCUGAUGACCCUCCAAAUCUCUUCGUCUCGGCUAAUGACAGGAUCAAGCUUUCCAGUUUACUCAACAAGGCCACACCCAUAAGUCUUCAAUGCUUGGAAUGCAGUGUUCCCAAAAGCACUUUCCUCUCCGGACAUUGGCGUCUUGUGAAGCUACUGGCACAAUGCCAUUUUGAAGGAUCACAACAACACUACGAUACACUGGUCCAUAAUCUAACCUCCUUAUUGUAGUGGCUGUUCAAACGGGAUCACUAAACAUGACUGGCGCAUUCUUGUCAUUCAACUAAAACGGUUCAUACUCCCCACAGUAAUUAUCAUAUCCAAAACCUGGACUUUUAUAUCCAGAAGCAACACUUGGAGAUUGGCCCAUGGGUCCUGAAACACCAGCAUCGACCAGAGCAUCCUGAGGACCUGUAGCUCCAUAGGUUGCAUUUGAAACGAAGUCUGCAGCACCAUAUCCAGAAGGAGUUUGGUUGUUCCCAUAAACAUGAUGUGGCGACAAUUUCUGCUGCUCAUCCGAUAUAUAGCUACUGCCGGCAGAGAACCUCGAGGUUCCAGUACUAUUAUGUAAAGAUAAACCAGCCAAGAAGAGACCCAGCGCCCAAGGUACAUCUUUUCCCGUGACCUUUCUUUAGAACCAUUUCCACGUAAACAUCUUGACUAUGUUUUAAGCUUCCAUCAGGUAAGUGUAGCUGAGGUGAUCUUGAAUCUUUUGAAGGCUAGGUACAACACGUCAUGUCUUGGAGGUGUAUGGAUCAAAGGUAUCGUGACUUUGCAUCUUCAAACCAGAGGAUGAUCCCUUAGGUUGACAGUAAACCCCUGUAUUCGUGCCGAUCACCUUCAGGUAAAAGCUUCCUUUGGCGUCAACAGUGGUCAAGGCCACGACCAUGGCAGAUUCGGUGAUGAUGCCCAUCGACGGUGCUACGCAAGGCAUUGAGAGAUAGACAUUGCGGCUGAAUUUAGUACCCAGCUGGACUGAGUCGACAGUGAAGUGGUGAUGGUGGAGGCGUUUCGCCGCCGGCGGCUUGCCGCCGGCGUCGUUCGAGGGCAGCUUUGCUUGUUACAGUCCAUUGGAGAUUCAAAAGUUAAACACCAUGCACAAACAGGUAGGCAACAAAAAUACACCCGCAUAUGAUUCACGCACUAUCCGAGACUGUAUAGGUGCCACGGCCUGACGUUCUUUUCGUGCUCUUUGAAUAAAUCAUAUGAUGCACAAUCCAAUGCAUGAGAAAACCGGUGCAUGCAUGAGGGUUGGUGUCAUGUGGAGUAAAGAGAGAAACUAUAAUAAUGAGAUGGAAAUAUUAGAAAAUGGGUAUGAAGAAUGAGUGAGUCAAAUGGGUUGUAUAGUGGUAUGAAGAUGAGCUUGGAGCAUGAAGAUAAAGGUUAAGAGAUGGGUGCAAUAGGUAGCAGAAACUGGUGAGAGAAAAGGGGUAUGUAUAGGGGCAUGGUGGGUAUGGGCAUGAAAUGUACGUUGAAGGAUAGCCCUAAGUGCAUGCAUGAUAAGAGACAAAUGAUAUGGGAGGAUAUUUGAACUCUGUACAUGUGGAUAUCAUGCAUUUCAUCCCCUUAAAGUUGCACCGAAAUUCCUUACUCAUCAUCCCAUUGAUAUAAGCAAAACAGAGUCCAAUGAAAACACUGCUUCCUAAAGAAAAAUGGUGCCUAGCACCAGAACCUGAAAGCAGACCUCUCAAAUCGCAAGCAGCUCCAUCCGCAGCAUCUCAGAAUAUCGAGCAGGGCUCAGAUUGUUUGUAUACCUAAACUCAUCCUCACAAAAGAGAGUUGAUAUCUGAGGCCAAUGGAUCCACUCAAAGUACAGAUCUUCCAAGCUUUCUGGUAAACAAAGACCAUGACCAAUUGGAAUGAGCUCCAGCUGACCAUACGUCUCAAUUCCAUCAAAUUUUCUGACCAGAAAGUUUCCUGUUUGAUGAAUUCUAUAGCUUCAGGACUUUCCUUUGAAAAGGAUGCGGCACUGUCACCAUUCACAAACUGAGAAAGCAAGCUUUGGAAGGAGUAAUGAUGUUGGAUAUCAAAAGGAGUAGAUGUUAAAUGGAGGGUACAAAACUGAUGAAGCAGACAUGAUGCUUUUUCGAAACCUUCUACAGACUGCAUCUUAAAAAAAACACUGUGAUAUUCCGGGGCAUAGUUACUUAGCAUCUUUCAUUCCAUUCAUCAACGGUCAUUUUACCUCAAUCUCCACUGAUUCAUGUUUCAUCUCUGUUCAUCUUCAAAUCUUAUUCAGUCUUUUCCCUCUGGAAGCAAUUCUAUAAUGCAAACACCAACACCCCACGUUCUGCUCAUUUCAUUGACAUUCCCCCGUGAGCUUCCAUUCACUAUUAGCAAAUAGCCAUCCUAUACCACGAUGAUUCCAUCAACACUGUUGGCUACUCAGAGGCCAUCAAAUGAACCCGAAACUGGAGAUUCUCAAUCAGUAAGGGCACACUGAGAUAGAAUAGACCUGAGUUGACCCACUGACAACUCUUAUAUGGCUUCCUCAGGCAGAGAUGAGAAAUCAGAUGUGUGCCAUGGAUGAAUACCAAGAACAGAGAAAGAUAGCCAAGACAGAGUACAAUGGAUAGGAACCAAAUGAAUCCAUACAAGCCCCCUUUCCCAUAACCAUCAAUGAGCCCAGAUGUAAAAAUGGAUUAAAGCAAAUUUCAAACAAGUUUUUAAACAAAGAAAACAGAGGUGGGAAUACUGAUAUCUCAUAAGAGAUCUCAAAAUAGGGGAUACGAAACAAGUUAGAGAUCAAGCAGCAUGUGAGAACAAGCAAGUACAAAUUCCAUGAGAAAAAAAUAAAUAAAUAAAUAAAUAAAUAAAAAGAAUAAACGAGAAGCAUACCACCAAUCACCUUCAAACACUAAAGCAGAGUUUCAUGAUGCCUAAAAAAAAAUUGAGACGGCCAGAACAUGGAAGAACUAACCCAUAGAAAUAAUACCUGAACCUUCUUCUUUUCAGUUUGCCCUUCUUCUCUCCAAAACGGCCAGGUCCCCUCCACUGCAGCUGCCUCACCUCUCUAAAAAAUAUCUCCUCACUGCAACCGGAAUCCCCCCAUCUCCUAAAAUCUCUCCUCCACGACCCCAAAAAUCCUCUCUGAAAAGCCCCACCACUCUGCCUGUAGGAGACGCUCCUCUAACCGUCUGCAGCUUUUUUUUUUUUUUUUUUUGCAGAUUCUUUGGACACGUGUCGACCUCUGGUUGGCCAUCAAAAACACCACUCUGGUGCCCCAACAGCCAACCAUGCAUGGACAAGUGGCUCCUUGAGAUCGUGACACUUGGCAAAAUCAAGCUGCAGAAAAUGAGCCCCAAAUGGGGGUCAGGGGAGUCAAAAUAUAAAUGGUGUUGCUCGUAGAGCAGGUAUGAUAAAGGACAUUCUCUUAUCUAAAAGAGUUUUUAUGGUUCUUGAUGAUGUUGAUGAUCCAAGUCAAUUAGAAUAUUUACUUGGACAUCGUGAAUGGCUUGGAGAAGGAAGUAGAGUCAUCGUAACUACUAGAAAUAAACAUGUGUUAGCUGUACAAGAAGUGGAUGACUUAUAUGAGGUUAAGGGAUUGAAUUUUGAAGAAGCUUGUGAACUUUUCAGUUUGUAUGCCUUUAAACAAAAUCUUCCCAAAUCAGAUUAUAGAAACCUCUCACAUCGUGUUGUAGGCUAUUGUCAAGGGCUUCCAUUAGCUCUAAAAGUUCUAGGUUCUCUCUUAUUCAAGAAGACAAUACCUCAGUGGGAAAGUGAAUUGCGUAAAUUGGAUAGAGAACCUGAAGCGGGAAUUCACAAGGUGCUUAGACGAAGCUAUGAUGGAUUAGAUCGUACAGAACAAAAUAUAUUUCUUGAUGUUGCAUGUUUUUUUAAAGGUGAAGAUAGAGAUUUUGUGUCAAGAAUAUUAGAUGCUUGUGAUUUCCCUGCAGAAAUUGGAAUAAAAAAUCUAAAUGACAAGUGUCUUAUAACUCUCCCAUACAACCGUAUAGCUAUGCAUGAUUUGAUACAACAUAUGGGUUGUGAAAUUGUUCGUGAAAAAUUUCCUGAUGAGCCAAACCAAUGGAGCAGAUUGUGGGAUCCCCAUGAUAUUCAACAGGCACUUAGAACAUCUAAGGUAAGAGCCAAGUGCAUAAAUUCACAUAAACUUCAAUAAUAUCAUUCUUGUAUAAGAACUUACAUAUCCAUAUAAGUUGAGUUAGUUUGUAUUUAUGUUUACCUUAUCCUUGUUAUUUUUCAGGAAAUACCAAAAGCUCAAACAAUAUCCUUGGACUUGUCUAAGUUAAAAAGAGUAUGCUUCGAUUCAAAUGUUUUUGCAAAGAUGACUAGUCUUCGAUUGCUCAAAGUUCAUUCAGGUGUCUAUUAUCAUCAUUUUGAAGGUAUUCACGAGAAGGAUUAUUAUGCUAUAAUAAAAAAUACUUCUAAAAUGCGACUUGACAUGAAAUUCGAAUUUCCUUAUGAGUUAAGGUAUCUUUAUUGGGAUGGAUAUCCUUUAGAUUUUUUACCAUCAAACUUUGAUGGAGAGAAGCUUGUUGAACUUCACUUGAAGUGUAGCAACAUAAAACAGUUGUGGCAAGGGCAUAAGGUAUUAUUAUCAUUUAAUAAUGACUUCUUUAUCUUUGUAUUGAUUUUGAAAUUUAUGAUUGUUAUGUCUUUAUUGAAACCAAUUUUCGUUUGGCACAGGAUCUUGAAAGGUUAAAGGUCAUUGAUCUAAGUUGCUCAAGGAAUCUCAUUCAAAUGUCAGAAUUCUCAAGCAUGCCAAAUUUGGAGAGACUAAUUCUUGAAGGUUGUGUAAGCUUGAUCGAUAUUCACCCAUCUGUUGGAAAUAUGAAGAAGCUUACUACCUUAAGUUUGAGAUUCUGUGAUCAGCUUAAGAAUCUGCCAGAUAGCAUUGGAUACUUGGAGUCUCUCGAGUCUCUUGAUCUCUCUGAUUGCUCAAAGUUUGUGAAAUUUCCGGAGAAGGGAGGGAACAUGAAAAGUUUAAUGAAGCUUGAUUUAAGAUUUACUGCUAUUAAGGAUCUGCCUGAUAGCAUUGGAGACUUGGAAUCUCUUGAGUCUCUUAAUCUCUCAUUUUGCUCAAAGUUUGAGAAAUUUCCGGAGAAGGGAGGGAACAUGAAAAGUUUAAGGCACCUUUGUUUAAGAAAUACUGCUAUUAAGGAUCUGCCUGAUAGCAUUGGAGACUUGGAAUCUCUUAUGUUUCUUAAUCUCUCUGGUUGCUCAAAGUUUGAGAAAUUUCCGGAGAAGGGAGGGAACAUGAAAAGUUUAAUGGAGCUUGAUUUAAGAUAUACUGCUAUUAAGGAUCUGCCUGAUAGCAUUGGAGACUUGGAAUCUCUUAGGCUUCUUGAUCUCUCUGGUUGCUCAAAGUUUGAGAAAUUUCCGGAGAAGGGAGGGAACAUGAAAAGUUUAGUGGAGCUUGAUUUAAAAAAUACUGCUAUUAAGGAUCUGCCUGAUAGCAUUGGAGACUUGGAAUCUCUUGAGUCUCUUGAUCUCUCUGAUUGCUCAAAGUUUGAGAAAUUUCCGGAGAAGGGAGGGAACAUGAAAAGCUUAAAGUGGCUUUAUUUAACAAAUACUGCUAUUAAGGAUCUGCCUGAUAGCAUUGGAGACUUGGAAUCUCUUUUGUCUCUUCAUCUCUCUGAUUGCUCAAAGUUUGAGAAAUUUCCGGAGAAGGGAGGGAACAUGAAAAGUUUAAUGAAGCUUGAUUUAAGAUAUACUGCUAUUAAGGAUCUGCCUGAUAGCAUUGGAGACUUGGAAUCUCUUAGGCUUCUUGAUCUCUCUGAUUGCUCAAAGUUUGAGAAAUUUCCGGAGAAGGGAGGGAACAUGAAAAGCUUAAAGAAGCUUUUUUUAAGAAAUACUGCUAUUAAGGAUCUGCCUGAUAGCAUUGGAGACUUGGAAUCUCUUGAGUCUCUUGAUCUCUCUGAUUGCUCAAAGUUUGAGAAAUUUCCGGAGAAGGGAGGGAACAUGAAAAGUUUAAUGGACCUUGAUUUAACAAAUACUGCUAUUAAGGAUCUGCCUGAUAGCAUUGGAGACUUGGAAUCUCUUAAGUUUCUUGUUCUCUCUGAUUGCUCAAAGUUUGAGAAAUUUCCAGAGAAGGGAGGGAACAUGAAAAGUUUAAUUCAUCUUGAUUUAAAAAAUACUGCUAUUAAGGAUCUUCCCACCAACAUUUCUAGGUUGAAAAAUCUUGAAAGACUUAUGCUCGGUGGCUGCUCAGACCUGUGGGAAGGAUUAAUAAGCAAUCAGCUUUGCAAUCUGCAAAAACUUAAUAUCAGUCAAUGCAAAAUGGCUGGACAAAUUCUGGUGCUUCCUUCAAGUCUACAAGAAAUAGACGCAUACCCUUGCACAAGCAAGGAAGAUUUAUCAGGUCUGCUCUGGCUUUGCCACCUCAACUGGUUGAAAUCCACAACGGAGGUAAUUUAAUAUAUAUAUAUAUAUAUAUAUAUAUAUAUAUAUAUAUAUAUUUUAAUUAUGCCACUUAAACCUUUUUUUAUUUUAUUUGAAGUCAAUAUUUACAUAAUAAUUUGUGCAGGAGUUGAAAUGCUGGAAACUCGGUGCUGUUAUUCCUGAAAGUAAUGGAAUUCCAGAGUGGAUAAGGUAUCAGAACAUGGGAAGUGAAGUAACAACAGAGCUUCCAACGAAUUGGUAUGAAGAUCCUGACUUCCUAGGAUUUGUUGUAUCAUGUGUUUAUCGGCAUAUUCCUACAUCUGAUUUUGAUGAACCUUAUCUUUUUCUCGAGUGUGAAUUGAAUUUACAUGGCAAUGGAUUUGAAUUCAAGGAUGAAUGCUGUCAUGGAUACUCGUGUGAUUUUAAAGAUUUGAUGGUAUGGGUUUGGUGCUAUCCUAAGAUUGCUAUUCCGAAAGAGCAUCACCAUAAAUACACACAUAUUAAUGCUUCAUUUGAGAGUUAUUUGAUAAACAUAAAAAAAUGCGGCAUCAAUCUUAUAUUUGCGGGAGAUCAACAAAAUCAUAUGCCCAUGUUGGAGCAUCCUCAGAAUUCUGGUGACAAUGGAUCAGCAUUACAAGAUACCGAUGGUAAUGUUCAUGGGGCUAAUCAAGAUGAUGAACACUACCAUAUUCCCAUCGUGUUAGAUCUUCUUGGGAAUUUUGGUGACAUUGGAUCAGUAAUACUUGAAGGCACUGAUGGAAACCGUAAGAGAAGACGUGAUGAUUCCUUACCCGAUGUAGUGGAGGAGCCACAUUAUAAAAGAUUGGGAGCACCCAACACCCAUCUCUCGCUUUGAACUCCAUCAGUAAGUGCAUUAUCAACCCUUUUUCAUGUAUUCUAACUUCUCUCCUUUUUAAAUUAUUUUUAAAGUUAAUAAACUAUUUUUGUAUAUUUCUUUAAACUCAUUUCACUUAUUUUUCUCCAUUAUAUAAAAAUUAAAUAAUUUAAAAAUGUAUACAUCUCUAAUCAAUUUUAAAUAUAUUUUAUUUUCUUUCAUAUUUUCUAUAGAAAAACCAAGCAUAAAAAAUAAUUUUUCUCAGUGUUUUUUUUAUUUCCUAAGUACUCUCUAAGAUUCAAACAUAGUUUAUAGUGAUUGAUAUCAUAACUAUGCAUGUACCACGUUUUAUAGAAUUUCUUCAUUUUCAAAAAAUAUGAAAAAUAACUUCAACUAACUUUGAAAGUCAUCAUUAGUUUAAAAACAUGUAUAGUUUUUUUUAUUUUUUUAUUUUUUUUUAUUUUUUGUACAUAUAUAGCAUAGAUAUGGUAGAGUGAAUUGCUUUUCUUUUCUUUUUUUUCAUUAUUUAUUUAUUUAAUUAGUUAUAUAAAAACCUCUACAAAGUGAUUAUGAAGCUCUAGGGAUUCUUCAUUACCUUAUUAGAGAUAGCAUUAAUUAAUUAUUUGUUUAAUUAAUUUUUUUUAUACUUGUUUUUAAGAUAAAAUUUGAAUAAGUUAUCAAAAUUAGUUAGAGAAGAUCAUGUACACAAAUUAGAAGUUAAAUUUGAAUGUAUUAUGAGGUAGAUAUAUGUAAAAACUUAUAGUGUGUUUGGUAGUAAUUCUGGAAAAUGUUUUUAGUAUUUUUAACAUUUGAAUGAUAAAAUUUUUCAAACGUUAAAAAAGUUAGAAGUGCUUUCUAAAAUCACUGUCAAACAGGAUCUAACGUACUCUUAAUAUUUUUAAUAUUUGAAAAUUUUUAUCAUUCAAUUGUUAGAAAUAUUAUAAAUGCUUUCUAGAAUCACUUUCAAACACACUCUUACUUGAUGGCAGUAAAUAAUGAAACUCCCAUAUAUUGAUUUUAAUAGUUUUAAGAGUCAAAUUGUUUAUAGUUUUUGUAUUGAAGAAUUAAAUUUCUUUAAGUAUGCUAAAACAUUUUUAAACAUGCAUACUUAUUGUCUAUUUCUUGAGAUGGAAGUCUUGGAUUAAUCUUAUAUUUACUUAUGUGAAAUUUGUGAUAUGCUCGUGAAGUUUACUUAACAAAUGAUCAUACUAAUCUUAAGUGAAAUUUGUGAUAGUACCGAUCAGAACGAAAUCACAUGUGGUAGCUGCAGGUGGACUUCAUGUUUUUUCCUAACAACUGAUUGGUAAGUCAUUUUGUUCAUUUAUCCUUUUAGUACGUGUAGAAAAUUGAUUAAAGCCUCUUCAACUUCUUUACUAUUUUCUCUUUCCCUUGAUCCCUGUUUUGUGCGAUUAUGUUUGGUUUUUGGAAAACUUAAAGGAAAAUAUAAGGAAAAGAAAAUAGAGAAAAAAAAUUAAAAGGAAAUAAAAAGUGAAAAAGAAUAAAAACAAGAUUUAAAGUCAAUCAAUUAUUUUCAUAUGUUUCUUCAAUCUUAUUUCAAUUAUUUUGCUUCAUUAUAUAAAAAUUAAAUAAUUUUAAAAUGUAUAUAGUUCAAACAUAAGUUUUAAAAUGUAUAACUAAUUUUAAUUAUAUUUAAUUUUUCCAUAUUUUUUACAAUGAAACCAAACAUUUAUCAUUUUUCUUGACAUUUUUUUAUUGUUUCCUUGGUACUCACUAAAGUCAAACAUAAGUUUAAACCCACUAGAGUGAUCCAAUUGGUGAAGGCAAAUAUUGAGAAGUGUGGUCCCACUAAGUGACACAUGGUCCUGAGUUUGAAUCCUACCACUAAUGAUACUUUGAAUUUAUCUAGUGCUAGUUAUUGUGACGCGAUUAACACUUUGAGGUUUGGUUCCCCAUAGAGUCCUAUAGGCUUAGCCAAGGAAGGUUUUUCAAUUAUUAAAAAAUAAAAUAAAACAUAAGUUUAAUGUUUUAGGAGGUAAAAAAAAAAAGUGGUAGCGCAAUUGACAAUUAACUAGGAUAUAUAUUUUUUCUCAUGUGCUUGGUAUAAGGCACUAAGUAUCAUUAUAUUAAAUCCUCCAUCUACCGCAUGAUAGUUAGUUAUAAAUUCCUUACUAUUAUUAUAGGUAAACAAUAAUUUAUAUAUGUUUAAAUUAAUUCUUAAGUUAAUGGUUAAUAUCUAUUAAUUAUGUUUUUAGUUCCUUUGAUGAUUAUGUUAUAUUUGAACAUUUUAGGGGUAUGAUUUUAGCUUCAUUAGCAUGAAGUGUAUCUAAUGAUAUGUGAUUCCCUAUCACUAUGUUUGAUUUCAAGAAAGUAUAAGGAAAGAAAAAUCCUCAUGAAAAUUAUUUUCUCAUGAAAAAAUCCAAGUACGAAGGAACAUGAAAAUGAAUUUUGGAAAUCAGACACAACCUUGUGAAAUAUACUUGUGUUAAUAAUUACAGUGUGUUUGUUGUACUAUGUUAAUGACAUUGAAAUGUUGUGUUUUAUUCUUUAGCUUUAGGUGGAAACAAGGACAAUGAGGAGAAGUUAAUCUCAAGAUGCAAAUGAGAUUCCAAAUGUUGCUAAGGUGGUCUACUCUUGCACAUGAUUAGUCUCUUACAAUCAUGACCAUCAAGAAAGAUGGUACAAUUUGUGUAUUGAAAGUGUGAAUUAGGAAUGUUAAAAAAUGAAAACUUGAAUUGAUAUAUGUUUUUGCCCAUAAGAUGUGUGGUUAUGGUCAAUUCUUGUGGGUAUGUAAUUGACCUUGAUGUUGCAUAUGAAGCAUGUCACCCUCUCUGUAUCUUCAAGUUAGUGGUUGGAGCUUCUAUAGAUGGUGGAAGACAAGUGUCACCAAUUUAAGUAUUUCUUAAGCUCUCAUGUGGCACUUAGACAAUUCAAGUCUAUUGAAGUUGUUGCUAAGUCUUUCAUGUUGUGACAAAGGUUUUUCACAUUUCACACAUUAUAAUCAUCACAUUUUAACUCAAGUUUUUAAAAGUAUUAAAUUAAUACCAUUCCCUAAUCUUACUCGGCUUGGUUUGUCAACUUCGGUGGUUUAUUACUUUUUAGAGCCAACUUUCAACUUAAUCAAUCCAACGUAAUUGUUAUUGAUUCAUGGUUAAUAAUUCUCGAUCUAAUGUUAUGAUUGUUUUUUAAAAAAUUUGAGGAAAAUAAAAUAAAGAGAAAAAGUACAAGGAAAGGAAAUGUGGAGAAACAUAAAAGAAUUAUAUUUAAAAUUAAUAAAUUAUUUUUAUUUGUUAUUUCAAACCUAUUUUACACACAAAAUUAUAAUAAUAUUUAAUUUUUUCUCUAUUUUCCAUGAGAUACCAAAUAUAAAACAAAUAUUUUUUUUAACAUUUUUUUUAAUGCUUUUUGGAAACUAAACAUAACUUAAUACUUGUCUUUGUGUUUCAAGAUACCAAUAAUACUUCUUGAUAAAAUCAUAUCUAUUAAUGUGGCAUGUAUACAUGUGUGGGAUAUUCAUGGUUCAAUACUAUCACUAUCUUACAAUUGUGGAUUCUAAUUGAAUUUUAUGAAUUAAUGAUAUGAUCUUUCUUCAAACAAAAUGUCUUUGUGAGUUGAAUUAUUUCAAUUGGUCAAACCUCUAUAUUCCAAAUAUUUCUACUUUGAUUAAUCAAGGUCUUUGUGAGUUGACUUUAAUUUGCUUUUAAAUAUCAUCUAUUAAAGUAUUUUAGAUGCUUCUUUGUUUUGUGUAGUAUUGUAAUAGAUUAUGAGAUAAUUGUAGACCAAAUGAUAUACAAAUUAUCUCCUUUAUAGAUGUUUUUUCACUUGCUUUAAAGCUAAGAUUUUGUAAACUAGCUUUUGUCUUUUCUUAGCUUUAAUUUUUUUACUCUAAAACACCCAAAUAAAGUCAUUUAGUUUUGUAUGUGCUAUUUUCUUUAAAAGAGAAACUAAAAAGGGAUGCAUCCUAGUAUAUAGUUGAAGCAGAGAAGGAUUUUAUUCUAAAAUUAAUAUAAAAAAUAUACUUUGAUAAUAUAAUUUUAAACCUCUUUUAGAUGGUGUUUGGUAAACCAACUUAAUAAUUUAAUAUAACAUAAUAACUUAAUUUGUUAUUAAAUAGAUUAAUUAUUUUUGGUAAAAUAAUUUAAUAUUAUAAUAUAAACAUAGUAUUAAGUCAAAAUAGUUAACUUAAGGGUAUUUGGCAAAUCAACUUAAUGACUUAAUAUGAUUUAAUAAUUUAAUUUAAGUCAUUAAAGAGAUUAAACAUGUUUGAUAAAAUAACUUAAUAUUACGACUUAAAGUUAUUUUUAACUUCAAGUAAUAAGUCAAAAGGGUUAAUUUCAUUGAGACCCCUUGAGGUUUGAUAUAAAUAUACUCAAUUACUGUUGUUUUCAAAUUUCAUCAAUUAGCACCCUUAUGAAUUUAUUUUGUUUAAAAAAUUUAUUUUUUUAAGAGAUUUCAAGUAAAAAUAUUUUUGAUAGGAGUGUUUAAUAAUUCACUAAAAACUAAAUUUUAUUUGUUAAAAAAUAAAAUUUAUAUACAUAAUACAUUUAUAGGGAUGUUAAUUGAUGAAAUUGAAAUUUGAAACUUAUGAUGACUUAAUGUAUUUACACUAAACAUGAAGAGUCUCAAUAAAAUUAACUUUAAGUUAAAAUAGUUAACUUAUUCUUAAUCUCAAAUCUUUUUUACCUUAUUUGUCUACAUUUAUUACUUAUUUUUUAUGAUUGUACUUGUAUCUUUAAUACUUUAAAUAUGAAUAUUUAACAAAUAAAUUUAUUAUUUAGGAUUAGUGAAAAUAUAAUUAUUAGUUAAAAUUAAUAAGGAUGAAUAUGUCAAUUUGACAAUUUAAAAUAAAAGUUUUAAGUUUACAGUUUAAGAACCAUUUAACUUAAAAUCAAUUUAAAUCAUUAAGUAAUAAGUAAUAAGUAAUAAGUUUUACCAAAUGCCCACUUAAAUAUAGCUUUUAAAUGAAUUAUUUAAUCAAAAGACAAAUAUAAAAAAAUAAAAAAUAAAAUAAAAAGGAACACACUAAACAGGCAUCAUAAAAUCUUUCACAUGAUUUCUUUACUUUUUUAUUCACCUUCUUAGAAGACGAUUUUAAUAUUUCCUAAGAAAAUUAUGAAAACACAAAAUUGGUGUUUCCAGAUUUUCUAUUUUUAUAAAACUCUAUUUUCUGAAAUAUUGAUUUAUGUUUUCUUUACAAAUGAAAACAAUUUAAACAAAAAAGUGAUUUAUAGUUUCCAUUUUUAAAAUUGAUUUUCACUUCUUUUGACUUAAGGCAUUUUCAAGAUAAGAAAAAAAAAGGAAUAAAAGCUAUUUUUAGAGAAUAAAAAUAAAUGAAAAACAUUUUCCAACCGAAACCCAUUGUUAAUGUUUUCAUCUCAUUGUGCCUUUUUCUAAUCUCCAUCCCGCACUUUGAUGGGCUAAACUCGAAAAUGGAAAGUUAUAUCUUGGCACUUGCUUUAAUUUACAUUUGUUAAAUUGGUUUUGACAUACAUUUUUCAUAAUAAAUGCAAAACAAUAGCCUGAGUUACAAACAUGAUUUCCAUGGUUUUUUAGGUCUCUAAUCACAUAAAGUAUUGAUUCCCAAAUUAAUGAUGCUCUAAAUUUAGUGCAUAGGGCAUUCAGACUCUCAGUUCCAUCAACAUCCAUUUUCAUUUUCUCACCUGCCAAAACCUUAUUGUACAAAUUUCCAUUCAACCUUCAGAUCCAUCCCAUGUUCCAUUUUCAAUCCUAGCCACAUUGUUACCAUAGGGCAAGUUGCUAGUACCAAAUAUUUAAGACAAGUAUACAUACAAUGCAAAUCAGUCCAUUACCCUAAAAGAAAAGGAAAAAGAAAAAGAACUUGUGUCACAGAAAGGAAUAAUCUAUUGGGUCAGUGGCUUGUAUCCAAAGUGAUACCAAACUGUGCUGACAAGGAGCCUUUGUAAGAAUCUGAUACAGCUCCUGCUGUUUCUGAAAGGUUGCUCUUCAUCUCUGAAAUUUUUGAUACCAUGGGCUCUUUGUAUUUCGAAACUGAGUCAACCAAAGCAUAGAGUUCCCAAGCACAUAUCUGAAUUUCAUCCUCAUUUUGCUUGAUUGCUUCCUGCAACUUCAAUUUGGACAUCUUCAUGACGACAUCAAAGUCUAGUCAGAAUCCCUUGAAUUUUUCGAUAAUAUUCACAUUAAUCAAGAACAAUUAUAAAGCCAGGUAGAAAUUUUUAGCUCUGAAAAGGGAAACCAACUUAUGUUAAAAUAAGUUUCUUUCAGGUUUACGAGAUCCACCCUGGCAAUAUUGAUAUCCUUAACUAACUAUUUAAGAGAAGAAAAACAAAAUUAUACCUCCAGAACAUCUGCCACUUCUCUUUCCACAAUAUCUACAUUAUGGGUUUCUAUCUCAACAUCCUCCACCAACUUCUUAGCUUCCAUUGCACAUCUGGAGGUGUAGUUUUGCGUUUCCUUCUUCAAAAAAUUUAAUUGAGCUUCCACCUGACAAAUUGAUCAUUCAUCCAUGGUUAACCUCAUACAACAAUAGCCUAAAAAGAAUUCAUUCUGAUGCCUUGUCAAAAAUCAACCAGAAGAUAAAUAUCCAUGAACGAAAAACAAUUAGAUUAAACAAUGUGUAACCCAAUAAUUUAUGUUGCAAAAUCAAGUUAAACAUCAGAUCCAUCAGAAACAACGAGAUGCAUGAUACUAUUCGAUAGCUUAUUAAUAAAAUCACAUUAUUAGGAAGACACUACUCAAUAGCUCGACACUAAUAAUGGAGUUCUUUAAUAAUGGAAUAACCUUACAUGGCAUAGUUAUGCAAGCAUUGUUUAAGCUAAUGUCAAAUAUAGUCAAAGCCUUGACAAUAAUUUCCAAUCAGCAAGUUGGAAAAUUACUUGCUAAAAAAUAUACUUGGAAAAGGAAUCAAAUGUAGUCAAUCCUUUGUAGGGACUAAUUAUCAUCCAAAAAUAAUUUUUCUUAAGUGUUUUAUAAGCCAUCAAAGCUACUUUGAAAAUUUGGGGCCUGACAAUCUAUGUGCAAUAACAAUUGACAUCUCCAACAGAUUAUUUUUUCUUUUUUAAUCCAAAACAAAUCAUUCAUUGAUAUGAAUUUAAUUACAAACCAAGGAUGAGAAACCCUUUCAAAAUAUAAAGGAUGAUUAAAAAUUGAGGAAAAAUCUAACAAAAGUAGCAAGAUAGCUAUACUAAUCAAGGACGAUACAAGAACUUGAAUAUAGCGACAAUGUACACUUGAAGGGGGUAAAACAUACCUUACAGAAGAGUCCAUUUGCAUGGCUCCACAUUUAGCCAAUCAAUCUGCAACCUGAUUCACUAAAUGAGGGGACCAAUAGAAGGAACAACCCAAGCUACUAGCUAGAUCCAGGGUUUUAGGGAGCUACAUGUCAUACAUCCCAAGACAUGUGAUGGGGGAAAGCCUUUCAAAGUAUAUUCAAAAAGGAAAGGAAGGCACAAAUAAACUUUAAGUGGGAUUAGUAUUAGUUAGAAUAAAAUUAGAAUUAGUAUUUAUUGGAAUCAAAUUAGGAAUAGCUAAAUAAUUUAGAGGAGACUUAGAGUCAUAAUAGGUUAUAUUAGAAUCCUAGUAGGCUUUGAAUUUCUUAGAGAAGCCUAUAAAUAAAGCUAAUUGAUGUAAAUCAAAGUAAUGGAUCGAUAAUUAAUAAUAUAACGUUUCCUUGCAUACUUUGCAAUUUUGAAUGGUAAGACUCUUGAUUUUCUUCUAGGUGAGACUCUUAGAAGGCCUUAGUGAGACUCAAAGCUUUCUAGCUCUUCUUCUCCGUAUCUUCUUUCUCAAUGUUUUUUCAUUUUAUUUUUCUUUACCAUAAACUUUAUCCUUUAUUCCUCACCUUAAAUGGUUAAACCCUAAAAAAUAAAAACCGUAGCCCACUUAUUUGAUUGUAGGCAACCAUCAUAGGGUUGUCUUACGUCAAUAUGUCCAACAAUUUAAUCAUCCCUUUUAAUCCAAUUUGAAAAUAGCACCUAUUCUUAACUGAAUUAUACUAAAGCAUAUUUGGGUCACUUUUCUAAAGCACAUGUCUGGUUUCCAAAAGUGGACACAAUUCUAGAAUUAUGCAAUUGGAGUAUGUGCAUCUAGGGCAUCCUGAAGAUAUGUGCAUUCUGAAAAUGAACACGUAUUCCUAUUUCUUCUCCCUCUUCUCCCUCUUCCCUAUAUUUAUUAUUUAUCAUAUCUUUACAUCACCUAGGUACCAUAUCAAAACCAUACAACAAGCUGGCCCUUGAUCAGCAUCCAUCUGACCCUGAUCAAUGGACUUCAGAAACAAUGGCAUGCACCCUACAUUUAACUUCCAAGUCCUCUGGACCAAUUUGACAUAACUAUGGUAGCACACUUUUUGGGUCACCCUUUGUAUUAGUUCAAAGGAACAUUACAACCUGAGCUGUCCAUUGAUGCCAAAAAGCUGUAAUGUGGGUAAUACAUGCUUUGCUCAUAUACAAUAAUUGUUUUUAGCAAUGGAUACAAAAUGGAUGUCUAUCUAAGGCAUCCAAAAGCUAAGAUUUUAUCUACAACCAGAAGAGUACAACCCCUAAAGUUGAAUGGAUACAAAAUGCCCAUGAUUGUCCCUUAAUAAUAACCCCUAACCCACAACCGGCUCCGAUUUCCCAAAAAGCAACCUUCCCAGGAAGUGUUUCUAGGAGGAAUAACAAACUUAUCUCUCAACUUAUCCCCUUCAUCACCCACAUAGUUUUAAAAGGUGCAAGGCGCACCUAAGAUGCAAAGUUUCCUAUAGCUUAAGCACAAGGCGCAACACAAGGUGUGCGUCUAAGUGAAGUGAAAUGUGACCUAGAAUACACAUCAAUUUUAUAAAAUAUGAUUCAAAAUCUAAUCUGAUCAAUAAAAAAUUUAAAAUUCGAAACAUUUAAAAGAAGCAUUCAAUAAAAAAGUAAUGAAAUUAUAUACAUUUCAGUAUAUAAUUAGAAAUUUAAAAAAUAAAAGUGUUUACAAAGGAAGAGUAAAGCUGACAAGGCACACUUUUUCAAUAAGGCACAUAUCUUGGCAAGCAAGCGCUAUAACUUGGGAGUGGUGGCGCCUUGAGCCUAGGCGCACUUAAAGCACGCCUUUUAAAACUAUGAUCACCCAUUAGACAGAUGGUUAGACCAGGCAGCUCUUGCUUUUUUUUUUUGAUAGGUAGACCAAGCAGCUCUUGCUAUUAAAUUUUGAGUGACAACUGCUUGUGUAACUGACACCAUUUGCCCUUUGUACCAAAUUUUAGAUUGACCAUCGGGUGGUACUAUACUCCUUUCCAAUUAUUUUCCCUCCCAUAUUUCAUUUGAGUCAUUCUGGAAUUUAGCAAUAUUCUAUCCCAAUGGAAUUUCUAGGAACAACAUUUUUCUGUCAAAAUUUGAAUACAUCCAAAUUAUCACCUUUUUGAAUUCUAAUUGUAGUCCAAUCAAUUUAACCGCAGUAAUUGAUUUUCCAAGAAAUUUUCUUAUGUGCAUUCAACUACUAGCAAUUCAAGAAAACAUUUUUUUUUUUUUGGAUAGGUAAAUCACAAUUAAAAAAACAAAUUAAACGAAGGGGCAAGCAAGAUUAAAAAACAAUUGUCUUUUAGAUUGCAAAGAAAAUACCAAAGAAGCUUACGGUUACAACUUUAGUUUUCCUGGAGUGGCAUCCAUGCAAUAUAAUGACCAUGCAAUUGUAUAUGCUACUGCUGGUACUUUAGAAAUGGUAUUGCUAACAAAGUCAGACCACUAGGUAAAGAAGACCUGCUUUGAUUUGUUAUAUAGAUAGAUGGAUACAAAGAGAGAGAGACAGAGAGAGAGAGAGCGAGAGAGAGUUUGGCCUUUUCUGAGAGCAGCAAAAAGAGGUUGAGUUAAUUUGUACUUCAGUUAAUUGCAUAUUCAAUAGGGGAUCAUUGGCUCCAACUAUGUGCCCACCCCCUCCAUCUGUAUCCUUAUGUAUGUGUCUGAGAAUUUUAUGGGUCUGUCAUUCUUUCCAAAAUUUUUAUGUGCUGAGGAGUUCUUCUUUCUUGUAACAUGAUCAAUCUUGUUAUUUGUACCAAAGAUAUUCAGGAAUGUCUUUGAGAAUUUUAUGAGUAGAGGAUUCAUCAUCCUCUCCAAAAUUUUUGUCUUCUGGAGUUAAUCUGUAUCUAACAUCACCAAUACUUUUACCCUUCUUUAAAAUUUUUAGGAAAACAAAGUGAAAAUCUGGCUGCUCCGGUUGACACCCUAAAAGCAUAUAAAAAAGGCAUAGUUUUUUAUUCUUCGUGAGAGGUAUAUAAAUGCAUAGCUGCUGAACAAGAAAAAUGAGUUCUAAUUCACUUACUUCAUCACAACUAGUUUGAAGUGCAGCAAGACGAUUUUUUUUUGCUUCAAUUUUAGCAGCAUUUUCAACUGAUUGUUCCUGAAGAGAAAUCAACUCUUCCAACUUUAGCAUAGAGCAUUUUAUUUAUGUCAUCAGCAAAGGAGUCAAGUGCAGGCUUAAGCGUUGAUUUGUAAUCAAUUCCCAAAACCUCAGCAGGCAAAGACCCUUUGGCAUUCAAAACAUACUGCAAACCAUUUCCUAACUUUAACCUGGAAACCAUCCAAGAGAAAAUACUUCAAUCACACAAUAGAUUGUAGUUUAAUAGGUUGAAAGAGUUGCAUGAGGUGGCAUGCUAAUUUUUCAAUUCAAAGAUGCUCCUGAAAAUUAAGUAUUUAGUGUUGUCUCUUCAUGGCUAUUAGUUUACUUCAAAAAGUUAAAUAGAACAUGGUCCCAAGGGAAACAAUAGGCUCCUAAGGCAGGGCUCAGGAGGCAAAGGGUUGGGUGGGAAUGGGAAGGUUCCAAGUUGAAAUUCAUCUACCGAGAGAGAGAGAGAGAGAGAGAGAGAGAGAGGGGAGGGGGGAAGAGGGGAGGCUACCUCAAAAAAAGAGGUUGCCAAGGGCAACUGUAUCACCUAUCUCUUUCUAAAUAAAUUAUUAGAAAACUUGUGAGGAUGGAAGUGUUAAAUGGAGGUUUUUUUUUUUAAAGCCAAAUCGAGAAUGAACAUUAACUAACCUUAAAAACCUUUUUAUUUUUCUUACUUUGACAAAGCUCCAGAAUGGUUAGCAGUUUGAGAGUAACACUUAGCUCAAAAGGUUAAAGAAGAUGAACAAACAUGAAAUCAUAAACCAAUACAAAAGAUGUAAUGCACCCAAAAGAUAAAUGCACGUAAGGCAAAUUACAACUCAGAAACUACCCAUUGUUGGUGUUGAAUCACAACCCAAGUAAACAAAUGAAGUUUGAGUUGGCUACGUGGAAAUAAUGCAUGUGACUCAAGAAGACAUAAGCCAUUGAAUGAUUCAGCAACUACAUUCACCUGGUCUGAAUUUUUGUCGACUGAAAUUUUAUUUUUUUGUUAGGUAAAUUUUUUUGUCCCUAUUGGGAUUUGAACCUGAAACUUCCACAAACCCUCCCAAACCUUUACCUCUUGAGCCAGGCCUCAAGGGCAUGUUCACCGGAAUAAUUUAAGCAGAGAACAGCAGCUGGAUCCUUCUUAGGAAUCAUCAACUAGUCAUGCUGUAACUACAGAGCCAGAUCCUAUGUUCUCACUGAAGUUAUACUAAAAUGUUGUAUAUGUUAAUGUAUUUGCUAAGAACAGGAAAAUAUUUCAUAUCACCCAUAAAUGACAAAAAAAAUCUUGUAAUCUAAUUCAUGGAGGUAGAUAACCUAAUGUUGAUAAGAAUCACAGUAGACUUCAAUGGAAUAGAGAAAAUUAAUUCCAAGCAACACCAAACCUAAGAAAGAACACGAUUCUACCAUGUUCAUUAAUUAUCAGAAAGCAUACUGAAGAUUACUAGAAAGACUUUAGAGUAUGCAACUUAAGAAAUUAAGAAAAUCCUAGUGGAGUGGAUUAUAGAGGUACCAAAGCCAAACAAAGAGGAUAAGGAAAAGAAAACCUCCAGAGAGCCUGGUUGCAUUCAAUUGAAAGAGCUUCAAGCUCCUUAAACUUGUGCCCAAUUGUCGUGUCAACAUCCCAAGACUUCUCCUCCCAACCAUUCCUUGCAACCUCAGCCUCCGUGAUAUCUCUCUCAACUGCCUGCAACUCCCUCUUCAUCCUCUCUGCAUCUCUUGCAUUAAACGUCUGCAACUCAACCCUCUUCUUCAGCUCUUCAUUCUCCUCGCAAAUUCUAUUAUUCUCUUCAACCUUCACCCCCAACUCCUUCUCCUUCUCAUCCAAAAUCUUCUCCACAGAUGCAAUCCUUCCUGAAAAUUCUGCAAUUAUUGCAUGAAAUUUCUUCACAUCCUCCUCCAACACCCCCCUCUCCUUCUCCACAACCUCCUUAGCCGAAGGCCCCGACCUCAAUUCCUCCAACCUCCCCUCCCUCUCUGCCACCUCCUUCUCCAAUGCCUUCACACCUUUCGCCACUGCGUCCCUCUCCCUUUCCAACUUCCCCAUAAACUCCCUACCCACCGCCUCCAUCCCAUCAUCAUCCCCGCGAAUAUAAUGCAAGUAACUAUCCAAUGCAUACACAAAAGUAUUGUCAAAAUACUCCAAAUUCGACACAAGAUGGUCAUUAUACAAUGCGAUUUGAGCCAACCAAUGCAUUACGCCUAAAAGGGAAGGCCAAACAGGCGGGGUUCCGGGGGCUUUGAGAGCGGACUUGUUGAGCUUGAUCGGGCAAUUGAGAUGCUUGAGGAGGAUAGGAAGAUCGUCUUCAAGUUUGGUUGUGGGGAAAUCGNNNNNNNNNNNNNNNNNNNNNNNNNNNNNNNNNNNNNNNNNNNNNNNNNNNNNNNNNNNNNNNNNNNNNNNNNNNNNNNNNNNNNNNNNNNNNNNNNNNNUGAGGGGGAGAGGAGAGGAAUGGGAGGCGAGAAAGGAGUUGAUGGUGCGGAUGGCGGAGAGUUGGUAGGACCGGUUGGUGAGGGCAUCGCCGGCGGAGGAGCGGUUGAUUCCAAGGGAGGAAGGGUGGCUGCUGGCGAAACUAGCGUCAGAGUUGCGGCUGAAUUGGCGGUGGUGGUCGACGGAGGGAGGUGGUGGCGGCGGUGGGUGGAUAGAGUCCUUCGGACGGCGGCGGCCGGUGGCUUUCAUCCCCGGCUGUGAUGGGCGUCUCUCUCUCUUCUGAGUUCUUGUGAAUUCUGAAUCUCUCUUUCCCGCCUAUGGGCUACUGGGAAAAUGACACUGCUUUUUAAAUUUUAUUUUUGAAAACAUUUUUUUUAAAUGAAUUAUUUUUAAAAAUAUUAAGAUAUUAUUUCGUAUUUUAAUAAUAUAAAAUAUUUUCACCGAAAGGAAAAAACAAAUCAAAUUACCGAAAAAACACUGUUGACUGAUCAAGGACGGGCGGGCAGCAAAGUAUUGAUGAACUUCAACAGGUUAGAAGGAUGAAAGGUGCUGAUUGUGUAUUAGUUCAAUUCUUCUUUAAAUCUAUUUUCCAUACAUCUUGAUUAACCUCUAAGUAAUUGCAUACUCAGAUUAUGCAGUCAAAAGCAAUUUCAUAUUGAUCCAGCCUGCAUACGUGAGGUUCAGGAGAUCUCUCUUUCAAGUCAGUUCCAACAUAAGCACAUUGUUCAAUAUUAUGGCACAUUCAAGGUAUUUUUCAAAUUUUUCUUGUUGGAUUGGCUUCUUGUUAUGUACCACUCUUGGAAUCAGGGCUACCGUUUGCAAAUUUGCAUUUUUUGNNNNNNNNNNNNNNNNNNNNNNNNNNNNNNNNNNNNNNNNNNNNNNNNNNNNNNNNNNNNNNNNNNNNNNNNNNNNNNNNNNNNNNNNNNNNNNNNNNNNUUUGGGAGAAUAAUAUCGAUAUAUAUAUAUAUAAAAAACCCUACAUAAUGCUGCAUGCAAGACACAAAUUUAGGAACUUGAUCUGGGUCUUGUAGAGUUGUUGCAUGAGUCCUCUGGCAUCUUUGUACCUCAGAGGACUUAACUCGCUGCUAGUGCUGGGUUGGGCCUAAUUUAUAGGGAAGAAACAUUGGUGGAGGCAGUUGAUAAAGCCCAGAGUUGACGGCUGUUAACACUGGUGAAGAGGACGGGAAAAUUUUUAGCUUUGAAGAGUUACCUCAUUCUCUUAACUACAUCUGUGCUCAAGUGGCAGAUUACUAGUCCUAAUAUUCCUCAGAAUGCUCCUGGCUUUAGGAAGAAGACAUGAAUUAUGGCAUCAAUUUGGGCAUACGUCCCUCCUCUGCAGUAAAUCUAGAGUGCCAACUAAAACUUGGGACUGAUAAUUUGUUGCUCUCACUUGGGAACCCCCAUGCAGUAACAUUAGUUAGGUCUUUUCCUCAUAGAAUAACCAUGAAAGUCUUUGUGCUUAUUAGUAUAAUGGCUACUCUAGUGAAGGCCCAAUGUUCAAGAGGACUUAGAAAGGAUCUUAAUGUUAUGGGAUUCAAAAUCCUUAGAAGGCAUGAAUCUUUGGUGGUAUCUGUCUUAAGUUCAAUUAAAAUUCGAUUGAAACUUAUCUGGAAGAUCCGUAGGUGUUUGAGGUUUUGGACCAAAUCAAUUGCAGCUUAGGGAGAAGCUGAGUAACUGCUCAGGGUAGCUUUUGAUUUGGUGCACUGAGGAGAGUUCAAUGUUAUUGGGUCUUUUAGGGAAAAGCUAUUUUGUCUAGAAUUCCCAGUAGCGUGAAUGACACUGAUGAGCUAAUCAAAAGUUGUGGCUUAGUUGAUUCAUCUCUUAGAGUGAGGCCUUUCCAUGGUCAAACAAGCAAGAAACCCCAGUUUGAAGAGGUUUGGUAGGUUCUUGAUCUCAACAGAGUGCAACAUCAUUCAAGAAUCUUACCUAGGCUAGUAUUUGAUUAUGGUUCCAUGAUAUGGAGGUUAACUAAUUAGAUGAUUCUCACCCUCUUUUCUUUUGAAAAUAUGUGGUUGCUGCACCCAAAAUUUGGUGAUAUUAUUAUGGAUGUUGCAUGAGAUUCAGGUCUCAGUAUGGGAAUGAUAGAUUUAUUGUGUAGCCUUAAGUCAAUCAAAGCUUUCUUUGAAAUAUUGAAGAAAGAAACUUUUGAUAUUUCUGGCAAGAGGAACACUGUGAUAAUCACACUUGAAGGAAUGGGUCAUAUGAUGGAAGAACUUUGAUAUCUUAGAAUGAAAAGGAAAAUAAGGUUGGAGGAAUUAUGGGAGGGAAGAGCUAGAGACAAGAGUCUAGGUUGAAAUGGGUCAGGGAGGGUAAUUGCUACUCAAAAUUGUUUCACUGGGUGGAUAAAUUAUGGCAGGUAGAAGAAGCUAGAAAGGAAUGCCUGGGUAUUUGAAGAUAGGAAGAGUUAGUCUACUGAAUUUCAGGAGAAUUACUAUGGAUAUUAGUUACCAAGAAUUUAUCAGAAUUCCCUUCAACAUCAGUUACGUUCCCAAUUGGAAUAGUAGUGAGCUGCUUUGACAGUUGGUGUUUUGAAGCUUAAUUUUGCUGAUGUUCCUUGGAAAUUGGGAUUGGAUGGCUAUUGGCAAUCUAAUAUAGGAUCACAGGCAAGUUUAUUCAAGGUUCUCAAAGAAAGCUGGUUUUGGGCUGACUAUUGAAGCAAAAAUUUCUUGCUCUAAUGGUGGAGGUGGAUUAACUAAUAGUUUUAUCUUGGGUGGCUAGUAGUCGGAGAGUGUUGUGCGAGAUACAAUCAUUGGGUGCUGAGGAUCAUGCAAUUUGAUAGUUGUGUUCUCUUUUCCCUGGAAGCCUAGAUCCUUGAAUUAGAAAGGCUAUUAGUUGGCCAAAAAUGGAUCCUGUUCUUGGUUGGUUUAACUGGGGAUAUCAUGCCCCGUGUUUUGGUGGUUAAUUUCCUUAAGGUUGGGCAGCGAAAGGCUCUCUGGUGUGCGGACUUCUGUAUUUGUCUUUUUAUAAGCCUGUGCAAUUUUUUUGAUGGAUUUGUUUUGCUUGUUCCUUUUUACAAAUUCUUUGUAUAUUUUCUUAAUUUCUUCAUAACUAAAAAUAAACAGUACUAAAGCUCUGUUUAGAUUGACUUUUUGGAAGCAAAAAGAUCCUUUUUAAGUCUAAUAAGAUCUUCAAUAUGUGUUUUUGGCUUCACUGAAGUACUUCUAACCUUAAAAGGAGUUCAACACAUACGUAUGGGCAAGCUGUUUUUCAGUUUAUGUGGGAAAUUGUUUUAUGUUUAGUGAAAUCACACCAAUGCCAAGAUUGCCCCUUUAAAAUAAUGGUUUUAGCUUUAGCUUCAGUUCCUCACCAAAGUUAAAGGCAAAAUAAUAUCCUCAAACAAGACCUAAAUCUGAGGCCACAGCAGCACUGUUGCAAUCUUCAUGAGGUUGACUGAGUACAUGUCUCUGUUAGAGAGUUAAUAGGGAUUCUGAGUCUAUGUUGAGUAACCAAGGUUUUGCUUUUAGAGUUGUUAUUAUUUUCAAUCAUAUUUUUGGAUGUUAAUCACAAAAUUUUAUUUCAGAGGCUAUAGAAGGAUUGCCCUGACUGGAUGACUCUUAAAGUGGCAUGUUCUGUUUUAGCUGCUUGAUGAGAACUAAACCUUAGACUAAAAUUCAUGAGGGGGUCUCUUGAGCUUCCCAUCUGUUAUUUUUCAAGUUCACUUUUUCCUCUAAAGAACCUUUUUUUAAUCUCUCAUCUACUUAUCGUAUCAGCUAUUUUAUCAUGGUAUUUGGCCUUAUUGUUGUUUCAAGCUAUGUUCUUGCCUUGUAGGUCUGCUUCUGAAUGCAUGUUUCUAAACAUUCAUGCAUCAUAUGCAUCUUUUAUUUCCCUCGCAGGCUGUCUAAUUGACAGUCUAAAUACUCAGUAGUUACAUUUUUCUGUUCUUUGGGGUGAAUUAGUAUUUUUCAUGUUUUUGUUGUUGUCUGUUCCUUUAUGAUCUGGUUCUGGUACUGCAUCAAGAGGAUUGGAGUUCAUGUCAUAUUUUUUUUCUUGCUUACUCACAAAAUGUCUUGCCAUUCCAGGACAAGACCAAACUUUAUAUCUUUCUUGAGCUUGCAACUGGAGGUUCACUUUUAAAUCUCUAUCAAAAGCAUAAACUGUCAGACUCCCAAGCCUCUAAAUACACAAGGCAGAUUGUGAAAGGUUUGAAAUAUCUACAUGAGCAUAAUGUAGUUCACAGGUGAUUCAAAUGAUCUUACUACUACAUUUUUUGGUUAUAUUGCUUGUGCUUUAUUUGUUUAUACCUUGCUCUAUCCACAUGCCAUUACUGCUUGAAACAUGUGCUGAUUAUUUCAAUUAUCUGCCUUUGCUACCAAGAGAAUUGCAUAUGCAUAAACUAAAUGGCCUUCUUACUCAGGGAAAAUUGGUUCACUCUGUUGAGAAAGUUCUUCAGUUUUUAUUUUAUUAUUUUAUUUUUGUUUUUAUCUUCUUGAAACCUUCAAUAUUAUUUGGAUUGCACCGGUUAGCCCACUUACUGAAUUCUGUGAUUACAGACUGCUUGGUGAAGUGAAAAGUUCAACACUCCCACCUGCCCUCUUCCAGGAAAAGAAAAAUGGAAAAACCAAAAACAAAAAGAAGAGUCAGGAGCAUGGAUGUUAAACAUGGUCAUUGUCUGAUAACUAAGAUGAAACUACCCAAAGCCUUGGUAUAGAUAUAGAUAUCCCCAAUUUUCUGUGUACCUUACAUUGUGUCUUCACAUGUGGGGUUUACGUUGUUUGUUUUGAGAUUAUUGUGUAUCUUAAUAGUUUAAUCCUUUCAUAAAACUCCAUGUAAGUUAUGAUAUGAGGUGUGGUCCAUUUCCAUUUGACUUCAUGCAAUUAGCUGUAUUAUAUAUCACUUUGUAUAUUCUGCCUCAGUGCUUGAUCUUGCUAUAAUAUAAUUUUUUUUUUCUUUUUUCUUUUUUCUUUUUUCUUUUUUAAUUUGUAAGUCAAAAUUUUCUUUAAAAGCAACAUAUAAGAAAACAUACAUAAUAAUGAUUCAACUUUCUCUCUCUCUCUGAUUCACUUGAUUUGAGUGUCUCUUCAGGAGAGUUUUUGGGUCAUGAUUACAGAAUGGAAACCUGAAAAUUGAAAGAAUCCUAAUGCAAAAGCCAUUUACAAUGCUACAAACUCUCUCUCUCUCUCUCUCUCUCUCUCUCUCUCUCAUAUGAUUGAGAUGGUAAAUGGCAUAACUAGCAAGGCUAGAACCAUGGAGGGAUGUGAUCAUGGGACUCAGAAGUACCACCAGUAGGUCAUAAGGGAAAUUAGGCUUAUUGAUUUGGUCAUGCGCAACAAAGGCCAAUAAUUGCAUUGUUAAGAAGAGAUGGGUGGACAUUGGGAAUCAAUUGAGGUUACUUCAGGAAAUUAGACAUUUGGAAUGACAGUUGAAGCCACAAUGUUGUACAUUUACUUACACAUAAAUUGUUUCUGUUGUAAGACUAAUAGGUUCUGUAUCAUCUUCGAGGGAUAUCUGGUGGAUGUAAAUGGAACCGUGAAACUUGUGGAUUUUGGAUUGGCAAAGGUUAGUUUCUAUUUACUAGAGUUAUCUCUCUAUUGUUUCAAAAUGCUAGACUUCUAAAUAUUAUAUUUCUGGUUGUAUAUCUUUUCAGUUUUGCAAAUUGAACGACAUAAAAUCUUUUAAAGGGACUGCAUUCCGGAUGGCCCCUGAGGUAUCUUCCUCUCUUUCAUUCCUUCAUUUCUUAAACAAAUCAUGUUUGGUUUUGAAUUGAGAACUAUAUUUUAUGGAACUGUACUCGGUAGAAUCUUCUUAUACCAUGAAGAAGCAUGCAUGCUUAAAAUGUAGGCUCUGAAACCCUUGCCUUUUAGCAGGUGGUUGCGUCAGAAAAGGAAAUGACAUGAUUGAAUUGGGUUAUUGAAUAGCUCGAUUAUUGGACUGGAGCUAUCCCAACUAACAAAUUGAUAAGUUGUUGUUUUCCCAAAUUGUUGCUCUUUCUAAGAUUUUAUCCUACAAGGCAUUUAGUCCAUGCCAUGUCUUAUUACCAAUGCAUUUUGAUUUAGCAUCAGUCAUUAGUAUCUUUCUGUACAACUGCCAAUAUACUGACACUAAUAGAUGCAUGGAACCACUGAGUGCUCAAUUGAUGAGGAUUUUCCAUUCAAAUCUGAGAAUUUAGGCAUCAAGCUACCUUUUUCCAUUAACUCUCUCUACUUCUAAGGGUGGUUAAACCCUUGCUUCAUUAUUUGGUAACAAAAAUUAGUACAUCACCAGAAGAUUGGUAGGGGGAUCCUACAGUUAGGGAUGCAAUGAAGUGGAUUGGAACUGAGUGACCCAUCCUUCUUCCUGAGAACCCGAUUUAGUACAUUUCAUUCCAAAGCUGCUCCAUUGGGACAAAUUCUUUAACUUUCUGGACUGCAGGUUUGUGAAGAGAUGUUAAAGCCCUGGCUAAAAAUGAAAUAGUGGUGUCUGUUUUAUAAAACAAAAUAUGGUCACCAGCAAUCUACAUUUUAGCUCGAUAUUGCCCUUCUGAAAUAAAUUUCUGACUCUUUGCCCCUGAGAAUGAAUUGUGGUUUUGCAACCGCCCAGAUCUGUGGAUUUGAAUCAGUUUUUACUUUGAAAUCAUGCUCAAACACCCUCGUCUUACAACUGUGUUUAUUUAUAAAUCCUGCACCAGUUGGGAGUAGAACUCUUAAAUCCCUGUUCUAAAUCAUGUCCAAACAUGUUAUAAGUCUUUGUGUUAACCAUAUUUGAAAGUUUUUUACCAAGGACAUUUGUCAUUAUAUUAUGUGGCACUGGCACAGGAUGCUCCAAGCAUUAUGGUUUCUUAUAAGUGUUGAUUUUACAAAUAAUUUGUGCCACUGUAGGUCAUUAAUGAGGACAAACAAGAGAACGAUGGUUAUGGGUUUGCAGCUGAUAUAUGGAGCCUCGGGUGCACUGUAUUAGAGAUGUUAACUCGGCAACAUCCAUAUCCCAAAUUGGAGCCGGUAUGUAUAAGCUUCAAUGGAAACAAAUAAUCAUUCCAACAUUACAUUCUUAUAAUGCAUCCAAACAUAAGAAUUAGAAUCACCAAAUCUAUUUCUAUUCAAGAAGAUAUAGGAAUGAAAACAAAGUUUUUAUUCUUAUUCCUCAUUCCCAUAUACUAAACAUGGCUUGAGGGCAAUGGACUGAUUUCAAUGGUAUGUAUACUUGUCUUAAAUAUUUGGUAUUAGCAACUUGCCCUAUGGUAAAAGUGUGGUUUGGGUUGAGAAUGGUAUAAAGAUGAGCCUAGGGUUGUCAAUGGAGCCUGCAAAUAGCUGUUGGAUUUGAAGGUUGAAUAGGAAUUUGCACAAGAAGGUUUUGGGAGGUGAGAAAAUGAAAAUGGAUGUUGGUGGAACUGAGAGUAUGAAUGUCUUAUGUACUAAAUUUAGUAACACUCUUUCAAAAUAUACAAUAUAAAAUUAAGAAAAUAAAAUUUAAUUCAAUAUCUGUAAAACAGUAUUGGGAGACCGCAUAUUGGACGUUGUUUUCAUAAUCUUGUGUUUGUCCUAAGUCUUAACUCUUAAUAGGAAAAAACAUGUUUUUGAUGGAGUAUAUUCCCUGCAAUGAGGUGUACUUGUCCUUAACCUCCUUUCAAAGUCGAAUCAAAAAACAAUGUUAGGAAUCAAAAUCGAAUCAAAAAGAGGGAAGUGAGGGUUUAGAUAUUAUCUUGUCCGAGACCAUCCAACCUUGAUUAUAUAUAAAAUUAAUUUUAAAAAAUAAUUUUAUUGAUUUUUUUCUAUUAUCAUUUUUAACACAUAAAAUAUUAAAAAAUUAUUUUUUAAAUAAAAUAAGUUAUAGAAACUAUAAUAUUUUACUUAUUUAUAAAAUAUAUUUAUUUUUAAUAUAAUUUAAAAAUUCUAAAAUUAUUAAUUUUUUUUAAAUAAAGAAAAUACAAUGAGUAUGGUGGCCAUGAAAAUUACUUUGUAUAAAUGUGAUAGGAUUGAUAUGGGUAACUCAUCGUCAACCCAACUAAUCAUCAUCCUUACAAUUAAAAUUUUACGUAAAGGAAGGGUACAAUUGGUAUUUUUAUUUAUUAUAAAGAAAGUAACUGAAAUGGCUUUUGAAACCCGAUGAUAUCCAAUUGGAGAUAAAUUCCCAACUUCAAAAUUAGUAAAGUUAAUUUUUUUUUCUUGAACAAAUUUAGGAACUUUAUGAAUGUCACGUUGUUGCAAGUGUUUAUACUAUAAAAAUAUUCUUAAAUAAUUUUAUUGGUAAACAUUUUUAGGAAUAAUUAAAUUAUUUUUAAUAAAAAAUCUUGAAGUAAUAACAUAAUACAUCGAAUAUUAAUUUUUUAAAUAUAUUUAUGUAAAUUAUAUAUACUUAUUUCCAUCCAUUGAAGAAAUUCCAAUGUUAGUGGAUGGGUGAAAAAAAUAUGAACAAUAAAAAAAGAAAAAAAGUUGAUAAUAACAAUUGCAUAACUAAAAAAGUAUUUGCAAUUUAGAAUCAAUCAUUUGAUGGUUAAUUUUUGAAAGAUAUUAGAAAGAUUAGUUUUGAAGAUUAUUGUGACUUAUUUUUCAAUUAUAUUUGUAGGUAUUCUACUUCGUAGUUUCCUUUUAAAAAAUGAUAAUAAUAAUAAUAAUUUUCUCUUAUUUUAAUAUCUUUGGUACAAAACAAUAAUUUGAUUUUUCUCUUAUUUUUAUUUCUUUGAUACAAAACAAUAUUAUAGUUUAUAUUUGGACCACCAAAAUGCAAUAUGAUUUAGAAAAAGGUAAAAAGUUUUUUUUAUAAAUUAAAUUUGUAUUAUAUUUAUCAACAUUGUAAGUUCUAAAUUUGUUAUACUUCAAAUAUUUUUCUUAAAAAUGUAAUAUAUUGAUCAUAAGAAAUCAAGAUUAAAAAACCUGAGAAAUCAAAUAUUUUUCUUAAAUAUUUGUUGGUGACAAAAAAAAACAAAAGAAAUUAAAAAUUAAUAAUAGAAAAAUGUGUUUUGUAUUAUUUUAUAUGAAAUAACUACCAUUCAUUAGCGCUAGUUCCAUUAAAUGCUUUAUUAUCACACACUUAAAAGAUGUUUAAAAUCACAUUAUUAAAAUAUAUAUUUUAUAUUAAUUUGAGACUAAAAUCCAUCUUUAUUUCAAGUACCUACAAACUAGGAUCCAUUUUUUUAAAAAUAAUUUUUAUUUAUUUAUUUUUAUUUUCUCUUUUAAAGAAAAUGAUGUAAACAAAACUAAAUGUUCAUAUCUUGAGGUUAUGUUUGAUAUGUGGGAAUGAAGAGUGAUAAUAGAUAUCUUAUUCAUUUUCACAUUUAUUUUUAUAUUUAGAUAACUCAAGUUACUUAUAAAUGAUAUUUCAAUUUAUCCUAUGAGGUAUUUUGAUUCUAUAAAACAAUUUGUUUUUAAAGAUAUUUUUCAAAAAUUUAAAAAUCUAAACCUUUUACUGAUAAGUUGUUUUUAAAAAUAUUUUAUUUUGAUUUUAUAAGAAACGAAUUGUAAAUUCAAGUUAUAUAAUAUAAACUAAAUUUAAUUUGUGCCUUAUUAAAAAUAAAAAAUAAUUUGUAUUUAUAAAUAAAUUAAAAAUAAAUAUUUUAAAUAAAAUAUUAAUAGUAAUAUUAUAAUAAAAUCAUAAAUUAUAUUUUUUUAAAUAUUAUAAAAAUAUGAUAACGUAAUUGAUUUAUUUUGUUAAUAAUAAUAAUAAUAAUAAUAAUAAUAAUAAUUCAAAAUUAAUAAUUGCUAAUACUAAUUUAUUUUAAAUGAAUUUAAAAUUAAAUAAAGUUUAAUUUUUUAAGUAUAAAUGAGUCAAAUUUUUCAUUACAUACAUACAUUUAAUACUCAAACAUGGUAUUCUUAAAUUUUUUAUUUAAUUUAUAAUUAAUAAAUCAGUUUUUUGAAUUUCAAAUUAUUAUUAAAAAUUAAAAUAUUUAUUAAAAAAUUCAAAAUAUUAAUUAUUUCCAUUAUUUUUUAUAGUCCUUAUAUAUAUUUUUUGAGUUUCAAAUUUUCUUUUAAAAAAUUAUUAAACUUAUUAAUAAAUUUAAUACAAAGUCUUCCUUAAUUUGAAUUUCUAGUAAAAAAAAAUGGUUUUCUAUUUUGCUUUGUUUAUAGAGCACGAUAAUCAAAUAGUGGUACAAUUUUUUUUAAAAACAAAUUUGUUUGUAAAUCAUAUGUGCAAAUAGUUUUUAUUAUUUAGCAAAAACGUUAUAGACCCUCUAUUUUGGCCCUAACACACACACACACACACACACACACACACACAUAUAUAUCUAUAUAUAUAUAUAUAUAUAUAUAUAUAUAUAUAUAUAUAUAUAUAUAUAUAUAUAUAUAUAUAUAUAUAUAUAUAUAUAUAUUUAUUAUUUUUUCUCUCACCCCACUAUUUUUUUAGCAUGUAUUUAGAUCCAUUUUUGCUCAGUUUUUCAUCAUCCCGGUCCAUGUUUCACAUUAUUGAUUUUUGAGCUAUAUUUUGGAGACCAUUUAAAGGGUUAUUUCAGGUCCUAGCAUGAUUACCGGACGCCCAUUAGGAUUAGUUUUUUUUUAGGGUUUGCUUUUGGAAUUUUAGAGCCUUUGAGUAGUUGGGUUGGGAUGAGGACACGUGUACUCAUUCUAGCCUUCCUUUGUCUCUUUUAAAGGCCUUUUUGGCCUUUAGUGAAGGGUUUUUUUUUUUUUUUUUUUCAGUCUUUUGGCUCAAGUUUUCUUGGAGGGGGUUUGCUAGCCACCUUUUAAGGGUAGUGGAGAUGCUCUCUAUAGCUAAGGAAAAGGGACAGAGAAUUGAUUUUUAUAGCGAGAAUGAGACAGAGAGCAAGGGGUUUAGGGGAGUUUUUGGGAAAAGUAGCAGACGAAGAAAAGUUGUGGGCGAGGCAUUGUGGUGGUGAGUGGGCUGCAGAGUAAGACGUUGCAGGGGGGGCACCAUCUAUUAUGAUGGGGAGUCUUAGAAAAGAGGGACAUGAGCUACAGGCCAUCUCGGGGAGGCAUUAUUCUUCUUUAUUCUUGGUGAGAGUAAGAGAGGAGACGUUAGAGAGAGUAAAAUAUCUUUCUUUUGGUGGUUUUUGGUUUUGAGUAGAGGAGAAGAAUAGCAUUAAGAGAAGGGAAGCAGAUGGGACCCUUCCAGGAAUGGAUAUUUUGAGUUCCCUAUUCAUCUUCAUUUAUCAUAAUUGUUAGGGUGAAUUCACAAUAUUUCAACACACACCAGGAUUUUUCUACCAUUUCUUUGUGUAAAAUUAAAUAGGUAAUAGCAACUAGCAGUAAUAAAUAAAUAAACUUAUGCAAUAGAAAAAUAAACCAGACACCAAAAUUUUUAUAUGGAAAACCCCUCAAUGCGAAGGAAAAAACCAUGGGACCUAGUCUAGUUCAAACUCCACUAUCAACAAUAUUGGGUUACACCUGUCUUCUCUAGAAUAAUCUCUAGAGGCUACUAAAUACAUCAAGAGCAUAUAUAGCCUUGGAUUAUAUAAUCUUUCUUGGUAAAAAAACAAGGAAAAAUGGAGAAAGAACACCCAAAAACACGUUGUUACUGUUCAUGGGCAAUAACACCAGUUCCCGAGCUCAAAAUCUGAUCUCCACCUUUUAGAUUGUAGCUACUCGAGUUUUGAACCUCUCCUCCAAAUUUCAACUCGAUCGAACCAUAGAUGAAGCGGGAUUGGCUCUUUGAUGAAAUCUGGGCAAUGAGAUGUGUUUUUUUUUUUCUUUCUCUCUUCUCUCUGUUUUUUCCUUUUUUUUUUUCUUUUUUUUUUUUAAUCUCUUCUAUUUUUGUUUAUUUAUUUAUUUUAUUGUAACUGACUUAGGCCCCAAGAAUAUGGGGCUCACUCCCUCACAUACGAAGGAGCCUAACAAAUCUCCAAUUGGAUUCUAAUUGAUUAAUUAACCUAAUAGGGUGUACUAAUUAAUCAAUUAGCUUAAUCCAAAGACCUUGUUCACUUACCCCUGUGCAACCUUAUGUUAUUACCAAAAUGCCCUUAUACAUAAAGUGAACCUAAAACCAAUCUGAUCCUCAUAACCUAUGCCAACAAGGUAUAUGAGCUCAAACCGGGGACCAUAACUCCAGUAUUUUAUGUAAAUAACAACAAGACACUGUAUACUCGGGUCCGUGACUUGUUAUCCAUUGUGUUCAGUCUCCCUAUGAACUAAUGUCCAUAGUUUAACAAGGUAAAAAUUGUCAAUAUUUUAAGACUACCUUUAUUAUCAUUGAGUUAUAGAUCCUUCUAUUAUGUGUUCAACUAAAAUGUCUUAGCUCUCAAAGAGCCUAUGUCAAGUUCCACUUAAGGAACUACUAUAACCAUAGUUUCCAUUAACACACCUCCUUAGAACCACCCAAGGGGACACAUUGUCUCCAUCCUAUGAGAUAUCAUGGUGCUUCUAUUAAGAAUACCUAUUGCUACCAACUUCCAUCAAUAGUGACCCAAUCCAUAAGGAAUAUAUGAUCAACUUACAAUCUCACCCAUAGGUCAAAACCAUUGCUAACUUUGGCUUAAGCUUCAAUAUUCUCUUAAGGUUGAGAGACAACACAAUGAAGUAGCUUGGUAAGGUCACGAAUACUUGAUAGCCUUAAGUCAUGACUCACCAUAAGUCCUGUCCAAUAUGUAACCAUACACACCAGUGUACUCACCAUGGAAAACUCAUCUCGAUAUUCAAGACCAGUUAUCCCUCCAAUUAGAAGGUGGUGGUGCACUAUAGCCUCUAAUAAGUUGUCUAAACCCACGAACCGACUUUGAACAAGUCAUCUAUUUGCAAGGAACCCAUGACUUGGAUUUUCCCUAUAACUCAUAAAUGCACUCAUGUCACACACACUACAAAAGAUGUAAACAAGAAUACUCAUAAAGUGUAAUGCAUGGAAUACAGAUAGAUAAAAGUGAAAUUGGAAUACCAUUAAAUAAAUAAGGAAUUCCAAAUCUAUUACAUCAUGUCAUGCUUUUAAGAGUUCCAUCCUAACACAACCUUCACAUUUCAUGGACAGUACAAAGCGAGAAUUUGUUUAGGUUGAUAACAAUUUUCAGAGUGCCUUGUCUUUGAGUUUAAAACCUUUUCCUAUAUUCAAUGAUUCUAAUGUGAGCUCUAGCUUCCUUGGUCUUUAGUAGUCAGGCAUGCAAUUUUCAUUGGAAAGUAAGUGGAAGAGGUGUCUUGCAAAGUCUAGUAAUGUGUACAUUCAAGCUGAGAAGGCAUGAGGUACUCCCUCGAUGACUAUUAGGUUGUAAAAAAACAGUACUUGGCUUGUCCAUGUGAUUUGCACUCUUGAGAGAUAUGUGAUUGGAUUAUCCUAGAGCCCAAUGGAAGAAAAUGGGAAAUCAUGUUGCCAUGAGCAACUGCAGAGGGAAUGAAAGUGAGAGAUUAUGCUUAGUGUGGUCCUGAUCCCACAUCUAUUGUAGUUAUGACAGAGGAUGGCAUUACAACUACUGGUCAUAUUAUUAUAGGAGCAUUGCCAAUCGUUGUACAUAUGACUAGGAAAUCCAACCUGUGACACAAUAAGUUCAAUUGUGGUUGGAAAUUUAUAUAGAAUAGUAGCUAUAUUUCUCAUCCAAGGAGUUGUUCCAUUUGCGAUGAUGAUAAAUGGGAAGUUAUAUGUGAGUGCCCUCUGCCUAUAGAAAAUGAUAAUAAGAAAGACUAUCCAUGUUCUUUUUUGUCCAUUCCAUCAAAUUUGACAUGUGAUUUCAAACACAAAAAGAUCUUCCAAUAAAUGGAAUGAAGAAUAGUUACCUGCUAUGCUCAUUUGGGAAAAAGACUCCAAAUUUGGAAUUAGAAAUGAAAAGUUGCAAUGGUUUCUUGGUGCUGUGAAAGCACAUCCUAAUGAGUUGAAGCUUGUGGGGGUCAUUACCAUUUGGGGUCUGCCAUUACUAAGGUGGGCAUUUUCAGGGAUGUUGUAGUUCUAUUUGGGUUAUGUCCACAUGGUUGAAUUUGAAAGCCAUAGAGUUGGGGCUUGAUCUUCUUGGAUCACAAGCUCCUGAAAGAGAUUCAAACCUUUUUUUUCCAAAAUCAAGAAAAUUUAUUAAGAAGCAGUUUGGAAUGUACUUUUUUCCUUCUUUGCCAAAUGGCAGUAAACUAUUUAAUAAAAAUUAAUUAAAUUUUUAUAUUAAAAACUUUAGUUAAAAUUAAUUAGAAAAUGUGGUAAGAUAAAAUGAAGUAAAACGAACUUUAAAGGAUCUUUUAGACAUUUUAUUUAAUUCUUUUAACUAUGACAUCAUUAAUCAACCAUGAAAAUCUUUCAAGAUUUGAUAACAUCAUUCAAGCGAUUGUUAUGCUCCAUUAUGGUCAGGUGGUGUUAAUGUAAUUUAAAAAAUUUAAGGGUGGUUAAGUGCAAUUGUCAAAUAGCUGAGGGGGUUAUGCUAGGGUACCGAAAAUCACUUUUCAGUACCAUACCCACUUUUUCUGGCUAAUAGGAUUAAGACAUAUGGCAUGCAAAAUAAAAAAAUUUAAAGAAAACCAAUUCUUCAGGUUACCCAAUCGGUUGCCAUGGGAAUUAAUCCCAUGCAACACACAUUUUUAUACUUAUUACAAUAACCAAUUAUAUUUCAAUGACCAAUUAUAAAAUCAUGUUUAAUGUAAUUAUUUCGUUUGGAGAAUUUCUUUUAUGAAACAGAAAAAUAAAGAAAAUUUUGGAAAAAGAUAAACAAUAUAAUUUGGUAAUAUAAUUUAUAAAUUAAGGAAAAGUAAAUUUAAUUUAUUUUAACAUUAAAUAAUUUGUUGAUAAAAUUUGAUGAAUAUUUGAAGUGUGAAAAACAAUAUAAUUGGUUUAUGAAGUGAAAAAAUGGGAAGAAAUAGAAAGAAAUUUUAUAAAAUAUAUAUUAACUUAAAAUUUAAUUAGUUGUGUACUAAUUAUUAAUUGAGAAUAUAUGACUAAAUUAUUUCUUAGCGUUUAAAUUGAAUUACACAACAAAAUUGGUUGAAAUAUUGAAAAUAUGAAAAAGGUAUAAUUACUAACAAUAUGGAAAUCCAAACCCCUCGCCGAUUUUUUUUGUAAAUUUCCAUUCUGAAUUUUUCAAGGAUCCAUUUAACACCCUCAAAAUGGACUGAACUUAUCUAAACAAAAUCUAAGUCAUAUGAAAUCCCAAUUAAAAAAAAUAAAUCAAAGAAAUGGAUAGUAGGGAGGGCACGAAGAAUGUGAGAUUCCCUCACUAAUUUGUUAGUAUUUACUGAUUUUGAUUUUUUCGAACAUCAUUUAAAUACCUACUAAGUGUAAUGAAAAAAAUUCAAAAAAUGUAUAAGCCAUACGAAGUCCCCAAACAUAUUUAACAUAUCAUAUAAUCGGAGAAUAGAGAGGGCUCCUCAUAUUCCUCAUACCCUUGCUAAUUUUUUAGUAUUUUUGGAUUUUUAUUCUUUCGAAAAUCAUUAGACUACUUCCUAAGUGUAAUGAACCUAUUUAAACAACAUCCAAGCCAUAUGAAGUCGCCAAAAUUUUUAAAAAGUUCAAAGAAGUGAAGAAAUGGGAGGGUACGAAGAAUGUAAGGACUCAUCACAUUCUUCGUACCCUUCCUAAUUUUUUAGCAUUUUUGGAUUUGGAUUUUUUCGAAAAUCAUUUGAAAACCUCCUAAGUGUAAUGAACCUAUUUAAAUUAUAUCUAAACCAUAUGAAGUACCCAAAAUUUUUAAAAAAUUCAAAGAAGUGUAGAAAUGGAAGAGUACGAAGAAUGUGAGGAUUCCUCACAUUCUUCGUGCCCUUCCUAAUUUUUCAGUAUUUAUGGAUUUGGAUUUUUUUGGAGAUCAUUUCACCAUCUUCUAAGUGUAAUGAACCUAUUUAAACAAUAUCCAAGCCAUAUGAAGUCCCUAAAAUUUUUAAAAAGUUCAAAGAAGUGAAUAACUGAGAGAGUACGAAGAAUGUGAGGAUUCCUCACAUUCUUCGUACCCUUCCUAAUUUUUUAGUAUUUUUUUAUUUGGAUUUUUUCGAAGAUUAUUUGACCACCUUCUAAGUGUAAUGAACCUAUGUAAAUGAUAUCCAAGCCAUAUAAAGUCCCUAAAAUUUUUAAAAAGUUCAAAGAAGGGAAAAAAUGGGUGGGUACGAAGAAUGUGAGGAAUCCUCACACUCUUCCCACCCUUCCUAAUUUUUUAGUAUUUUUGGACUUGGAUUUUUUUAGAGAUCAUUUGACCACCUCGUAAGUGUAAUGAACCUAUUUAAACAAUAUUCGAGACAUAUGAAGCCCAAAAAAUUUUAAAACGUUCAAAGAAGUGAAGAAAUGGGAGGAUACGAAGAAUGUGAGGAUUCCUCACAUUCUUCGUACCCUUCCUAAUUUUUUAGUAUUUUUGGAUUUAGAUUUUUUCGAAGAUCAUUUGACAACUUCAUAAGUGUAAUGAACCUAUUUAAACAAUAUCCAAGCCAUAUGAUGUCCCCAAAAUUUUAAAAAAGUUCAAAGAAGUGAAGAAAUGGGAGGGUACGAAGAAUGUGAGGAAUCCUCACAUUCUUCGUACACUUCCUAAGUUUUUAGUAUUUUGGGAUUUGAGUUUUUUUGGAGAUCAUUUGACCACCUCCUAAGUGUAAUGAACCUAUUUAAACAAUAUCCAAGCCAUAUGAAGUCCCUAAUUUUUUUAAAAGUUCAAAAAAGUGAAGAAAUGAGAGAGUACGAAGAAUGUGAGGAUUCCUCACAUUCUUUGUACCCUUCCUAAUUUUUAGUAUUUUGGGAUUUGGAUUUUUUCGGAGAUUAUUUGACCACCUCCUAAGUGUAAUGAACCUAUUUAAACAAUAUCCAAGCCAUAUGAAGUCCCCAAAAUUUUUAAAAAGUUCAAAGAAGUGAAGAAAUGGGUGGGUACGAAGAAUGUGAGGAUUCCUGACAUUCUUCGUACCCUUCCCAUUUUUUUAGUAUUUUUUUGGAUAUCAGUUGACCACCUCCUAAGUGUAAUGAACCUAGUUAGACAACAUCCAAGCCAUAUGAUGUCCCUAAUUUUUUUAAAAAAAGUUUAAAGAAGUUAAGAAAUGGGAGGGUACAAAGAAUGUGAGGAUUCCUCACAUUCUUCGUUUCCUAAUUUUUUUAGUAUUUUUUUAUUUGGAUUUUUUUGAAGAUCAUUUAACCACCUCCUAAGUUUAAUGAACCUAUUUAAACAAUAUCCAAGUCAUAUGAGGUCCUCAAAAUUUUUAUAAAGUUCAAAGAAGUGAAGAAAUGGGUGGGUAUGAAGAAUGUGAGGAAUCCUCACAUUCUUCGUACCCUUCCUAACUUUUUGAAAUUUUUGGAUUUGGUUUUUUUUCAGAGAUCAUUUGACCACCUUCUAUGUGUAAUGAACCUAUUUAAAAAAUAUCCAAGCCAUAUGAAGUCCCUAAAGUUUUUAAAAAGUUCAAAGAAGUGAAGAAAUUGGAGGGUACGAAGAAUGUGAGGAUUCUUCACAUUCUUCGUACUUUUCCUAAUUUUUUAGUAUUUUUGGAUUUGGAUUUGUGGAUCCUACAUAUAAUCUUUACUUGGGACAUUUUAUAUUUCUCGUAGUGUAUAAUUGGAUUUUCAAAAUAGGGUAGCUAGGAAAAAUAAUAAAAGAAAAAUAAAACAGUUAAAAUCAUUAGAAAUAAUUUGGGCCCAUUGAAAAGAAAUGUGACUUAUGAAAAGCUUGAUAUGAAUGUUUAAUAUCGUCUACAACUUAUCCAAUGGAUAAAUUUGCAAAGAAGGUCCAACCACUUGCCCAUAUAGUCGUCUUCAUCAUCAUGGGCAUGAACAACAUUAUCAUCAAUAUUCUUUGUUAUUGACCUGAUUGGAGUAUGGUCGCAACCUGUACUUAAUGUUUUGUCACUACCUCUCUAUGCAUUAACAUUAGCAUCUUCAAGUACUGAUUUGUUGUCACAGCUUCUCUGCACAUUCAUGUACUGUGUCAUUGUUGCAUGAUUGUGCUUGACUCCUACAUAUUCAAGUAAUAUAUUUUAUUACGACUAUCUAUAUGAACAAAGUAAAUUAUUUAAAGUUUUUUUAGUUAAUUUAUCAUGUUAUUUUCAAGAAUAAAUGGAAAUUACUUUUAGCAUCUCAAUCACAAGUUUGGUCAUUAGGAAAAAAUUUAACUCUUCGAUAAAAUGCCAUGGUCUAAUUCAAUGCAGAAGACAAAUUUCCCCAUCUACAAAUGAGGUUUAUUACAUAAACAAUGGCCUACCUCAAGGCUCUAACAAAAGAGUAAAAUGUCUAAUCAAACCACGAUGUCAAAAUAGGGAUUGUCGAAUCGAAUAAUAUACAUUUUCAAUUAUAAGAUUCAUAUCAUUUACCCCAAAAAAAAAUUAUUCCCUAAACAUAUAUAACCUGAUAGAGUUCGCCACCAGGUCAGUCUAGUGUCAUUGCAUUCACCAUCAUACUUGAUCUUUUUGCUAGAGGAUUAUCCCUACCUUGUGUACUACUAUAUUAGAACUUCCAUGUUUGGAGGACAACAAUUCAACCUUAAGGCCUUCAAUUCCAGCUUUAUUAUCUAUGCACCUACUCAUAAUAGAUAUAACUGCUACCACCCAACUAAAUGUUGGUUUAUAUGGAUGUUGGAUUAGCAAAAUGAUGUCUCUUUAAAGUAAGAGCAAUUAGAUGUAGCAAAAGACCAAAUUGAGUAUCAAUACAACAAUCUAUGUUGGAAGCCAAUCACAUUACAACUUCUAAAAGUAAAGAUUAAUCAGUCAACUGGUUACAUGUAACCGGUUGACUAAUUAUCUCUAUCGGUAGAUACUACCAAAGUGUUGAUGCAACACCCAAAUGGGCAAUGGCUACCGGUAGCAAAAAAAAUGGAACCGGUUUAUUUGAUGAUCGACCGAAAUUGGACUUUCCUUUUGUUUUCAUUUAGGUAUGUGAUCUGGCGAUCAUACAGUUAUGCAUAAAUAUUAAAUACUAAAAAGCAAGAACUUGAACAAUAUCACCUUUCAUCAGGAUAGAAGGUUAAUUACCUUAUGAAAACUUAUCAAAAGAGAAUAGUUUAGCAUAACAAUUCAAAAUUUAUGACAACAAUCAUCUCUUCCUACCAAGAUCACCUAGCUAUUGUACAUGGCCAUUAUUUUAGACCUCCUUGUCCUACAUGCAUCAUCCAUUGCUGUUGUGACUAUACUUCCACCAACAUUUAGUUCUUGUACCAUUAAUAUAACACAUUUACACAUUCUUCUUUAUUGUGCAAGAAAAUUACAUGAAAGCCACAACCUUAGUCCAUAGUCACUAGUAGACCAAAAAUUUUAUAUUUAAAAUAAGCUUGUUUUCAGAUUGUAGCCAUCAUUCAGGAUAUGCAAGCAUAAAUAAAAUGGAGUAAAGAACUACUUUCACCACUUCAAUCACAAGUUUCGCCAUUAGUAAAAAAAUUUUAACUUUUCUAGAAAAUGGGAUGAUCCAAUUCAAUCCUAUUGCCACUUUACCCUAUUGAAACCUGAAAAAAAAUGCACAUCAAGGAAGUUAACGCUUCUAGAAAAGAAGAAUAUCAUAUUACUAUACUUUGUGCAUUUUGAGGUAGCUGGAUCAAAAAACUUGUAUAGGUCAAAAGAAACAAGUGUAUCAUUAAAAAAGAUUGUCAUUCUAAUUCCAAGUUGAUAAUCCUAUUGAGUACAACUGGAAGUUUAGUAUCCUUUAAAACCUACUAGACCAUUUAUUGGGUCUUACAAUUAGCCUACAUAACAGGCCAUACUAGAGUUCCAAUAUUUAAAUGGUCUUCUCUACAACCUAGCUCAUAACUUUUAUUUACUAGGUUUGAAAAGUUUCUUGAUUGUGGACUACCAAAGAAAGAAAAAUCCCUCAAUUGUGAGCAUCACAGGAUCCUCCAAUUGAAUUUGCAGAUAGGGAAAGAUUUAUGGCUAAACCCAGAUGUUGCUUGACGAAGUAGGAGGAUGUCUUAACAACAAUGGUAAGAGCAUGGUGGAGUAUGAUUGAUGCCUAGACUAGGUUUCUUUGGGAAGACCCUUCUUAGUAGCCUCAACUGCUGCUUUCUUUGCUUUGAUAUCAGCAACAAUGGCAUCGAUCUCAGCUUCUGCAAACUUAAAGAGUAGCAUUCUUCUGUAGAAGCCAGAUUCCAUUAGAGUGUCAUUGCAUUCUAUUUCAUUUCUCAACAAAUGACCAUAAAGAACUUCUCAACUAGUCAACUAAUCUAGCAAAUGCACAUCAAGUUCAAUAUAGGGUAACAAUUACAUCUUAUUAUACUUUGCAGCUGGCAACACUAUUCAUCAUGUAACCAGUUUCUUGUUUGCUAGGCAGCAUAGCAUUUAGGAGGGAAUGAGGGUUCCAAUCUUGAGUAGGGAAUUUGGACUUUGUAAUUAUAUCAUACUAAAUAGAUGAUUCCUAAAAAUCAAAACUCAAACUUCUCUAUAACUGAUGCUUUAAGUAAAGCAGUGAGAAACAAUGUCAUUGUUAGUAUGGUAAGUAAAUAUUGUUAUGAAAUGCAGUAAGAAAUUUCAACUUAGAGUAAAUUGAUAAAUAAAAUGUAGUAAUUUUUUGUUGUAUUACUAUUACCUAAUACAAGAAUCAAAUUCUUUGGUAGUUAUUAUGAAAAGUCAAAUUAGAAAGCCAAAGAAGCACUAGGCAGGUAAUGGAAGUUGCGAUUAUAAUAAGUGAAUCAUCAGAACUACCCAGUCCUUGCUUCAGUGCAUCUGGUCCAAAAACAGAGGCUAGUAUCAUGCUAUUCUUAUAUGUAGCUUUCAUUUUUCAUUUUUGAGUUAUAGACUUCUUUAAGGGAAGAGCUCUAAGUUAAAAUUUUAGCAUAGGACCUUAAUUGCCUGUUAUUAGGGCUUUAACUAGAGUGGAUCAUGUAGGAUGCAAUUGAGAUUGUAGGAAAAUUUAUAAAAGAGAUUAUAGGAAUAUUUUGAUUUUUUUCUUUUUUUUUCUUCAUAUUGUUAUAAGCUUAUAAAUAUCCUUGUAACCUCAUUCAAAACGUCAUGAACAUGAGAUUAAUUCUCUUGCCUUCAAUAUGGUAUCAAAGAAUGGUUGCCCUACAGCUGCCAUCUUUCCAUCCUAAUUAUGCCAGCAUCUUAUUCCCAUCUAUCAGUCCUUAACCCUCAACCCUCAUAUUUAAGUCAUUAGUCCUCCUUCAUACCUAGCUAUUCACUAUCAUCUUAAAGUCUACUUAUGCUGAUGUUAUUUUUCACGGCUUUUUUUUUUCAUCUCUUGGAUGUCUAUUCAUCUUCUUGAUCUCUUGUUAGGAUCUUGAAACUUAUUUCUUUCUCAGACAUCAUGUGUGACAACAUUCCAACUAAAGACAUACUCUUCUAUGGCUUUAUGACUCAUUCAAAUAAAAUGGAUCUAAUUAUCUUCCAUGGUUUUCUUCAAGGCAUGUGGUAGGAUUUCUUGUAUUUGGUAACAUAAAUCUACAUAUGCAAAGUUGAUAGAAACUUGGGAAGUAAGGGAUGCACUAGUCAUGAUUUGUGUUUGGAACAACAUAGAACUAGAGGUAUUGUGUCUCUUAUCUCAUUUUUAGUAAGGAUAUUUGUAAUUGGCAGAGAUGUGUUAUUUUUCCACAAAUAUCUUGCUUACCCAAAAAGGCAUCAGUCUAACAAUAUUACAUUAUUACUUGGAAUUAAAGGACAUGUAGGAAGAGUUGAAUGUCUAUCCCCCUUUGACUUUAGAUCUAGAGAUUCAAAAGCACCACUAAGAAUAAUUUUGCUUGGCCAAAUUCAUCUUUGGUAUUUGGCCAGAGGUUGAACUCACAUAUUACAACAAGUCAUGGAUGAAGGUAAUCAGAUGACAACUUACAAAAGUAAAGCUUAACCGGUUGACCGGUAAUAUGCUACCAGUUUACUAAUUAUCUCUACCGGUAGACACUACCAAUGUGUUGAAGUAGCACACAAAUGGGCAGUGGCUACCGAUAGCAAAAAAAAAAAAAAAAAUUGCAACCGGUUAAUUUGAUGGUCGACCGGAAUUGGACUUUCAUUUUGCUUCCAUUAAGCUGAUGAAAAAAAGACCAAAUUGAGUAGCAAUAAGCAUGUAUCUUCAUUUAUUUUAAUAAGAAGAUAAGCAUAAUACAUUUAAAAAGGUGUUUAACAUAGAUAGGGCCCACAUCUCAUGUACACACAAUAUAUACAAGCAAUGACUAGAAAACACACUACCUCACAACUAUGCUUACCAAUCCCCAUACCAUCCACAAAAUCCAAGAAGGACAACAAAUGAAGCCCCAUGCCCCACAUAAUCACACAUAACUUCAAUCCCCAUACCAGACACUUGAGCUUAUAUGAGGAAAAUUUCUGAUGGGAAAGGUGUGCAAUGAUAUGCUCUUUCAAAUGACUUGCAUUGGAAAUUAAGGAAUACAUAGUUCACAAACAACUCCCAAGUGUCAAAAUUCAAGCAAGCAUGAAGCUUGGGAAGAAAUAAUAAUGCGUUGAUAAUUCAAAUUACUGCAAAACUAACAACUAGUCAUCAAAAAGCAACACAUGCCUUAGGACGCCGUAUUCUGUCUUUGAAUACUUGCCGACACACUUCAAUGAUAAAUUUGCCUUUGUAGAAAAUUCAGCCUAAAGUGGCACCUUAUCUUUGUGUUUCAGACAAACAAGAAAGAAUUUAGAACUUGAAAUUUUCUUAGUAAAUCCCAGACCAUAAUAACCUUGACACUCCCACUAAUGGAAUCAUCAGGUACACAAACUAAAUGUGCAUCUAAUAUUCCAUUAUAUUAAUCCUUGUCACUACAAUGAGUUUAAAGUGUACGCUAAGCUUUUUAAAUAAUGGUACUGCCUGCUUGGAAUUAGACAUAUAGUAACAAUAGUUCAUUUGUAAGUAAUAAGCAUAUUGAUGGUGAAAACACACUUUUUCUACCAUUACCUUCCAAAGAUGAAAAUAAUAAGAAUACAAAAGCAGAAGUGGAUGGCAAUUUAGCAGGAGGCCCCAUUUGGUUAUUCCUCUCCUCAUGAGUGGUAACUCCACUAUGAGAUUUAUUUUAGUACAACCCUAUGGCAAUACGUAUUACGUAAUAGUUUUUCUUAACCAUACACAAUUUGGUAUGACUAAUUUUUUUUCCCCAUAGGUUGGCAUGGGCUCAUUUUCACUAAACACUAUGAUUUGAAGAUCACAUUUUUUCACACUGUUAAUUAGGUUCUGCUCAAAUAACACAGUUUUUGAAAUAUCAUUUGAAGCUGAAUUCUCCUAGCAUGUUCAUAAUCAGUUUACAUGUUCAUUUGAAUGAACUCAAUAUAUGAAAUGUAGGUGAUGCGAUCGGUGAUGGAGAAUACAAUCAAGCAGGAGUUUGAAGUGAAAGAUGAGGAUGUCGUCAAUGACGAUGCAUAUACUGGUGGCAACGAUUUGAAAGAGAAGGUGUUGAAGGGUAUUUCAGUUGAAGAAGUAUACAAAUUGCAAUUCGAUUGCGUAGAUGAGAUUGAAACAUUUUACAACAUGUUAGCCAAAGUAACCGGAUUUAGUAUUCGAAAAGAUGAUUUGAAGUGAGAUAAGAAUGAAGAUAUAAUAUCUCGAAAGUGGGUGUGUUCUAAAGAAAGACAUUGAGCGACAAAGUUUAUUGAAAAUGACAAGCGACAGUGUGAGCCACGAUCGUUGACUAGAGUUGGAGGUGAAGCUGCCUUUCGUUUAGGCUUGAAUAGAAAAGAUGGAAAGUGGAUUGUAAAGGAAUUUAUAAGAGAACAUAAUCAUACUUUGGUUGAUGCUAUCAGCACACAAUUCCUUCGGUCUUAUCAGAUAGUAAGUAAUCCAAAUAAGGCAUAAGUUGAUGUUUUGCAUAAAGUAGGUGUUAAAACCAAACAAAUUAUGGACUAUAUGGUCAAACAAUCAGGAGGACAUCAACAUGUUGGUUUCACAAAAAAAAAUAUAUACAAUUACAUUGAUGCAAUGCAUAGAAUUGAAAUUAAAGACGGUGAUGCGGAAGCUGCAUUGGCUUACUUGUGUGGAAAGAUAGAAAUGGAUUCUUCAUUUUUUUACAAAUUCAACUUCGAUGAAGAAAGUUGACUAGCAAACUUGUUUUGGGCUGAUUCAACUGCUCGAAUGGAUUAUCCAUGUUUUGGAGAUGUCCUAGCAUUUGAUACAACCUAUAGGACAAAUGCCUAUAAAAAGCCUCUAGUAGUGUUGGUUGGUGUUAAUUAUCACCACCAAACUAUGGUAUUUGGUUGUGCGUUAUUGAUGGAUGAAAGUAUUGGUACAUAUGAAUGGGUGUUGGAGACAUUUCUUAUUGCAAUGAUGAAUAAGAAACCCAUAUCCGUAGUAACUGAUGGGGAUAAAGCUAUGCGUAAGGCAAUUAAAAGAGUCCUACUCGAUGCGUGUCAUCGUAUGUGUUCAUGGAAUUUGCAACGAAAUGCAUUCUCAAAUGUGCAUAUUAAGGACUUCACAAGCAUCUUUGCAAGGUGCAUGUUCAUGCAUGGGAAUUCGAAAGAAUUCAAAAAGGUUUGACAUGAAAUAGUUUAAAAGUUGGGUCUUAAUGAGAAUCGUUGGGUAACCAAGAUUUAUGGGAAACAUAAAAGAUGGGCUGAGGCGUAUUUAUGUGGAAAUUUCUUUGGAGGGAUGAGAAACGCAUAAAGGUGUGAGAGUAUGAAUGCAUAUCUAAAUAGAUUCUUAAAAAUCAGUUUGUGACUGUAUGAGUUUGUACAACAAUUUGAUAGGGCGAUAAUGAGAAUACGACAAAGCGAGGCAAAGGCAGAGUUCGAGUCGAACAAUUCUUCACCUGUGCUUUCAACCAAACUAUCCAUACUAGAAAAUCAUGUUGCGACGGUAUACACGAAAUAAUCAUUUCUUAAAUUUCGUGAGAAGAUGAAGAAUGCAGAGUUAUUCUUUGUGGUAGGCCUUGUAAGUGAUGAUUCAAUGCGGACAUAUGCAUUAUCUAAGUUUAGACACCCGAACUUAAAAUAGGAAGUCCAAUUUUGCCUGAAUAUUGUAACAUUAAAAUGCUCAUGCAUAAUGUUUGAGUCAAUUGGCAUCCCUUGUUGCCACAUGGUUGUUGUUAUGAAGGUGGAGCAUUUGGAAGAGAUUCCUCUUUCAUUUAUUUUGAAGAGGUGGACAAAGUUAGCAAAGGUGCAUACAAGAUCAGCACCGGUGAAUGAGACGGAUAAUGACAUGGAUCAGUUUGUACCAUAUGGGUCAUUGAAUUCGAUGUGCAACAAGCUCUCCUACUAUGCGUCAAAUACGUCAUCUUCUUUUCUAGAAGCGAAAAGUGAAAUAGAAAAUUUGACGGUGAGAAUGGAGGAACUUUCUAACAGUAAUUUGAAAGGGAAGAAAGUAGCAACAGAUGGAGCCACAAGUCCUAACCAAGUUCGUGAUCCAAAUAUUGUGAAGACUAAAGGAAAUCCAGGCAAAGUUGCAAUUAAUUUUCAAAAGGGAAGAUAGUGUAGUCGUUGUAAAAGAGUGGGUCACACAAUUCGAAAGUGUCCAGAAGCUAGAAUCCCUCAUACCGGUAAUAAACGUGAUAUGGUAUAUUAGAUUGAAUAAGAAAUUGUCGCUAAGAUGAAGUUUUUUACCUGUACUUACAUAAAUAACUAAUAUAAUUGUUUUCAUUGCAUUAUGAGUAUGUAGCAGGAAAGUAAUUUGUCUUCCCAAUGUGACAUUCGUAUGGAAAUGAUGCCUUCAACAAAUUAAUCAGUUGACAUGUUUGCAACCUUACCUGUAUGUACAAUAGGCUUGUUAUAUAACAACACAAACUUUGAUAACAUCUAAUUGAACAAUAAUUGACAACACUUAAUCAUUGCAAAAUGCAGGGAAUGCUAGGGGAGCAUUUGUCAAAUGACCGAUCUGACAUGUAUUUAGAUUUUGGUGUACUUAGCAAUGUAAGCUCGAGAAUAAAAAACACUUUUGACAUGAAUUUUCCCUAUGCAUUAUUUAAUGAUUUGGUUGAAGUAAUUGGAAUGGAAUUGGAUGGCUCAAUUUUAAUAAUGGAAUGUGCAUGUGCAAAUAGCAGGAUUUCAGCAAUAUGAACAAACUAUGACAAUACCAUGUCAAGGUGGGGAUCUAAGCAAAUAUCCAAAAGAAAAGGAUAUGCAACCUUUUUUUAUUCCUUAACGGAGUAAACAAUGGCAGGUAUUAAAUCAGUAUUUAUAUUAGUUUACGUUAUCGCUUUGGCUAAUAUAUACUUUUAAAUUAACUAUUUAAUGAAAAGUCUGAAUUCCGAUCAAGAGUCAAGUUGAUUGAUAGAAUGCAAUAUCCUUGAUAUUUACAAUUUAAUUGAUAACAAGUGAUAAAUGAUUGGUAAGCUGAUUCAUUUAUAUCACAUCCAAAAAAUAGUUACGCAUGCGGAUAUAAUUAAAUUCAAAUGUGGUUAAAGUUUGACAAUUAGGUGGUUAUGAGUUAACUAUAGGAAAGUAAUCGAUAUGAUGUAAUUCAUAUGAAAUGGUAAAUGUUGUGAUAUAACUCAAAAUGGGUAAAUCAUAGUUUGGUAGUUUGGAAUUGCAUUUUCCAUCACUUCCAAACCUUUUAAUUAAACUUAAUGGCUUAGUCACCAAUGUUUACUGAGUGAAAAGUUUUCAGUACCACCUAUAGCCAUUUAUCGAACGGUAGUUAUACUUAGAAAUUGCAUGAUAGCAUUCAAUAAGUCAACCGGUUAAUAUUUGGCUUCAACCAGUUGAGAAAUCUUCUCUGCUGGUAGACUCCAUUCCUCAACCGGUUCACAUUGGUGAAAAAAUUCCUCAACCGAUUGAGAAAUUUCUUCUGCCACUCACUUCAACUCCUCAACCAAUACAUAUUGCAUCAAACUUUUGUUGAACCGGUUGUUAAAAUUCCUCAACCGGUUCGGACAAAUCCUCAGCUGGUUGACAUUGCAUCCAUAUAGUCAUUAUCCGAUUGAGGAUUGUUCUCAAUCGGUUGCCAUAAUUCUAUGGCCGAUAGACAUUGAACUAAGCUGAACCGGUCAACCGGUUCUUACUGGCUUUACGUCAUUUCUUAACCGGCCUCCAUUGCCUUUACAAGUCGUAGCUAUAAUUCAUACCUACUAAAAAUAUUAGUCGCCUAACCUAUACUCCUACCGGUACUAACUAUAUAAUUUUGAGCAUAGAUAAAUGAAUAUAUAUAUAUAUAAGGAAAAAUCUAAAUACCUAAAAGAUCGUAGAAAAUCAAACAUGUCGAAAAUGAAUGAUGCCUAUAUAUUACAAUUUCAUUUUGCCUACCAUAUUGAAAGAAGAAUAUAACAUAUUCAAAUUAAACAAACUUGGUCAUGAACAAUGUAUGGUCAUGCAAGGUCACAACUUCCCAAUAAACAUGAAGAUAUGUGGAGAUGGAAAUAAUAAAUAUUAGAAAAACAACAAAUAUCAUAAUAAUAACUUUUUCAUUGCUCGUGUAGACUUCUUUGUACAAACAAUAACCACAAUGGUUUUUUUUUUUUUUUUUUUUGUUUCUCUCGUGUAAAACUAAAUCACUUGCUAUUUCCCAACGUAUUUUAAUAGAAUUACAUAAGUCAGAGCCCGUCAUCGAAUCACCAUUUUUGAAUAUCUGUAUAUGUUUAAUGAAGGAGCCUAAUCAAUGGAGAAUUGAAAGACAUCUUUCCCUAUGUCAUACAGUUUGAAGAACAUUUGACAAAAUUCAACCUAAUUUAUUUUGAAAGUGUUAAUAAAUAUAGAAGAGAAAAACAAAACAAAGUAAAAGGAAAACAAAAAGCUAAAAGCAUACCACUAUUUUGACACUCUUAAACCGGAACUCGUCCCGACUCUUUUUUAUUGUAAUGAAUCCAAAAUUUGGAUAUGAGAGUUUUUAAAGUCAAUGACGCACAAAUACCAAUGAUCGAGGCAAUUGUCAUGCAUUGGAAUAAAUAGUUGUAAAGUUAGAAAAACAAUAUAUAUGAGUUGGGCCACAAAAUAUCUACUAUAUUAUAGGUGAAAACAAUAUCUACUCUAAAUUUGAUAUAUGCAAUUAAACAUUACUAACCUUCUCGCAAUCAUCCAAUUCGCUAAUGUACUUACUCAUGAUGAAUGUUUUUCUAUCAAAAAAAAGAUGAAGACUCCUGCACAAAAUCAUUUGCUAAUAAUAAAACAUAAUACGAAUAUUAGUAGAUUGUACUUAAUAUGUAAGUAAACAACAAGAGAAAUAUGAGCUUACUGAAAAAUGUCGUGGGAAUAUACUUCGUAUGCUUAUGAAUUGCCUCUUAAAAUAAUUUAGCUUUGAGGCUUCUAGAUUUAUUACCUGUUGUUAAACAAUAACUUCAAUAAAUUUAUUUAAUUAAUAUAACAUGCAUUUGAUAUAAAUGAAGUAGGUACUUACAACAUCCAUCAAAUUUUGUUUAGGAUGUAAGCACUCAAAAUGUCCACGAACUCCAUGAACUCCAUGUUCAUGAUCAAAGUUAACAAGAAGCCCACUAAAAUAAUAAUAUAUUAAAGCAUUCUUGACUAAAUUGGAACCAUAUGAAGACUAAAAUUGUAACAACACAUCUAUGAAUGUUCUAGACACUACAAACCUUUUUGACAAUGCUUUAUUGAAAACAUAAUCAACAACAACAGAUUGAAGUACAUUGAAUGAUUGAGCAUCCACCACGUCUUCACGAAUGGACAUGGGGAUUAACUAAAUAAAAAAAACAAGACAUAAUUAUUAGCUAUAUAUGUUGAGUAUCAAAAAUAAGAAUAUGAUAUUAAACUAUGUGUAUUAUACCUUUAAUGCUUGACAUUUUCCAUUUUCCUUAAAUUAUGUACAAACAGGGAGACCUUGAAUUUACUUGGUUUCCUCUUCCUUGAUGUACGUGUUUUCAUGACUUGAUCGGGAUAACCACAUAGUGCUUGUAAUGGUUCCUAAUAUGGAAAAUGUCAUUAAUAUACAUCUAUUUACUAUGUAAUGGUUUAAGUAGUUGUAAAUAAAAUAUUUUUUUUCUUUUAUAUGAUACAUACCUUUCCAUAAUCUCUUCUACUGCUUUUGAUUGGAAUUGAUAAAAUAUCUACAUUUUUGUUCGGAAUGAUAUUUACUUCAAUUGAUGUAGCACAUGCAUCUUCAUUAUUUCCAUUCAAGUCCUUAGUGCAUAACUUCUCAAUUGACAAAGUGUGAACAUAAUGUUCAUUUCCUUUCUUAUUGUUCUUAUCUUCCAAACUUCUCUCGCAUGAGAGAAUAUCAUUCUUUGUUCCCUCCUUGUGCAUUCUCAAAGGUUUUUCGCUUAACCUAAGGAAGAGACCUUUCAAUGUAGUAUAUUUUUCCUCAAAUUCAGUCAAAACUUUUUCAUAACUACCAUUACUUGCACCAUGACACAAAUCAAUUAGAUGUGUCUUUAAUUGUUGAAAGGUUUUAUCCAUCUCCAUUAAGCUCCCACCAUCAACCUAGUGAUAUUUAGGAACUUGAUUAAUAAUAUCACAAUACAAGGGUUCACUAUUAAUAUUGAUACUCACGAUGAAUAUUGUAAAACUUGUUUAAUAACAUCUUUUUUUGCAUUGAUUUCAAAUUUCUCAUCAUUCUCAUUCUCCCCCUCCAUUGUCAUCGCACUUCUAUCAACACAAUCCCUUAUCUCAUUUUGUAUCACCCAUAUUUUGACCUACAAUAUAUUCAUCAAAAUAUAACACAUCAGAUUAAAAAUCAUUAAAAACUUAAACCAAUAUUAAACAACUUUCAAAACUAUAACUUACAUUGUCAUCUGCAUAUCCACCUAGUUUUUUCAAUCUUCGUUUCAUGUCCAGUGCUUCAUCAUCUCCCCAAGCAGUAAUCCAAGGACAAAGUCGAGUAUAUAAUGGUAGAAAUUUCUCUUCGAACGAUAUAUGCUCGUGGUAGAAUAAUUGCGCUUAUUUGACAUAGAUAUAUAGUUAGUUAACAAAUUUUAUUAUAACAAAUUCGAAAUUCACUAUGAUGUAAAUUAAUUACAAGGACAUUACCAUUAAAAAUAAUAAGCAACUGCAAACCCGACUUUGUUGUUUCCUCUUAAACUCUUCAAUCCCGUGUACAAGAUAAGACAACACAAAUUCAGCCCAAUUCAUCUUCUUUAUUAAAUUGAUGUCUUCCACAAGAUGUAAGAAAGAACGUUUCACAAAUAGCUUCAUUAUUGGGCACAAUAAUGCACCCAACACAAAUAAUACAAAACGAACUUUGAAAUCGUUUCCACCUUCUUUAUCCUCCCUAAUUUGAUUUUCUAACAUCACUAAUGGCAAUCGCUCCUUUUAAUCAUAAUAUUUUUUUUAUAUAUAAAUCAUUCUUAUGGCUAACAUCUUUGUUCAUGCCAAUCUUCAACCCUCUUGCCCUCAAUCCCAUAAUAAAUUCAACAUCAAUGGAGGAUAAUUUGAUACAAGUAUUAUUCAACUCUAACAUGUAAGUGUUCGGGUUGAAACUAUUUAUCAACCAAACACAUAACCCAUGAUCAAUUUUCUUACAUCGAAGUUGCAAGAGGCUACCAAAUCCUAUUUCUUCUAUGGCUGCUCUUUGCUUUGGUUCUAAUUCUUCAAUAAUUUUAAUCACUCGCUUGGGUGAGCAUCGAGUCUAAAGAUAUAACUGAAAAGAUACACAAACAUCAAACAUGUUUACAUUAAUAUAAUUUCCAACAAAUACAUAAAUAAUGAAAUUAAAUAUUCAUUACAAAAAAUUACAUUUGGAACCACACCCUUUUAAAGUGAAUAUUGUUUUGAACUUUCUUUGGACUUUGCCAUGAAAUCUUCUUUUUCUACUUUUGAAAGUGCAUUCCACUUCUUGCCCAAUUUUUUCCUCAACUACAUUAAUUGGUCACAUACUUUAAAUUCUAAUUUUAAAAUGUAAUUAUAUUAGACACAACAAUAUUACUCCUUACAUCAUCAUUUAUCUUCACUUCUUUAUCAGGCUCUUUGAUCAUGGUCAAUUGAUUGUUACUACAAAACAAUUUCAAACAAAUUUAACUAUAACAACCACAAAAAAAAUACAUUAAAAAACAUAUUCUUUUACAUAUUUCUAUUUUCCCUUACUAGUAAUGUAUCCAAGCUCUAAUAGGCCUAUUUGGAUUUCUAACAACUUCAACACCAUCGCAUUCGCUCCUAAAAAUUAAAUCAAAUCAUUUAAGUCAAUUUUUAUAAUAUGAUUUUAGAUAUAAUAAAUCAAACAUACUUUCACCACCAGUACAAAAUCCUCCCUAAAUCUCUAUACAUUUUAAAUGGUCACAAAAUUAGCAUAUAAAUUAUUUUCAAUCUCCAAUUAUGGAUCUAACCACACUAUUUUUCAUUAAUGUGAUCAAUCCAUAAAUCUAACAAAAAACAUGAAAUAUAAUGGAUACAAUAUUAUAAAACACAUUAUCAAUACUCACAUUUUUUUCCUUAAUAUAGAACUCGACAAAUAAUUACAAUACAACCGCCUUUUGAUUAACAAAAAAUUGUGUCCUUUUUAGCUUUCUUUCUCUUAGUACUACACAUCUUCUUCUUCUUCUUCUUCUUCCAGCUAUGUCUUCAAUUCGGGUCUUCAAACCACAAAAUUUAGAACCCGAAAACACCCCUUACACCUCUUAAACAAAAUAUAAAAUAUGAAGAAAAUACAAGGGUUAUGGAGAUGAGAGGGAUGAGCGGGAAUAUCGCACUCUUUACUUCAAAACUCGAAAAAACCCCAAAUAUGAAAAUUAAAUAGGGACAUAAACAGAAGGAGGAUACGAAGAAAACUUGGAAAGAUGCCACCCAAAACGACUACAAUAUCUCACCCGAAAACACCCAACAACAUGAAAACAUCCAACAAUACACGAAGACAACUGAAAGCACCCAAAAAUAAUAGCCGAUGGAGAUGAGUGGAAAACACAAGUACCCGGAGAAGACUCGAGUAUGGAGAAGAGAGGAAAAUAUGGGGAAACUCGGCAAAAGAGGGAGAAAACAGCAACCCGGCCCGACUGUGGAGGAUGAGUGGAGAAGAUACCAAAUUAUGGGGGGAAAAUGGGAAAAAGAGGAGAGAACAAGAGGGAGAAUAGCUGCCCGGUUCAGUAAUGGAGGAUGACUGGAGAAGAGAGCAAAUUAAGCGGGGAAAAAAAGGGAAAUGGGUGAGAGAAUAGAAUGGGGAAAAACAGCUACAUGGCCAGCUAUGGAGGAUGAUGAGUGGAGAUGAGAGCACGGGGACACAAACGGGGGAAAACAGGAAAUGGAUAAGAGAAUAGGAUAGGGAACAAUAGCUACACUAGCCGACUAUGAAGGAUGAUGAGUGGAGAUGAGAGCACGGGGACACAACUGACUAUGGAGGAGAAGAUGGCUGGCUAUAGAGGAGAAGACGGUCAGUUAUAGAGAAGAAAAGAGGGGAAAUAUGGGAAAAAUGGUUGACAGAGGGAAAGAACAGGAGGGAAGAGAGGGGAAAAACAGGAAAAGAGGCUCAGAGAAGGAGAGGACAUAAGGGGGAGGUACUCGAUUAUUAUUAUUUUUUUUCAUUUUUUCUUUUUCUUUUGGAUGGCUAAGAUUUAAUCUCUUUCAUCCAACGCCUAAAAAAAAUGAGGCAUGCUACCUUCCCCAACACCAUAGAAUUUUCCUUGAUAAAAAGAGUCCCAUAUUUUAAAUCUAACCCAUCAUUUUUUUUCCUAAGAAAUUACUAAUUUUUAUAAAUAAAAAAAAUGUACUUGCUUUUUAAAAAAAAAAAACUUCCAUCAAAAUAAUAUAAAUAUCAGAGGAUAUUUAUAUCAAAAAUAAUUUUUUUAAUUAAAAACUUAUAUUUUCUAUUUUUAAAAUUUUAUAUCGAUUAAUUAAAACAAGUUAAAUAAAUUUAAAAUAAUAUAUAAAAAUAUUUUAUUAACUUUAAAUUUAUUUUUUAUUUUUUUUCUUUGUAUUUUUUUGUACAUUUCCUUUCAAAUUUUUCCAAAAAGGAAACAUUACUAAAAGAUCAUGUCAAGUACAAGAACUAAUCCUUUGAUAUGGAUGAAUUAAAAUAUAUUUUGUUUAUACUUUUAUUUUAUUUUAUAAAGGAAUUAAUAAUCAAAGGUUUAAUUUAAAAUAAAUAUUUUAUUUUAAAAAAUUUAAUUUUAUCAUAGAAAAGAUUUAACAAUAAAAAGUUCAUAAUUUAUAAAUCACUAAUCCUAUUUUGUCAUAAGUGAUUAGUUAGGUUUCUAAUGUUAAAUGAAUUCAAUAGUUUUUAGUUGGUUUUAAAUUUUAGAUGGUUCGAAAGUUAUAUUAUCAAUAUCACUUAAAAAUGAAAUCCUCUGUUUUUCUUUUCAUUUUUCAAUGAUUAGUUAUUUUGUCAAAUUCUCGCUUAGUUUCAAUUUUCAAAUAGUUUUGUUUAAUGUUUAAUAUAAACAACUUUAACACUUUGCAACAUUCUAAUGUCAAAAAAAAAAAACACUUAAUGAGAUUAAUCUUUAAUAGGUUUAUAAUUAAAUUUAAAUUUAUUCAAAUAUAAAAAAAUGGUGAUGUGGGGGCUUUCCCCAUAUAGCCACGUGGCAGGCCACUCUUGGUCUACGUGGCAUUCUUCUAUCUCUAUCCAGAUGAUCAUCAUCAAACCAGAGUCUCCUAUUCGACCAACGGGUAUCAGAGACUAGUCACAUUGUGCUCCUCUAAACUACACGAUGCAUUCCAGGUAGAUAUCUUGGCCCACUCCUGCAAGCAAUCAUUCCCCCAAGCCAUGAGUACAUUUGACGGGAUGUAACCCUGCCUUCACAAUUGAGUUGCUAUACGCUAUGCCAUACUUUCUACAGAGUAAGGUGACAAGUGAACCAUCAUGUCAUCCCCACUAGCAGCCCCUGUUAGCCGCCUAAAUGGUGAUGAUUGCCCUGCCACGAACUGUGCUGCCAUCAUGACUGCGAAAGUUAAGAUGUCACCUCAGCGCAGAUGUGACCCCAUCCCAGACACUAUAAAAACCCUCACACAACCAAAAUCCAAGAACGUAAUACAAGAAGCCCGAUAUAGCUCUAGAGAAUAAGCGAUUUCUCGAGCUAGUUUUAACUAAUUGACUUGGGCUUCGAAGGGUGUGUCCGGACAACUUGUCCGAACAUCUUUUUACAGGAAAGAAAAGAGAAGUCAAUCUUCACCGACUGUAUUCAGUCCUUUCUUGCUAUAACGGGGAGAAGCAUCAUCCCCAAUUGAUUCAGCAUUAACAUCGGCAUCAUUUGUGGGAAGGAAACAAGAAUGUCAACACCCUCAAGAAGUCGAUCGUUUGCCAUGGGCGACGAAGGUUACUUUGACUAGCGUGAGAGUAUGGAAAGAUGCUAACGAGAAAGCGAGCGACAAGUGCAAGCCCUGCUCCAAGAAACAAGAAGACUCAGAGAGGAGAAUGAGGUGUUGCGAAUUCAAGCAUCUUUGUCAGGCCCCUCUCGUAGCCAGCAACCAAGGAGUUAGUGAACGAACUCCAGGAAAAAUGAGGAAGCAACAUACCCUAGAAACACAGAGUCCCCCUUUGAUGAGCAUGGUAUACGACCUGAUGAAGGACCCCUAUCGGCCUAUCACGCGCCAUAGGACGAAAACUCUGAUUCCACUCGUGUCUCAUCUAAAAGGAGAUGCGAUAGGAAAUCCUAACUAUUAGAUGCAAUGCACGCAAGGUUAGGGCCACAGGUGCCCGGUAUGGAGAAACCACGUAUAGCCACGACCCAGGAGGUAUACCCUGCCCCAUUUGCUGCACCCGCUAUACUGAACUGGCCUCCAUACCCAACACUACAACAAUUGGAAGAGGAUAUGGUAAGUAGAGUUCCCCUCGGCUCUGCCAGCAGGCGACUAGACAACAUGCUCUCCAUGCCUUUUAGCUCUCGCAUUAUCAAUUACGAACCCCUGAGAGAGUUCAUCGAGCCAAAAUUCUCUACGUAUGACAAAUUCAUUGAUCCAUUUGAUCACAUCAUGCACUACAGAUAGCUCAUGACCCUUGACAUAGGGAAUGACGCACUGUUGUUUCUAGCUAGCUUCCAAGGUUAGGCCCUCUCGUGGUUCCACCACCUCCCAAUGAAUUCCGUCGACAACUUUCGGGACCUAUCGAAGGCCUUCGUGGGACAAUAUCUAUGUUCAACACAACACAAACAAAACAUCAGCACCCUGUAAAACAUAAAGAUGUAGGAGAAUGAGUCGCUGAGGGAGUUCGUAAAGUGGUUCGGGCAAGCUGUACUCUAGGUAGAGUCUUACAGCAUAGACAUUAUUAUCCAAAUCUUUAAAAUGAGUAUCUGUCCGGGCACACCUUUCUUCAAAUCUCUCACCAAAAAGCCCUAUGUAACUAUGGACGAUCUAUUCAGAUGGGCAAACAAAUAUUCCAUGCUUGAGGACAAUGUCCGUGCAGCCACCCAGUAGAUCCUGGUCACCAGUCGACCUGCCAAAAAUGUUGAGGCUAGGAAUUCCAAAACCGCAAGCCAACGAAGGCAAUCAAAUAAGAGGUAGGACAGACAACGCCAACCAAACUAGCCCAACUUCAUCCCACUCAAUGUUUCAUACGAGAAGCUCCUCCCCAUGAUCCGCAAGUUAUCCGACUUCAAGUGGCCAGAGCCCCUAAAAAUGGAUUCAACUAAGAGAGACCGCAACAGAAAAUGUGCCUAUCACAAAGAGCACGAACACACUACGGAGCAAUGUAGUAGUCUCCAUUAUUUGGUGGAGAAUCUAGUAAGAUCCGAAUGCUUGAGACAAUACGUUCACUCAGAAGGUAAAAAUGGGGUGACAUCCCGAAGUCCAACCACCACGACCCCCGCAGCUUCUAUAGCUCCUAGGGUCGUGAUCAACUAUAUUCACGGCGGACCUAUCAACGAGGAAUACAACUCUAAACAAAAGAGAUGGAUGCUACUUCAAGCCAUCUUCGUGCGAGAGCAAGUUAGCUCCAUCAAGCCCAGAUUAAUCAGCAGGAGCAUGCGCUCAAUAGAUAGGGAAAUCACUUUUCCCCUAGUAGACUCCAACCGAAUAUUACAAUCGCAUCGGGACGCCCUUAUCCUAUCAUUGGGAAUCAGUGACUUUGAUGUAAGGUGGAUCUUAGUCGACCUAGGUAGCUCAGCCGACCUCUUACAGGUAUCUAUAAUUAAACAUAUGGGGCUUUCACCAUCGAAUCUGGAAAAUCCUGGACGGAUAUUGUUAGGAUUCUAAGGAGCUUCAACAAUGUCUCUGGGCGACAUUGUGCUGCCCGUCCAGACCGGCCCCAUUGCCCUGAAUAUGCAGUUCUCAAUAGUAGAAGACCUAUCUCCAUUCAAUGCCAUAUUGGGGCGCACCUGGCUGUAGAGCAUGAAAAUCAUUCCUUCUACUUAUCAUCAGAUGGUGAGUUAUCGCAUCGAAGACGGACAGAUUAAUCUCUAUGGAAGCCAACUAGCAGCUCGAUAGUGCUACCAAGUGGCAUAGAAAACCGGAUCUAGUAGUGAUAAUGAGCCACCUCCAAAACUAUGAGCGCAAUCUUUUAAUAGCAAUUACAAUAUCCGACGAAGAAAGAUCCCCUGGUGGCCGACCCCUUGCAGACUAUUAAGAUCUCGAAGAAGGAUGAUCAUUUUACCUACGCAAGCUCCCUCUUAGAGUUGAACGAGGCGCGAAGCCUUGAAGGAGUACUUCACCGGAACAAAGAUGUCUUCGUCUGGACACACUCUAACAUGCUCAGGAUUCACCCAUCAAUUGCCUCCCACCAACUUAACAUUCUUCCAUUCUCAAGACCUAUCCGCCAGAAGGUCCAACAAUUCUAUUUGGAUAGGCAAAAAAUCAUUCAGAAUGAGAUAAACAAGUUAUUGAUAGCCGAAUUUAUCAAAGAGGUUAAGUAUCCUGACUAGUUGGAAAACGUGGUUGUAGUCCUGAAAACAUUGGGGAAAUGGCAAGUCUACGUUGAUUACACUAACCUCAAUGAUGCCUACCCUAAGGACAACUUUCCCCUCCCCCGAAUAGACCAAAUAGUGGACUCCACCACUGAAACACAGAAUGCUCUCCUUCCUACAUGCCUUUUUCGAGUAUCAUCAGAUCCCUAUGUAUCCACCAGAUGAAGAAAAAAUUGCCUUCAUAACACCACAUGGGCUCUAUUACUACAAAGUCAUGUCGUUUGGACUCAAAAAAGCUGGAGCCACUUAUCAAAGGCUGAUGACUAAAAUUUUCAAACCUCUAAUCGGACGCACAAUAGAGGUAUACAUUGAUGACAUUGUAGUGAAAAGCAGGACCAAGGGUGAACAUGACCAACACCUAGAAGAAGUCUUUCACUUGUUGAGAGAAUACAACAUGAAGCUCAAUCCGUCCAAUUGCGCCUUUGGAGUGAGUGCGGAAAAAUUCUUGGGGUUCAUGGUCACUCAAAGGAGCAUAGAGGCCAAUCCAAAUCAAAUCAAAUCAAAGUUGUCAUAGAGACAUCCGCCCCAUGCAACAAAAAGGAAUUGUAAUGCCUCACUGGCAAACUCACUGCACUAGGGUGCUUCAUAACCCAGUUUACAAACAAACUAAGGCAUUUUUUCCUUGCAUUAAAAAGAGCCAGCGCGACAUGAUGGAAGGAAGACUUUCAGUUUGCAUUUGAAGAAAUCAAGUUUUAUCUCACACAAUCGCCCAUUCUGACCAGCCCUCAACUCAGUGAACAUUUGUACGUGUACUUAGCAAUCUCCAACUGUGUGGUUAGCACUGUUUUGUUUUGCUGCAUAUCGGACAAAAAGCAAAAGCAUGUCUACUACAUCAGCAAAGCAAUGUUCGAUGCGAAAACCAGGUACUCAAAGAUGGAGCAGAUAGCUUUGGCCUUGAGAAGCGCUGAGUAGAAACUUUACCCCUAUUUCCAGGCUCAUCAAAUUAUCGUGCUCACCAGCCAACCUCUCAGAAGUAUUUUGCACAAAUCUGAUCUAUUAGGAAGAAGGCUGAAGUGGGUCAUAUAAUUGAGGGAGUACGGGAUCAAAUAUUAGCCUAAGUUAUCCAUAAAAUGAAAAGUCAUGGUUGACUUUAUAGUUAAGAUCCCCCAACAACCCUCUCAACUCAAAGAACCUGGUAGAGAGGGAUGAUGGAUUCUCUUCGUCGACAGAGCCUCCUGGACCUCGGGAUCUAGAAUAGGCCCCCUCCUACGAUCACCAAUUGGAGAACAGCUAGAACAGGCCAUCCGACUUGGGUUCCCAGCAUCCAACAGUGAAACCGAGUACGAGGCCAUCCUAUCCAAACUAAACUUUGCACUUGCUCUCUCAGCUUCUAAGAUCGAAAUCUGCAGUGACUCUCAACUCAUUGUUGGGCAUAUUCAAGGGGAGUACAAAGCUAAAGAUGGAUGUAUGACUCAGUACUUGAUUAAAGUAAGAGGUGCCCUGAAUCAAAUGAAUGAAUGGGCUAUCAAAAGGAUUCCUCACAUAUAAAAUGUACAAGUCAAUGCCUUGGUUGGAAUAGGUACUACACUCCUCGUGAAGGAGGCAAUAUUAUUACCCGUCCAUUUCCAAAUCGUUUCCUUAAUUGUAGUCAUACCUGUCUGCAACGCUAAAGAGGUAGGUGCGGAGUGGGCACAUGAAAUUGAAAAUUACCUCCGGACAGGUGACCUGCCCGAAGAGAACAAACAUGCGCAUAGGGUCCGGGUGCAGGCUACCCGCUUCACCUUAAAUGGGGAUUAUCUCUACAGGCGAUCCUUUGGAGGUUCAUACCUCAGGUGCUUAAAUAGAACGGAAGCUCAGUAUGUAUUAGCAGAGCUACAUGAAGAAAUAUGUGGCAAUCACUCAGGAGGACGAACCCUGGUGCACCUUACCCACUCGCAAGGAUACUAUUGACCCACCAUGAAACAGGAUGCGAAAAAUUAUGUCAAGAAGUGUGACCGGUGUCAAAGGCACGCACCCAUUCCUCACAUAUCAUCUGAAGUUCUCAACCUAGUUACAAGCCCUUGGCCAUUCGCAUAAUGGGGGAUGGACAUAGUAGGACCCUUACCCGUCACAGCCACUCAUAAGAAAUUCUUGCUUGUGGCCACUGACUACUUUAGCAAGUGGGUAGAGGCAGAAGCUUAUGCCAACAUCAAAGAUAAGGACGUCUCUAAGUUUGUUGGGAAAAACAUCAUCUGUCAGUUCGGAAUUCCGCAAACAAAUUAUAGCUGAUAACGAACCACAGUUUGACAGUGUUGAGUUCAGGACCUUUUGUUCAGAGCUAAAAAUAAAAAAUCUAUACUCCACACCACGAUAUCCUCAGAGCAAUGGAUAAGCGGAAGCAACAAACAAGACCCUGCUCUCCGUACUAAAGAAAAUGCUAGAAAAAGCCAAAUGGAAGUGGGUAAAAGAACUACCCGGCGUCCUGUGGGCUUAUCGAACAACACUUGGAUGACCAAUCGGAAACACUCCCUUCGCUCUUGCCUACGGGAUGGACGUAGUUAUCCCAACAGAGAUAGGCAUGCCCACAACCUGAACUGUUGUACAAGACCAAAGGGACAAAUGUCAAGAACUUGAGAGACACUUGGAUUGGGCAAACGAGGUGAGGGGGAGUGCAGCCAUCCGGAUGGCCUCCGAUCAACAAAGAGCUACUGCCUACUACAACCGGAAAGCCCAACCCCAUGCCUUUAAGGUUGGAACCUUAGUCUUCAAAAAGCUCCAAGCUAAUUGGGAGGGGCCUUAUAUUGUCUUGAAGGCUGGAGAAUCUAGGGUUUACCAUCUACAAAAGCUGGAUGGAAUGCCCCUGCUCCACUUAUGGAAUGUAUCUAAUCUAAGGCAAUACUAUCAGUAAAGUAAAAAAAGAAAAAGUGCACAAGAAAGAUAGUGAAAUAUUGCAUUCGCAUUCGUAAGUGAGAAAUUGUUCUUUACAAGUGUUGGCCAGACAAAUCACGGCGAAAUACAAAUGACUUAAUAAUAAAUAAAAAAUGUUUUAUGGCUCGACCGAAGAGUCGGCCAUAGGAAGAAUCUCAUCUCUUCAAGAAGAAUCGUCGGGUACCUCCCCCUUGUCGUCUGAAGGAAAGGAAUGAGUAUCUUAUGUGAUGUCGUUCUUCUUCAUACAACAUCGAUAGCCAUAGAAGAACAUUUCGUCCACUUGCUUUUGAUACUCCUCCUCCAACUCCUUCUUUUGAUCUGUGAAUCCGGCCCAGAGUUCCUCCAACUUUUUCUUCAGUUGGGCAUUCUCCUGCUCGACCUCUUUGCACUUGGCCUUAGUGGCCUUGCCCUCCUCUCUCAACCGGUCAGCCUCAGCAUGGACCGACUCCUUCUCCACCUCCACCAAUUUCAAAGCCUCGACUCCCUCUACAAUAGCCUUCUAUGCAGCGGCAAGGUCGCUCUCCACCUGUUCCAGCUUAAUGCAGAGCUCUUCACCGCCGCCCACGCGAUGGGUGAUGAAAGCCCUCAAAGCCUCAACAACCUCCAAUAGCUCAAAAAGUAGAGCGCGUUGUCGCAUCAGGUUGCGAACUCUGACCACCACCUAAAGGCGAUAACAAAAAUAGAGUAAGCUCGGGAUUAAAGUUCACAUUAUAGCAUAAGAAGGAAGGCAUAGUAGCUUACCACUUUUGCAGUCUCUUGAGUCAUGCAAUCCUGCAAUAGUUGAAUACGGGAGACCGUAGAGUUAGGCGUUCCAAGUGGAAGUUGGGUUGUGAUAGAGAUGAGGAGGUCGCCGCCUAAGCUCACCAAAACUCGGUUAGUGAAAGGAAAAAAGUCUAACAUCUUUGUCGAAUGCAACUCAACAUCAGUGAAGCAAGGCACUCGCCUCAGCAUCUCUAUCAUUUCCUCCUAGCUCGGAAGAGGAACGGAAGUAAGGGCAUCCUUCUAGUCUAAGUAUUCCUCGAUAGGAACCGGACCGUCAGAUGCCCCAUCUUGAACAGGGCAAGUCUCAUUCCUAGUAAGAGACGAGGCAACCAACGCGUUGUUGGACCCUGUAGCAUCUGGAUGGGGCAUUGGCGUCUGGGGAGCAUCUAUGAUAGGCUCUUCGUGAACCUCCUCUGGAUAGGAUCUUUUGGCAGGAGAAGAAACCACCUCAAUAGGAUCAGAUAGUCGUUUGCAUUGUCUCUCCCUAAAGCCCGACCCUCAAGUUGGACGUCGUAUCUUCCUCCACCUCCGGUUUGUAUAUGAUGACGAGUAUCACAGGCUCGAAUUUGGAACUUUGAGGAUCCAAGUCACUCCGUUCAAACCUUGGAAGGUCCAAGUCACCUUCUGAAUCCGGAACAAAGCUAUUUGUUUAUAGAGGUACAGAAAAAGUAGAAGCGGAAAAAGAUUCAGAUACCGAGGCUAGUACCUGAACCACCUUAGUGGAAGACUUCUUCUUCUUAAUUGGAUGGCGGACUACGAAAGAUAAAACAUGGCGUUUCUCACUGCAACCCUUCCUCAACUUUCCCUCUUGUCUUUUCUUCUCCCUCUGAUCAAGGUGCUCCUGGUGAGCUCUAGCGUUCGCCUCAUGUGCUUCUUUGUAGAAGGAGAGAUCCUUCAAAACAUGAUGUUUCCCGAGCACUAUGACCUUUGGGAGCCGCCUAGGGAUAAUGGGGAGAAUGUAAGGCUGGGACUCAUGGAUAACCGCAACCAAAUUCCAGGCAAUCAAAAGCGUCUGGUGGUUCUUUUUGUCGAAAGUGAUCACGAACAGCUUGUUCAGUAGGUCGAACGAAGCUUUCUCCACCCACUCGACCAGUCGACCUCUUCUGUCCUUAUCUGCAUCAAUCAAAAUGGACAGUGUUAGCACUAAAGUGAUAUCAGUUCAACAAAUAAAGACAAUUGAAGAAUCGCUUAAAGCCAUCCCUACCAGGAAUUUUAAGUGAUUCGUCCCAUUAUAGUCGUGCCAUUUGAUUCUGGUCCAGAUGGGUGUUAUCAACAAAAUUUAUAAAACCUAAAUCACCUUACACUAGGGUAGCAUAGCUAACAUAGUAUAGUGGCUCUAUGAUCGUCCACAGGGAUGGGUUUUCAUCAUACAGUUGACUUAAAUGAAGGAAAUAAAAUAGUGUUUUUUCUUAUGAAAAAUUAGCUUUUAAAGAAAAUGAAUUGUGGUUGCAAAGAUUGAUUUUAAGUUAAGCAAAAACAAUAAGUGAAGUUAACUAUAAAGAAAAGAUCUCUUAGAGCUUUAGGUCACUAGGAUUGGGUUUCUUAUACAAAUGGGGAGAUUCCAGAUCUUCUUCUCGCGUUGGGGAUAAUAAUAUAAAGGAUGGUUAUCUCCCGAACCGAUUUUGUAUUUAGCAAUUAAGAUUUGAUCCCAAGGGUUCAUGAAAAAUAAUAGUUGUUUUCCAUUAAUGGCUUCAAACACUAAAGACUCUCACCUUGAACCACCUUCCAAUGGCUUGUAAAUGAUAACUAAUAGACAUCCAUGGAUCUAACAGUAAGCAUCCAUAGAAUCCAAAAAGCUUACCAAGUAUUGGCCAUUCAAGGUGUUUUUAAGGGAUUUAAAGCUAAACCUUAAAAUAAAAACCAUUAAUGGUUAACAACUACUUUCAUUUAAAGCAAGGACAACUCCCAUCUUUGCAUUCGGGUCCUUCACCUAGCUUCCAUCACUCCAAGAAACGUAAAACCUAGCCACUCAUCCCAUGAGAAAUCAUCCUUAAAGGUUGUUUGGCUAGGAAGAAGAGUGAAAACAAAAUGAGAAGGAAAGGCAAAGCAAAAGCUUUGUAUGUUUCUUACUCCUCGAAAUUUACAAGUUUUCAAUGAAAUACAUACAUAUAUAUUUCCCUCUCUCUCUCCCCUCUUAUAUAUAUGCUACCUAAAAGAUAUAUAAAAAGAUAUAAAAGAAAAUAUCUAGGUUGGUUAUAAGGAGAAAUUAGGAAAUUACACAAAAUAUUUGAAGAUGAAAAUCGAACAGAGUCGGUGCACAGGAAGAUUUCGCAUACCAUGCAAAAUUUGGCAUGGUGUGCGAAAUCCUUUGGCUACCUCAAGUGGUUUCGCAUGGUGUGCGAAAUUUCGCACAGCCAUGCAAAAAUGUUGUUUGUUGGAUUUCUUCCUCAGGUUUUCUUCCUUGCAUCUCUGAUUGGCUUGGCAAAGGGCUAUGAAGUGCUCUAAAGCUUGGAUUAUUCAUGUAUUUGAGCUUUAACUUGCAUUGCCAUGGAUUUCACAAAAUUCUCCCUCAUUCUUGGCUUGGUUCAAUAAUCAAAUAGCUACCAAAAACAUUAAAACUGUCAAAAAUUGAUUAGUAACCCUUGCUAGGUUCCUUAAUGUGCCAAUUGAGUUAAAAGGUAUUAACUACUACUCAAAAGUAUUUAAAAUAGUUAGUUUCAAGCUAUAAAAGAGUACUUUUUGAGUAGUAAUCAUUAAGCGAAAAGUUUGGAUGGAAAUCCCUUUCCGAAUGCUCGACUAGGCCAUCCCACGGGCCCCAAACCAGGAUAUGCCUUUGGCUCUACCCUUAUUCAAGUUCGGGAGGUCGGUCACCAAUUGGAGAGAUGGGAUAUGAGCAAACAGGUUGAAGAUAUCUUUUUUGCUCUUCUUGAUGGUAUAGAUAAAGAGGACCUCUAAUAGGGAGAAGUCCAGACAGAAUAACAUGUCUAGGAUAAUGCAUCCCAUCAGCACUCGGACAAUGUUGGGAUGGAUAAAAACGUGAGGAAUUUGGAUGCAGUGUAAAAAUUGUUUGAAAAUAAACAGGAGAGAGAAAUAGAGUCCUGCGUUAAACUACUCCUUGAUGAAGAAAAUAACAUCUCGAGCUUCCUUCUCAGUAGAUGUCAGAUCUUCAUCCACCAAGUGAACGGAGAUGUCACUCAGAAUACAGAAGUGCUCUGAAACUCCCAUUCAAAAAUAAGCUCGGUAGGCUUUUCCGAUUAGGGGCGUCCGAAGCUUGCACCUGUCCGGCCACCCUUCAUAACAACAUUGGUCGAGGCAAUGUCCUUUUUCACUGGCAUACUAGAAGCGAUGGGCCAAGUUAGACCUGCACGAUACAAUGUCGAAUGUUAAAAAAUAGCCACCCGACCUUACCACCAAAAGGCAGUGCCCCUAAAACACACAACAAGCGAUUAUACCAGACUUAGGGUCUGCCCUAUUCAAGGCAUCCGACCGACCCUACCUAUCAGCGAAAAUCCUAACUAUGGAUUUUUUUUCUCUAUGACACCUCAAACAAAGGAAAAACAUACUGCAAACAAACUCUGAAAAAACCCCAACAAAGCAACAAACAUGGCAAACUCUAACCCUAAUAGGGGUUAGCAGGUCAUGCCAUUAACGAGACCUGAUGGCCCAGAAAGACCACAAAUCUAUUUUUACAAGCCUUGAAGCAACCACUUCGCAGUCGACCAAGACCCCCAAACUCCAAAAUAAUCCCCAAACAGCAACAAAUGAAGCUAUCAAGAAAAAUGGAAAAUCGGGGAGUAGUAGAGAAGAAAAACGAGCAUACCAGGAAAAUGUCUUCAACAAAGUGUCGAAGUCGAUCUGUAAAAGGCAAGAAAGAUUAGUCAGAAAGUUCGCUGAAGAAGGAGAAAUGCAGCACAACAAGCCAAAAGGACAAUGACUAUUUGAAUAUGGGAAGUGCGAAACGAAAGAAAAUAGACUGAAAGGACAAAAGUGAAACGACUAGAAAAUGUACUUCUUAGGGAUUAAUUCCCUAUUUAUAAGGAUAGACGCCCUAGAAAUUCCAAAUGACAAGACGCUUAGAAGUGCAUUCUCCAAAGCGACGCGUCGUUUGAUGACAACCUCGAUAACAACGCCUCUCCUUAACACCCUCAGAUGCCACGUGUCCUAAGGUUACUAAAAGGGUUUGAAAAAUGUUUUAACCUGCCAUUUCUGUCCAGACGAAAUACUCGAGUUAAAAUGAGGGAUUGUGGGGGCUUCCCCCAUAUAGCCAUGUGGCAGGCCACUCUUGGUCCACGUGGCAUCCUUCUAUUUCUGUCCGAAUGAUCAUCAUCAAACCGGAGUAUCCUAUCCAGCCAGUAGGUAUCAGAGACCUGUCACAUCGUGAUCCUCUAAAUUGCACAAUGCAUUUUGGGUAGAUAUCCUGGCCCACUCCUACAGGCAAUCAUUCCCCCAAGCCAUCAAUAUGUUUGACGGGACGUCACUUUGCCUUCGCAGGCGAGCUACUACAUGUUGCACCAUACUUUCUGCAAAGUGAGGUGACAAGCAAACCAUCAUGUCAUCCCCACUGGUAGCCCCAAUCAGCCACCUAAAUGGUGAUGAUUGCCCUACCAUGAACUGUGCUACCAUCAUGACUGUGAAAGUCAAGAUGCCACCUCAGCGCAGACGUGACCCCGUCGCAAACACUAUAAAAACCCUCAUACAACCAAAAUCCAGGUACGCAAUACAAGAAGCUUGAUAUAGCUCCAAAGAAUGAGCGAUUUCUCGAGCUGGUUUUAACCAAUUGACUUGGGCUUCGAAGGGUGUGUCCGAACAACUUGUUUGGACAUCUUUUUGCAGGAAAGAAAAGAGAAGUCGGUCCUCACCUACUGUAUUCAGUCAUUUCCUACUAUAACAAGGAGAAACAUCAUCUCCAGUUGAUUUAGCAUCAACAGGUGAGAGUUAAACAUGUAAUUUAUAAGUAUCCACCUCAUUCUCAUUAAUAGACACAAAAAAUAUUAACAUUUCAGCUAUGUUCAAUUCCCAAAAAAAUUGAGGGACAAUAUAAAAGAAAGAAAAUAAAAAAGAAAAAUAGAAAGAAAAAAAAAGUAAAAAAUAAAUAAAAAAUAAAUUUAAAGUUAAUAAAUUAUUUUUAUAUGUUAUUUCAAACUCAUUUCACAUAUUUUUCUUAUUUUAUAUGAAUAUUAAAUAAUUUAAAAAUAUAUACAAUUUUCAUUUAUUUUUUAUUUGAUUUUGUAUUUUUCAUAAUGAGAUUAAAAAUGAGAAAAUAACUUUUUUAAUAUACAUAUUUUUAAUACUUUUUGAAAUCAAACAUAGAAUAAAACAUUUGAACAUGAAAACCACUAAAUUCAAUAUACACUCAACAUUUGUCAAAAUGGAAAAGAUUAACGCUUACUGAGUGAUGGCUUUGUACACUCUUCCAAAACUAUCACUUCUAGAAACCUAACAUUUUCCCAAGAACUGUCAUGGAUCUUCAAUUUCCCAUUGUCAAGGGUUUUAGUAAUAGCCCAAUGCUCUAGUUUUGAAUUUCCACCCAUUCGUUUAGCAACGAUCGGCAUGAUAUUAAAUAAUCAUCAUUAUAAUUAUGUGAAGGUAUAUUUGCAUAAUCAUCAUCAACGUUGAAAUGCAUGCAUAGUACCUGAAAAAUUAUAAAGAUCCAUUAGAACCAAAAAUAAAAAAUAAAAAAUCUAAGCCCAGAGAAGGAUAACAAGGAGUUUUGAAUAUUGAGAAGACUGUUGACACAAUGGAUUAUCUUGAACCUAUAGAGUAACUACAAUACUUUGGAUGUAAACAAUUAUGUUGAACCAUAUCAAAAUUUGCUAUUUACAUCUUCUCUAUACUUUAUCUCUUCUAACAUUUUAUAUUAUUUAGUAUUUAUUUUAGUAUCUAUUACUUGCAUAUUUGUAAAAUUUCUAAAAAUAGACUAUUACUAAUUCACUCCCUUUUUAGGUGAUUACCUAAGUUUUUUAUAGUAAACUUCAGAAUAUUCACUUUCAAAGAUUGUCAUGAGCUCCCCUAAAACAUUAUGUAUUGUAAAUUUAAGAAGUAAAAAUAAAUAAAUAAAUUAAACAAUUGUUGUGAUUUUAAUACUUACUCAUUUCCUAGAACCUUAACUUUUUCCAAAGUGUCAUAGAUCUUCGAUUUCUCAUUUCCAUGGGUGGUAGAAAUAGCCCCAGGCUCUAGCUUUGAAUUUCAACCCACUUGUAAAGGCAACCUUUGUCUAGCAAUGACCCGUAUGAUGUGGAUAAUCAUCAUUAUCAUGGAAAAACAUACGUAAACACCUUCAAGAUUAUAAAAAUCCAUUAAAACUUGAGAAAUAUAGGUAUAAAGAAGGAUAAGAAAAAUCUUGAUUGAGAAGAAUGGUGAUAUAGUAGAUCAUCUUAAAACCUACGAAGGAGCUCCAAGGCAUAGUGUGCUGAACCGCAUUAAAAAUUGUUAUUUGCAUAUUCUCUACCUUUUAUCCAUUUACUUUAAGUAUUUUAUAAUAUCUAGUAUUUAUUUUGAUAACAACUAACCAACACAUUUGUAAAAAUUCUAAAAAUAGACCAUCAAUAAUUCACCUUUUUGGCUGAUUACGUAUGGUUUCCAUGAUAGACUUCACAAUAUUCACUUUCUAAGAUCAUAGUGAGCUCCCUCUUUUAACGGGAUGGGGUAAGGUUUAUGAACUAAAGCUAUGAAUAAAUAAAAUUGCAAGGAUAAUUGCUCACAGUUUUAAAUUGCAGAAUCCAUUUCUUAGAGUUUUUCGAAAACACUUCUAGUAUAAAAAACAUUUUUGAUAUAAAAAAAUAGAUAUUUAACAAAAGUUUCAAACACUUUUAAAAAGUCACAAAAACCAUUUCUAGUGUUUUUUUCGAGAAAUAUUUGAUAGAUGAUUAUCCUAAAAUAUCUUAGAGAGAAAGUAAUUCAAAUGAAAAUAUGUUCAAACUUAGGUGGUGUUUUAUUGAUUUAUUUUUACUUAAUUCUAAAUAGAAAUUAAAACUAAAUAGUCAUUAAAUAGUGUUAAGUAUGAAGUUAUUUGCUUUUAUAAUAUUUUAUUUCUAUUAAGCAAUAAAAAAUAAAGAAAUUUUUUUAUUUCUAUUAAAUAUUAAAAUAUAAAGAAAAACCAACAUAUUAUUUUUUGCAUUUAGAAAAAGUUAAAUAUUUUGCUUUUUUCUAUUCAACAAAAAAAAAUAUAAAAAGCCAUAAAAAAGUAGAAAAACAAAUAAUUUAAAGUCUGAAAGUAAAUUACUUUAAGCAAAAAAUUUAAGAAAACAAACACCCUUUAAGUAUCCACCUCAUUCUCGUUAAUAGAAACAAGAAACAUGAUACGAAGAGUGCAUUUGAUAAUAUUUCUAUUCCAAAUGUUUGUGUAAAAUUAUUUUUUAAAUGAUCACCUAUUAAGUGCUUCUUCAAAAAUUAAUAUUACAAGUAAUUUUUCAAUUUUUUAAAAUGUGUUUUUCUAAAUUUUACCAAAUCUCGUAUUUUUCUUCUACUCAUAAUUCAAUACCCAUUCAACAUAAUAAGAGGAGAGAUUGACGGGUGAUGGAUUUGUACACUAUCCCAAAACUCCCAAGUCCUAGAAGCUCAACCGUUUCCCAGAAGUUAUAAAUCUUGAAUUUCUCAUUCUCAUAGAUUUUAGCAAACGCACUAGGAUCUAGCAUUGAAUUUCCACCUGAAUACAUGCUGGUAGGCAUGGUAACAUACAAUGAUUUAUCCUGUAAGAAGAUCUACCAAGAACUAGACUAUUGUGAAACAAACUUUUGAACAGUUACUAGGGGGAGAAUAACACUUACUGGGUGAUGACUUCGUGCAUUCUACCAAAACUCCCACUUCCUAGAAGCUCAACCUUCGGCCAAGAACUAUCCAUGGAUCCUCAAAUUCCCAUUCCCAUGGGUUGCAGCAGUAGCCAUGGGCUGUAGCUUUGAAUUUCCACCCACUGGUUUGAAAGCCAACUUCUCUUUAGUGACGGCCCACAUCAUAGGGCUAACCAUUUCCAUGGAUGAGAGGACCGAAGCUUAUACCACUUCAAUCAUUACUUCGAUCGAAGAAAGAGGCAUGAUCAGGAUAAUCAGAUGCGUCAACGAUGCGACCAAACUGAGAGAUUUUCUCACCAUUAUCGCUUCCCUCAAAGAAAGCCACAUGAUUUUGGCCCAACCAAGAGAUGCUUUGGUUGAUGAUAGCAAAAGCUCCUGCUUCAAACCAUCAAUAAUAUAUCAAUGGCCCGCCGGAUCUACCCUCUUCCCAUGAAUUAUUUAUUUACUUGAGGAAUGAGUCAAGCUUAUAAAUUAUUUAUAGGUUAAUUUCAUUCACCACCCCUAAGGUUUUGAUUAAAUACAUCUAACUCUCACAGGUUUGAAAUUUUAUCAAAUACCUCAUCUAUCCUUUUCAUUUUUUAUUUUCACUCAGUCUCCCUUCUUACUCAAAAUAAGUGAAGUAUAUGAUGAAAUUUCAAACUUCUCAGUAUUAGAUAUACUUAGCCAAAAACUCAAGGAAGGUGAAUGAAAUUAACCCAUUAUUUAUUUGGUUGGCAGAGUAGUAAAUGAAGGUUCUUAUCAUGCUUGAAGUCAGACAUAGAUCCGAAACUUCAAUUUUGAGAAACACUUUAAAAAAAAAAAUGAUAAAGUAUUAAUUUUUUUUAUAAAGCCUUUGAUAGAUUAUUAGUUUAAAGAUUUUUUUAGAGGAGAUAGCAACACUCUGAAACUCUCACUAUUACUCCACUCAAGAUCAUCAUUCAUUUAUAAAAAAAUGUCACCUUAUAUUUGUUUCUAAAUCUUUAAUUUAAUAAAUAAGAUUAAAUAUAUUGUGUUUAAUUCUUUCUACUUUAAAAAUAAAAAAUAAAAUUAUAAAAAUGGAUCUAAUUUCACUUAACUUUUUUAUUUUCAUUUAUGUUAUUCAUGGCCUCCCAAGAACCUCUGCAGAAAGAGUUCAAAUCAGAAUCAAAGAAAAAUACAAUGGAGUAGUAUCGUAUGACUUUCUAACCUACGAAGAACUAAUAAACUUCGUAAACCAAGAAGUUUAUCUCUUUGCCCGCUUAUCAAAGUUAAUGUUAAGAUCAAGAAAGAUCUUAGAACCUCAAAGAAAGAAUUAGGAUCUUUUUGUGCGGGUAUGAGAAGAUUCUUCCACCCUCUAUUAAAAAAGAAAAUAUUAUAGGUCAAAACAUAGAAAACCAAAAUCAAACUGAAAAUACUCAAAAUAUAGAGGAAAAGAAAAACAAGAUUAUCAAAGAUCAAAAUCUAAAGAACAUUCAAAGAAAAUAUACAAAAGGGAAAUAAAAUUUUUCAAAUGUGGUAAAAAGGGACACGUAGCCCCAAACUAUAAAAUCAAAGAAAUUAUAAAAGACAUAGACAUACGAAGCCUUCUCAAGGAAUAGAUGACUAAUCUAAUCAAAUCAAAAUCUUCUAACUAAAUGUCCUCAAAGACAACAAGUAGUGAGGAACAACUCCUUCUAAUCGAAGAAGACUCUUUUGAAACCUUUGAUGACCUUUCCUUAAAUCCUCUUGCAACUGUGUAGAAAAUUGCCUUUGUAAUAUCAAAACUAUUAAUGUCCUAACAAGUGAACAAAACCUCUUAAUAAAAAUGAUAGAUAAAAUUCCAGACCCUCAAAUCCAACAUGAAUAUAUCAAAAAAUAUUUAGAAUUUCAAAAACAAGAAAGAGAGACUAGGGAAGCAAAUACAAAUCAAUAUAGUCUAAAACCUAUUUUGGAUCAACCUCUAAACCAAAAACAACAAAUAUUCAAGAUCUUCAAAAUGAAAUAAGUCAAAUUAAGCUUCAAAUUAGAGACUUAAUAAUUCAAAAUGAAGGAUUAGACAUUAGGCUUCAAAAAUUAGAAAAUCAUCUAAUAACCUUUAAACAGGAAAAUAAGUUAAAAACAGUAGGAUAUCAACCUGAAACCCUUACACAUAGAUUAUAAAAUUUCAAAUGUAUACAUAUGCAAUCAAAAUGUUUGUUAUAAAACCUCCUUCCUUCUAGUAAAAAAUAUGCAACAAGAAGUAAUAUUGGGAACACCUUUCUUAACUCUACUUUAUCCAUUUAAAGUAGAUAAAGAAGGAAUAAAAACAAUUAUAAAGGGCAAACGAUUUGUUUUGAGUUUGCUAGUCCUAUCAAACACAAAGAACUUAGCCUUCUCCACAAUGAUGGAAUGAAGCAACUGAAUUUAAUUCAAAAGAAAAAAAAACAUAUCAAAUUCCUAAGUAAAGAAAUUCAUUAUCAAAGAAUAGAAGAAAACCUCCUUCAAAGACAGAUCCAAGAUAUAAUAAAUAAAGUCAAAAACCAAAUUGAAACAUAACUAUGCUCUUCAGUUCCUAAUGCUUUUUGGGACACAAAGAAACAUGAAGUUUCUUUGCCUUAUAUAGAAGGAUUUAAUGAAAAUCAAAUUCCUACUAAGGCAAGGCCCAUUCAAAUGAAUGAACAUAUGUUAGAAUAUUAUAAGAAAGAAAUUUAAGAUCUCUUGGACAAUAACCUAAUAUGAAAAAGCCACUCACCUUGGAUUUGUGCGGCAUUUUAUGUUAAAAAGCCUUCAGAGAUUGAAAGAGGUGUUCCAAGACUUGUAAUCGAUUACAAGCCCUUAAAUAAGGUCCUCAAAUGUAUUGGGUAUCCAAUACCUAAUAAACGAGAUCUUAUUGGACGUCUUCAUAAUGCUUUGAUCUUUUCAAAAUUUGACAUGAAGUCUGGAUUUUGGCAAAUUCAACUUCAUGAAAAAGACAAAUACAAAAUUGCAUUCACAGUUCCAUUCGGGCACUAUGAAUGGAAUGUGAUGCCAUUCGUUUUGAAGAGUGCUCCUUCAGAAUUUCAAAAUAUAAUGAAUGGCAACUUCAAUCCCCAUACUAACUUCUCUAUAGUAUACAUUGAUGAUGUACUUAUAUUUUUUUAAUUCCAUUGAGCAUUAGUUUAAACAUCUAAACAUCUUUCAAAAUAUUGUUAAAGAAAAUGGUUUAGUGGUUUUAGCCCCUAAGAUUAAACUAUUUCAAACCAAGAUUAAGUUCUUAGGAUUCGAAAUAUACCAAAGGAAAGUCAAACCUAUUCAAAGAUCUAUAGAGUUUGCUAGCAAGUUUCUUGAUGAAAUCAAAGAAAAAACCCAACUUUAAAGGUUUUUAGGAAGUCUGAAUUAUGUGUUGGACUUCUACCCAAAUCUUAAAACCUUAAUCAAACCCUUCUAUCAUAGGCUUAGACAAAAUCCCAAGCCCUAGACUCAAGAACACACAUAUAUAAUCAAAAUUGUCAAACAAUAGUUUAAAAGUCUUCCUUGCUUAGAAAUCCUUAAUCUUUUAGUAUUUCCUAUUAUAGAAACAAAUGUCUCUAAUAUAUGGUGAUUACUACUCAAAAAGUGUUAUUUUAUAGCUUGUAAUUAACUCUUUUAAACACUUUUGAGUAGUAGUUAUUACCUUUUAACUCAAUUGGCAUGUUAAGGACCCUUGCAAUCGUUUCUAAUCAAAUUGUGUUAAGUUUUGGUGUUUUUCAUAGCUUUUUGAUCACUAAAGCAAUCCAAGAAUGAGGGAGAUCUUUGUAUAGUUCAUGGAAAAGCAAUUUGAAGCUCAAAUUCAUGAAAAAAACUAAGCUUUGGAGCUUCAUAACCCUUUGCCAAAGCCAAACGAGGAUACAAGGAAGAAAAUCACAGAAGAAAUCAACCAUCCAGCAAUUUCGCAAGUUGUGGAAUCCAACUUGCAAAAUUUUCUCAACUUGGAAAUAGGAAGAGCAAAGAAAUCGCUGCAAGAUAGAGAACUAAUUAGUUGCAGGACAAUUUCGCAACUUGUGAAACCACAAUUUCAACUUGCAAAAUGGACAAUUUCAACUUGCAAAAUUUUCGCAAGUUGCGUUUGAACUUGCGAAAUCCACCUGUAAUCUGAGAUAUUUGCGCUCCUACUCCGUUUGAUGUUUAUCUUCAGAUAUUUGUGUGUAAAUCCCUAUUUUCUCCUUGUAACCCACCAAUGACAAGUUUUUUUAUUGGAAAAUUAGCAGAAGGGAUGAAUAGCCUCUCUAUAUAAUAUCUAUUGUAAUGUUCUUUUAAAAAGAUCUCUAGGGAGUUUUUCUCGAAGACGAACUUUGUAUAGUUUUUCAGAAAGUAAUACACAGAGCUUUGCUCUAUCUUACCUUCUCAUUUUGUUUUCUCUUUUAUUUUUAUUUCUAGCAAAUCAAACUCUGAGGAUGUUUUCCUAGAGGAUGAGUGGCUAGGCUUUUUGUUUCUUGGAGUGAAGAAAGCUAGGUAAGGUUCCGAAUACAAAAGUGGAAGUUUCGUUGUUUCAAUUUUUAAUGAAGAGAAAGUGUGACCCGUUAAUGGUUUUUAUCUUUUUAAUUAACUUAAAAUCCCUUAAAAUCACCUGGGCCAACACUUGGUAAGGCAAGUGGACUCCGUCCGUUGAGAUCCACUAAUUUAUCUCUUGCGAGCCUCUGAAGGUGGUUUAAAGGUAGGAUUAUCUAGAAUAGCCAACACUUGGUAAGCUUUUGAACUCCUAGGAGACAUCCAUUAGUUAUCUCUUGCGAGCUUUUGACGGGUAAUCCAAGGUUAAGGAUCACCUUGAAUGGCCAAUACUAGGUGAGAGGUAUGAACCAUUGCAAGACGAUUCAGUGACAGGGAUUUAGUGUUUGAAACCAUUAAGGGGAAGCAUUUGUACCACACCGGUUCAGGAAAUAACUAUAUGUUAAAUCUCCAAUGCGAGGAAAAGAUCCAAGUGACCGGAAUCUCCCUUUUUGUAUAAGGAACCUGAGCCUAGUGAUCUAAAACUCCAAGAAGCACUUUUCUUUGUAAGUAAUUUUAGUUACUUUAUUUUUUGUUUCACUUAAAACCAACCUUUUCACACAUACUUAUGUUUUCUUUUAAAGUUAACCUUGAAAAGAAAAAACACCAAUUUAGUUUUUGAACUAAUAUCAGUUGUAAUUUGAAAACCCAUCUCUGUGGACGAUCCUAAAGCCACUUUGCUAUGCUAGCUAAUGCUACCCUAGUAUAUGGUGAAAUAGGUUUAUAAAUUUUGUUAAUUACUCCCGUUUGAGGACUGAAAUCAAAGCACACCAGUUGGUUAAACACCAAUCAACAGGGCAUACACCAGCUGGGCACGAAUCAAAUGGUGCCGUUAUCGGGGAUGGUGCCAACUUUACAGUGAUAUAACCUUUUCCAAAACACUUGUGAUCUUCAUGACAAGUUUGAUGACUUUUCUCUUCUUUUACUAACUCUUUUUAAUUGUUUUUUUUACUUGUUCAUAUUUUAGCCUAUCUUUUAAUUUAGUUUUUAGUUAAUCUUAGUUUUUUUUUUGUAGUAUUGUUUUCUUUUGUUUUCUUUGUUUUUGUUACAGUUGUUACUAGUUGUGUAUGCCAUAUUGGAUACGAGACAGUGGAGGAAGACAUGUGAAAAUUGAAACACCUCACAAAACAGGGUUGGAAUUGUGCUUGAACAUCAUGGAAGCUACACCUGAAGAUCAGCAUAGUCACCAUGGUCAGCAGGACAAUCCUAAUGCAUUCAGAUCAAUGAGGAACCGCAUGCAUCCACCUCGUAUGAGUGCACCAUCAUGCAUAGUGCCUCCUAUAGAGCAGCUAGUAAUCAGACUACAUAUUGUGCCACUUCUACCUACUUUCCAUGGGAUGGAAAGUGAGAAUCCCUAUGCGCAUAUUAAAGAAUUUGAAGACAUUUGUAAUACAUUCCAAGAGGGAGAAGCUUCAAUCGACUUGAUGAGGCUAAAACUAUUUCCUUUCACUCUAAAGGAUAAGGCCAAAAUUUGGCUUAAUUCUUUAAGGCCAAGGAGUAUCUGAAAUUGGACUGAUUUGCAAGCUGAAUUUCUCAAGAAAUUUUUCCCUACUCAUAGGACCAAUGGCUUGAAAAGGUAAAUUUCAAACUUCUCAAUUAAAGAGAAUGAGAAAUUCUAUGAGUGUUGGGAGAGAUACAUGGAAGCUAUCAAUGCUUGUCCUCACCAUGGCUUUGAUACAUGGAUAUUGGUGAGCUACUUUUAUGACAGUAUGUCUUCCUCAAUGAAACAACUCCUAGAGACUAUGUGCGAAGGAGAUUUCAUGAGUAAGAAUCUGGAGGAAGCCAUGGAUUUCUUGAAUUAUGUUGUUGUCAAGAUGAUGGGAUGAACCAAACAGGGGAGAAGUGGGAAGAAUGAAGUUUCAACCAAAUGCUCUUAAUGCUAAGGUUGGGAUGUAUACCUUGAACGAAGAUAUUGACAUGAAAGCAAAAGUUGAGCUAUGACAAGAAGAUUGGAGGAGCUAGAACUGAAAAAGAUACAUGAAGUGCAAGCCAUUUCUGAAACACCAGUGCAAGUUAUGCCCUGUUCCAUUUGUCAAUCUUAUGAGCACUUGGUGGAGGAGUGUCCUACAAUUCCAGCUGUUAGAGAAAUGUUUGGAGAUCAAGUAAAUGUUAUUGGACAAUUCAAGCUCAAUAACAAUGCUUCAUAUGGAAAUACCUACAAUUCAAAUUGGAGGAAUCAUCCAAAUUUCUCCUGGAAACCAAGAGCACUUCAGUACAUGCAACCAGACCAAGCAUCUCAACAAACUUCAAAUCUUGAGCAAGCAAUAGUGAAUCUAAGCAAGGUCGUGGGAGAUUUUGUUGGAGACCAGAAAUCCAUCAACGAUCAACUCAGUUAAAGAAUCGAUAGUGUAGAGAAUACGGUGAAUAAAAGGAUGGAUGGAAUGCAAAAUGAUCUAUCUCAGAAGAUAGAUAAUCUCCAAUACUCAAUCUCAAGGCUCACCAACCUUAACACAGUGCAAAAGAAAGGAAGGUUUCCUUCUCAACCUCACCAAAACCCCAAGGGUAUCCAUGAAGUGAAGGCUCAUGAGGGAAAAUCUUCAUAGGUGGGGGACAUCAAAGCCAUGAUCACUCUGAGGAGUGGUAAAGAGGUUGGGCUGCCAACACCUAAGCUACAUGAUGAAAUAGAGAGUGAAAAAGAGACAGAGAAGAUGGAGGAAAUCAAAGGAAAGAAGAAAGGGAGCAGUGGAAGGAAAGAGGACCAUGAUUCAACAGUGAAUGAAGAUCCGGAAAAGAUAGUUAUCAAUGAAGAUGUGAUGAAGAAACACAUGCCUCCACAUUUUCCUCAAGCUUUGCAUGGGAAAAAGGGAAUCAACAAUGCAUCAGAAAUUCUUGAAGUAUUGAGGCAAGUGAAGGUCAACAUCCCAUUGCUAGACAUGAUCAAACAAUUGUCGACUUAUGCAAAAUUCCUGAAGGACUUGUGCACUAUAAAAAAAGGGUUGAAUGUGAAUAAGAAAGCCUUCUUGACUGAGCAAGUAAGUGUCAUCAUACAGUGCAAGUCUCCAGUGAAGUAUAAAGAUCUGGGUUGUCCUACCAUCUCAGUGAUGAUUGGAGGGAAGUUAGUGGAGAAAGCUUUGUUGAACUUGGGGGCAAGUGUGAAUUUGCUACCAUACUCUGUCUACAAGCUAUUGGGACUUGGUGAAUUGAAGCCAACAUCAAUCACUCUAUCUCUAGUAGAUAGAUCAGUGAAGAUUCCAAGAGGGAUGAUUGAAGAUGUCUUAGUUCAAGUUGACAAUUUCUACUAUCCAGUGGAUUUUGUUGUUCUUGAUACGGACCCAAUUGUCAAAUGAACUAAUUAUGUUCCUAUCAUACUUGGAAGACCAUUCCUACCUACAUCAAAUGCAAUCAUCAAUUGUAGGAAUGGACUCAUGCAACUCAUGUUUGGCAACAUGACAUUAGAGCUCAAUAUCUUCUAUAUGUGCAAGAAGCCAAUCAAUCCGGAAGAAGAAGAAGGUCCAGAAGAGGUGUGCAUCAUUAACACUUUAGUGGAGGAGCAUUGUAAUAAAAAAAAUACAAGAGGAGUUGAAUGAAAGUCUUGGGGAUCUUGAUGAAGGGUUACCUGAACCCUCAUAUUUGCUUGCUACUCUACCACCUUAGAGGAGGAUAGAAUAAAUUCUACAUUUGUUCAAUGAGGAAGAGACACAAGAAGCUGUUAAAUAGGAGGCCUCAAAGUUUAUUCUGAAGCCACUACCCACGGAGUUGAAGUAUGCAUACCUAGAAGAGAAUAAGAAGUGCCCCGUUGUUAUAUCUUCAUCUCUUACCACUCUUCAGGAGGAGUGUUUACUUGAAGUUCUCAGAAGAUGUAAGAAAGCAAUAGGAUGGCAAAUAUCUGACUUGAAAGGUAUUAGCCCUUUAGCCUAUACACAUCAUAUAUACAUGGAAGAAGAAGCUAAGCCAGUUCGUCAACCUCAAAGAAGAUUGAAUCCUCAUAUGCAAGAGGUGGUGCGAGCUGAGGUUCUUAAGCUACUUCAAGCCGGUAUUAUCUAACCCAUAUCAGAUAGCCCAUGAGUAAGUCCUACUCAAGUAGUGCCAAAGAAAUCAGGGAUCACAGUGGUGCAAAAUGAUAAGGGAAAAGAAGUUGGUACAUGUCUCACUUCAGGUUGGAGGGUGUGUAUUGAUUAUAGAAAACUGAAUGUUGUGACAAGGAAGGAUCAUUUUCCAUUGUCAUUUAUUGAUCAAGUGUUGGAGAGAGUCUCAGGCCAUCCUUUCUAUUGUUUCUUGGACGGCUACUCCAGGUAUUUUCAAAUAGAAAUUGAUGUUGAAGACCAGGAGAAGACCACUUUCACAUGUCCAUUUGGAACAUAUGCCUACAGAAGAAUGCCUUUUGGUUUAUGCAAUGCACCUACAACAUUCCAAUGAUGUAUGUUAAGUAUUUUCAGUGAUAUGGUGGAGCGUAUUAUGGAAGUUUUUAUGGAUGAUAUUACCAUAUAUGGAAGCACAUUUGAGGAAUGCUUAGUCAACUUGGAAGCUGUUCUGAACCGAUGCAUUGAAAAGAACUUAGUGCUUAACUGGGAGAAAUGUCAUUUUAUGGUACAUCAAGGAAUUGUCCUUGGCCACAUCAUCUCCAAGAAAGGCAUUGAAAUUGAUAAAACAAAGGUGGAACUUAUUGUCAAAUUGUCAUCCCUAACAACUAUAAAAGGAGUAAGGCAAUUCCUUAGCCAUGUUGGGUUCUAUAGAAGGUUUAUUAAAGAUUUCUCUAAACUUUCAAAGCCUCUUUGUGAACUAUUGGUGAAGGAUGUUAAAUUCGUAUGGGAUGAGAGAUGUCAAAAGAGUUUUGAGCAACUAAAAUAGUUCUUGACAACCGCUCCAAUAGUGAGGGCUCCUAACUGGCAACUACCUUUUGAAGUGAUGUGUGAUGCCAGUGACUUUGCUAUAGGAGUUGUUCUGGGUCAAAGAGAGGAUGGAAAGCCCUAUGUGAUCUACUAUGCAAGCAAAACAUUGAACGAAGCGCAAAGAAACUACACAACCACAAAGAAAAAAUUGUUGGCUAUAGUUUUUACCUUGGACAAAUUUCAUGCUUAUCUGGUAGGGUUUUUCAUUGUGGUUUUCAUUGACCACUCAGCUUUGAAGUACUUAUUGACAAAGUAAGAUGCAAAAGCAAGGCUGAUUAGAUGGAUUCUCUUACUACAAGAGUUCAAUCUCCAAAUUAAAGACAAGAAAGAAGUGGAGAAUGUGGUAGCUGACCACCUUUCAAGGCUGGCUAUAGCGCAUAAUUCCCAUGGUUUGCCUAUUAAUGAUGAUUUUUCGAGGGAGUCACUCAUGUUGUUAGAAGAUGCUCCUUGGUAUACUCAUAUUUCUAACUAUCUAGUUACUAGUGAAGUUCCAAGUGGGUGGAAAGCACAAUAUAGGAAGAACUUUUUCUUUUCAAGUAUUGUGCAGAUCAAAUAAUAAGGAAGUGUGUCCCUAAACAAAAGCAAUAGGGGAUCCUCAGUCAUUGCCACAAAAGCGCAUGUGGAGGCCACUUUGCCUCUUAGAAAACAACCAUGAAGGUGUUGCAAUCAGGUUUUAGUUGGCCAUCACUUUUCAAAUAUGCUCACACCAUGUGCAGGAGCUAUGAUAGAUGCCAAAGGCUUGGGAAGUUAACACGUAGGAACCAAAUGCCUAUGAACCCCAUUUUAAUAGUUGAUCUUUUCGAUGUUUGGGGCAUUGACUUCAUAGGACCUUUCCCUAUGUCUUUUGGUAACUCUUACAUUUUGGUGAGGGUAGACUAUGUUUCUAAAUGGGUUGAGGCAAUCCCAUGUAAACACAAUGACCACAAAGUUGUUCUCAAGUUUCUCAAAGAGAACAUCUUCUCAAGAUUUGGGGUGCCCAAGGCCAUAAUCAGUGAUGGAGAUACUCAUUUUUGCAACAAGCCUUUUAAAACUCUCUUAGCCAAGUAUGGGGUGAAGCACAAGGUAGCUACACCUUACCACCCUCAAAAUUCUGGGCAAGUUGAGUUAGCAAACAGGGAAAUCAAGAAUAUAUUGAUGAAGGUAGUGAACACGAGUAGAAGAAAUUGGUCUGUUAAGCUCCAUGAUUCACUAUGGGCAUACAGAACAGCUUACAAGACUAUUCUUGGCAUGUCUUCUUAUCGCCUAGUCUAUGGCAAAUCAUGCCAUCUCCCUAUGAAAGUUGAAUACAAGGCUUGGUGGGUAAUUAAGAAGGUAAACAUGGACUUGAACAAAGUCGGGAUGAAGAGAUGCUUAGAUCUUAAUGAGAUGGAGGAAUUGAGAAAUGAUGCCUACAUCAAUUCCAAAAUUGCAAAACAGGGGAUGAAGAGGUGGCAUGAUCAGUUAAUAUCUAACAAAGAAUUUCAAAAGGGACAAAGAGUCUUACUCUAUGACUAUAGGCUCCACAUCUUUCCAAGAAAGCUCAAAUCAAGGUGGAUAGGCCCUUUCAUUAUUCACCAAGUGCAUUCCAAUGGAAUAGUGGAACUACUCAAUUCCAACAGCACAAACACUUUCAAAGUCAAUAGUCACCGUCUCAAGCCAUUCAUGGAGCCUUUCAAUCAAGACAAUGAGGAAGUCAGUCUCCUUGAGCCACAACAAUCUUAACCAAAAAGGGGUAGAUGGACUUAGUAUUUCUAAAGACUAACCAAAGUCCAUGUUUUUUGUUUCAAUUUUGUUGAUUUAAAAGCUUUAUUAUUUGUUUUAAUUUUAAUUCUAGCUUUAAUUUAUUUUAUUUUGAUCUAACUUAGACUUUUUGGAUGAUCAAAAUUAGAAGGAACUUCAAAGGAAUUGAAGGAAAGCCUUAAAGAACCAAAGAAGGAGAAAAAGCCUGAAAAACAAAGCAAUAUUUCAACUUGCAAAAAUUUCGUAAGUUGAAAUUCCAACUUGCGAAAAUGGGGGCCAACUUGCGAAAUCCUCAAAGCUCAAAUUCGCAAGUCCACCAUUCAACUUGCAAAAAUUUUCGCAGCCUGCGAAAGCACCUCCAAGCACACAUGUGCCAUUUCGCAAGUUCGUUUUCCAUUUUCACAGCCUAUGAAUCAACUUACGAAUCAAGUUGCGAAAUGGGGCAACUUGCGAAUUCCAGGGAACUUGCAAAAAUGCCAACCGUCAUUAAAUCCAUAUUUAAACCCCUAAUUCUUCCAUUUUCAUUUUGCACAGCCAUUCCAAGUUGCGAAAAAGCCCUAUCAAGUUGUAAAGCCCCAAAUUCCAGAGCAUCUCCUCCAUUGUAAGCCCUAAGGUCGUGCAUCUGAAGAGGAAACGCCUCCGCGUACCCAACAUGCACCCUGUGGAACACAAGCCGAGAAAUUCCUCUCCAUUUCAGCCAUGGCCAAGACAAGAGGAGCCCAUGUCGUGUUUCCAUCAACUCGCAAUCCAAGGCCAAGAGCUUUACCUGCACGGGAUUCCACAUCUGAGGCCCCAUAGGCCCCUACCAUUCCACCUUUUGAGGGUAGAGUGCGAUCUAACCCUCCUCAGCAUAGGUAUGAAACGAGGAGACCACCCACUACACUUGGGGCAAGCACUUUGCGCCCCAAGAGAUCAGUUCGUCACCCUCCUGCAAAGAAAGCUAAAGUUUCAGGCCCAGGAGAGUCAUCUGCACCUCCACACCCUCAGCCGCCUGCUAUAGAGUCUCAGAUUCCUUCUAGGAUGACUCCAGAAGCAAUUAUCAAGCGACCUAUGGUUACACAACCACCUAUUGAGGGAAAUUUGGAUUACAGAGCUAGGCUAUUCCACUCCAAGCUAUGUUUUGAUAUGUAGACUUUCAAACAGAAGCCGAAGCUUAGAGAUUCAUUCCGCCUACUACAGAGAUACCAUUUGGAGCACCUGAUGACUCCUAGAGACUUCUUCUAUCCUAGAGUAGCACUAGACUUCUAUCAGUCUAUGACUACUCAUCACGUCCAGAAUCCUAAUGUCACACUUCACUAUUGAUGGACGCCAUGGUAUCCUUGGAGCUAGACAGAUUGCAGAGGCCCCGCAUAUUCCAUAUGAGCCUGUGAGUCCAGCAGAUUUCAGAGAGUGGUCCCAUUUUUCUCAGAGAGACAUGGUCCGUAUAUUGUCCAGGGGGACCUCUACACGCUCAUUUCUUCUAAGGAAAGAGCUUCCACCUGGGAUGCUCCUUGUAGAUGUGGUGUUGCGCUCCAACAUCUUUCCACUUCAGCAUAUGGUGCAAAGUAGAGGAGCUAUAUUGGAGUUUUAUUCCGAAUAUCAGAGGGUUUCUGCUUUGGCCCUCAUCAUUUGAUUAUGACCUCUCUUCUCCACUUUGAAGAGAAGGUCCACAGGAAGAAGCUCCAAAGAGCAUAUGCCAUUCCAUUACUUUUUCCCAGGCUACUCUGUCAGAUAUUAGAGCAUUUGGGUUAUCCUUCUGAGCCUCAGCUUGAGCGUCACCGCAUUUUUCGAGAGCUAUUCACUCUUAACAAAUGAAAUCAUUUAACGGCCUAUGUUGCACCUCCAAGAGCCCCAGAUAUGCCAGCACCUCUAAAGCCACCACAGGAUGAGCAGCCACCACAGACACAACAAGCACAGUAGGCUGAGAUACCUACAGAGAUCAUACCACCUGCCCCUGCAGCACCUUCUACAGUGCCCACACCUGAGGCUACAUCUUUUGCUCCUCCUACCACUCCUAAAGCUCCACCAGUUGUACCAGUUACAUCAUCACCUCCUCCAUCUAAGUCCUCUAUCACCAUAUCCACUUCAGAGUUUAGAGGCCUAUGUGAUACAUUGCAAACAUUGAGCACCACUCAAGGUGCUCUCUUCCAGCAGAUGGCAGUCAUACGUGCACAUCAGGAUCAGCUUAUUACCAUGCAAACCCAGCAUACUACCAUCAUUAGUCAGAUACAGCAGCAUUUGGGUAUUCUGCCACCACCUGAGCAUGAUAUGCCUAGCCCAUCAGAGCCUACAGCUCCAUUUAAGGAAGCUACUCCAGCAGAGCAGACUAUGCCUCAUGAGGAGACUACUACAGCAGAGGUCGAGACUCCUAUCCAGAGCACUCAGGAGACCACAGUAAAGUCAUUGUCUCCACAUGAUCCUCCCACCACUACCUGAUCAUCUAUAUACUUUUUGUAUUUACUUAUUAUAGCAGAACUGUUAAUCUCAUGUUUUUUAUGUUUUCUAUAUUGGGAUUGGAUGUAGUACUUGCGCAUACUUUCUUAAAGUAAUACAUAUCCAUCAUUUUUUAGUAUACUUGGCAUAUUUUUAUUUAUUUCCUCUACUCAUUAUUUUUUUUUUAGUUUUUUGAAUCAUGUGGUUUCUCCUAUACAAUUCAGACUCUAUUCCACUCAGGAGGUACCACUUCCUCCCUUUAUUUUCAAUUACUCUUCACACAUUGAGGGCAAUGUUUAGCAUGGUUAGGGGGAGUUGAGAAAGGAAGUAUUUUUUAUAAUGCUAGGUUAUAAAUGGUAAUUUAGUUACUUUUUGUUUAAAUUUUUUUAAAAAUAAAAUUAAAUACUCUUCAUGGUUAUCAAGGAAAAAUUCUCAAAAUGAAAUGGGAGAAAUUGAAUUUUUGUCUUUUUACUUGACUUAGAGUUUGUAUUAUGCUUAUUAAAGUUGAUGAACUGUUGAAAAUUCUAUUGAAUUCAACCUUAUUUCUUCCACUUUAAGCUUACCACACACUGUGCACACUAGGUUCCGAUUAUAAGAUGAAAAACUAUUUCACCCAUUGACUUAGGAAAUUUUAAACUUGGUACCUUUGACCUCAUUUUAAUAAUUUUGGGACACCUUAGAAAAGGCCGAUGAGCCUUUGAAAAGAGAAUAAAGAAAAAAAAAUGUUUUACUUGCCUUGAAACCCGAGCAAGGUCUGAGGAGUAUAUGGUAAAAAUCUUUAAAACCUGAUGCCCUAAACCUUCAUUGGUUGGGAGUCACCAACCUCAAUGCUCGUUACAAGGGUGAAUAGGUGGAGUUUAACAUACUGUAGGUGCUUGGGUAUUGAAUUCCAAUCUCAAAAGUCCGGGGUAAAAUCCGAGGAGUUAGUAGUCGAAAGAUCCUUAAGCUUGAUGCCCUAAACCUUAAUUAGUUGGGAGUCAUCGAUGGACCCCCGUUACAUGGACAAUUUAGAAAAGAAUACCUUUAAGCUUUGUACUCCUACAAGAAAAAAAAAGUGUGAAAUAAAUGAGAUGUGUUCUUAGCCUAUUGGAGGUUGUCAGUUUGCUAAGAUUUGAAAAAGAGCUAAGUUGGGGGGAGAGAUUAGUUCAGCAUACUAUAUUCAGAAACUAAUAAGUAACACUUAGAUUUUUGUGGAAGAGUAAGGAUUGACCCUUUGGGAGUGGAAAUUCUUUUAAAGCUUAAAUUUGCAUAAUGUCUUCUCUUUAUGAAUUGUGAUUAGGCAAUUUAUUUGAUAACUCUUGUUGAAGUUUGAGUUUUAUAUCUUUAAUGUUCCAUGUGAGAGUAUGAUCAUCAUGCCACUUGAAAUUUUUUAGAAUGAUCAGCAUGAUGUUGCAAAUUAUAGUACUAUUUAUUUUUAUUUUUCUCUCUUUCAUUACUAAGGGACUAGUAAUAUGUCGGUUGGAUGGAGUGAUUACUACUCAAAAAGUGUUAUUUUAUAGCUUGUAAUUAACUCUUUUAAAUACUUUUAAGUAGUAGUUAUUACUUUUUAACUCAAUUGGCAUGUUAAGGACCCUUGCAAUCGUUUCUAAUCAAAUUGUGUUAAGUUUUGGUGUUUUUCAUAGCUUUUUUAUCACCAAAGCAAUCCAAGAAUGAGGGAGAUCUUUGUAUAGUUCAUGGCAAAGCAGGUUGAAGCUCAAAUUCAUGAAGAAACUAAGCUUUGGAGCUUCAUAAGCCUUUGCCAAAGCCAAACGAGGAUGCAAGGAAGAAAAUCACAGAAGAAAUCAACCAUCCAGCAAUUUUGCAAGUUGUGGAAUCUAACUUGCGAAAUUUUCGCAACUUGCGAAAUAGGAAGAGCAAAGGAAUCGCUGCAAGACAGAGAGCUGAUUAGUUGCAAGACAAUUUCGUAGCUUGCGAAACCACAAUUUCAACUUGCGAAAUUUUCGUAAGUUGCGUUUGAACUUGCUAACUCCACCUGUAAUCUGAGAUAUUUACGCACCGACUCCGUUUGAUGUUUAUCUUCAGAUAUUUGAGUGUAAAUCCCUAUUUUCUCCUUGUAACCCACCAAUGACAAGUUUUCUUGGUUGGGAAGUUAGCAGGAGGGGUGAAUAGUCUCUCUAUAUAAUAUCUAUUGUAAUUUUCUUUUAAAAAGAUCUCUGAGGAGUUUUUCUCGGAGACAAACUUUGUAUAGUUUUUCAAAAAGUAAUACACAGAGUUCUGCUCUACCUUACCUUCUCAUUUUGUUUUCUAUUUUAUUUUUAUUUCUAGCAAAUCAAACUCUAAGGAUGUUUUCCCAGAGGAUGAGUGGCUAGGCAUUUUGUUUCUUGGAGUGAAGGAAGCUAGGUAAGGUUCCGAAUACAAAAGUGGAAGUUUCGUUGUUUUAGUUUUCAAUGAAGAGAAACUGUGACCCGUUAAUGGUUUUUAUCUUUUUAGUUAACUUAAAAUCCCUUAAAAUCACCUGGGCCAACACUUAGUAAGGCAAGUGGACUCCAUCCAUUGAGAUCUACUAGUUUAUCUCUUGCAAGCCUCUAGAGGUGGUUUAAAGGUAGGAUUAUCUAGAAUAGCCAACACUUGGUAAGCUUUUGGACUCCUAGGAAACAUCCAUUAGUUAUCUCUUGCGAGCUUUUGACGGGUAAUCCAAGGUUAAGGAUCACCUUGAAUGGCCAAUACCAGGUGAAAGGUAUGAACCAUUGCAAGAUGAUUCAGUGACAGGGAUUUAGUGUUUAAAACCAUUAAGGGGAAGCAUCUGUACCACACCAGUUCAGGAAAUAACUAUAUGUUAAAUCCCCAAUGCGUGGAAAAGGUCCAAGUGACCGGAAUCUCCCUUUUUGUAUAAAGAACCUGAGCCUAGUGAUCUAAAACUCCAAGAAGUACUUUUCUUUGUAAGUAAUUUCAGUUACUUUAUUUUUUGUUUCACUUAAAACCAACCUUUUUACACAUACUUAUGUUUUCUUUUAAAGCUAACCUUGAAAAGAAAAGACACCAAUUCAAUUUUUGGAACUAAUAUCAGUUGUAAUUUGAAAACCCAUCCCUGUGUACAAUCCUAUAGCCACUAUGCUAUGCUAGCUAAUGCUACCCUAGUAUAUGGUGAAAUAAGUUUAUAAAUUUUGUUGAUUACUCCCGUCUGAGAACUGAAAUCAAAGCACACCAAUUGAUUGAACACCAAUCAACAGGGCAUACACCAGUUGGGCAUGAAUCAUAUGGUAUGGUGGUAUUCUCAAACAAAAUUUUCAAAAUCAAAUGUCCAUUGCCUAUUUUUAUUCAAGAAUAUGGAGUGGACCCCAAGAAAACUAUUUAACUAUUAAAAAAGAAAUUUUGGCAAUUUUUUUAUACAUUCAAAUAUUUCAAGAAGAUGUUUUUAAUAAAAAAAAAAAUUCUUCUUUGAGUUGAUUGCAAAAGUGCCAAAGAAAUUAUUCAUAAGGAUGUUCAAAAUAUUAUUUAAAAAUAGAUUUUUGCUUGAUGGCAAGCACUUUUAUCUUCUUUUUUUUUUUUGAAAUUGAAUUUGUAAAAAAAGAUUCAAACUCUCUCCCUGAUUUUCUCUCUCAGGAAUUUCUACAGGGAAAAUGAGCAACUCAAAAUCCAACAAACACAUGCCCAAUUCAAAAGCAUCUUAUGUUAUACUUAUUGAAAAACCUAAAGUUUCGAAGACCCAAUCUCAAACCCCUAUUUCAAACCAAUUCCAAGUCUUAGGAAAUAUUCCUAAGCCUUCUCAAACCUUUGCCUAUGCAACCCAAACCUCAAAAUAGGCGUCUUGCAAUUAUGUUACAAAAGGCCAUUUGAUGAAGGUGUGGAUUCUUGAAUCUCACCACUUUUCAAAGUCUGGUUCGUUGGACAUUACAAAAAUAUUUUCAAAAGGAAUUUUUUUUUUUCAAAAUGAUUUAGUCAAAAUAAGAAAAUUUUAUGAGUUUAUCCUAGUUGAUAUUGACUCUGUGGAAAUCACUCAUAUACAAAACAAGGAUUCCACAUACAUUUGCUAUUCAAAAUGUAAAAUUUUCAAAAUUAUUUUCAGAAACCCAAUGGGGACAGUCUCCUGAUACCUAUAACAUGUUUCUCAAAACUUCAAACCAGCAUCAUACGAUUAUCAUGAUUAUGUAGAUGCUUGGUUUUACACAUUUUUCUUCAAUUUUUUUUUAUUUAUCAUUCUUGGUUCUUCCAAUGGAAUGAUAAAAUUAAAAAUGACUUUUCAAAUUCGUUUCAAGAAUGGUGGCUAUGUUUUGGCACCAUCCCUGAAAUCUUUUGUCCUCAAAUCAAAUCUACCUAUGAUUAUUUCAAAGAGCAUGUUAGGAGAUUGAUCCCUACUCCUUGUUUUCAAGCCCUUUUCUUCACUUCUAGAUUCCAAAUCCCAUGGAUUCUAUGUUGGGACUUUGUCAAAACACAAAUGAUCAAAAGUUCAUUUCCCACGCAUUUGGCAAAGGAAUUUAAAGUCAAAUGGUGGUCAAACUUUGUACCUGCCACUUCCUAGUAACUUCCUCAUAUAAAAAAUUGGAAUGCAACACAUGCUCUUUCCAAUAUUGAAACACUUUUUCAAAUACCUUCUCUUCUUUCAAAUAACUUUAUCCCCUCUCAAAAAGUCUCUCUUGCAAUACUUUCUUCAAACAAGUAGUUUCAGGCUCAUCUCAAGUUUUUAUAGCAAUAAGCCACUAAAACCUUGUCAUAGCUUGGUUCUGCUUAUGAUGACGACACUACUUCCCCAAGCUUUAAAGAGCCUUAAAAUGAAGACAUGUGCUAUAAAAUGCCAUACAUGGCCUUGGAGUGAUGCUUCAAAAGCCUCUUCAAAAACAAUAUUCAAAUCUCUUCAAAAGUCGGAAUUGGGAGGUCAUGUCAACCGACAGUUGGUAGUUCUCUCCUUGGAUUAUACCUUCUAAAGAGAUUUUGGACAUCGUGGCAAGCUUUUAAAACUUUUCAAGACAAUCAAAUUUUCAACAACUAGAUGAAACUUUCAUCCUGUUGUGGACUUCAAAAUUUUCAAAUCCUGGUGGACACCUCAACAAAACUGCCUACAAAACAGUGGACUCAAACUUGUGGAUUUCAAAACCAUUGACAACUGGCAUAUGAUGACAAGUUACUUUCGAUGGAUCCAAAGUCUUUCAAAUUCGUGGAUUUUAAAGCUUUUCAAAUAUGUCACUAGAGCUCUAUAUAAGGGGUCUCUUCCUUCAUUGUGGGACAUUAGCCAAAAUUUGUGAGAGUUGAGAGAAACUAGUUGUGAGAAAAUCCAAAGCCUUGUAAUGAAGAGUUCUGCUUAAAGAAGCUCUACUCAAAGUUUGUAAUUUUCAAAAGUUUGCGUGUUCUCCUAUUUUAAUAACAUUUUAAAUUCCAAAUUCAAUUUUUGUCUUUCUUAUUUUAAAUAUCUUGUUUGAGGAUGAUGAACUCUAUUGAAUCUUUGUCUAGUAGACUGGGUUUUAAGUGAGACUGCUUGUGACUCCUCCAGUCUUUACUGAGAGAAUUCAUCAAAGUUCAUAUUGAUUUUGAAAUUUGAAGUCUUUCAUCUUUCUCUUUUGAUUUCAAUUUCAAUCCUACUAAAAGUUGGUAUAAGAGCCAUGUCUUGUUCAUUUCAUUAUUUAAAUUUGCAUUUUAAUUUAUGAUUAUUUGUUUUAUGAUUCAAACAGUUAGUGUUGGUCAGUCCUCAGUUAGCGUUGUCAUUUGUUCCUUGAUUAUUGAUAAAUGAUUAGUCUAAAGACUUUUUUAGAGGAGAUAGAAACACUGUGAAACUCUCACUAUUACUCCACUCAAGAUCAUCCUUCAUUUAUAAAAAAAAACAUCUUAUAUUUGUUUCUAAAUCUUUAAUUUAAUAAAUAAGAUUAAAUGUAUUGUGUUUAAUUCUUUAUAAUUUAAAAAUAAAAAAUAAAAUUAUAAAAAUGGAUUUAAUUUCACUUAAAUUUUUUAUUUUCAUUUAUGUUAUAAAAUGGCAAUAUAUAUAUAUAUAUAUAUAAACCCAAGUGAUACUUCCUUGGAUUUAAAAUAAAAAAAUUAAUAAAUAUAUAAAUUGAAUGGAUAGAUUAUAACACAACCUCGAAAAUCAUAAAGCAUGUGCCUUAAAAGUAUCAAAAGUAUGGCAUUAUUCAAAAAGAGUAGGUAAUAGCAGCAGAUAUACCUAGUGCCUAAAAUUAAAAAUAUGUCUAGCCUUAUUCAAAAGUAGCCACUAGAAAGUGCCUUAAAAAAAAAAAAAGAGUGUUUAGCUAGGUUGGCAAUUCCAGACAAAGUUCCUAAGUGUCUCCUAACUCAAUUUUUCCAAUCCUUCUAUGGACUACUAACGAAGAUCAAGUUGUUGAAUUUGUCAAGAGACUAAGGUAUAUAGUUGAAGUUGGAGUUGGAUGGAAUUGAAUCAACCAUAUUAUUUAAAUGUUGUUUUACUUAAAUAUUUUUUAAGGAGUUAGGAAGGUUUAGGAAGUUGUUUUUUUUUUACUAAAUGUUCAAAAUGCACUGUUCCAGGAUCGGUCCAGCUUUAGGUUGGAUCGAUCCAACUUACAUUUUUUUGAUGAAAUUUCAUCCGUUGGAUCAAGGGCUUCCUUCAAUUUAAAAACCCAAAACUUGCUUCUUGUGUUGUAUGUAGUAAGAGACAUAGCAACAACCAUCCCCUUUGGUUCUCUUCUUCUUUCCUAUUUUGGAGUGUUUGGUUGUCAAGAAAAUCCAACUUUCCUAUUGUUUUCAAUGGAUUUUCUUGAGGAAAAAAAUAGGUUGAUUCAUUCUUUCAUUCAUCUUUCAAUUUCUAAUCUAUUUAGGUUUGGCUAAAAACCCAUUUUUUUCUUGUGUGGAUUCAAUAAGAGAUCGAGAUCAAGCUUGGUGUGGACUCUAAGUGUGCUCCAAAAGAAGAAUGUGGGAAGUUGAAAGUGAAAGGUACUAGUGAAGUGGUCUAUGAAUGAUUGGUAAGCUUGAGUUAGGUAAAACUUUGUAUUCAACUUUUGCUUUUCAUAGUGGACGUUUUUUUAUCAAUUGUAGGCCUGUCGUUUUUUUUUUUUUUUUUAAUCUUUUCGGAAGUUUUCCACGUUAAAAUUUAGUGUCAUUGUCUCAUUGUCUCAUUCUACUCUUUGAUUUAUUUUCAGUUUUUGAUAUCAUUGGUUACUUGGGCAUAUAUGUUGAAUGGAAGAAAAAUGAGUUGAAAUAGGAGUGAUUAUCCAUUGGAUAUCUUGAAUAAUUUUUCUAUUCAUUUUGGUAAUGAUAUCUUGUAGUAAUUGGAAAUGAGUUAAGAAGAGAAUUGUUCUUAUGAAUUAAUUUUGAGAGUGUUGAAGCAUUUGCAUAUAAAUUACAUUUAUAAAUUGUUGGAAAAGUGUUGUUGCAUUCAUACUUGCUUGUGAAUUUUAUUCUUUGUUGAAAAGAAGUUCAUAGACAUUGAGAAAUUUUAAGGUUAGGUAAUUUUUGUUGGGAGAUUUUUUUAAGUUUGUUCAACAACACCUAUUCAAUCCCCUCUCCCCUCUAGGUGUAAUCCAUUAUUGAGAUUCACCUUUAAAAAAGUAUAGUACUAGUAAAAAAAAAAAAGAAAAUAAAGGAUAGUAGCAUGAACAUUUAAUCCUAAAGUGUCAAUAGAUGUAGAUAUAUUUUUAAAAUAAAAAUAAUAAUACCUUUAUAUAAGAUAUAAUAAUUUUUAGAGAUUUAUAUUAAAAAAAUAGUGAUUGUAAAAACUAUUUUAAAAAUUUUAAGGUAUAAAAAAUAUAAAUUAAAUUUAUUAUUUUUGUAUAAGACUCUGCUUUUAUAUAAAAUAUUUUUAUUUUAAAAAUAAAAAAUAAAAAAUGUAUUAGACAUUUAAUAAUUUUUUUAACCCUCUAAAUUAUAUGGGUUGUCUUUCCUCCUACUAUGUCUAAAAUAGAUACUCUAGUGUACUCUUUUGACUUUUUGACUCAAGAAUUUUGAAACUAAAGUUUCUAAAAUUAAGAUUCCAAGGAUUUGCUAAUAGUUGGCAAGGUAAUUGAUUUUGGGUUGAAAGGGUUUAGGGAUGAUGUUUGAAUUAAUGAGUCAAAGGUGUAAGUAUUAAUAAGAAUGUGUAUAAGUUCAAAAGUGUAGGUAGCAGUAGGGCCUGGGUAGAACAGAUUGGUGUUGAGAGUGAAAAGAAGUAGGCACUAAAAUGCACGGGAGCGCACACACUUGCUGAUGGCUGAUUUGGUUUUUUCUUUUUUUUCUAAUUUUUUAUUAUUUUGUUUAAUUGGAAGGAAGAAUGUGCAUGCACCAUCCACACAUGCCUCCAUUGUUUGGUUAAUUGUUUUGUUUUGUUCCUUCUCUUUUUUUUUUCUUUAUUUAAUUUAUCCUCUACUUUCUUUCUUGCCUUUGUCCUUUUUUUUUAACUCACUUUCUUAUGCAACCCAACAAAUUAAUUAGGCCGCACCUAUGCUAAGCUUUCAUCCCUUGGGUUGGCAUUCAUCCUAAGCUCAAGUUCAUUUGUUCAACCCUUAUCCCAUAUUCAAUCCAAACUGUAAUAUUCAAGCCUAUUUUUGAAUCUCUAGUUUGACCAAUGUUGGAAUCAUGUAAGCAAGGUAUCAUACAUGUUAAGAUGUGGGGAAAAAUGGUUAAAACUAUUUCUAACCUUUGUCGCUUUUUUUUUUCUAUCGUUUUUAACAUGUGUUUCCACGAAAUCGUACAAGCAGUAAAUAUUUUUGUUAAUUAAUUUCUUUCCUAUUAACUAACUAAUGUUUGUCAAAGACAUUAAUAACAUCAACUACUAACUAGGUCUAUGAGAUUGUUGUUUGGUAUUGAAAACAUACAUAUAAAUAUUUAAAAUUAUUAAGGGUAUUUAUAUCAAAAAAGAUUACUCUUUCAACAAAAACAUGAGGCGCAUUAAAUUCAUAAAUAUUUGGAUUAUUUUAUUUUUUAAUCAAUUAAUUUUAUUAUUAAUGUCAAUAAAAUAUGAAAUUUAGACCAUUAAACACCAAUAGUCUGUCUGCCCAUUGAUUCGACUCAUGGUAGCUUAGCUUUAAAGGCGUAUCAACAAAAUUUAUACCUUGAAUACUAUUACUAAAGUAGCCAAGCUACUAUAGCAUAGUGGUUCUAGGAUCGUUCACUAGGAAGGGUUUUCGCAAACACAAGUGAUAUUCAAAUUAGGAAAAUAGGUGAUUUUCUUAUGGAUGUUAGCUUUAAAAGAAGAUGUAAAUGUUUUAGAAAGAUUUAAACUAAUCUAAGCUAACAUUAAACACUAAAAUGAAAGGGUGUAAAAACAAGUUUCUCAAAGAUAGGAUAGCUAUGCUCUGGCUCUUAUGCAAAUUGGAAAUCUUAGGAUAGGCUCCUCGCGUUGGGGUUGCAACUAUGGUGAUGCUUGCUUCCCGAACCGGUAUGGAUUUAGCAAAUCAAGUUUUAAUCCUUGAAAAUGGCAAAACAGAUGGUAGUGAAUUUCAUCAAUGGUUAUUCACCUUAGACUUCCUUUGAAUGGCUCGUAAGAGAUAACUAAUGGUCUAAAGCCAAAAGCUUACCAAAUAUUGGCAACUCAAAGUCAUUCCAGGUGAUAAACUCACCUUUCAAUGGCCAUUGAAAUUGGUUCUAAUGGAUUAAUGCAAAACUCGGAAUUGAAAACCUCGCCUUCCAAUAGCUCGUAGGAGAUAACUAAUGGAUAGAAAUCCAAAAGCUUAUCAAGUAUUGGCCGUUGGAAGUUGUCAAAAGGAAAUAAAAACCAAACUUUGCAUUAAUGAACCAUUAAUGAAAAACGACUACCUUACCUUCCGGGUGCGAGAAAUUUCCAUGGGAUUGCAUCCAAGCCAUCACAUAACAUCCAUACUUUGAGAAACUAAAAGUUUUAGCCAAUCAUCCUUUGAGGAAAAACCCUCAGAGGCUGUUUGGCUACUAAGAAAAUAGAAACGGGAGAGCUCUGUAAAAAUUCUAUAUAUUGAUCGAUAUUCAAUUACAACGGAUGCAAGGGAAUAUAUAUAGAGAAGUUUUUCCAAUCCUUCCUAGCUAAGAAAUCUUAUGAUUGGUGUAUUACAAGGAGAAGAAUGGAAAUUUAUACAAAAAUAUCUAAAAGAAAAGAUCUUGUGUGGAGUCGGCAGAAACAGGGGAAAAUUCGCACGUUGGAGUUCCAAUUUCGCACCUUGGUUUGAGGUGUGCGAAAUUCCCACACUUUGGACUGAGGAAUUUCGCACCUUGCACAGUGGUGUGCGAAAUUGUCCCUCAGCUUGAUGCAGUUGUCUUCCGAAGGCCAUAUCUUCCUCAUUUCAGCUCCAAAUCAUACACGGUUUGAAGCGUUGAAUUCUUGACUUCCUGAGCUUUGAAAUGGUAUAUAGCAUGUAGAAAAUGGACUUCAGGAAGUGCUCCAAAAGUGUCAAAGAAGACUGCAGCUGCUGUCCUCUAUUUUCCUCUUUGCUUCUUUUUGCUUCUCUUUGCUUUUCUCCUUGCAUACUUUGAACGACUUUGGCAAAGGGCUAUGGAGCUCCAAAGCUUGGUUCUUCAUGAAUUUGAGCUUCCAAAAGCUUUGCCAUAACUUGUCCAAGUAGCUCCUCCAUCAUUUGGCAUGCUUGAAUUGAUUCAUAAGCUGAUAAAAACAUGUAAACUUGCCACAAAAUGGUUAAAACCAAUUACUAAGGACCUUAAUGAAUUAAUUGGGUUAAAUGAAUAUGAUUACUACUCAAAGGUGCUUAAAACCAUUAUAAUUAGGUCUACAAAAUAGCACUUUUUGGUAGUAAUCACACCCCCCAACCGACUCAUUGCUAGUCCCUUAGCAAUGGAGGAGAUAAAAACUAAGUAAACUAUAAUAAUUACAUAAAAGGGAUCAUGCAAGUCACUCCAAAAAAUGAUAUGAGUGGCAUGAUUGGAUCAAACUCUCACAUGGCAAGUCAAGGAUAUAAAACUCAAUCAUCAAUAAGAGUCAUCAAAUAACUUACCUAUCACAACAUGCAAAGAGCGGGCAUUAUGCAAAUUUGAGUAUCAAAAUAAUUUCCACUCCCAAAGGACCAACACUUAAUCUUCCACAAAAAUCUAUGUGUUAUUUAUUAGUUUCCGAAUAUAGUAUGUCAAACUAAUCUCUCCCCUCAACCUAGUUCUUUUCAAAGCUUAGCAAACUAAUCAACCUCCAAUAGGCUAAGAACGCACCUCUUUUCUUUCAUAAUUUUUUUCUUGUAGGAGUGCAAAGCUUAAAGGCAUUCUUUUCUAAAUUGUCCAUGUAACGGGGGUCCAUCGAUGACUCCCAACCAAUCAAGGUUUAGGGCAUCAAGCUUUAAGGAUUUUUCAACCACUAACUCCUCGGAUUUCACCCCGGACUUUUGAGAAUGAAUUUUAAUACCCAAGCACCUACAGUAUGUUAAACUCCACCUAUUCACCCAUGUAACGAGCAUUGAGGUCGGUGACUCCCAACCAAUUAAGGCUUAGGGCACCAGGUUUUAAAGAUUUUCACCAUAUACCCCUUAGACCUUGCUCGGGUUUCAAGGCAAGCAAACAUUUUUCUUUUUCUUUCUUUUUCCAAAGGCUCAUUGGCCUUUUUCAAGGUGUCCCAACACUAUUAAAAUGAGGUGAAAGGUACCAAGUCUAAAAUUUUCCUAAGUCAAGAGGGAAAUAGUUUUUCAUCUUAUAAUCGGAACCUAGUGUGCACGGUGUGUGAUAAGCUUAAAGUGGAAGAACUAAGCUUGAAUUCAAUAGAAGUUUCAACAAUUCAUCAACUUUAGUAAGCAUAAUACAAACUCUAAGACUAUGGCAAUAAGAUAAGAAUUUAAUUUUUCCCAUUUACUUUUGAGAAUUUUUCCUUAAUAACCAUGGAGAGUAGAAUAAAAACUUAAAAAAUUUUAAAAUUAAGCAAAAAGCAACUAAAUUAAAAUAACUUAGCAUUAAUAACAAAACUUCCUUCCUCAACUCUCCCCCCAACCAAGCUGAACAUUGUCCUCAAUGUUUCAAAAGUGAUUAAAAAAAUAGAGGGAGGAAGUGGUACCUCCUGAGUGGCAUGGAGUCUAAGUUAUGUAGGAGAAACCACAUGUUUCAAAGAAAACAUAAGAGUUAGUGAGUAGAGGAAAUAGAAAAAUGCCAAGUUUAAACAAAAAUGAUGUCUAUAUAUGAUGUAUCAUCAGUAAUACAUCCAAUCCCAGAAUAUAAGACAUCAAAACAUGGAUUUAUGUAUACUAAUAUAAUAAGUAAAUACAAAAAAUAAAGAGAUGAUCAAGUAAUAGAAGGGUCCUGUGGAGCUGAUGCAUUUGUGGUGGCCUUCUGAGUGGGUUGGAUCAGGACUUUGGCCUCUAUUCUGGUAUUCUCCUUGGAUGGCAUAGUCUCCUCUGUUGGGGCUCUCAGUUGGAGCUAUGGGCUUUGAUGGUUUUAGGAGGUAAGAAAUGGAAUGAGAGGCUUGGUGUGUGAUCCCAAGGUGCACGGGGCUGUUCUCUCCUCUAAUGCAUGUUCCUGAGGCUUGGAAAGGAUUUUUCGUGCGAAAUUCCCGCUUAGCUUUGUGUAGUCUGUCUUCAAACGGCUAUAACUUCUUCGUUUCAAAUCCAAAUCAUGUACCGUUUGAAGCACUGGAUUCCUGACUUCCCAAGCUUCAAAAUGAUAUAUGGUAUGAAUAAUUUGAGCUCCAGAAAGCACUCCAAAAACGUGUCCAACAGUAGCGAAAUGGGGUGCGGCUGCAACAUUUCCAUUCAGCUUUGCACAGUCGUCUUCAAACGGCCAUAACUUCUUCAUUUCAAAUCCAAAUCACUCACCGUUUGAAGCAUUGGAUUCCUGACUUCCCAAGCUUUAAAAUGAUAUAUGACAUGAAUAAUUUGAGCUCCAGGAAGUGCUUCAAAAACGUGUAUAACAGUAGCGAAAUUUGGUGCGGCUGCAGCAUUUCCGUUCAGCUUUGCAUAGUUGUCUUCAAAUGGCCAUAACUUCUUCGUUUCAAAUCCAAAUCAUGCACCGUUUGAAGCGCUGGAUUUCUGACUUCCCAAGCUUUAAAAUGACAUAUCAUAUGCAUAAUUUGAGCUCCAGGAAGUGCUUCAAAAAUGUAUCCAACAGGAGCAAAAUUUUCGCACCUUGGACUGGAAAUUUCGCACCUUGGAUUGAGGUGUGCGAAAAUGGCACCCUUUGGACUGAGGAAUUCGCACCUUGUUUCGCACGGUGCGAAAAUGGGCUUGAGGUGUGCGAAAUGGCACUCGUGUGCCAGGAGGUGGUUUCGCACGGUGCGAAAAUUUUCGCACCUUGAAUUGAGGUGUGCGAAAUUCCCGCUUAGCUCGGUCCAGUUUUCUUACAAUGACUAUAACUUUUUCAUUUCAACUCCGAUUUGGACACCGUUUGAAGCGUUGGACUCCUGACUUCCCGAGCUUCGAAACGGUAUAUAGUAUGUAUAAAAUAGACUCGAGGAAGUGCUCCAAAAUAUUUCCCGAAAGUGGCAAUAGAACCAAUGGCCAGAAUUCUCUCUUCUCUUCCUUUCCUUUCAUCAUUUUUGCAAUUCCUCCUACAAUGAUCAUCCAAAAACAUAUGUUAAAAAGAAAGCAUAGAAUUUAAAUGAAGCUGAUAGCAUGUACCCCAAAAAGAAGAUGAACUAUUUAGCUCAUCCUCACUCACACACCCACUUCAGGCUGAAUUCCCCCUGGAUCCCAAACAAAAUUGGCAUCCUUCCCAUUUGGUCCAAGGGAAUUCGUUUCUCUUCUCUUCCCUAGAGAAGUGGAUGCUUUAAAGGGUUCAAGUAACCCUUUAUCAUCUUGAACCUUAUGAUUUUCAAUGGAAGGUUGGUCCAUAGAGUUGUCAUAGCAAUCCCCCACCAAAGUGUCGAUCUUCAACACUUUCCUUGAUCUUUUUGCAUUGGUUCCUUGAAGGUUAUGGUGGGGUUGAGGAGGAAGCUUCCUUUUCCCCCUUGCUAUGUCGAGAUUGGUGAGCUUCUCAAUGGAGUCUUGAACUUUUUCUAUCCUUAGUGAUAGAUCAUUAUAAACCCCCUCCAUUCUUACAUUUAUUGAACUCUCCAUAUUAUUAAUCUUUUCAUUAAGCUGAGAGUUGAUCUUUUGUUGCUCACCUACAAAGUCCUCCAUGACUUUGCUUAUCUUCAAAAUGGCUUGCUCCAAUGAAGAUGUACUCAUUGAUGGUUGAGGUUGAGGUUGGGUUGCAAGGUUGGGAUGGUUUAUAUACUCAAAUGAAGUUGGCAUGGCUUGUGGUUGUGCUUCAGUAUGCACAUUCCUCAAUUCAAACUCUUCUAUCCUUCUAGCCAUAGAUGCUAGCUUUGCCUUCAUGCUCAUGUCUUCAUUCAAAGCAUACUUACUACCCCAUUGGCUUUGUUGAGCUUGCCUUUUCCCUAAUUCAAUCCGAUCCCUCAUGGAUAAGUAUGCAAAUUUGUCCUUCUCAUGAUCAUAAUGAGAGCUUUGAUCUUCAUGUGGAAUGUCCAUUUAUAAAAAAAAAAUGAUAUUCAACUAAGGCUCUUUUCUUCAACUUGUACCAGGGUUCCCUCUUGGUCUCGAAUCCAACAAGGAAUGCACAAAUUGAAAUUAAAACAAAAAUAAAAGAAAAGAAAAUAAAAAAAUUUAACUAAAUAAAAACUAAAAAAAAAAAAAAUUAUAAGAAAACUCACCAAACUUGUGAUGAAGAUCACAAGUUACCCUUAAUGGUUGCUUCACUGUGCUUGUGGCACCUUCCCCGGCAACAGCGCCAUUUGAUUCGACUCAUGAUUCGAUCCCCGGCAACGGCGCCAUUUGAUUCGACUCAUGGUAGCUUAGCUUUAAAGGCGUAUCAACAAAAUUUAUACCUUGAAUACUAUUACUAAAGUAGCCAAGCUACUAUAGCAUAGUGGUUCUAGGAUCGUUCACUAGGAAGGGUUUUCGCAAACACAAGUGAUAUUCAAAUUAGGAAAAUAGGUGAUUUUCUUAUGGAUGUUAGCUUUAAAAGAAGAUGUAAAUGUUUUAGAAAGAUUUAAACUAAUCUAAGCUAACAUUAAACACUAAAAUGAAAGGGUGUAAAAACAAGUUUCUCAAAGAUAGGAUAGCUAUGCUCUGGCUCUUAUGCAAAUUGGAAAUCUUAGGAUAGGCUCCUCGCGUUGGGAUUGCAACUAUGGUGAUGCUUGCUUCCCGAACCGGUAUGGAUUUAGCAAAUCAAGUUUUAAUCCUUGAAAAUGGCAAAACAGAUGGUAGUGAAUUUCAUCAAUGGUUAUUCACCUUAGACUUCCUUUGAAUGGCUCGUAAGAGAUAACUAAUGGUCUAAAGCCAAAAGCUUACCAAAUAUUGGCAACUCAAAGUCAUUCCAGGUGAUAAACUCACCUUUCAAUGGCCAUUGAAAUUGGUUCUAAUGGAUUAAUGCAAAACUCGGAAUUGAAAACCUCGCCUUCCAAUAGCUCGUAGGAGAUAACUAAUGGAUAGAAAUCCAAAAGCUUAUCAAGUAUUGGCCGUUGGAAGUUGUCAAAAGGAAAUAAAAACCAAACUUUGCAUUAAUGAACCAUUAAUGAAAAACGACUACCUUACCUUCCGGGUGCGAGAAAUUUCCAUGGGAUUGCAUCCAAGCCAUCACAUAACAUCCAUACUUUGAGAAACUAAAAGUUUUAGCCAAUCAUCCUUUGAGGAAAAACCCUCAGAGGCUGUUUGGCUACUAAGAAAAUAGAAACGGGAGAGCUCUGUAAAAAUUCUAUAUAUUGAUCGNNNNNNNNNNNNNNNNNNNNNNNNNNNNNNNNNNNNNNNNNNNNNNNNNNNNNNNNNNNNNNNNNNNNNNNNNNNNNNNNNNNNNNNNNNNNNNNNNNNNUAUGGAUUUAGCAAAUCAAGUUUAUCCUUGAAAAUGGCAAAACAGAUGGUAGUGAAUUCAUCAAUGGUUAUUCACUUUAGACUUCCUUGAAUGGCUCGUAAGAGAUAACUAAUGGUCUAAAGCCAAAAGCUUACCAAAUAUUGGCAACUCAAAGUCAUUCCAGGUGAUAAACUCACCUUUCAAUGGCCAUUGAAAUUGGUUCUAAUGGAUUAAUGCAAAACUCGGAAUUGAAAACCUCGCCUUCCAAUAGCUCGUAGGAGAUAACUAAUGGAUAGAAAUCCAAAAGCUUAUCAAGUAUUGGCCGUUGGAAGUUGUCAAAAGGAAAUAAAAACCAAACUUUGCAUUAAUGAACCAUUAAUGAAAAACGACUACCUUACCUUCCGGGUGCGAGAAAUUUCCAUGGGAUUGCAUCCAAGCCAUCACAUAACAUCCAUACUUUGAGAAACUAAAAGUUUUAGCCAAUCAUCCUUUGAGGAAAAACCCUCAGAGGCUGUUUGGCUACUAAGAAAAUAGAAACGGGAGAGCUCUGUAAAAAUUCUAUAUAUUGAUCGAUAUUCAAUUACAACGGAUGCAAGGGAAUAUAUAUAGAGAAGUUUUUCCAAUCCUUCCUAGCUAAGAAAUCUUAUGAUUGGUGUAUUACAAGGAGAAGAAUGGAAAUUUAUACAAAAAUAUCUAAAAGAAAAGAUCUUGUGUGGAGUCGGCAGAAACAGGGGAAAAUUCGCACGUUGGAGUUCCAAUUUCGCACCUUGGUUUGAGGUGUGCGAAAUUCCCACACUUUGGACUGAGGAAUUUCGCACCUUGCACAGUGGUGUGCGAAAUUGUCCCUCAGCUUGAUGCAGUUGUCUUCCGAAGGCCAUAUCUUCCUCAUUUCAGCUCCAAAUCAUACACGGUUUGAAGCGUUGAAUUCUUGACUUCCUGAGCUUUGAAAUGGUAUAUAGCAUGUAGAAAAUGGACUUCGGGAAGUGCUCCAAAAGUGUCAAAGAAGACUGCAGCUGCUGUCCUCUAUUUUCCUCUUUGCUUCUUUUUGCUUCUCUUUGCUUUUCUCCUUGCAUACUUUGAACGACUUUGGCAAAGGGCUAUGGAGCUCCAAAGCUUGGUUCUUCAUGAAUUUGAGCUUCCAAAAGCUUUGCCAUAACUUGUCCAAGUAGCUCCUCCAUCAUUUGGCAUGCUUGAAUUGAUUCAUAAGCUGAUAAAAACAUGUAAACUUGCCAUAAAAUGGUUAAAACCAAUUACUAAGGACCUUAAUGAAUUAAUUGGGUUAAAUGAAUAUGAUUACUACUCAAAGGUGCUUAAAACCAUUAUAAUUAGGUCUACAAAAUAGCACUUUUUGGUAGUAAUCACCCAUUAAACACCAAUCCAUCUUUUUAGUCAAUUGACUUGGCCCAUUCUAUAGUUGUGAUGUCCAUGUCCACCGUCUAACUCAUCUCCUAAAUUUUAUUGAAGUGAUGUUUGUGUCAAUAGUUAAAAUCACUCACCCACACCCCACUUGCAAGUUGCAAGGGAUUGACCCAUCACUACUCUUAUUUAUCCUUACUAAUAAAUGUUUUUUUUCCUUUGUUUUCCUUAUUCAUCCACCUCAAAAUCUCUUUCUAGAAGGUCUAAAAUAAAAACAAUGGAAACCAUUCUUCGAUAUAUAACUUAUAAAUGUUUUAUUUCAAUUAUUUUUCGUAUUUAUAUAAUUAUUUUUAUUUUUUUAAAUAACCCUUAAAAAAAUAAGUGAUAACAAGGCAACUAAAAUAGAUUUUUCAAAAACAUCAUAUUUUUGGAAUAAGUUUUUUAAAAAUUAUUUUCUAUUGGAAAAUUAGUAAUGAUGGUGUAAAAACUUGGUAAAUAAUUUUUUUGUUUUAAUAAUAAAAAAAAAAUUUAAAUAGUUUUCAAACAUAAUCCAACCAUUUAUGUUAUUUUUACCUUCUUUUUUUCAGGUUCAAAAUUUCGAGUUUUCUGUGGACAUAACAUAAAAAAUAAUUAUUUUUCAAACUACGACCCUUUUAAGUUUCAAAUAAAACCCGUCUUUUUUAAAAUAAGUUUACAAUAGGAAAUGAAUUUGUCUUUUAAAAUACAAAAUUUAAAACAAAAAAAAAAUAAUGAUGAAAAGUAUCAUAUUUUCAUAUUUAUUUUUUGAACAACGUCAUCUUAACAAUAUUAAAAAAAAAAAAAAAUCCUUAAAAUUUCCCCCUAAUGGCCCACGAUGUACUUCAUAGCUUCAAUUCCAAUAUCUCAAAUCAAUCUCAAUUGACUAUUGCCAUUAAAUCCUUAUUAAUUAUCUAUUAGAAUGCCCGGCCUUCCCUCAUUCAUUUUUUCACAAAGUUGGUCAACGUUCAUUUAUUUUUUUUUCAAAUAAAUCAUUUAUUUCUCUCAUAGCAAGGAAUAAUUUAAAUUAUUUAAGUCUUUAUGUAAUCGUGUAACAUUGCUAAAAAUUAGGAAAUAGACUAUUCAUGCACAUGAUCUCAAUAUCCCAUGUUCACCCUAAAUCGAUUAAAAAAAACCGUUUAAGUCAAGUCCUAUGUUGAUAUUCGUAAAUGAAAAAGAAUCUAAUAUAAUAUUAAACUUCAUAAAAAUUGGGAUAAAAUAUUUAACAAAUUUUGAUAUAAUAUUAAAUUAUCAAUAACAUUAAAAUUUAAAUGUUACGUGAUACAUCAUCACAUCCAUAUAAUAAAUCAAUUUAAGCUAAUGUUUUAUUUAAUUCUUAAUUUAUUGUUUUAUUUAGUGUCUCAAUAUGUUAAAUAAAUAAAUAAAUUGUGCCCUAAUAAUAAUAGAAUUUUUUUUAUUAAAUUUUUGGUUAAGAACUAAUAUUUUAUAUAAAUUUUAUUUAAAAAAAUCAAUAAAUCACAAGUGAGUUGUGAAACUUGUGAAUCGUAGACAACCAUUUUCGUGAUAUUAAAAAAUUAAAAAUAAAUAAAUAAAUAAAUAAACAAAGCCCCACUUGCAGUAGUGCCCGAAUGAAACAUGCGGGGUUGUAGGUACGAUACCAUGGAGGUCACAUGUAUGGGAACAUUCCACAAGUCUUCUAAAUUGUCAGGGAAAGGCGUCCCUCAUGGUGGUCUCCACAUCGGACGACCCAGAUAGACCGGUGCCUAAACUGAAGGCUGUCACACGUUUACGUGUUUGACCAAGUCUCGCGAGUCUACGCGCCAAUCACCAACCUUAAUUUUAAAGGUUCCUCCGCCCAAUCCUAUGAUGGUACCAUGCGGUCACCUUCACCUUUCCCUAUCCCACUCUCCAUUACACAGCGCGUGGUCACACUCUCCCAAAAAAGGUUCCCAUCCGAAAAAUUCAAACAAAUUUAAAGUACUAAAAAUGGGAAAAUAUUUAAAAUAUUUUUUAAAUAUUUAUUUUUUAUAUAAAAUAAUUAAAUAAAUGAAAUGAUUUUCUUUUUAAUCGUUUUAAAACAGUUUUAAAAAAUAAAAGUGAAAAUAAUUGAAAAAAAAUAUACAAUAAAUUUUGAAAAUAGAAUUACGUUGACAAUAUUCAAAAUGCAACUCACUAUAGGGCGCGUGAGCACAGGACUUGUAGAACACGUUUUAAGCAUUAUAAUAUUAUUUUUUAUUUUCCAUGGAAAAACACGUUCAAAUCCAAACAAUCGGAAUUGGAAUGCCAUGAAUUUCCACAAACCGUGUACUUGCAAGUUGGAAGAAGAUUCAUUUACAACCAAUUACAAUUUUAUUAUUAAUGGGCAGACAGACUUAAAAGUAGCCAUUGGAAAGUGCCUUAAAAGAAAUUAUAAUAUUAAUAAAAAAAAAGAAAAUAAAAGAUUUUAACGUGAACAUUUAAUCCUAAGUAUCAAUAGAUGUAGGUUCAAACAUAUUUUCUAUUUUUUAUUUUUAAAAUAAAAAUGAUAAUAACUUUUAUAUAAGAUAUAAUUUUUUUAAAUAAAUUAUAUUAAAAAAAUAGUGAUUUUAAAAACUAUUUAAAAAAAUUUAAGUAUAAAAAAUAUAAAAUAAUUUUUUUUUAAAUAGAUUAUGCUUGAAUGAGUCAAAUGUGUAAAGAUGAAUAAGAAUGUGGAUAAGUUCAAAAGAGCGGGUAGCUCUGAUCCAGCCGACCCGAAUGGGAAAUUGAGAAAAGAAAAACAUUCUUGGAAAGUGGUUCAGUUCCUUGGAAGUGGGUAUUUUGAGAACCCAACAAGUGUUCAUGUACUUUGAAUUUAUGUUCAAAUCACUUGCUUUGAGAUGGGGUUUUGAAUCGGAAAUGUCAAUGUUUCCGGUGUGAACAUGCAUACAGAAAUUAGUAUUACGUACAAAACAGGUUGAGGUAAAAAAAAAAUCAAAAUCAUGGAAAAUUCAAAGUCUGUUUAACCGGAUGUUUUAAAAAUAGUUUUUUAUUUUUUAAAAUAGAGAAUAAUUCUUACAUUAUCUAAAAAUGAUUUUUAAAAAUAAGGUAGAAUGAAGAACAAUUUUUAAAGAACACGUAAAAGUGUUUUCAUCCCUGGUAAAAAUCAAAAGAAAAAUAUAAAAAAUUUAAAAAAAAAUCUUGAAAAUAAAUAAAAUUGAAUAUAGUAUUAUUUUCUUUCUCUUUUUAAUAUUAAAAAAAAAUCUUAAAAUAUGAUUUUUUCUUUAAAUUACACAUACUUUUUAAAAUUUCAUUUUAACUUCUUUAAAAUUUUUCUUUGAGUAAAUUUUAAAUCAAAUUGUAUUAUUUAUUAUUAAACUUAAUUUCAAUGGUAAAAGAAACAAAUUCUUAGGAAUAAAAUUUAAUAUUAUAUUGAAUUAUUUAAGAGGAAUAUAUAGCGUAAGUCAUAUUAUAUUUUAACUUAAUUUUAAUUAUUAUUUGCCUACCGUGUUGCUUAUUUACAAUUAUAUUUAAUUUUUAUUUAUUUGUUUAGAAUAUUUAUUUGUUUUUCUAAAGCUUAUUUAAUGAUAGAAGAGUAUUCAUAUAUAUAUAAUUUUUGACAAAAAAAUUUAUUAUAAAAAUGGUUGAAAAACAAUUAUGAAGAAUUUAUAAAUUAUUUAGGAGUGAGAAAUCUUGAAAAAGUGCAAUAGAAAAAAAGAAAAUUCAUUUUGUGAUGUGGAAGUCUAAACAAUGAGAAGAUGUAUGAAAUUGGAAGAUUGGACAUAAUAAGUCAAUUGAUUAGUAGAACAAGAGAGAGUUUCAGACACCUAUAAUAGUGUCUAAAUGUAUAGUUUUAAACACUUUAAGUAUGCUCAGAAGUAUAGGCCGGACAUUUAUAAAACAUCCCCUCAUGCAACACAAACAAUAUUCAUAGUACCUCUUUCUUCCAACUCUAAAAGUACAAAAAGAAAUAUAAAAGAUAUCACAAAAUGCAUACCUUUGCACUUGUACCAUUAUUAGAGAUGAUUAUUUGUUUGUCCAAAGAAACAAAACUUUAUUGAUAAAUUCUAUUAGGAUUAUAGAGAGAUUAGAAGAAGAGAAGUGAAGAAAGAAGAUGGUGGUUUGAGAAUUUCAUCAAAGGGUGUUUUUAUCCUAAAAUAUGUAUUAUUUCGAUGGAUUUAAAGAUCAAUUUGGUGGAUGCAAAUAUAAGUUAUGGAAUUUUUUUACAAAAAAAAUAUCCAUCAAUAAAAAGAUUGAAAUACCCUUGCAAAUCAAUAUGCACCCACAUUCUUCCUUUCCUUUAUCAAAUUCUUUUCUUCCAAUCUCUCCACAACCUUAAUAAAUUAAAAUAAUUUUUUUAAAAAUAAAUGGUUUAAAUUUUUAAAUUUUGAAAAUUUAAAAUUUUAAAAAUACAUAAUUGUUGGCAGAUCGGAGGGUUGGCUUCAUCCAUCAACUCCUCUUGUGUUCGUCGUGGACAUUUGGGUUAAUGCACUAUAAGAUUAGGGUAUGCGUCUUUUUUAACAGCACUUGCUUUUAGGAAAGUUGAUAGCGUCUGAGGUUCUACAAUAAUUUUAUUCAAAUCCAAAACUUGUAAUAAAUUAAAAAUAAAAAUAAACCUUUUAAAAAACAAAUUUAAGCUUUUAAAUUAACUUUUGGUUUGACCUUUCAAGGUCAACACUCCCACAUCAUUCUUUUCUUUAGACUUUUUUUUCCCACUUUUUCAUAUGUUUCUCAUGUCUAAUUAUGUCUAAAUUAAUUCUAAAUACUUUCUAAUUAUUUUACAAAAAAAAAUUAUAAAAAAAUAUAUAAGUAAUAAAAUCUAAAAAUUUUCAUGUAGAACAAACUUAAUAUUAUUGUAUGGAUUUUAUAAAAAUAUAUUGAAAUUAACUUUCAACUUAUAGCAAACAACUUUUUAUGAUAAAGAAGCUUAGGUUUGGAGAGGAUAAAAAAAAGGGAAAAGGAUAAUUCAAAAAUAAUUAAAUGGAUUAAUAGGAUUUAUAUUUUGAGGUGGAUAGGUAAGUAUAGUGGAUAUGCAGAUAGUUUUAUUAGAUGUUUGGUGCCCCUGUUUUUAAGUAUUUUGGCCUACAACCCUAAAACCCAAAGUAAUUCUCACCAAAAAAAAAAAAAAAAAAAUUUUUUUUUUUUUUAAUCUUCAACUCUACAAACUCUCAUUUUGAACAUGCACUUUUUAAUUAAUUAAUUUUUUCUACUUUAGAACUCACUCAUCUUCCUAAAUACAAAAACUAAUUAUAAAAUAAAAACUAAUUCAACAAUUUAACUUCAACAUCUUUUUUUUUAAUAAUUCCUUUUCAUAUAAUAUUCCUUACUAACAAAAACUAAUUAUAAUUAAAUGACUUUAAUUUGAUAUAUAUAUAUAUAUAUAUAUAUAUAUAUAUAUAUCAAUAUUAAGAUGUAAAAUCCUAUAAACUUACACUUUAACCACUUGAGCCCAACAAGUGUUUGAUUUAAAAAUUUAUAGUUAUUAAAGAUGUUAAACUCCUUUAAAAAGUAUCAAAUGGUAAUAAAUAAAAAUUAGAGAAAAACCAUUCAAAUGAAGAGAUUUCAUCUAUAAUACGAAGUAAAAUCUAAAAAAGAAAUGUGAAGAAAAAAAUUAUCAUUGACUCUUAACUCUUGCUAAACCAAUCCCACUACCAUCCAAUACUAAAUUGUCUAACAAAUGAGAAUUGAAAGCAUAAAAGAGAAUCAUUGACUAUUGACUCUACCAUCCAAUGUUGAAUUGUCUAACAAAUGAGACAAAUGAGAAUUGAAAGCAUAAAAGAGAAUCAUUGACUAUUGACUCUACCAUCCAAUGUUGAAUUGUCUAACAAAUGAGAAUUGAAAGCAUAAAAGAGAAUCAUUGACUAUUGACUCUACCAUCCAAUGCUGAAUCGUCUAACAAAUGGAAAUUGAAAGCAUAGCAGAGAAUCAUUGACUCUACUUACCCCAUUUUCCUAGAAGUGUUGCCCCUCCCUUCAUUUCAUGAAGUUUCUUAGAAGUUUCAAACUUCUUUACCAUAUAAAGUAUAAAAAAAAUCAUUCUUAUAGCCAUUCACAUGUGUUUCAAGAAAAAUGAAGUUAUUUUGCCCCCAAGAACUACAGAAAUAAAAUCAUGUUAAGAAUUUUAAAUUAUAAUAUUUAUCUAUAAUAAGAUUUAUUUAUAAUUUUUUUUUAAAAAAAUCAUCAUCUAGUUGUUUAACUUAUUUUUUAUUCUUACUUUUUUGUAUUUAUAUUUUAAUUUUAGUUUUAUGUUUAUUUUUAAUAUCUAUUUUUCACUUCUCGGUCAAUUUUUUUUUAUUUGCUUUAAUUUUUUAUUAUUAUUUCUUGUUGAUAUCCUCUUAUAUAUAUAUUAGAAAAAUAUAUAUAAAAGAUAAUAAUAAAAUGAGACACCAUGAAUAAAGUGAAGGAAAAAAAUAAAAAAUAAAAUAAAAUCAAAAUAUUCGUGGAGAAGUAAGGUGCUCUUAGCCUAAUGUGUAAUGAUGAUGAUGGAUGACCCACCAAACCAGAAGAAAAGCAAAAGGUGAGAAAAGAAUCAAUAAAGAGAAACAACUACCCUUAACUUUUUUCAUCACUUUCCCGAAGGUUACUGGAAGUCGCCUUCCUUCCUUCCCAAUUCACAGAGCCCCUAAGUUCCUAACUUUUCUCGUCACUUUCCGGAAGGUCACAACAAGCCACUGCCACUUGCCUUCCCAACUCUUUAUAUACAGAUAAAUGAUAAUAUUUAUCAAUAAUAAGAUUUAUCUAUAAAAUGUUAGAAAAUAAAUAUAUCAAUCCAGUGAAUUUUAUUUUUACUUUUUUUUUAUAUUAUAUAUUUAUCCUUUUAUUUUUUAUUUUUAGUCUUUAUAUUUAUUUUUCACUUCUCGGUCAAAAUUUUUAUUUUCUAUUUAUUUUAAAUUUUAUUUUUAUUUCUUUUUUAAGUACUUAUAUAUAAUAAUAAAUAAAUAAAUAAAUAAAUAAAUAAAAUAGGAGACCAUGAAUAAAGUGAAGAAAAAAUAAAAUUAAAAACUUGGUGGAGAAGUAAAGUGCACGGGUUUGAAGGAUGAAUGUGAAUAGGAGAAAAAGAGAACAAGAGAAAAGCAAAAGGUAAAAGUGUGAGAAAAGAAUCCAUAUUCUGAAAAUGAAAGGAUGAGAUAAAAAUAAAAUAUAUAAAAGAUAAUAGUGAAAUACGAGAGCAUGAUUAUGGCGAAGAAGAAAAAAAUGUUAAAUAAAAUAAAAAAUUUGGUGGUAUCCCAUUUGAAAAUAGAAGGAAACGAAGGUGAUAAGAAAAAAAGAAAAGUGAGAAAAAAAUCUCUAAGUCAAUAGAGAGAGAAAGUUGUCCCUAAUUUUCCUCAUCACUUUUCGGAAUGUCACGGGAAGCUACCGUCUACCUAGCUUUUUAUAUUGUAAUAUUUUUAUUUAUAUUAUAACCACUGUUUUCUUAUACUUAUAGGAUGUCUUAUAAAGUUUUUUUUUUAAAUUUAUUUAUUUUAUUUAUUGGAUUGAUUUUCGUGUGAAAAUUUAUUUUAUUUAAUAAUAAUAAUAAUUUUACUGAUUUUUUUUAAAAAUAUUUGAUAUCUCUUAAAUCAUUCAUAAAAUGAAUUAAUUUUUUAAUAAAAGUAAUUUUAAUUUAGAUUUAAAUUAUUUCUCAAUUAUAUUUAGAUAUAUGCAUAUAAAAAAUAUUAUUUUCUAAUAUUUAAUAUUUAAAAUUUUAUUUUAAUAAUAAUCUCUUUAAAAUAUUAUCACGAUUUAUAUUAGAAUUAAUGGUUUACAUUUUUAUUCUUCUUCCAAAAAUAAAAUUAUAAUGGACUACUUCACGUUAAUAAAAUCAUUUUUUUAUUCUAAUUUAUUAUAAAUUAUAAUAUUAUCAAUAAUAAGAUUUAUCUAUAAAAUAAAUAUAUCAAUCCACUCGUCUUUCUUUUAAUAAAUUUUCAUUUCAUAUUGUGGGUCGACACGUAUCAUUUCUGUUUACUUUAAUUUUUUAUUAAUAUUUUUUAUGUGCUUAAAGAAAAAAUAAAAUAUUAAAUAAAAUAAAAAACUUGGUGGGGAAGUAAAGUAAAGGAGCGUAAUGAUGACGAUUGUAUGGCCCGAGAGAGAGAGAGAGUGGGCCGGCUGAAAAAAUAAAAUAUUAAAUAAAAUAAAAAACUUGGUGGGGAAGUAAAGUAGAGGAGCGUAAUGAUGACGAUUGUAUGGCCCGAGAGAGAGAGAGUGGGCCAGCUGAAAAAAUAAAAUAUUAAAUAAAAUAAAAAACUUGGUGGGGAAGUAAAGUAGAGGAGCGUAAUGAUGACGAUUGUAUGGCCCAAGAGAGAGAGUGGGCCAGCUGAAAAAAUAAAAUAUUAAAUAAAAUAAAAAGCUUGGUGGGGAAGUAAAGUAGAGGAGCGUAAUGCUGACGAUUGUAUGGCCCGAGAGAGAUAGUGGGCCAGCUGAAAAAAUAAAAUAUUAAAUAAAAUAAAAAACUUGGUGGGGAAGUAAAGUAGAGGAGCGUAAUGAUGACGAUUGUAUGGCCCGAGAGAGAGAGUGGGCCAGCUGAAAAAAUAAAAUAUUAAAUAAAAUAAAAAACUUGGUGGGGAAGUAAAGUAGAGGAGCGUAAUGCUGACGAUUGUAUGGCCCGAGAGAGAGAGAGAGAGAGAGUGGGUCAGCUGAAAAAAUAAAAUAUUAAAUAAAAUAAAAAACUUGGUGGGGAAGUAAAGUAGAGGAGCGUAAUGAUGACGAUUGAAUCGGCCGAGAGAGAGAGAGUGGGUCAGCUGCUUUAAUUCAAGAUUGAAUGACCCGAGAGACACAGAGCUGUCCCUAACUUUCCUCUUCACUUCCUGGAAGGCGCCUUGCCUUCCCAACUUCUUAGUUGCACAAUCUCCUCAUUUACUCACUAUCCUGAAGAGAAAUCAACCCCUCUAAACUGUCUUUGUACUUUUGAGAUAGAAACCCACAAUGGCUUCCACAAGCUCCUUCAGAGCCUCUUCUUCUUCUUCUACUCCUUCCAUCCCUCGAACAAGUACUUAUGAUGUUUUCUUGAGUUUUAGAGGCGCAGACACCCGCUCUAAUUUCACUGAUCACCUCUACAGUGCUUUGGGUAGGAGAGGGAUUCGCACCUUCAGAGACGAUAAACUCAGGGAAGGAGAAGCGAUUGGUCCAGAACUCUUGACAGCCAUCGAAGAAUCAAGGUCUUCCGUAAUUGUUUUCUCUGAAAACUAUGCUCAUUCGACAUGGUGUUUGGAUGAGUUGGUAAAGAUCAUGGAGCGCCACAAAGAUCGGGGACAUGCUGUUUUCCCAAUUUUCUAUCACGUGGAUCCAUCCCAUGUACGAAGGAAAACAGAAAGUUUUGGAAAGGCCUUUGCCGGUUAUGAAGGAAACUGGAAGGACAAGAUACCACGGUGGAAGACGGCCUUGACGGAAGCAGCCAAUCUUUCUGGAUGGCAUCAACGGGAUGGGUAACUAUAAUUUCCUUUCAACUAUUUAAAUGAGUAGUUUUGCAUUUAUAGAGUGAUGAUGUGGAUUGAAACAUUUAUAAAAAUACAAAAGCUCAAAUUUUUUAUUUGGAGGUCUACUCCUUAAGCACAAACUUAUCCUCAAAAUGCUUUUAGAUUAAGGUGGUGCAUGUUUUUUUGGCUGAAUAGAAAAAGUCAAAUAUUUUGACUUUUUCUAUUCAGCUAAAAAGUAAUCUAUUAACAUCAUCCAAUAUAAUUAAAUUAAACUAAUGGAUAACAAGUUCAUUUUAGUAAACAUGUUACUUUUAGCUUAAUAGAAAAAAUAAAAAUAUUUAGCUUUUUCUAUUCAGCAAAAAAAAACAAAACAAACAGCACUUCGAGUCUUUUAUGUGUAAAUGUGUUUGAUAUUCUUUUAUACGGAAUGUUCUUAGAACAAGUGUUUUUUAGAAAAUCAGCUAUCUUUUCCACGAAUUUAUUUUUUCUUCAAAAACACUUUUAGAUUAUAAGUACUUUUUAAAAGUAUUUUUAGAGUGCUUUGAGCAGGCAAUUCUAUUUAAAUGCUUUUAGUGAAAGUUUUUUUAAUAAAUAUUUUUGGGAGUAUAUCUCAAAGAAUUAUUAGAAGUGAUUUUUUUUUUACUUUUAAUAAGUAAUUCUAAAUUUUUUAUCAAACGUCUUAAUAUUUUUUCAUAAAGACACUUUUUAUACUUCCCAAACAAACUGUAACUUGAGGUUGUUAACAAGGGGCAUAUAUUUGUGUGCUCAAAAUUUAAAAAUAAAAUAAAAUAAAAUAUUGCUUUUUAGGGCUUUAUUUAUAAGUUGGGUUUAUUCAAGUGUAUCAUUUGGGCAGCCGACUAUGUGUCAUGAAUAAGGAGAAAAUAGGAAAUUGGAGUAUUGAUUUGACCAUUGAAGCAGCCAAUUUAUAUGGAUGACAUCGAUAUUAAUUUAAUGAGCAUGCAAUUUAAGUUUCUUUCACUUUUCAUUCAUUAGUGGGUUUUGUUUAGGAAUUAAAUUAUUAUUAUUAUUGUUAUUUAUUACUAAUAUUAGUGUUUUUUGUUGUUGUUAAUAGUAGUUGCAAUGACAGUAGUAUAAAAAGAAUAGUAGAAUAACAAUUAUAUUGAGUUAGGAUUCAUGAUUAAUGGUAGAAUGAACUUAUUAAAACCCAAUUAAUGAGUUUUACUAUUUUAGAUCAAUUUAUGAGAAUCUAUAUCUAAAAUAAUUUAAUCAAAAUUUAUUACUAUUUUUUCAAUUUUCAAGAUUCAAUUCGCAUUAAUGUUACAAAAAUUAAUCAAUUUAUUUGAAAUUUUGUGUGAAUAAUUAUAUAACAAGUAACAAUAAAAUUAAUGACUAUUACUAUCUAUUAACGAGCUUCAAAAAUUUCAAUUAACCAACCUCUUGUGUAUCAAUAGAACAACUUAAUCAAAUUCUAAAAAUAAUUUGAUUAAUUAUGUAACAAGUAAGAAGUAACAAUAACAAAAUUAUUUAACCAAUUUUAUUUGAGGACAAGUUGAUCAAGUAGUUUGAUUAAUUAUGUACCAACUACCAAUAACAAAAUUAUGUGACGUAAAUUGUUUAGUAGGAAUUCAACUUCCCAGAGAGUUUGUGUGUGUAUAUAUAUAGACAAUAAAGAACAUAGGUUAGGAAGUUAAUUCUUUAUAGAUGAUGCGAAAGGAAAUCAACUCAAAAUAAAAUACAAAUGAAUAACUUGUUUACAAGCCUUUAAUUUUUAAUUUUUAUCAUACAAAUGAAUAAUAAGGAGAUGAUGUUGUGGGAUAAAUAAGUUUUGAAGCUUGAGGAAUUGAACAUGGGGUUUUUAAACUAAAACUUCUUAUAUUAAGGGGUUGAGGCUUCAUGCAUUACAAGAUAUAAAACGAAUGUCAAAGAAUAAAAUAUUUGCUCCUACAAGGUUUCUAAUUGCCAUGGGUUGUUAAAGAGUUUUUGAAAAGUGCAUGAAUGAUAAAGUAAUGUUUCGAUUCAUAAUCAUUGUCCUCUAUCAUGGCACAAAAUUUCCAUUUGAAUCUAAUGCCACACAAGCAGCACAACUAACAAAAUUCAAAAUCCAUGUUUUAGUUUUGUUCUCAUGCAUACUUGAUACAAUGAAAAAGGUCCUAAAAAUGUAAAUGAACUAAUAUCUUUGAUAUAUUCUAUUCUACUUUAAUUUAUUUUUCGUAAAGAUGUCAAAUUUAAUGUGUUUUAUUUACAAUUGUGGCUCAUUGCUUAACAUGUUAUUCUUUUAUAAUUGGCAGGUCUGAGUCCAAUAAAAUUAAAGAAAUAACUGAUAUCAUAUUCCAUCGAUUGAAAUGUAAGAGGCUUGAUGUUGGUGCCAAUUUAGUUGGUAUAGAUUCCCAUGUAAAAGAGAUGAUUUUGCGGUUGCAUAUGGAAUCAAGUGAUGUUCGUAUUGUUGGGAUAUACGGAGUUGGGGGGAUGGGUAAGACUACCAUCGCAAAAGUUAUAUAUAAUGAACUUUCUUGUGAAUUUGAAUGUAUGAGCUUUCUUGAAAAUAUUAGGGAGGUUUCCAAUCCCCAAGUUUUAUAUCACUUACAAAAUCAACUUCUUGGUGAUAUCCUAGAGGGAGAGGGGAGUCAAAAUAUAAAUAGUGUUGCCCACAAAGCAAGUAUGAUAAAGGACAUUCUCUCAUCUAAAAAAGUUUUUAUGGUUCUUGAUGAUGUUGAUGAUCCAAGUCAAUUAGAAAAUUUACUUGGACAUCGUGAAUGGCUUGGAGAAGGAAGUAAAGUCAUCAUAACAACUAGAGAUAAACAUGUGUUAGCUGUACAAGAAGUGGAUGUCUUAUAUGAGGUUAAGGGAUUGAAUUUUAAAGAAGCUCAUGAACUUUUCAGUUUGUAUGCCUUUAAACAAAAUCUUCCCCAAUCAAACUAUAGAGACCUCUCACAUCGUGUUGUAGGCUAUUGUCAAGGGCUUCCAUUAGCUCUAAAAGUUCUAGGUUCUCUCUUAUUCAAGAAGACAAUACCUCAAUGGGAAAGUGAAUUGGAUAAAUUGGACAAAGAACCUGAGAUGAAAAUUCACAAUGUGCUUAAACGAAGCUAUGAUGGAUUAGAUCGUACAGAAAAAAAAAUAUUUCUUGAUGUUGCAUGUUUUUUUAAAGGUGAAGAAGAUAGGGAUUUUGUGUCAAGAAUAUUGGAUGGUUGUCAUUUCCAUGCGGAAAGAGGAAUAAGAAAUCUAAAUGAUCGGUGUCUUAUAACUCUUCCAUACAACCAAAUACAUAUGCAUGAUUUGAUACGACAGACGGGUUGGGAAAUUGUUCGUGAAAAAUUUCCUAAUGAGCCAAACAAAUGGAGCAGAUUGUGGGAUACCCAGGAUAUUCAACGGGCACUUAGAACAUAUGAGGUAAGAGCCAGGUGCAUAAAUUCACUUAAAGCUCUAGUUGAAGAUAUAAACUUCAAUAAUAAUACCAUUCUUGUAUAAGCACUUACAUAUCCAUAUAAGUUUAGUUAAUUUGUAUUUAUGUUUGCCUUAUCCUUGUUAUUUUUCAGGGAAUAGAAGGAGUUGAAACAAUAGACUUGAACUUGUCUGAUUUUGAAAGAGUAUGCUUCAAUUCAAAUGUUUUCUCAAAGAUGACUAAUCUUCGAUUGCUCAGAGUUCAUUCAGAUGACUAUUUCGAUCCUUAUUCUCAUGAUGAUAUGGAGGAGGAGGAGGACGAGGAGGACGAGGAGGAGGAGGAGGAGAAGGAGAAGGUAGAUCGUUAUUGUGAAGAAAUGAUUGAUUCUGUAAUGAAAACUGCUUCUAAAAUGCACCUUGACCCGGAUUUUGAAAUCCCUUCUUUUGAGUUAAGUUAUCUUUGUUGGGAUGGGUAUCCUUUAGGUUUUUUAUCAUCAAAUUUUAAUGGAAAGAACCUUGUUGAACUUCACUUGAAGUGUAGCAACAUAAAACAACUAUGGCAAGGGAAGAAGGUAUUAUUAUCAUUUAAUAAUGACUUUUUUUCCUUUAUAUUGAUUUUAAAAUUUCUAAUAGUUAUUUCUUUUAUUGAAAUUAUUUUCUUUUGGUACAGGAUCUUCAAAGUUUAAAGGUCAUUGAUCUAAGUCACUCAAACAAGCUCGUUCAAAUGCCAGAAUUCUCAAGCAUGCCAAAUUUGGAAGAACUAAUUCUUAAAGGUUGUGUAAGCUUGAUCAAUAUUGACCCAUCUGUUGGAGAUCUCAAGAAGCUUACUACCUUAGAUUUAAGGGGGUGUGUUAAGCUUAAGGGUUUACCAAGUAGCAUUAGCAACUUGGAAGCUCUUGAAUGUCUUGAUCUUACUAGGUGCUCAAGCUUUGACAAGUUUGCAGAAAUUCAAGGAAUUCAAGGAAAUAUGAGUAGUUUAACGCAUCUAUAUUUGCGCAAGACUGCUAUUAGAGAACUUCCAAGUAGCAUUGACUUAGAAUCUGUUGAGAUUCUUGAUCUCUCUGAUUGUUCUAAGUUUGAGAAAUUUCCAGAGAACGGAGCAAACAUGAAAAGUUUAAAUGAUCUUCGUUUAGAGAAUACUGCUAUUAAAGAACUCCCAACAGGUAUUGCCAACUGGGAAUCUCUUGAGAUUCUUGAUCUCUCUUAUUGCUCAAAGUUUGAGAAAUUUCCAGAGAAGGGAGGGAACAUGAAAAGUUUAAAGAAGCUUCGUUUUAAUGGUACUUCUAUUAAGGAUCUGCCUGAUAGCAUUGGAGACUUGGAAUCUCUUGAGAUUCUUGAUCUCUCUUAUUGCUCAAAGUUUGAGAAAUUUCCAGAGAAGGGAGGGAACAUGAAAAGUUUAAAGAAGCUUCGUUUUAAUGGUACUUCUAUUAAGGAUCUGCCUGAUAGCAUUGGAGACUUGGAAUCUCUUGAGAUUCUUGAUCUCUCUUAUUGCUCAAAGUUUGAGAAAUUUCCGGAGAAGGGAGGGAACAUGAAAAGUUUAAAGAAGCUUCAUUUAAAAAAUACUGCUAUUAAGGAUCUGCCGGAUAGCAUUGGAGACUUGGAAUCUCUUGAGAUUCUUGAUCUCUCUAAGUGCUUAAAGUUUGAGAAAUUUCCGGAGAAGGGAGGGAACAUGAAAAGUUUAAAGAAGCUUUCUUUAAUAAAUACUGCUAUUAAGGAUCUGCCGGAUAGCGUUGGAGACUUAGAAUCUCUUGAGAUUCUUCAUCUCUCUGAGUGCUCAAAGUUUGAGAAAUUUCCGGAGAAGGGAGGGAACAUGAAAAGUUUAAAGGAGCUUUAUUUAAGAAAUACUGCUAUUAAGGAUCUGCCUGAUAGCAUUGGAGACUUGGAAUCUCUUGAGUCUCUUGAUCUCUCUGAUUGCUCAAAGUUUGAGAAAUUUCCGGAGAAGGGAGGGAACAUGAAAAAAUUAAAGCAGUUUCUUUAAUAAAUACUGCUAUUAAGGAUCUGCCAGAUAGCAUUGGAGACUUGGAAUCUCUUGAGUCUCUUGAUCUCUCUGAGUGCUCAAAGUUUGAGAAGUUUCCGGAGAAGGGAGGGAACAUGAAAAGUUUAAAGGAGCUUUAUUUAAUAAAUACUGCUAUUAAGGAUCUGCCGGAUAGCAUUGGAGGCUUGGAAUCUCUUAAGAUUCUUAAUUUAAAAAAUACUGCUAUUAAGGAUCUUCCCAACAUUUCUAGGUUGAAAUUUCUUAAAAGACUCAUCCUCUGUGACCGCUCAGACAUGUGGGAAGGAUUAAUAAGCAAUCAGCUUUGCAAUCUGCAAAAACCUAAUAUCAGUCAAUGCGAAAUGGCUCGACAGAUUCCGGUGCUUCCUUCAAGUCUAGAAGAAAUAGACGCACACCAUUGCACAAGCAAGGAAGAUUUAUCAGGUCUGCUCUGGCUUUGCCACCGCAACUGGUUGAAAUCUACAGCAGAGGUAAUGUAAUAAUUUUUUUUAUUUAAUUAUGCCACUUAAACCUUUUUUAUAUAAAGCCAAUAUUUACAUAAUAAUUUGUGCAGGAGUUGAAAAGUUGGAAACUCAGUGCUCGUAUUCCAGAAAGUAGUGGAAUUCAAGAGUGGAGGAUAAGGUAUCAAAACUUGGGAAGUGAAGUAACAGCAAAGCUUCCAAUGAAUUGGUAUGAAGAUCCUGACUUCCUAGGAUUUUUUGUAUCAUGUGUUUAUCAGCCUAGUCAUAAAUCUACUCUCAAGUGUGAAUUGAAUUUACAUGGCAAUGGAUUUGAAUUCAAGGACAGAACCUGGUGUGACUGCUGGUGUGGGUCCCAUGGUAAUUUUAAAGAAUUGAUAGAUCAAGUAUGGGUUUGGUGGUAUCCUAAGAUUGCUAUUCCGAAAGAGCUCCGUAAAUCCACACAUAUUAAUGCUUCAUUUAAGAAUCCUGGGAUAAACAUAAAAAAAUGCGGCAUCAAUCUUAUAUUUGCGGGAGAUCAACGAAAUCAUAUGCCCAUGUUGGAGCAUCCUCAGAAUUCUGGUGACAAUGGAUCAGCAUCACAAGAUACCGAUGGUAAUGUUCAUGGGGCUAAUCAAGAUGAUGAACACUACCAUAUUCCAGCGAUGUUAGAUCUUCUCAGGAAUUUUGGUGACAAUGGAUCAGUAGUACUUGAAGACAAUGAUGGAAACCGUAAGAGAAGACGUGAUGAUUCGUUACCCGAUGUAGUGGAGGAGCCACAUUAUAAAAGAUUGGGAGCACCCAACAUCGAUCUCUCGCUUUGAACUCCAUCACUAGGUGCAUUAUCAACCCUUCUUCAAUAUUCUAACUUCUCUCCUUUUUAAAUUAUUUUUGAAGUCAAUAAACUAUUUUUAUAUGUAUCUUCAAACUUAUUUCAUUAAUUUUCCUCCAUUAUAUAAAAAUUAAAUAAUUUAAAAAUAUAUAAAUCUCUAAUCAAUUUUAAUUAUAUUUUAUUUUCUUUCAUAUUUUCUAUAGAAAAACCAAGUAUAACAAAUAAUUUUUUUUAGUGUUUUUUUUUAUUUCCUAAGUACUCUCUAAGAUUCAAACAUAUUUAUAGUGAUUGAUAUCAUGACUAUGCAUGUACUACAUUUCAUAGAAUUUCUUCAUUUUCAAAAAAUAUGAAAAAUAACUUUAACUAACUUUAAAAGUCAUCAUUAGUUUAAAAACAUGUAUAGUUUUUUUUAUUUUUUAACAUAUAGCAUAUAUAUGGUAGUGAAUUGCUUCUUUUUUUUUUCCAUUAUUUAUUUAUUUAAUUAGUUAAAUAAAAACCUCUACAAAGUGAUUAUGAAGCUCUAGGGAUUCUUCAUUACCUUAUUAGACAUUAAUUAAUUAAUUAAUUAAUUUUUUCAACUUGCUUUAAGAUAAAAUUUGAAUAAGUUAUCAAAGUUAGUUAGAGAAGAUCAUGUACACAAAUUAGAAGUCAAAUUUGAAUGUAUUAUGUGGUAGAUAUAUGGAGAAACAUACUUGAUGGAAGUAAAUAAUAAAACUCCCAUAUAUUGAUUUUAAUAGUUUUAAGAGUCAAAUUGUUUAUGGUUUUUGUAUUUAAGAAUUAAAUUUCUUUAAGCAUGCUAAAACAUGUUUAAACAUGCAUACUUAGUCAUUUCCUGAGAUGGAAGUUUUGGAUUAAUCUUAUAUUUACUUAUGAUUUUGAUAUGCUCACGAAGUUUACCUAACUAUUAAUUAUACUAAUCUUAAGUGAAAUUUGUGAUAGUAUCGAUCAAAACGAAAUCACAUGUGGUAGCUGCAAGUGGAGUUUAUCUUUUUUCCUAUCAACUUAUUGGUAAGUCAUUUUAUUCAUUUAUCCUUUUAGUAUGUGUAGAAAAUUGAUUAUAGUUCUUCAAUUUCUUUACUAUUUUCUCUUUCCCUUGAUCCCUAUUUUGUUCUAUUAUGUUUGGUUUUUGAAAAACUUGAGGGUAAAUAUAAAGAAAAGAAAAUUGAGAAAAAAAAAAAGGAAAUACAAAGUGAAAAAGAAUAAAAACUAGAUUUAAAGUUAAUCAAUUAUUUUCAUAUGUUUGUUCAAUCUUAUUUCAUUUAUUAUGCUUCAUUAUAUAAAAAUUAAAUAAUUUUAAAAUGUAUAUAACUCUAACUAAUUUUAAUUAUAUUUAAUUUUUUUUCCAUAUUUUUCACAAUGAAACCAAACAUUUAUCAUUUUCCUUGACAAUUUUUAUUGUUUCCUUGGUGCUCGAUGGGAUCCAAACAUAAGUUGAAAACCAUCAGGGUAGCCUAGUUGGUCAAGGCGAAUAUUGAGAAGUGUGGUCCUAGUAAGUGGUACAUGGUUAUGGGUUUGAAUCCUGUCACCACUGAUACCUUGAAUUUGCCUAGUGCUAGUUGUUGCGGGUGAUUAACACUUUGAGGUUUGGGUCCCCAUAGAGAGUUCGAAGGGUUUGGUCAUGGAAGGUUCCUUGAUUAUUGAGAAAAAAAAAAACAUAAGUUUUAUGUUUCAGGAGAUUUAAAAAAAAAAAAAAGGUUGUAGCACAAUCCAUAAUUAACUAGGAUAUAUAUUUGUUCUCAUGUGCUUGGUAUAAGGCACUAAGUAUCAUUAUAUUAAAUUAAAUCCUCGAUCUACUUCAUAAGAGUUAGUUAUAAAUUCCUUGCUAUUGAUAUAGGUAAACAAGAAUUUAUAUAUGUUUGAAUUAAUUCUUAAGUUAAUGGUUAAUACCCAUUAAAUAUGUUUUUAGUUCCUUUGAUGAUUAUGUUAUAAUUUGAACAUGUUAGGGGUAUGAUUCUAGCUUCAUUAGCAUGAAGUGUAUCCAAUGAUAUGUGAUUCCCUAUCACUAUGUUUGGAUCCAAGAAAGUGUAUGGGAUGAAAAAUCCUCAUGAAAAUGAUUUUCUCAUAAAAAAAAUCCAAGAAAGUAUGAAGGAACAUGAAAAUGAUUCUCGGAAAUCAAACGCAACCAUGUGAAAUAUACUUGUGUUAAUAAUUAUAAUGUGUGUUUGUUGUACUAUGUUUAUGAAAUUGAAAUGAUGUAUUUUAUAAUUUAUGUAGGUGGAAACCCUAAGGACAAUGAGGAGAAGUUAAUCUCAAGAUACAAGUGAGAUUCCAAAUGUUGCUAAGGUGGUCUACUCUUACCAUCAUGACCAUCAAGAAAGAUGCUACAAUUUGUGUAUUGAAAGUGUGAAUUAGGAAUGUUAAAAAAUGAAAACUUGAAUUGAUAUAUGUUUUUGCCUAUAAGAUGUGUGGUUAUAGGCAAUUCUUAUGGGUAUGUAAUUGACCUUGAUGUUGCAUAUGAAGCAUAUCACCCUCUCUAUAUCUUCAAGCUAAUGGUUGGAGUUUGGAUAGUGAAAGACAAGUGUCAUAGAUUUAAGUAUUUUCAAAGGGCUCAUGUGGCACAUAGACAAUUCAAGUCUCUUGAAGUUGUUAAUUCUUUCACGUUGUAACAAAGGUCUCUAUCACAUUUCACACAUUAUAACCAUCACAUUUUAACUCUGAGUGUUUAGUUUGAAAUACUUUUGCAUUAAACUCUUUUUCAAAAGUAUUAAAUUAAUAUCUUUCUCUAGUCUUACUCGUUUUGGUUUGUCAACUUAAGUGGUUUAUUACUCUCUAGAGCCAACUUUCAACUUAGUCAUUCCCACAUAAUUGUUAUUGAUUCAUGGUCAAUUAACAAAUUCUCUGAUGUUAUGAUUGGUUUUUGAAAAUUUUGAGGAAAAUUAAAUAAAGAGAAAAAGUAUAAGGAAAUAAAUUUGAAGAAGCAUAAAAAAAAAAAAAAAUUAAAAUUAAUAAAUUAUUUUUAUUUGUUAUUUUAAACUCGUUUUACACCUAAUUUUAAUAAUAUUUAUUUACUUUCCCUAUUUUCCAUGAGUUGUCAAAUAUAAAAAAAUUAUUAUUUUUAAUACUUUUUGAUAACUAAACAUAACCUAAUACUUGUCUUUGUAAUUUCAAGGUACCAAUGAUAGAAUCAUACCUAUUAAUGUGGCCGUAUACAUGUGUGGAAUAUUCAUGAUUCAAUACUAUCACUACAUUACAAUUGUGGGAUGGAUCCUAGUAUAUAGUUAACGCAAAGAAGGAUUUUAUUCUAAAAUUAAUAUAAACAAAUAUAAUUUGAUAAUGUAUUUUAAACAUCUUGUAGAUAGUGUUUGGUGAACCAAUUUAAUAAUUUAAUAUAACUUAAUAGUUUAAUUUAUUAUUAAGUAGAUUAACUAUAUUUGGUAGAAUAAGUUAAUAUUACAAUGUAAAUUUAGUGUUAAGUCAAAAUAGUUAAUUUAAGGGUGUUUGGUAAAUCAACUUAAUGACUUAAUAUGAUUUAAUAAUUUAAUUUAAGUCAUUAAAGAGAUUAAAUAUAUUUGAUAAAAUAAUUUAAUACUACAACUUAAAGUUAUUUUUAACUUUAAGUAAUAAGUCAAAAGGAUCAAUUUCAUUGAGACCCCCUGAGGUUUGGUAUAAAUAUACUCGACUAUCAUUGAUUUCAAAUUUCAUCAAUUAGCACCCUUAUAAAUUUUUUUCGUUUUAAAAAAUUAUUUUUUUAAGAGAUUUCAAGUAAAAAUAUUUUAUAUAGGAGUGUUUAACAAUUUACUAAAAACUAAAUUUUAUUCUUUAAAAACUAAAAUUUAUAUAUAUAAUACAUUUAUAGAGGUACCAAUUGAUAAAAUUUGAAACUUACAAUGGCUUAAUGUACUUACUCUAAACCUGAAGGAUCUCAAUAAAAUUAACUCUAAGUCAAAAUAGUUAACUUAUUCUUAAUUUCAAAUCAUUUUUACCUUAUUUACCUACAUUUAUGACUCACUUUUUAUGAUAAAUAUUUUAUGAUUGUAUUUGUAUCUACGAUGCUUUAAAUAUGAAUAUUUAACAAAUAAAUCUAUUGUUUAAGAUUAGUGAAAAUAUAAUGAUUAGUUAAAAUUAAUAAGAAUAAAUAUAUCAAUUUGAAAAUUUAGAAUAAAUCUUAAAUUAACUUUACUAAAUAAUCUUAAUACUUAAAGUAAAAAAUAAUUAAUAAGUUUUAAGUUUACAACUUAAGAAUCAUUUAACUUAAAACCAACUUAAAUCAUUAAAUAAUAAGUAAUAAGUUUUACCAAACACCUACUUAAACAUAGCUUUUAAAGAAAUUAUUUAAUCAAAAGACAAAUAUUAAAAUAUAAAAUAUAAAAAAUAUAAUAAAGGAACAUGCACAAUGCAAAUUGACAUUAUAAAGUCUUUCACACUAUUUUAUUCCUUUUUUUUGUUCACCUUUUUAGAAAACGAUUUUAAUAUUUCCUAGGAAAAUUAUGAUAACACGUAAUUGGUGUUUCCAUAUUUUCUAAUUUUAAAACUCUAUUUUCUGAAAUAUUGAUUUAUGUUUUCUUUACAAAUGAAAACAAUUUAAACAAAAAGGUGCUUUAUAGUUUCCAUUUUUAAAAAUGAUUUUCACUUAUUUUGACUUAAGGCAUUUUCAAGAUAAGAAAAAAAACAAGAAUAAAAGCUAUUUUUAGAGAAUAAAAAUAAAUGAAAAAUGAAAAACAUUUUCCAACCGAAACCCAUUGUUAAUGUUUUCAUCUCAUUGCACCUUUUUCUAAUCACCAUCCCCCUCUUUGAUGGACUAACUCGGAAAAAUUAUCUUGGCACGUGCUUUAAUUUACAUUUGUUAAAUUGGUUUUGACAUACAUUUUCCAUAAUAAAAGCAAAACAAUAGCCCGAGUUACAAACAUGAUUUCCAUGGUUUUUAGGUCUUUAAUCACAAAGUAUUGAUUCCCAAAUUAUAGAUGCUCUAAAUUUAGUGCAUAGGGCAUUCAGACUCUCAGUUCCAUCAACAUCCAUUUUCAUUUUCUCACCUGCCAAAACCCUAUUGUACAAAUUUCCAUUGAACCUGCAGAUCCAUCCAAAGUGAUACCAAACUGUGCUGACAAGGAGCCUUUGUAAGAAUCUGAUACAGCUCCUGCUGUUUCUGAAAGGUUGCUCUUCAUCUCUGAAAUUUUUGAUGCCAUGUGCUCUUUGUAUUUCGAAACUAAAUCAACCAAAGCAUAGAGUUCCCAAGCACAUAUCUGAAUUUCUUCCUCAUUUUGCUUGAUUGCUUCCUGCAACUUCAAUUUGGACGUCUUCAUGACAACAUCAAAGUCUAGUCAGAAUCCCUUGAAUUUUUCAAUAUUAUUCACAUUAAUCAAGAACAAUUAUAGAGCCAGGUAGGAAUUUUUCUUAAGUGUUAUAUAGGCCAUCAAAACUACUUUGUAGGGACUAAUUAUCAUCCAAGAACAAUUAUUCACAUUAGUCAGAACAAGAACAAUUAUUCACAUUUACUUGGAAAAAGAAUCAAAUGUAGUCAAUCCUUUGUAGGGACUAAUUAUCAUCCAAAAAGAAUUUUUCUUAAGUGUUAUAUAGGUCAUCAAAGCUACUUUGGAAAUUUGGGGCCUGACAACCUAUGUGCAAUAACAAUUGACAUCUCCAGCAGAUUUUAUUUUAUUUUUUUAUCCAAAAAAAAUCAUUCAUUGAUAUGAAUUUAGUUACAAACCAAGGUUAAGAAACCCUUUCAAAAUAUAAAGGAUGAUUAAAAGUUGACGAAAAACCUAACAAGAGUAGCAAGAUAACUAUAUUAAUCAAGGAUGAUACAAGAACUUGUACAAAAUAUAGCGACAAUGUACAAGAACUUGUACAAGCAAGCACUAUAACUUGGGAGUGGUGGCGCCUUGAGCCUAGUGUCACGGACUUAGUCGUUCACUAAGCUCGUGCGGCACUUAGACAAGCCAAGACGCUUGAUCUUGCUAAGUCAGCCUUGCUCCCCAAUGCUUAGCUUGCUCGGCUAAGACACUCGCGACUCAAAAGCUUAAGAAGCUUGGUAGGCAACUCUUGAAAGAAUGGAAGCUUUCACUAACUCAAGGAAACCUUUACAAGUGCUUGGAUGCUCACUUGCUUGGUGCCUUGGCCAAAUGAGGCCCUCACCUAUUUAUAGGCACUAAUGGAACUCUCUAGAACCUUGGAGGGUUCCUUACAAUUCAUGAAUAUUCUAGAAUGUCCUACACUAUUCUAGAAUAUUCAAGAGACUUCUAGAUUUCUCUAGAAAGCUUUGGACCCUUCUCAUGCCUUCUACCAUAGUGUAGAGUUGUGUAGACUUCUCUAGGCAUUUCUAGAACCUUCCACACUCUUCCCACUAGUGGCUAAGUGUGGAUGUCUCCAAGGGUCUCUAGAAGCUUCUCACCUCCUAUAUAAGCCAUGGGGAGGGUCAUUUGAAGCAUCUUGUGACACUCUCCCCCACCUAAGCCGCAGACGUCCUCGUCGUGUCUUCUGCCCGGAACCGCUCAAUCUGUUCCUGGAACUGCCAUAGUGCAUUUGCUGGCUCCCAACUAGCCUCGCUUUCUGGUAGUCCCUUCCAUUUCACUAAGUACUCCGUAGCAGGAGGCACACCACGCCUUCUGAUGAUUCGGUCUGCAAUGAUGUGUUCCACCUCCUUGUCAUAGGAGAUCACAACCGCUGUAAGUGCCCUCUUAGAAAGCCCUCGGCUUGGAUCAUCCUUGUCUUCGUGAUAUGGUUUCAAGUAACUCACGUGGAAGACAGGGUGAAUCUUUAACCUUGGCGGUAACUCCACUUUGUAGGACACCUUGCCGACCUUUCCAAGUAUAGGGAAGGGUCCUUCAUACCUCCUCACAAGGCCCUUAUGCACUGGCCUUAGGGAUUUGAAUUGUUGAGGAAGGAGCUUGACAAGCACCAUGUCUCCGACCUUGUACUCCGUGUGACGUCGCUUCUUGUCAGCCCACUUCUUCAUUUUCUUAGCGGCCUUGUCCAAGUACGAGCGUGCUAUGUCAGCUUGCUCAUGCCACCCCUUAGCGAACUUGAAAGCCGCUGGACUUCUCCCUGUGUAGCCUAUCGUUAGCGUGUGAGGAGUUAAGGGUUGCUGCCCUGUGGCUAGCUCGAACGGGCUCUUGUUGGUCGCCUCACUCCUUUGCAAGUUGUAUGAGAAAUGGGCUAUAUCUAGCAACUUAGCUCAAUCCCUCUAGUUGGCACUCACAAAGUGCCUCAAGUAUAGCUCCAGCAAGGCGUUCACCCUCUCAGUCUGCCCAUCUGUCUGUGGGUGAAAGCUGGUGGAGAAGUGAAGCUCCGAACCCAUAAGCUUGAAGAGCUCCGUCCAAAACUUCCCAGUGAAGCGUGGGUCGCGAUCACUGAUGAUGAACUUAGGCAACCCCCAAUACUUGACUACGUGCUUUAGGAAUAGCCUCGCCGUCUCUUCCGCGGUGCAGUCAGUCGGGGCUGCUAUGAAGGUUGCAUACUUAGAGAAUCUAUCCACCACCACUAUGAUAGAGCCGUUGUCCUCUGACUUAGGUAGCCCGAUGAUGAAGUCCAUGGUGACGCUGUCCCAUGGGCGUUCUGCUACAGGUAGUGGCUCUAACAGGCCUCUAGGUUGUCGUUGUUCCACCUUGUCUUGUUGGCACACAAGACAAGUCCUCACAUAGGCCUCAACCUCGUCCCGUAUCUGAGGCCAAUAGUAAGCCGACUCGAGUAGUGCCCUAGUGCGUCGUUGCCUAGGGUGCCCUGCCCACUUGGUGUCAUGGCACUCCUUAAUCAGGUUCCGCCUUAUGUUCCCCCACUUAGGCACGUAGAGUCGUCUCCCUUUGGUGUAGAGUAAGCCAUCCUCCACCCAAAACCGCUUGGUCUUCCCUUCAUGAGCCAGGGCGAUGAGGCUCUUAGCCACUGGAUUAUGUUGCAGUCCCUCCCUUAGAAGAUCCAUUAUGUCUCCUUGGGGCUGACUCGUUAUGGACGCUAGCUCGGCUUUGCGACUUAGGGCGUCGGCCACAUGAUUAGCACUUCCUGGCUUAUACUCCAGCGUAUAGUCGAACUCGGCCAAGAAGUCUUGCCACCUAGCUUGUUUAGGACUCAGCUUCUUCUGUGUCUGGAAGUAGCUAGUGGCCACAUUGUCGGUCUUCACUAUGAAGUGAGACCCUAGCAAAUAGUGCCUCCAGGUGCGCAAGCAGUGAACGAUAGCGGUCAUCUCCUUUUCUUGCACCGUGUAACGCCUCUCCGCGUCGUUUAGCUUGCGACUCUCAAAUGCAAUUGGGUGUCUUUCUUGCAUAAGGACUCCCCCAAUAGCGAAGUCUGAGGCAUCUGUGUGUACCUCAAAGACCUUGGUGUGGUCGGGUAGUGCCAACACUGGCUCCUCAGUCACAGCCUUCUUCAGGUCCUCAAAGGCUUGUUGGCACCUUUCAUCCCAUUCCCAUGCCUUAUUCUUCUUCAGAAGAUCAGUGAGUGGAGCGGCCCUUGCCGAAUAACCCUUUAUGAACCGCCGAUAGUAAUUAACUAAACCAAGGAAAGAUCUGAGUUGAGGUACCUUGGUUGGUGGAUCCCAUUCUUGGAUGGCCUUCACCUUGCUAUCAUCCAUCAUCAGCUUGCCAUCUCUGAUGCGAUGCCCAAGGAAGCUCACUUCCUCCUUAGCAAACGAACACUUCUCCUUCUUCACGUAUAGCUCGUUCUGCCUCAAGAUCUUAAAGACCUUCCUCAAGUGCUCCACGUGCUCCUUUAGAGUGUUACUAUAGAUGACUAUGUCAUCCAAGUACACCACCACGAACUUGUCCAAGUAUGGGUGGAAGAUCUUGUUCAUGAGGGUGCAAAACGUUGCUGGGGCAUUGGUGAGUCCGAAAGGCAUUACUACGAACUCAUAUGAGCCAUACCUGGUCACACAUGUAGUCUUCGGCUCAUCUCCCUCCGCAAUCCUGACUUGGUAGUAGCCUGACCUUAAGUCCAGCUUCGUGAAGUACCUUGCCCUUCCAAGUUGAUCGAACAAGUCAGCAAUGAGCGGGAUGGGAUACUUGUUCUUCAUCGUCACCUUGUUGAGUGCCCGGUAAUCUAUGCACAUUCGUAGGGACCCAUCAUGCUUUUUCUGAAAUAGAACCGGCGCGCCAUAAGGAGCCUUGGAUGGUUGGAUGAACCCCGCAUCUAGCAACUCCUUGAGUUGUCUCCUUAGCUCCUCCAACUCGGGUGGUGCCAUCCUAUAUGGCCCCAUAGCAGGGGGCUUGGCUCCCGGCUCCAGCUCAAUCUUGUGAUCUUCCUCUCUCCUAGGAGGAAGUCUCUUGGGCAACUCGGGCGGCAUAACGUCCUUGAGCUCAUCAAGGACCCCCUCGAUUUCUCUAGGCAUGGGUUCUCCCGACCCAUCAUCCUUUUCUUCCUUUAGGGUGGCGAGGUAGGUCACCUCUUCCCUCUUUAACCCCUUCUUUACUUGCAUAGCGGAUAACAUAGGGGUCUUGAGCGUACCUUCAUUGACCGUAGGGACCAUGCACGACUUCUCCUCCUCUAGGAUAGCCAUUGAGCGUAGGAAAGGUAGUGGCACGGCCUUGACCUUCUGUAGGAAGUCCAUUCCUAGCACCAUCUUGAAGUCAUCCAUGGGUGCCACUGUGAAGUCGACCCUUCCUUCCCACGAGCCGAUGUGCAUAGUCACCCCGCGAGCUACUCCAUGUGAUGGCUUGGCGGCUGAAUUGACUGCCUUGAGCCAUCCUCCUUCCUUGGAUGCUUGGAGCUCCAACCUUCUUGCCUCAUCCUCCGAGACAAAGUUGUGAGUGGCACCUGUGUCCACCAGGGCCUUGGUGGCCUUCCCAUUCACAAGGGCCUCCACAUACAUCAGCCCUUUGCUUUGAGGCGUCUUAGGCAUCGGCUUGGCCUUAAGGGCAGUUAAGAGCUGCAACGAUCCCAUCUUAGCAUCGCCUUCUUGCUCCUUUUCCUCGAUCAUAGCAUUUAAGGCCUUCCUCUUAGGGCAGUCCCGUGCCCAGUGCGGACCAUCGCACAGGAAGCAAUUGGUCCUGGGCGUGAACUCCUUUCGCUUGUCCUUGCCUUUGCCAUCCUUGCCACUAGGGCCUUUGCUUGAUCCUUCCUUAGAGGUAUGGCCUUGCGACCUCUUGUCUCCCCCACCUUUGGCCUGGUUACCCUUGGAUGGUGGCUUGGGCUUGGAGGAGUCUCCCCUUCUAUAAUCUACUAAGGACUCGGCUACUGCCAUGGCCGUGGCUAGGUCUUGGACACCACGUCUCCUCAACUCUUGCUCGGCCCAGCUUUGCAAGUUGUCCAUGAAGUUGAACAGUAGCUCCUCCUCAGCCAUGUUAGGUAUCUCAAGCAUAAGAGUAGAGAAUUCUUUGACAUACUCACGGAUCGAGCCCGUGUGCUUGAGACGCUUCAAACUCUUCCUUGCUAGGUAAGCCACGUCUUCGGGAUAGAAUUGCCUCUUGAUUUCUCUCUUAAAGGCAUCCCAUGUGUCUAUGGUGCACGUCCCUCUCUCUAUGUCGGCAAAUCGUCGACGCCACCAUAGAGUAGCAUUAUCAGUGAGGUAAAGGGUCGCGGUGCGUACCUUAGUGGCUUCAUCCGUUAAUGCAAUUGCCUCAAAGUAACGCUCCAUGUGCCACAAGAAGUUAUCUAGCUCCUUGGCAUCCCUCUUGCCACUGAACGUGUGUGGCUUGGGCACCUCCACCCUUGGUGCCUCAUGAGUGGCCAUGACUCGUGCUGAUACAGCGGUCUUAUAGAUGGCCAACUCUUGUCGAAUCUCUUGGUCUCGGGCCUCCACUCGUGCAGUCAAGGCCUCCAUCCUUGACUCCACACUAGCGAACAUGCUCAUGACCUUGUCUUGGAAAGACAUGAACUCCUCGUGUGACACCGGUUGAACUUGCGAGACCAGCACCCCCUCGCGAAGGUCUUGGAUCUGCUCCCUUAGAUCCUCUAAGCCCUUCUCCAUGCCUUGCUCGAUCAAGUCCACCCCUUCCCGGGUGUCUGCCAUGGCUAGCUCCACCUUGGCUAACCUUGCCUCCAUGUUGGCAACAACAUCAUGAGAUGUAUCCUUCUUACCUCUGCCCCUGCCCCGUGCAGUAGGCUCGGCCUCCCUCCCAUGGGUUUGUUCGCUAGUCUCCUCCACGUUAGAGCCCGACAUGCUUCCCUUAUGCCCGCUUCGUAGCCACGCUCUGAUACCACUUGUCACGGACUUAGUCGUUCACUAAGCUCGUGCGGCACUUAGACAAGCCAAGACGCUUGAUCUUGCUAAGUUAGCCUUGCUCCCCAAUGCUUAGCUUGCUCGGCUAAGACACUCGCGACUCAAAAGCUUAAGAAGCUUGGUAGGCAACUCUUGAAAGAAUGGAAGCUUUCACUAACUCAAGGAAACCUUUACAAGUGCUUGGAUGCUCACUUGCUUGGUGCCUUGGCCAAAUGAGGCCCUCACCUAUUUAUAGGCACUAAUGGAACUCUCUAGAACCUUGGAGGGUUCCUUACAAUUCAUGAAUAUUCUAGAAUGUCCUACACUAUUCUAGAAUAUUCAAGAGACUUCUAGAUUUCUCUAGAAAGCUUUGGACCCUUCUCAUGCCUUCUACCAUAGUGUAGAGUUGUGUGGACUUCUCUAGGCAUUUCUAGAACCUUCCACACUCUUCCCACUAGUGGCUAAGUGUGGAUGUCUCCAAGGGUCUCUAGAAGCUUCUCACCUCCUAUAUAAGCCAUGGGGAGGGUCAUUUGAAGCAUCUUGUAACACUAGGCACACUUAAAGCACGCCUUUUAAAACUAUGAUCAUCCAUUAGACAGGUGGUUAGACCAGGCAGCUCUUGCUAUCAAAUUUUGAGUGACAACUGCUUGUGUAAUUGACACAUCAUUUGCCCUUUGUACCAAAUUUUAGAUUGACCAUCAAGUGGUACUAUACUACUUUCCAAUUAUUUUCUCUCCCAUAUUUCAUUUGAGUCAUUCUGGAAUUUAGCAGUAUUCUAUCCCAAUGGAAUUUCUAGGAACAACAUUUUUCUGUCAAAAUUUGAAUACAUCUAAAUUAUCACCUUUUUGAAUUCCAAUUGUAGUCCAAUCAAUUUAACCGUAGUAAUUGAUUUUCCAAGAAAUUUUAUUAUUGUGCAUUCAACUACUAACAAUUCAAGAAAGCUUUUUUUUUUCUUUUUGGAUAAGUAAAUCACAAUUCAAAAAACAAAUUAAACGAAGGGGAAAGCAAGAUUAUGAACAAUUUUGUCUUUUAGAUUGCAAAGAAAAUACUCGAGAAGCUUACAGUUACAACUUUAGUUUUCCUAGAGUGGCAUCCAUGCAAUAUAACAACCAUUCAAUUGUAUAUGCUACUGCUGGUACUUAAGAAAUGGUAUUGCUCACAAAGUCAGACCACUAGGUAAAGAAGACCUGCUUUGAUUUCUUAUAUAGAUAGAUGGAUACAGAGAGAGAGAGAGAGAGAGAGAGAGAGAGAGAGAGAGUUUGGCCUUUUCUAAGAGCAGCAAAAAGAGGUUGAGUUAAUUUGUACUUCAGUUAAUUGCAUAUUCAAUAGGGGACCAUUGGCUCCAACUAUGUGCACGCUCCCUCCAUCUGUAUCCUAUGUAUGUGUCUAAGAAUUUUAUGGCUCUGUCAUUCUUUCCAAAAAAUUUGUGCUGCAGAGUUCUUCUUUCUUGUAACAUGAUCAAUCUUGUUAAUCUUAUCUAACAUCACCAAUACUUUUAGCUUUCUUUAAAAUUUUUAGGAAAACAAAGCGAAAAUCUGGCUGCUCCUGUUGACACCCUAAAAUCGUAUAAAAAAGGCAUAGUUUUUUAUUCUUCUUGAGUGGCAUAUAAAUGCAUAGCUGCUGAACAAGAAAAAUGAGUUCUAAUUCACUUACUUCAUCACUACGGGAUUGAAGUGCAGCAAGAUGAUUUCUUUUUGCUUCAAUUUUAACAGCAUUUUCAACUAAUUAUUGUUGAAGAGAAAUCAACUCUUCCAACUUUGACAUAGAGCUUUUAUUUAUGUCAUCAGCAAAGGAGUCAAAUGCAGGCUUAAGCGUUGAUUUGUAAUCAAUUCCCAAACCUCAGCAGGCAAAGACCCUUUGGCAUUCAACACUACUGCAAACCAUUUCCUAACUUUAACCUGGAAACCAUCCAAGAGAAAAUACUUCAAUUACACAAUAGAUUGUAGUUUAAUAGGUUGAAAGAGUUGCAUGAGGUGGUAUGCUAAUUUGUCAAUUCAAAGAUGCUCCUGAAAAUUAAGUAUUUAGUGUUGCCUCUUCAUGACUAUUAGUUUACUUCUAAAAGUUAAAGAGAACAUGGUCCAAAGGGAAACAAUAGGCUCCUAAGGCAGGGCUCAGGAGGCAAAGGGUUGGGUGGGUAUGGGAAGGUUCCAAGUUGAAAUUCAUAUACCGAGAGAGAGAGAGCGAGAGAGAGAGAGAGAGAGAGAGAAGGGGGGGGGGGGAGGAGAGGGGAGACUACCUUAAAAAAGGAGGUUGCCAAGGGCAACUGUAUCACCUAUCUCUGUCUAAAUAAAUGAUUAGAAAACUUGUGAGGAUGAAAGUGUUAAAUGGAGAUUUUUUUUAAAAGCCAAAUUGAGAAUGAACAUUAGCUAACCUUAAAAACCUUUUUAUUUUUCGUACUUUGACAAAGCUCCAGAAUGGUUAGCAGUUUGAGAGUAACACUUAGCUUAAAAGGUUACAGAAGAUGAACAAACAUGAAAUCAUAAACCAAUACAAAAGCUGUAAUGUACCCAAAAGAUAAAUGCAGGUAAGGCAAAUUACAACUCAGAAACUACCCAUUGUUGGUGUUGAAUCACAACCCCAAGUAAACAAAUGAAGCUUAAGUUGGCUACUUGGAAAUAAUGCAUGUGACUCAAGAAGACAUAAGCCAUUGAAUGGUUCAGCAACUACAUUCACCUGGUCUGAAUUUUUGUCUACUGAAAUUUUACAUUUUUGUUAGGUAAUUUUUUUUGUCCCUAUUGGGAUUUGAACCUGAAACUUCCACAAACCCUUCCAACUCUUUACCUCUUGAGCCAGGCCUCAAGGGCAUGUUCACUGGAAUAAUUUAAGCAGAGAACAGCAGCUGGAUCCUUCUUAGGAAUCACUGACUAGUCAUGCUAUAACUACAAAGCCAGAUCCUACGUUCUCACUGAAGUUAUACUAAAAUGUUGUAUAUGUUAAUGUAUUUGCUAAGAACAGGAAAAUAUUUCAUAUCACCCACAAAUGACAGACAAAAAAAAUCUUGUAAUCUAAUUCAUGGAGGUAGAUAACCUAAUGUUGAUAAGAAUCACAGUAGACUUCAAUGGAAUAGAGAAAAUCAAUUCCAAGCAUUACCAAACUUAAGAAAGAACACAAUUCUACCAUGUUCAUUAAUUAUCAGAAAGCAUACUGAAGAUUACUAGAAAGACUUUAGAGUAUGCAACUAAAGGAAUUAAGAAAAUCCUAGUGGAGUGGAUUAUAGAGGUAUGAAAGCCAAACAAAGAGGAUAAGGAAAAGAAAACCUCCUGAGAGCCUGGUUGCAUUCAAUUGAAAGAGUUUCAAGCUCCUUAAACUUGUGCCCAAUUGUCGUGUCAAGAUCCCAAGACUUCUCCUCCCAACCAUUCCUUGCACCCUCGGCCUCCGUGAUAUCUCUCUCAACUGCCUGCAACUCCCUCUUCAUCCUCUCUGCAUCUCUUGCAUUAAACGUCUGCAACUCAACCCUCUUCUUCAGCUCUUAAUUAUCCUCGCAAAUUCUAUUUUCUUCUCAACCUUCACCCCCAACUCCUUCUCCUCCAAAAUCUUCUCCACUGAUGCAAUCCUUCCCGAAAAUUCUGCAAUUAUUGCACGAAAUUUUUUCACAUCCUCCUCCAACACCCCCCUCUCCUUCUCCACAACCUCCUUAGCCGAAGGCCCCGACCUCAAUUCCUCCAACCUCCCCUCCCUCUCUGCCAUCUCCUUCUCCAAUGCCUUCACACCUUCCGCCACUGCGUCCCUCUCCCUUUCCAACUUCCCCAUAGACUCCCUAUCCACCGCCUCCAUCCCAUCAUCAUCCCCGUGAAUAUAAUGCAAGUAACUAUCUAAUGCAUACACAAAAGUAUUGUCAAAACACUGCAAAUUCGACACAAGAUGGUCAUUAUACAAUGCGAUCUGAACCAACCAAUGCAUUACGCCUAAAAGGGAAGGCCAAGCAUGCGGGGUUCCGGGGGCUUUGAGAGCGGACUUGUUGAGCUUGAUCAGGAAAUUGAGGUGCUUGAGGAGGAUAGGAAGAUCGUCUUCAAGUUUGGUUGUGGGGAAAUCGAGUUGGGAGAUGAGGAAUUUUAGGGUUUCGGAAAUGUCUUUGGCGGAGGGGAGAGGGGGUUUAAGGGAGAAAGGAGAGGAAUGGGAGGCGAGAAAGGAGUUGAUGGUGCGGAUGGCGGAGAGUUGGUAGGAUCGGUCGGUGAGGGCAUCACCGGCGGAGGAGCGGUUGAUUCCAAGGGAGGAAGGGCGGCUGCUGGCGAAACUAGCGUCAGAGUCGCGGCUGCAUUGGCGGUGGUGGUCAACGGAGGGAGGUGGUGGUGGUGGCGGUGGGCGGAUAAAGUCCUUCGGACGGCGGCGGCCGGUGGCUUUCAUAUUCGGCUGUGAUGGGCUUCUCCCUCUCUCUUCUGAGUUCUUAUGAAUUCUGAAUCUCUCUUUCCCGCCUAUGGAUACCCCUCAGCUAUUUGUCAAUUACACUUAACCACCCUCAAGUUUUUUAAAUUAACCAUAGUGGAGCAGAACAAUCCAUGGAUGAUGUCGUCGAAUCUUGAAAGAUUUUUAUGGUUGAUUAAUGAUGUCAUAGUUAAAAGAAUUAAAUAAAAUGUCUAAAAUAUUCGUUUUAUUUCAUUUCAUCUUACCAUAUAUUUCUAAUUAAUUUUAAUUAAAAGUUUUUAAUAUAAAAAAUUAAUUUGUUUUUAUUAAAUAGUUUACCAUAUUAUCUAAUUAAUCAAUUAUUUUUACUAUCUUUCUUAUCUAAAUAAUCAUUAAGGUUAUGUUUGAUUCCCAAAAAAUACUAAGUAAAGAAAAAAAAUACUAAUAUGUUUGAUUUCCGAAAAUUAUUAAGGAAAAAAAAUAUUAAUCCACUUUUAACCCUUUAAACACCUAACUUCACAUAACCCAAACUUUUAUAAACUUAACUAUGACUUUCCAAUUGAGCGAACAAUAACCUUGAAUCUUCAAUAAAGAGUAAGUCACCAUCUAAAAAGUUUCUUAAGCCAUAAAAUAAUUGGAAUAAAAUUGCUAACAUACAAUCUAAACUCAUUAUCUUAAUAAUCUCCCUCUUUACAAUUUUAUGACAAAACAUCAUUACAUAAUCCCUUCCAGACUCUCAUAAUGGAGUUUGCAUGACACUCAAAUAUGCUCAUCUAAAAAAUGAUUCAAGGGCAAUGCAUUAAGUUGUAGUACUUACCUCCCAGUCCUAUUAACUGCAUACAUAAAAACAACUAUACCAAAGGUAAAACAAUGUGUGGGAUAAAAUAUAAUCGAGUAAGCAAAACAAGGUAGUGAGAAAAUACGAUCAAUGCACUGAAUGUUAUUAAGGAAGCAAAACAAUAUUGUAAGGAAACCAAUGUGCAAAAUCCAAAAAGAAAUAUAUUUGAUUACAUGUAAAUCAACCAAAUCUAAGCAAAGCUUUGCAAGCAACAAUUGGACAAUAAGGGCACUAAGUGCUUUCACCAACCAAAAUAUAUGUAAUAAGGACCAUGAGAACAAGCUUCUACUAUAGAGAAUGGUUCGAGAGAGUUUGACAUAUCACAAAGAUAUAUAUCAUAGGAAAUAUUUAUGUCAAGUGUCUCAAAUUUUUAAAACAUCUAACCAAUAGGUAAUUUGGUUUCCCUUAAUAUCUCAAAUUUAGUUUUCCCCAACGUCUCAAGUAACUUCUCGUAAUAUUGCAAUAAAUACUCCUAAAAAAUUUUCCCUCUAAAAACUUAAACUCUCCCCAUUUUUUAUCUUUUAUAUAUUAUCUUCCCUUAGAUGAAUCUUCCCCUAUAUAGAAUGUCUCUCCUUAAAACCCAUUUAACAAUUCUCCUUCUAGGUCUCUCUCUAUCUCAAUUCUCCCCCUUUUUGUCAUAAAAUGGGCAAAACAAGGUAAGUAGGAAAGGAGACUAAAAGGCAAUAAGGAAUAUAUAUAUAUAUACAUAGGUUCUGGAUACAAAAAUAUGGAAAUAAAGAGCAUACAUCCAAACCAAAACAAAAACAAAAACAAAUAGGAAAGCAAGCAACUAAGCAUUAGGAGCAAAGGAUGGUAAUGGAGAAGUAGAGCUUGAGGCCUUCUGAGAAUGGAUCUAAGAUAUAAUGUAAGUGAGUUGGCCCUCAAUCCCACAAAAACAUGCAUCAUGAUCGUCCAUCUUCAAAUGUAGACUUGAAAUUGAGUCCAUAACCUCUUGAAGUAAGGGAUUGUUAGAUGAAAAAACAAUGAUAAAAGAUGUAUGAGAAGGCCCCCUAUGUCAUUGGCUAUGUUAGCCACGCAAAGCUAGCUUUGGGAAGUCAUCCUUAGUGACUAAAGGCUCUUACUCCAUGGCUCAAAUCUCAUCAUUCUCAGCUAGGGCCUCCUAAGCAACCUUUUAUGCUAUUGAAGUGGGGAUAACAGGGUCUUAAGGAGUUGUAACUGAUUUGAUCAUUGUUGGUUAAGGUUGAUGGUAAUAAGUAUUCUCAAGAUAGACACUAUAAUAUCUCAUGAGUUUAAGACAAUGAGUCUUCCUCCUAGGUGAUCCUAAGAACAUGUGAUCAUGAAAAUAAUGGUUGUAGUAAUUCCUUUAGUGGAAUUUGACAUAUGCUUUUAAAGAGUUAGAGUAUGUUAGUUGAUAAUAAAAUAAGAGAAUUUAAAACUCAAGGAUUAUAGAGGUAAUCUUAAGAAGUUGAUAUAAUUCACCUUAUUAGAUUACAAACACCAAUUCAUAGAGAGUUUACAUGUAAUAAUUAGUAGUUUCUAGACUUAAGAUUCAUAUCUUAAUUUAAUAUCAUAAAAGUACAAUUGAUUUUUUGUAGUGGAAUGUUGAGUCAACUUUAAAAUUGGAUUAUGCAAGAGCCCAUGUUUUCCUAUAGGUCCUAGUUGUCCUCAUACAAGGUCUUACUCCUUGGUGACAUAUUAUUUCAAGGAUGGUUGUGCUCUUUAUUCAUAUAUAUGUGUGUGUGUGUGUGUGUGUGUGUGUGUGUGUGUGUGUGUGUAAGAAUGUUUUGGUAAAAACACAAGGUUACAUAAGAUUAAGUGACCUUGUGGCUAUUUAAUUAAUUAGGACUUAUGGGUUAGAUUAAGUGGCCCAAGCCUAAAAUGAACUUAAGUCACUUAAACCCACAAGUAAGGCUAUAUAAACCUCUUUAUUUAAGGUUCAUAUCCUUUGUUAUUCAGUCUUCCAAAGAGAGAAAACCUUAACCUCUAUCCAUAGAGAGGAUUCCCACCAUUUUUCACAUGCUAAGGUUGAAGAAAGAGAGUCAUUGGGUAAAAGAUCAUGAGGUAUUUGAGAUCCAUUCCAACCUUUUCAUUGAUUAGAACUAAUCCAAGAAUAUCCAUAUCACAUGUAUUUUCUUUAUACUCUAAGAUCCACAUUUUUUUAUAUGUUAAUACCUUUUUUGUAUGGAUUUAGAGAUGCCUAGGAUAGUUUUGCAUGUACCUUAAUGAUCUAAGGCUUAAAAUGAUUUUUCCUAGACAUUCUUACAAAUCCCAAACUAAAAAUUAUGGAUGAAUGUCGUUAUAGACAUGAUUGGCCAAAAUAGAAAGAAACUAUCCAAAUAGAGCUAAUCUCGUUACACAAAACGAGAAAUAUUUGGACUUAUAGUUCAAAUGCUUGAAGAUGUAAAGUCUCUUGGGUAUAAAAAAGUUUUUGUAUGAAAACACAAUAAGAAAAUGAAUUCAUAAGAUAUAAAACACGAUUUGUAGCUUAAGGUUUCUCAUAAAGACCUAGUAUUGCCAACAAGGAAACAUAUUCUCUUGUCAUAGAUAUAAUCACAUUUUGAUUUUAAUUAAUUAGUCAAUUUCAAAAGAACAAGAUAUGCGUCUCAUGCAUGUUACAAUUAUUGCAAAUGUAUGUUGGUGAUUUGAAUCCUAUGGGAACUCCUGAAGAACUCAUAAAAUUGUUAAUUUUUUGAAGAAAUAAUUUGAAAUAAAAGACUUAGGGAAAUUUUUUUGCCUUGGCUGGCAAAUUAAGAAGUUUUCAAAUGGAAUGUUAAUCCAUCAAUUAACUUAUACAGAAAAGGUCUUAAAUCACUUUCAUAUAAAUUAAUCAUAUCCACUAAAUUCUCCAAUGGGAGUUCGUUCAAUAGAAGUGAAAAGAAGCCAUUUCAUUUUAAAAAAUUUAACGAAGAAAUAAAUGAAUUCAUCGAUUGAUAACUUCACAUGUUUCUUAUUUCUAGAAAAUGAUAGUCUUGAUAAUGUUUCAGUUCCAUUUACUUUUAAACAUAAAGAAACAAAUGAUGAAGACAAAGUCAAAUAAAGAGAAUAUGCUAAUGAUAGUAUGCGAGUUGAGGAUGUUCCAAAAUGAUAGAAAUGAGGUGUUUGAAUUCCUAAUGAUGAAAAUCAUGAUGGUGAUAUUUGGUCAUUUUUUUAGCUAUCAUGACGCAAUUGAAAUAAAACAAAUAAGAUAUGUGGUUGUGGAUGGAAAAUGUUGUAACAUUUCAAACAACCCAAAUUUGAAGGAUUUAGAGAAGCCAGUUGAGUCUUCUUUAAUUCAAUAUCAUUUAGCACCAUCGUCACAAUUUUGAAAAUAUUAAAAAAAUUGGUCAAGAUAUAGUGAUUGAACCUCAUAAGGAAACACUUUUAUGAGAUAUUCAAGUGAAGAGUUCACAAUUCUAUAAAUUUUUAAUCCAAAGCAUAUUUGCAAUGUGCUACAUAAUGUACUCUAUUAAUUCAUACCAAGAGUAUAUUGUUGUGUCAUCGACAAAGAAGUUGUUAAUUUUAAAAUGAUAGUAUCAAUACUUUUUUGAAAUUGUCAAUAUAAUGUAAUGGUAUGACUAGAUACGAAUGACCUUUCCUUCUUUCAUGAUUCCAUAGAAUUUUUUGAUUCAUCAUUUAGAUUCAUGAAUUAGUCAUUCUAAUCGACAUUCUAUAUAUAAAUCUCUUUUUACCUCCGUGAAGGCUUCAUGGAUUGUUGGAAGGGGUUUGGUACCAAUGAUCCUCCCGCGGACCUCAUCAAGGUCCUUGUUGAGGCCCAAUAAGAACUUGAAAAGUCAUUUUUUCUCCACAAUAUUUUGAUACUUGGUAGCAUCUUCAAGGCAAUUCCAAUCAUACUCCUUGUAAACAUCUAAUUGUUGCUAGUGGUGACCAAGAAUAUUGUAGUUAUUGGUGAUGGUUAAAUCCCCUUGAUAGAGAUCAUGAAGAACACUCUCGAUAUCAACCUAUUCUACUAUAUUUUCUUUAGUGGAAUAUGUUACUUUAACCGCAUCCCACAUAUCUUUUGCGGUCUUGUAAAGAAGAAAGUUUUCAUCGAUCUCGUUGGUCAUGGAAUUGAUAAGCUAUGAUUUGACCAUAUUAUUCUGCAUCUUCUAAGUUCAGAAUCUGGGACCAUCACUUUUUGGUUGAAUGAUUUCUCUGGUGAGGUAGUCAUCCUUAUCCUUGCUGUCGAUAAACAUAAGAACAGAUUGAGACCAUUGGAGAUAGUAAUUCUUUUUCAACUUGCGACAUGUGAUGGGAAGAAAAAAGCCAUCAGAUCCUCCAUGGUCAUUGGAAGUGAUAGUCUCCAACCUAGAGUUGACUUCAUAGAUUGAUUGUUGACUAUUGGUAGUUAUUUUGGAAGAUUCGUUUGGAUUAGAUUAAUUUGUGACAGGAUCGAAUCACUUCUGGACUAGAUUGGACUGAUGAACCUAGGACAAAUUGUGACUAAGUUGGAGAAGACCAUUCAUGGUGAGAUAGCAAUAGGGGGUUUAAGUCACCUAUUUCUGAAAAAAAACAAGCACCAGAGAAUAGGUGUCGAUCCUAGUGGGAAAUCGCUCUGAUAUCAUGUAGAAAACUUGGUAUAUUUCUAUAUCUCUCUUCAUAGCAUGUACAACGUCAAAAUUAUAUAUGCUAAGAAUCAAAUCAACCAAAUAAAAAUCUAGCUAUAAUUUAGGAGAUACAUGCCUAAGAAAAGGAAAAAAAAAAUCAAAACAGAAGUGAGAAACAAAUCUUGGUUUGAAUACAAAAUAAAAAUCCCAACAAAUUAGGGAUAUUCACAUGAAAAUCAACAUGUUUGGAGAAGAGCAAGAACAAGUUAGGGAUUCAACAUUUGUCUAUAUUAAAUAAGGCGCUUUUGUGCUAAUGGAGUUGGUGAUAUGACACUAAAAGAGGUGCCUUUUGGACACGAUUGAUUAGUGGAAAAUUUAAAAAGGAAAAGGAUGGGUGGUGUUUUGAUGAAGUUAGAGUUGGGUAUGGAGUCGAGCUUUGGAAAUCCAUUAGGAAGGAAUGAAACACUUCCUUGGGUUAUUUUUUUCUUUUGCAGCAAGUGAUAGGAGGGUGAAGUUUUGGAUUGAUAUACGGGGUAGGGAUGAACCGUUGAGUGUUUCCUUCCCCUCUUUUUAUGCCUUAAUUGUUGCAAAAGAGGCUUGGGUUGUGAAUCUUUAGGUUCAACAUGGGGAGAGAGGUCAUUGAAACCCUUGUUUCUCAUGUUCUUUAAAUGAUUGGGAAGUGGAUGAGUUGAGGAUUUAUUUUUCAAGUUGCAAGGAAAAUAAGUUGGUGUGAAAGAACUUGGACAAUAAUAAGUUUUCCAUGAGUCAUUUAUAUGUUGAUUUGGACUUGGGGGUUGUUGUGUCAUUUCCAAGGUGGGUAGUUUAGAAUUCGUGGGUCCCUUCGAAAAUUGACUUUUUUGCAUGGGAGAUAACUUGGGGAAAUUUUUUUAAUUUAGAUCAACUUAAAAAAGAAUGGUAGUCUUUGGUCAAUAGGUGUUUUCUUUGCAAAGAAGAAGAAGAUGUUGGGAUUUUGUUUCUCCUAGAUCUUUCGUAAUAAAUCGAAAAUGUGAUUUGAAAUGUGGUCUACAUUCAUUCCAUCAAUUUAGGAAUGAGGAUUAAUGUUUGGAACCACAUUCGCAUCACUAUCCCAUGUUCUGUGCACACUCGAAGCAGACUUGAUGAUGGAAAGAGUGUUUAAAAAGGGGCAGAGCAUUAAAGGGUAGGGUUCCCUAAGCCUUCAAUCUCUUUUAGUCUUAAAAAACAUCAUCUAAGUGGAGGUUGAGAAAGGUUUAGAAGCACUUAAAACCUGAAAAAUUGAAGACACCAUUUUAACUUGUACAAAUGGCAAUGGUGUGAGGUAUGUUUUCGAUCUGUUUUGAAUUCCACUUAUGAUCUAAUUGCUAUUUAAGGAUUGUUAUGAGCAUGUUUAGAUUAUUUAUGUCCAUUAGUUGGUAUCAGAGCAAUGUAUGCCUCUGCCUUGUUUGUUUUACAAUAUGCGUUUUUCAAUAAAUAAAAAAAAUACAGUCAGUUUGGUAUUUUGGAGUUUAUGGUUUUUAGAAGUUUUUGAUGAAAAAUAUGGUUAGAAAUCAUUAGGAGAUGAGAUUUCUAACAUUUUAGUGUUUAAAAUCGUCAAUCUACUGUCUGGAAUACACGGAAACUGUCGGGUUUCAUUUCAGGUUGCAAAUGGGUCAAACAUACCCGGUUGAAGGUAGAAGACGACUAGGCUUGUCAUUUUGACUAUAAACAAUUAAGAAAUAAAUAAAAAAUAAAUAAGAAAAGGGGUAUUAGCCCAGUUGGUCUCAACUUUGCUUUUCCUCAACCAUUGUCCAAGUUCGACUCUUUCCAACACCAAUCUUUAGUUUUUUUAUUUAUUUUUUAUUUGGAAAUUCAUAAAAUUUAGUGUUUUAAGAUAUGUUAAUUCAUGGGUUUCUUUAUGGAUAUUUUAUGUGCUAGAUUAUUUAUUUUUGUUAGUUAAAUGUAUAUUUUUAUGAUUUAUUAUGCACACAACAUUAAAUUAAAUAAUUUUGCACAUUAAAUUUAUUAUUAAAGGCUCUUUAUGGAUUUAAUUUUAGAUAUUUAUGUACUUAUAAUAUUUAUUUCAUAAUUUUUUGUGUAUGAUUUGUUGUUUUAUUAUACAUGCAAUAUUGAGUUGAAUAAUAUUAGUACAUUGAUAUUGAGUUUUGUGUACAUAUUGCUUAUGGUUUCAUACAAUUUAUAUAAGCUUUUCUUGUGAAUUAAUUAAAUGUCAAGUGAUCCAUAUAAUUUUAAUUAAUUAAGGAGUAGCCACAGCAUCUUUAAUUAUGCAAAAUUAUAUAUUAAGUGUUUUAGGAUCACAUAUAGGAAAAUGAAAUUACGAGUAAUUAAUUAUAUUUGAUAUAAUAAAAUUUUAUCCCACAAUUUUUUUAUAUUAUAUUUAUAUGAUUAAUUAGGAUGGAAUAUCAAAUUAUAUUUCUUAAUUACCCACAGGAAUUAGGAAAGAGAACAUAAUUUGAUAGUUUUAUCAUAAGGUUUUACAUGGAUCUAAUUGAAUUAGAACUUUAGCCCACAAACAAGUUUUAUGUCACUAGAUUCACAAUUUUGGAACAUGAGUUACAUUGGUAAAACAUGAUUUAUGGUUAUUAGUCUUAAUUUUGAAUUAUAAGCAUGUAUAUUUAAUUUUUGUGUAGUCAUGCAACCUGCGAAUUUCUCUAAUAUAAAAUGUGACAUUCCCAAAUUGAAAGGUGAUAACUAUAAGGUUUGGAAGGAAAGAAUUCUCCUUCAUUUGGGGUGCAUGGACAUUGAUUAUGCUAUUAGAAAGGACAAAUUAACCAUUAUUGACACCAACACUACAACAGAAAAGGCUCUUUAUGAACAAUGGGAGCGAUUAAAUCGCCUUAGUUUGAUGUUCAUAAAGACCAAAAUCUCUGAUGGUAUUCGUGGUUAUGUCGAUCAACAUGACAAUGUCAAGGCAUUACUGAAGACUAUUGAUGAGCAAUUUGUGACUUUAGAUAAGGCAUUUUCCAGCACCCUAAUAAUGAAGUUUUCAUUCUUAAGGCUCACCGAUGUGAGUAGUGUGUGAGAGCACAUAAUGCAGAUGAGGGACAUUAUGGCACAAUUGAAGACACUCUUUCACAAUAAUAUAGACCCUUCAAAAUCUCCUACAACACACACAAGGAUAAGUGGUCAAUUAAUGAGUUUUUGACCAUGUGUGUUUAAAAGGAGGGAAGACUGAAAAUGUAAUUAGGUGAGAGUGCAUUAAUGGAAAUGGAAGGAAAGAAUUAAAAUUAGGCAAAAAAGAAAGGGAAAGGUAAAAUACCAUCCCAAGGUGGAAUCAAGAAGGUCAAUAGGUGUUUCUUCUGCAUGAAGAAGGGGCACAUGAAAAAGGGUUGAAACAAAUUCCAGAAAUGGCUUGAGAAGAAAGGUAAACUAAUCUCAUUUGUUUGUUAUGAAUCUAAUAUGGUUAAUGUUAUUUAUAACACAUGGUGGAUUGAUUCUGGUUCUACAAUUCAUGUUUCGAAUACCUUGCAAGGUAUGUGAAACCUAAGAAAGCCAAUGCCAAGUGAGCAAUGCAUUUAUUUAGGAAACAAGAUGCGUUCACAUGUGGAGGCUGUUGGAACAUGCAGCUUAGUUUUAAGUAGUGAUUUUAUUUUGAAUUUAGAAAAGACACUUUAUGUUCCCAGUUUCUUUAGGAAUUUGAUUUCAGUUUCCAGAGUUAUACCUUUGGGUUAUUCCUUUAGUUUUUAUGAGACAUUUUUUAAUUUGUUUUAUAAAUCUAAUCUUGUUGGAAAUGGUACAUUGUCUAAUGGUCUUUUCUCUUUCAAUUUUCAAAAUGAUACCACUAAUAACACUAUGCAUGUUCAUACUAGCAAGGAUUGAAAUAUCGGUUUUUACGGAUAUAUCGGUACUUCGAUUUUACGGAUAUAUCGGAAAUAUCGGAGAAAUAUAGGUGGAUAUUUUUUCACAAAUAUCGGUGGGAUGAAAAUUAUUUAAAAUUAAUAGGAAUGCUUGAAAAAAACUUUAAAAAAUGAUAAAAUAAGUAAGAAUCCAUAUUUUAAAGUUAUAUUGUAAGUGUAAUUGAUAUAUAUAUAUAUAUAUAUAUAUAUAAUUAAGAAGAAAAAUAUCUUAAACAGAGAUAUAUUGGUAGAUUCGAUAUUUGAAUUUUAAAAAUAAUAUAUAUGAAUUUUGAAAGUGUAUAAAAUUAGAAUUGAGUUAAGAAAUAUUUGAUUUUAUUGAAUAAAAACAAUUUGUACAUAAAUAUAAUACAUAUGAGAUUGCAAUAAUCCUUAUACUAAGGAAGAGAUCGAUGUGAUUUCAUUAUAUUAUUAGAUGAAGGGAGUUCAUCUUAUUGAAGACAGUAUUUAUUUUAAAAUUUUUAAAAUACUUUUAUUAAAACAUAUUUUAUUAUAUUUUAAAUGAAAAAUUAAAUUAAUUUAUAUAAAAUAUCUUAUUUGAGAUUUAAUUUUUAAAAUUUUAUUAAAAAUACAUCGUAACAAUUUUUUCUAUUAAUAUUAAUUAAUUUAAUAAUCAAAAUAAGGUUGAUAAUUAAUAAUUAUUUAUAUAGAGAGUGGAAAAUUGUUCUCAUGAUUUUUUUAUUUUUUAUUUUUUAUUUUUUUAUCUCCACUAAAUCUAAAAAUAAAAAAGGCACGCACUUCUCUCGGCAUCAAGAAUCCUUUUCUGAAGUUGUCCUCCAAUGAGAGAAUCCCUAAAAAAAAGCCCUAUUUUCCUCUGCUACUCCUCUCGGCAUCAAGAAUCCUUUUCUGAAGUUGUCCUCCAACGAGAGAAUCCCUAAAAAAAGCCCUAUUUUCCUCUACUUCUCUCAAAUCUCAAUCCUCGCAGGUACUAAUCUAAUCAUGUUAUUAUCAUUAUUUUUUUUGCAACCCCGUUUGAUUCCCAAGAAAAUCCAUUCCCCAUUCGAUUUCCGGGAAAAUUCAUCCUCGUUUGAUUUCCGAGAAAAUCCAUUCAAAACCCCCAAAGAAAACCAAAAAAAUUGCUUUUCUUUUGCUCCCUAUGUUUUCUGGAUCUGUUUUAGGGGUCUCUUUGCUGUUGUGCCAUUGGAUUUAAAUUUCACGAACCCUAAAUCCACGAUUUUUGAGCCAGGCUAAAAAACAUAACUGUGCGGGCUAGACUAGUAGGAAAUAUCGGGAAAUUUUCCGAAAAAUCGGUAAAAAUACCUCUUGUUGCUCCGCCUGUUAGAUCCACUCGCGAUUUUUCUCCGAUUUAUCGGUGCUUCGCCGAUAUUUCGGCGAUUUUGCCGAUUUUUUAGCGAUAUUUCCGUGGAUCGAUAAUCGGUAGCCAUUAUCGUUUCGGUGACGACCGAUAUCCGAUAUUUCUUCGAAAUAUCGGCGAUAUUUCCCGAUUUUUCAAUCCCUGAAUACUAGUACAAAACAAUGUGUUAUGAAUGAAGAUUCCCCUAUGUUGUGGCACCAAAGAUUGGGAAAUAUCUCCAUACAAAGAAUUAAGAGAUUAGUAAAUGAUGGAGUACUUGGUACUUUAGAUUUUACUGAUUUUCACACUUAUGUGGAUUGCAUUAAGGAAAAGUGGACCAACAAUUCUAAGAAGGGUGCCAAGAGGAGCACAAACAUACUAGAGAUCAUACAUUCAGAUAUUUGUUGUCCAAACAUGAACGCAUAUGGUCCGAAGUACUUCACCUCCUUCAUAGAUGAUUACUCACGAUACAUGUAUAUCUACUUGCUUCAUAACAAGAAUGAAGCAUUGGGUGUCUUUAAAGUUUUUAAGGCUGAAGUAGAAAAAUAAUGCGAAAAGCAAAUAAAGAUCGUGAGAACAUAUAGAAGUGGAGAAUAUUAUGGUAGAUACACCGAGGAUGGACAAGCACCUGGUCCAUUUGCGAAGUUUCUUCAAGAGCAUGGGAUUGAUGCUCAAUACACCAUGUCUAGUUCCCCAGACCAAAAUGGUGUGGCUGAAAGAAGAAACCGAGCAUUAAUGGACAUGGUUAGAAGUACGCGUAGCAAUUCCAAGCUUCCUAAAUCCUUGUGGACUGAAACUCUUAAAAUGAUAGUGUAUUUAUUGAACCGAGUUCCAACAAAGGUUGCUCCCAAGAUGCCAUUUGAAUUAUGGAAAGAUUGGAAAUUGAGUUUACAACAUAUACUCGUUUGGGGAUAUCUAUCUGAAGUAAGGGUUUACAACCCACAAGAGAAGAAACUAGACCCAAGGAUCAUUAGUGCGUAUUUCAUUUGAUAUGCCAAAAGGUCUAAAGGGUAUAGAUUCUAUUGUCCAUCUCACAACACUAGGAUUGUGAAGUCAAGAAAUGCUAAGUUUCUUAAGAAUGACUUGAUUAGUGGGAGCGAUCGAUUACAGGACAUUGUUUCUGAAAAAGAUCAUAUUGAUGCUCAAUCAUCCACUUCAAGUGAUAGAUUGAUUGUCGUUCACAACACCUCUCAAGUUCAAACAGGUGAUAGACAACCAAUCAUUAAAGUUCCAUAAAUUGCUGAUGACAAUCCAGUAGAUCAAGUUGUUUAAGAUUCACCGCAAAAAAUUAUUGAACAAUCUGUUGAGCAACGUGAUCCUUAGGAAAAUGUUGAUACAACAUUAAAGAGAUCUACCAAAGCAAGAAAAACAACAAUACCUAGUGAUUAUGUUGUGUAUAUACAAGAAUCAAACUACGACAUUGGAGCCAAAAAUGAUCCUGAAAUGCUUUCACAAGCCAUAAGUUGCAAAGAGUCAAAUUUUAUGCUAUGAUGCUAUGAAAGAUGAGAUGAAUUCUAUGGCAUCUAACGGAGUCUGAAAUCUUGUUGAGUUGUCUGAUGGUGCAAAAUCUAUUAGAUGUAAAUGGCUCUUCAAGACAAAAAAGGAUUCAUUGGGCAACAUUGAAAGAUAUAAAGCAAGACUCAUUGCUAAAUGAUUCACUCAAAAUGAAGGAAUUGACUACAAGGAGACUUUUUCUCCUGUAUCUAAGAAAGAUUCUCUUCGUAUCAUUAUGACAUUAGUUGCACAUUUUGACUUAAAGUUGUAACAAAUGGAUGUGAAAACAACAUUUCUCAAUGGAAAUCUAGAGGAAGAGGUUUACAUGAAACAACUACAAGGAUUUUCCUCUAGUGGUGGUAAGCAUAUGGUAUGCAAGCUUAAAAAAUCCAUAUAUGGAUUGAAACAAGCAUCCCGUUAGUGGUAUUUGAAGUUUCAUGAUGUUAUCUCUUCAUUUAGUUUUGUAGAGAACAUUAUGGAUCAAUGUAUAUAUCAGAAAGUUAGUGGGUAUAAGAUUUGUUUCCUUGUUCUAUAUGUGGAUGACAUUUUACUUGCAACCAAUGAUAAGGGUUUGCUACAUGAGGUGAAACAAUUUCUCUUUGAAAACUUUGACAUGAAGGAUAUGGGUGAUGCGACUUAUGUCAUUGGCAUUAAGAUACAUAGAGACAAAUUUCGAGGCCUUUUGGGUUUGUCUGAAAAGACCUAUAUCAACAAAGUUUUAUAAAGAUUUCAGAUGAAGGAUUGUUCACUAAGUAUAGCUCCCAUUGUGAAGGGUGAUAGGUUCAAUUUGGACCAGCGCCUGAAGAAUGAUCUUGAUCAGGAACAAAUGAAGAACAUUCCUUAUGCUUUUGCUGUUGAAAGCUUGAUGUAUGCUCAGGUCUGCAUAAGACUUGAUACUGCAUUUGCUAUUGGGAUGUUAGGAAGAUAUCAUAGUAAUCUAGGUAUAGACCAUUGGAAAGCUACAAAGAAGGUGAUGAGGUACCUUCAGGGGACCAAAGACUACAUGUUUAUGGAUAGACAAACUGAUAAUUUAGAACUAAUUGGCUACUUUGAUUCAAACUACACUGGAUGCAUUAAUUCACGAAAAUCAACUUCAGGAUAUGUCUUUAUGCUAGCCGGUGGAGCUAUUUCUUGGAGAAGUGCAAAGCAAACUUUGACUGCAAUUUCCACUAUGGAGGUUGAGUUUAUGUCUUGUUUUGAGGCUACUUCACAUGGUGUAUGGUUAAAGAGUUUCAUUUCUAAGCUUAGAGUUGUGGAUUCAAUUUCUAGGCCAUUGAAGAUAUAUUAUGACAAUUCAACUACAGUAUUUAUGGCUAAGAAUAACAAAAGUAGCAGUUGAAACAAGCACAUCGACAUCAAGUAGCAGUUGAAACAAGAACAUGGGAUAGUUGCUCAAUACACCAUGCCUGGUUCCCCAGACCAAAAUGGUGUGGCUGAAAGAAGAAACCGAACAUUAAUGGACAUGGUUAAGAGUAUGCGUAGCAACUCUAAGCUUCCUCAAUCCUUGUGGACUAAAGCUCUUAAAAUGAUAGUGUAUCUAUUGAACCCAAUUCAAACAAAGGUUGUCCUCAAGACGCCAUUUGAAUUAUGGAAAUAUUGGAAAUCGAGUUAGCGACAUAUACAUGUUUGGGGAUGCCCGUCUAAAGUAAAAGUUUACAACUCACAAGAGAAGAAACUAGACCCAAGGACCAUUAUUGCGUAUUUCAUUGGAUAUAAUGAAAGGUCUAAAGGGUAUAGAUUCUAUUAUCCAUCUCACAACACUAGGAUUGUGGAGUCAAGAAAUGCUAAGUUUCUUGAGAAUAACUUGAUUAGUGGGAGCAAUCAAUUUCAAGACAUUGCUUCUGAAAAAGAUCAUAUUAAUGUUCAACCAUGAACUUCAAGUGAUAGAUUGAUUGUCAUUCACAACGCCCCUUAAGUUCAAACAGGUGAUCGACAACCAAUCAUUGAAGUUCCACAAAUUGCUGAUGACAAUCCAAUAGAUCAAGUUGUUCAAGAUUCGCCAGAAAUUGUUAAACAACUUAUUGAGCAAUGUGAUCCUUAGGAAAAUGUUGAUACAACUUUAAGGAGAUCUACUAGAGCAAGAAAAACAUCAAUACCUAGUGAUUAUGUUGUGUAUCUGUAAGAAUCAGACUACAACAUUAGAACCGAAAAUGAUCCUGAAACGUUUUCACAAGCCAUAAGUUGCAAAGAGUCAAAUUUAUGGUAUGAUGCUAUGAAAAAUGAGAUGAAUUCUAUGGCAUCUAACAGAGUCUGGAAUCUUGUUGAGUUGCCUAAUGAUGCAAAAGCCAUUAGAUGUAAAUUGGUUUUCAAGACGAAGAAGGAUUCAUUGGGCAACAUUGAAAGAUAUAAAGAAAGACUCGUUGCUAAAGGAUUCAUUCAAAAUGAAGGAAUUGAUUACAAGGAGACUUUUUUUCCUGUAUCUAAGAAAGAUUCUCUUCGUAUCAUUAUGAUAUUAGUUGCACAUUUUGACUUAGAGUUGCAAAAAAUGGAUGUAAAAAUGACAUUUCUCAAUGGAAAUCUAGAGGAAGAGGUUUACAUGAAACAACUAGAAGGAUUUUCCUCUAGUAGUGGUGAGCAUCUGGUAUGCAAGCUUAAGAAAUUCAUAUAUGGAUUGAAACAAGCAUCUCGUCAAUGGUAUUUGAAGUUUCAUGAUGUUACCUCUUCAUUUGGUUUCGUGGAGAACAUUAUGGAUCAAUAUAUAUAUAUAUAUAUAUAUAUAUAUAUAUAUAUAUAUAUAUAUAUAUAUAUAUAUAUAUCAGAAAGUCAGUGGGAGUAAGAUUUGUUUCCUUGUUCUGUAUGUGGAUGACAUUUUACUUGCAACCAAUGAUAAGGGUUUGCUACAUGAGGUGAAACAAUUUCUCUUUAAAAACUUUGACAUGAAGGAUAUGGGUGAUGCGAUUUAUGUCAUUGACAUUAAGAUACAUAGAGACAAAUUCCAAGGCCUUUUGGGUUUGUCUCAAGAGACCUAUAUCAACAAAGUUUUAGAGAGAUUUCAGAUGAAGGAUUGUUCACCAAGUAUAGCUCCCAGUGUGAAAGGCGAUAGGUUCAAUUUAGACCAGCGCCCGAAGAAUGAUUAAGAGGAUAAACAAAUGAAUAACAUUCCUUAUGCUUCUACUGUUUGAAGCUUGAUGUAUGCUCAAGUCUACACAAAAUCGGACAUUGUAUUUGUUGUUGGGAUGUUAGGAAGAUAUCAUAGUGAUCCAGGUAUAGACCAUUGGAAAGCUGCAAAAAAGGUGAUGAGGUACCUUUAGGGAACCAAAGACUACAUGCUUAUGUAUAGAUGGACUGAUAAUUUAGAAUUGAUUAGCUACUCUUAUUUGGACUACACUGGUUGCACUAAUUCGCGAAAAUCAACUUCAGGAUAUGUCUUUAUGCUAGCCGAUAGAGCUAUUUCUUGGAGAAGCGCAAAACAAACUUUGACUACAACUUCCACUAUGGAGAUUGAGUUCGUGUCUUGUUUUGAGGCUGCCUCGCAUGGUGUAUGGUUAAAGAGUUUCAUUUCUAGGCUUAGAGUUGUGGAUUCAAUUUCUAGGUCAUUGAAGAUAUAUUGCGACAAUUCAGUUGCAGUUUUUAUGGCUAAGAACAACAAAAGUAGUAGUCGAAACAAGCACAUCGACAUCAAGUAUUUAGCCAUAAGAGAACGUGUUAAAGAGAAAACAGUGGUUAUUGAACACGUUAGCACUGAAUUGAUGAUUGACGAUCCUUUGACUAAAGACAUGCCACCGUUGAAAUUUAAGGAUCAUGUAGACAAAUUGGGACUUGGUUCCUUUGUGUGAUUUUUGUUGUAAGAACGAAUGUUAUUUUCAAUGAAACUCUAUUUGUGAUGUUUUCUCAUAUUUGAUUUUCUUUGUGUACACUUUUAUUCAUUUAUUGAGAAAUAUCAUUAAUGUUUGGACCUAGAAUAAACGCAGGGUUUAUUCAUUAAGUUAUAUGGGCUAGUGUUUAAGAGACAUAAUGCAUUGUGAUACAUGAAAGAUAAUACUCGGUUUUAGAGGCCUUAUCGCCAUUAUUCGUGUGUUUUGUUUCUUGCUAUGGUGAAUGAUGGAAUAUAUGGACCAAGUGGGAGAAUAUUGGGAUUUUGUUUCUCUUGGAUCUUUAGCAAUAAACCAAAGACGUGAUUCGGAAUGUGGUCCACAUUCAUUCCAUCAAUUUAGGAACGAGGAUUAACUUUCGGAACCACGUUCGUAUCACUACCCCAUGUUCUAUGCAAGCUCGAGGCAGACUCGGUGAUGGAGAGAGUCUUUAAAAAGGGGCAAAGCACUAAAUGGUGGGGUUCCCUAAGCCUUCAAUCUCUUUUAGUCUUAAAAAAACACCUUCUAAGUAGAGGUUGAGAAGGUCUAGAAGCACCUGAAACCUGAAAAAUUGAAGACAUUGUUUUAACUGUAAGAAUGGCAAUGGUGGGAGGUAUGUUUUCGGUUUGUUUUCAAUUCCGCUUAUGAUCUAAUUGUUAUUUAAGGAUUGUUAUGAUCAUGUUUAGAUUAUUUAUGUCCAUCAGAAGAAUCCAUAGAUCACAUCCUCCUUUAUUGUUCUCUAGUUAAGAUCCUUUGACAGUUGUUUGAUCUCUUUGGUAUUUAUUGGGUGUAAGUUGCUAUGGUAAAGGAGGCUUUUUUAGGGUGGCACGGUUCUUUUGUGGGCAAAAUGAGGAAAAAAGUUUGGAGAGUGGCUCCUUUAAAUUUAUUUUGGAUGUUUGAAAGGAGAGAAAUCUCAAGUCAAUUGAGAGUAAACAACAUUUUGUUCAUUUUUUAGAAGAUUAUUUUUUUUUAGAAAUUUGUUUUCUUGGGUAAAAUAUUAUAUAGAGAUUGAUUCUGUCUUUACUUGAUUUUAUUGAGUGGCUGGGUUGUAGUUAAGGGAGGGGGUUGUUGAGGGUUUUUUCUUAUUUCUGUGCUAUUAGACACUUUUUUUAUAUGUCCUAUGUAUUGUAGAGUGUCUUUGUGGCGUUUUUAUUUUUUAACACAUUUGGUUUUAUUUAUCGAAAAAGGCAAAAAAAAAGUAUGGUGGCAAUUCGACCCUUGCAUUGUUCAAGUGGUAAAGUUCGAUAGUUCCAUGUAAAAGCGCACCACAAAUUUAAAAAAAAAAAAAAAAAAACACAAAAACAAAAACAAAAUGGCGGCAAUUCAAUAAGCAGCCUAACAUCCUCUUGGCCACAUCCUUUAGAACAACCUAACAAUUUGCAUUACAGAACUACAUACCCUCUAUUUCACUUGAUUAUUGAUUUGGGUGGGCCUGUUAUUGAUACUUGUAUCACCCAUAACAAAGUUACAGCCUGACUAUGGCAUGUUGUGGCUGACUGAUAAGCAUGGUAAUAUAUUUCUGGGAACAAAGUUCAAAUUUUAACUACUUGCAACACUCUUUCAACUUUGUUGUUUCUUUCACUCAUGCAGUAAUGGAUAUUUGCUAGUUUCUUCUAGAAGCAUUUUUAACUAUUUUAAGUGGUUAUUGGAAUCUUGGAUUACAUUUGGUGUUAAGUCCCAAAAUGUGGACCUUGAACUUUUUUGAGCCCCAUAAAGAUGUUAAAACCAUGGAUCUAUGAAUUUUCAAUAACAAUACAGCAUUUUAUUCAAAAAAACAUAUAGCAGUUGGGAUUCAAAACUCAAAUAAGGGCUAUGAGCUUGCAGCUGAUAUAUGGAGCCUUGGAUGCAAUGUGUUAGAGAUAUUGACUCGUUGACCCCCAUAUUCCCACUUGGAAGGCAUAGGUAUGACAUUUCGUAGAUAUACAACAUUAUUUUCUUUAAUAUUUUUUCUUGUUUUGUUCUUCAGUCUAUGCUCUUCAAUUACUUGUUAUUCAAAUUGAUGAUAUGGAAAUUGGUUGUGUUUGGCUCUGACUUUGAAAAUGUUGAUGAUUUUAAAGUAAGGGUGAAGAUCUUGACCCAAAGUCUACCCAUUUUUGAAGGAUUCAACAUAAAAACACUAAAAUAAAAAACAUGUCUGAAAUUAUUUGGUUGAUUGAAUCCAAGAGCUUCUCAAAUCCACGCACCUUAUCAUUUGGUGAUUAUCAGCACAUGGGUUUAAGUGGAAAGAAGGUUCAAUCUGAAUCCAUUUAUCUUUGGAUAAUUUGCAAUUAUGGAUUAUAUUUUUCAUUUUUAUGUAUUGUUAUUUCAUGCAAGACUGUUUAGUUUCUUUCUUUUUCUCUAUAGUUCCUUUUGUAAUUUCUUCAAUCGACUUUGUUUAGAGAAUGCCACUCAAUAUCUGUCUUGUCUUGGCUGUCAUGUAUGAAUACCAUGGAUUUAUCAAUAUUUUCUUUUAUGUUAUCAGACACUCCAAUUUACAAGUGCAGGACUAAAUAGGCUCAAAUCAUUGGCAACAACUUUUCUCAGUUGUCCUAUGACAUUUUGUAGUCACUCCAGAUUUUUCCUUCUUUUAAAUUUCUUCUUUUGUAAUAAUCUGGGUGAAGGAGCCUCACAUUCCUGAUUGUGUGACCUUCCUUGAUGAAGGACAGUGCAGAUGAUGCUAGAACUCAUGGUAGUAGAUUCAAAAUCUUGUUGAAUUGCCAAUUGAUAACGUUUUGAAACACCAGACAUUUUAUCACCGAAUUGGAAGUUGAAUGUUUCUGAAUAAGGUUUUGACUUGAUUAUUGCUUGUGUUAUCUAGGAAGCUCUGAAGGCACCCAAACUGCCUCUGGAACUUUUCUUUCUUGAAACUGUAAGCUGAAUACACGUUCACACGUUCUCACUUCAUGAUAUGGUCCAACACUUUGACCACGUCCUCCACCAUCUCAUCUUCCGCUGCGAUUAAGGAGCACGUUCCACCAACUGCUCAACAUGGUGGCAAGAGGCAACGUGGUUUGAUGGAAGCCACUGUUAUAAAGUUUUUCAGAAAAUGGUCCUGAACUCACUCUGUUAUUAUCUUCAAAAAAACACCAUCUAAAAAAGAGAGAUCAGAGUUUGGAAAUCUGGGUUUUUGAAACCAACUACAAUGGCUGGAGGUAAGUAGACUAUUCUUAGUCUUUUCGGUUUUGAUUCAUAUUGCAAGUACAUUGGAAUCGAAUAUAGCAUAUAAACUUUCUUACAUUUGGUAUCAGAGCCAUAAAUCUUGCCUCUGCUUUGUAUUGUUUCUGAGUGAAAAAUUCUUGUUUUUAUGAUCUCUUGAUAAUUAUUUAAACGAUUGCUGCUGGAGAUCCAUAUAUAGUUGGCAUCAUUCAUUUAUAAAAGGCCAUUACAGGCGUUCAAAAGAUGCCAUUUUCUGGCGCUCCAGUAGCGCUAUUAAGGCGUCAUUUUCAGGCGCACCAGUGACUCCGUUUCAGGUGCCAUUUUAGAUGCGCUUCAGGCCCCAUACCUGGCACUGUUCAGUUGCCAUUUUUGGGGCUGCAACCAGCGCCAUACCAGCGCCAAUUUUCAGGCGCGUUGAAGUGCCAUUUUUUGGGGCUAUAACCAACGCCGUUCAAGCACUGUUACUAGGCGUCGUUCAGGCUCCAUUUAAGGCGCACCUUAGCCACCAUCUCAACGCCGUUCAGGCGCCAUUAGAAACGCCAUUUUUUUGGGCUGCAAGUCGUCGUUCGCACGCCGUGUUGAAGCACUGCAGACGGCUUCAUGGCUUGGACUGCAUCCAGCAAGGGUGCAGUCCACGUGGGUGGCGGCGAGAACGUCGCUGCCGGUGUUGAAGCAGUCCACUGGGUGGCAGAAAAAAUAGGAUCUUGGGUUUCGGUUGCAGGUGAUAUUAAAAUAGUGAGGAAUCUAGAGAGAGAUGGGGCUCCACUAAGGUUAUGGGCCUUUAUAUAACUGGCUAUUGGGCCCAUUAGGUUCAAAAAUGGGCAAUGGCCCAUUUUACAAAAAUAAAAGGCAUUAAAUUGGGGCAUGUAUAAAUGUAAAAAAUUGGGCCAGUUUAUGCUCUUUUUGGCCUGAUUUUUUAUUUAUUUAUUUAUUUUUAUUUUAACUAUAUUGGGUAUGGAAUUGAUUGUGUUUUAUUUGGAUUUAGGCACUCAUUCAUAAUCCAAAACCUUUAAAAUUAUCAUGUAAAUUUUAUACAUGCAAAAUAAAUAAUUAUAUACUGCUUUAUAUGUUUGUAGCCUAAAUUAAAGUUGUAGCUUUUAAUGCAUGCAAUUGUUGCCUAAAAUUUAGUUAGAUAUAUUAAAAUUAUAUCAUAUAGUUUUAAUGUCUAGUGAAACCAUGUGAUUUUUAAAUAAUUAAGGAAUAGCCACAGCAUCCUUAAUUAUAUAAAAAUUAUAUAUUAAAUAAAUAAGGAUCACAUUAUGGACAUUAAUUGUAAUUAAUUAUAUAAAUAUGAUGAUUUUACCCCACAGGGUUUUCAUUAUGUUUAUAUAAUUAAUUAGGAUAAAAUAUUAAAAUUAAUUUUUUCCUAAUUUACCCACAGGAGUUAGGAAGAAUUAAUUUAAUAGGUUUAUCAUAAGGAUUAUAGACAAAAAAAAAAUAUCAAACUAUAUUCAUAAUUCAAUAAAAUAGUUUGAUAAAGUCUAUCAUAAAGAUAAUUAAUCUUAUUGAAUUAAAGAUUUAGCCCACAGACAAUUUUUAAUAAAAUUAGAUUCAAUUUUAAGCAUGUUCUACAUUGGUAAAGCAUGAAUUUAUAUUAAAGCCUAAAAUUUUUAAUAAGCUUGUAAUCCUUUUGUGCAGUUUUAUCUAGCAUAUCUGAUAUUCGUUGUGAGGUUCCCGAACUUAGAGGAGAUAACUUUAAGAUAUGGAAGGAGAGAAUUCUUCUUCAAUUAGGGUGCAUGGACAUAGAUUAUGCUAUAAGGAAAGAUGAACCGCAUAAGAUCACUGAUACCAGCACACCUGAACAAAUUUUAUUGUACGAACGCUGGGAGAAAUCUAAUCGCCUUAGCGUGAUGUACAUUAAGACAAAAAUCAGUGCUGGUAUACGUGGUUCAAUCGAGCAACAUGAGAAUGUCCAUGAAUUGCUAAAGGCUAUUGACGAGCAAUUCGUCACUUCAGAUAAAGCCUUGGCAAGCACCCUAAUUAUGAAGUUCACAUCCCUGAAGCUCACCGGUAUAAGAGGUGUGCGUGAACAUAUCAUGGAGAUGAGGGACAUUGUGGCUCAAUUGAAGAAACUCGAGGUAGAAAUAUCUGAAUCUUUCUUGGUGCACUUUAUCCUUAACACUCUUCCACCUCAGUAUGGACCUUUCAAAAUCUCUUACAACACACAUAAGGAUAAGUGGUCUAUCAAUGAAUUGAUGACCAUGUGUGUUCAAGAGGAAGGAAGGUUAUUGAUGGAACAGGGAGAAAGUGCCAUGCUGGUGACGCAAAGGAAAGGAAAGAAAGGAAAAUCUCAAGCUAGUCAGAAAGGAAAGCAACAAAUUCCUCCUAAAUCUGACAUUAAGAAAGACGAAAAGUGUUUUUUCUGUAAAAAGAAAGGACAUGUGAAGAAGAAAUGUCUGAAAUUUCAGAAUUGGCUUGAGAAGAAAGGUAACCCUACCUCAUUUGUUUGCUAUGAAUCUAAUAUGGUUAAUGUAAACACCAACACAUGGUGGAUUGAUUCUGGAUCUACAAUCCACAUUUCAAAUUCCUUGCAGGGUAUGCAAAACCUAAGGAAGCCAGUGACAAGUGAGCAAUUCAUCUUAUCCGGAAACAAGAUGGGCUCGCAUAUGGAAGCAAUAGGGACAUGUUAUUUAACUUUAAAUAGUGGUUUUGUUUUAGAAUUGCAAAAGACUUUUUAUGUACCAAGUUUCUCACGAAACUUGAUUUCAGUUUCUAGACUUGUACCGUUUGGAUAUUCCUUUCAUUUUUCAGAAACAUCUUUCAAUUUGAUUUAUAAAUCUGAAUGUGUUGGGAAUGGUAUCUUGUCUGAUGGUCUUUAUUGUAUAUUCUUACAAAAUGAUACUGCUCAUAAUUCAUUGCAUGUCCAAACUGGCAUUAAGAGAUGUGUUGUAAAAGAGGAUUCCUCUACAUUGUGGCACCGGAGAUUAGGUCAUAUCUCCAUAGAUAGAAUCAAAAGAUUGGUGAAUGAUGGGGUACUUAGUACUCUAGAUUUUACUGACUUUGAGACUUGUGUGGACUGCAUUAAGGGUAAGCAGACCAAUAAGUCAAAGAGAGGUGCUACUAAGAGUUCCACCAUACUAGAGAUCAUACAUACUGAUAUAUGUAGUCUUGACAUGGACUCUCAUGGUCAGAAAUACUUCAUCUCUUUCAUAGAUGAUUUCUCACGAUACAUGUAUCUCUACAUACUUCAUAAUAAAAAUGAAGCUUUAGAUGCCUUUAAAGUCUUCAAGGCAGAAGUAGAGAAACAAUAUGGUAAACAAAUUAAGAUUGUGAGAUCAGAUAGAGGUGGAGAAUAUUAUGGUAGAUACUUGGAAGAUGGACAAUCACCUGGACCAUUUGCGAAGUUUCUUCAAGAGCAUGGGAUUGUUGCCCAAUACACCAUGCCUGGUUCUCCAGACCAAAAUGGUGUAGCAGAAAGAAGAAACCGAACUUUAUUGGACAUGGCGAGGAGUAUGCUUAGCAGCUCAAAACUUCCUAAAUUCUUAUGGACUGAAACACUUAAGACAGCUGUGUAUAUAUUAAACCGAGUUCCAACCAAGGCUGUCCCAAAGACGCCAUUUGAGUUAUUGAAAGGUUGGAAACCGAGUUUGCGACAUAUGCGCGUUUGGGGAUGCUCGUCUGAAGUGAGAAUUUAUAAUCCACAAGAGAAGAAACUGGACCCAAGGACUAUUAGUGGGUAUUUCAUUGGAUAUGCUGAAAAGUCUAAGGGGUACAGAUUUUACUGUCCAUCUCACAGCACUAGGAUUGUGGAAUCGAGAAAUGCUAAAUUUCUUGAAUAUGACUUGGUCAGUGGGAGCGAUCAAUUUAGAAACAUAGUUUCUGAUAUUGAUCAUACAGAGUCUCAACCUUCCACUUCAAGUGAUAGAUUGUUUAUUGUUCAUAACACCCCUCAAGUACAAUCGGGUGUAGAACGAACAAUCACUGAAGUUCAACCAGUCGUUGAAGUUCCACAAGUUGUUGACAACAUUCCAGUAGAUCAAGUUGAUCAGGAGUUUCCUGAUACUUCUGGACAACAAGUUGAACCUCAUACUUCCUUAGAAGAUAUUGGUGCAACCUUAAGAAGGUCUACUCGAACUAAGAGGUCAGCAAUUCCUAAUGAUUAUGUAGUGUAUCUACAGGAAUGUGACUACAAUAUAGGAGCCGAAAAUGAUCCCGAAUCUUUUUCACAAGCCAUGAGUUGCAAAGAAUCAGAAUUGUGGUACAAUGCCAUGAAGGAUGAGAUGAGUUCCAUGAAGUGCAAUGAUGUUUGGGACCUUGUUGAGUUGCCUAAUGGUGUAAAAACCAUUGGUUGUAAAUGGGUUUUUAAGACAAAGAAAGACUCAUUAGGCAACAUUGAAAGAUACAAGGCCAGACUUGUUGCAAAGGGUUCACUCAGAAAGAAGGAAUCGAUUACACGGAAACCUUUUCUCCUGUAUCUAAGAAAGAUUCCUUGCGCAUUAUAUUGGCAUUAGUAGCCCACUUUGAUUUAGAAUUGCAACAAAUGGAUGUGAAAACAGCAUUUCUUAAUGGAGAGCUAGAGGAUGAGGUUUACAUGAAACAACCUGAAGGAUUCCCCUCUAGUGAUGGUGAGCAAUUGGUUUGUAAGCUUAAGAAAUCCAUAUACGGUUUGAAGCAAGCAUCCCGCCAAUGGUAUUUAAAAUUCCAUAACAUAAUUUCUUCAUUCGGUUUUGUUGAAAAUGUUAUGGAUCAAUGCAUAUACCUUAAGGUCAGUGGGAGUAAAGUUUGUUUUCUUGUUUUAUACGUGGAUGACAUCUUACUUGCAACCAAUGAUAAGGGUUUACUUCAUGAGGUAAAACAAUUCCUCUCUAAAAAUUUCGACAUGAAGGAUAUGGGCGAGGCAUCUUAUGUCAUUGGCAUUAAGAUCCAUAGAGACAGAUUUAAAGGUAUCUUAGGUUUGUCUCAAGAAACCUAUAUCAAUAAAGUUUUGGAGAGAUUUCGAAUGAAGAAUUGUUCACCUAGUGUUUCUCCUAUAGUGAAGGGUGAUAGGUUCAAUCUGGACCAAUGCCCGAAAAACGAUCUUGAGAGGGAACAAAUGAAGAACAUUCCAUAUGCUUCUGCAGUCGGAAGUUUGAUGUAUGCUCAGGUUUGCACAAGGCCUGACAUUACAUUUGCUGUUGGAAUGUUAGGACGAUAUCAGAGUAACCCAGGUAUAGACCACUGGAAAGCUGCAAAGAAAGUGAUGAGAUAUCUUCAAGGAACCAAAGAUUACAAGCUUAUGUACAGACGAACAAGCAAUUUAGAGGUAGUUGGCUACUCAGAUUCAGACUUUGCUGGCUGUGUUGAUUCACGUAAAUCAACAUCUGGAUACAUUUUUAUAUUGGCCGGUGGAGCUAUAUCUUAGAGGAGCGUUAAGCAGACCAUGACUGCUACUUCUACUAUGGAAGCUGAGUUCAUAUCUUGUUUUGAGGCUACUUCACAUGGUGUAUGGCUUAAGAGUUUCAUUUCCGGGCUUAGAGUUAUGGAUUCAAUAUCUAGGCCAUUGAGUAUAUAUUGCGACAAUUCAGCUGCAGUCUUUAUGGCGAAGAACAAUAAAAGUGGAAGUCGAAGCAAACACAUCGACAUUAAGUAUUUAGCCAUAAGAGAACGUGUUAAAGAAAAGAAAGUGGUUAUUGAGCACAUUAGCACUGAAUUGAUGAUCGCUGAUCCUUUGACUAAGGGCAUGCCACCAUUGAAAUUCAAGGAUCAUGUAGUGAACAUGGGACUUAGUUCCCUUAUGUAGUUUCUAUUGUACAAACUCUUAUUAUGAUGUUUUCUCAUAUUAAUGUGCACUUUUUAUUUAAUUUUGAGAAAAUUCAACUUCAUUGGACCAAGAAUGAACAUAGGGUUUAUUCAUUAAGUAAUAUUGCCACAUAAAGUAUAAUGUUAAGAAAUGAGUACAUUGUAAUACAUGGAAGGUAACACUCGUUAAAUAGAGGACUUAUCGCCAUGAUUCAUGUAUUUGUUACUUAAUGGGACAAUUGAUGGACUAAAUUAGGACAUUAGGUUAAAGGGGUGGACCAAGUGGGAGAAUGUAAGCUGAAUACACGUUCACACGUUCUCACUUCAUGAUAUGGUCCAACACUUUGACCACGUCCUCCACCAUCUCAUCUUCCGCUGCGAUUAAGGAGCACGUUCCACCAACUGCUCAACAUGGUGGCAAGAGGCAACGUGGUUUGAUGGAAGCCACUGUUAUAAAGUUUUUCAGAAAAUGGUCCCGAACUCACUCUGUUAUUAUCUUCAGAAAAACACCAUCUAAAAAAGAGAGAUCAGAGUUUGGAAAUCUGGGUUUUUGAAACCAACUACAAUGGCUGGAGGUAAGUAGACUAUUCUUAGUCUUUUCGGUUUUGAUUCAUAUUGCAAGUACAUUGGAAUCGAAUAUAGCAUAUAAACUUUCUUACAGAAACUUGACCAAUGACUCAUCUUUGGGCUAGAAAACAGGUUUUACAAAAGCAUCCUUGGCAUAAGGUUUGAUAUUAAUUUUUCUUCCAGCUAAGUUUGAAAAGCAAGAUUUUAGACUUGUAGAUUUGCGCUCUUCCUUCAAAUCAAGUACUUUGUGUAUGCAAAUAUUGACCAUGCAUCUUGCUUUGUGUUGUCCUGCAUCAUUACUCAACCUUAUAUUCCUUGAAUGCUCUACUCUUGUAUUCAUAAGAUAUGAUAACCAGACUUGUGUUAAUAUGCUUCUUGAUAUUGCUGUAGAUCUUGCCACUUAAGAAAUCAAGUUUUAGUGUUAUCUAUUUCAAGUCCUAUGCAAAGUUAAUUGGAAGGUUUCUGUUUAGAAAUGGGAAUGAAGGGGUGGAUCACAAUAUUCUGUGAAAGAGAGGAAUAAAACCUCCUGACAAAAGUGCGUUUUUGUUUCCAUGAGAAUGGUUUUUUAUUCCUAUUCGUAUUUCUAAUAUAGGUAGACUAAGCACAUUUAUGAAUGAAAAAUGAAAUGGAUUUCGAGCUUCCAUUCCCAUUCCUAUUCCAGAGUACCAAACAUGCCUUUGGUAUCUAAGGGAAAAAAAUUGUGUCACCUGAUAAUCAAUCUUACAACUUGGAAUGCAGCAUGCCUUUGCCAUGUAUGCCUCUAAGACGAGGGGAGGGGGCUUGGAUCCCGACCAGCAGACUCGUCGAAGGGUGGGGGGCAUAGCGGGUAUGUUCCUGAGGGGGUUGAAACCUCAGGGCACUUGGAAUGCAGCAUGCCUUUGCCAUGUAUGCCUCUAAGACGAGGGGAGGGGGCUUGGAUCCCAACCAGCAGACUCGUCGAAGGGUGGGGGGCAUAGCGGGUAUGCUCCUGAGGGGGUUGAAACCUUAGGGCCGGGGUCGGGGAAAGGGGAGAGGGGAGUGUGCUUGGUGUGGGGGAGAGACGAAUCAGGGCAACAUAGGAUUGAAUCUCAGUAGAUCAUGGUAGCAAGGCCACUCUGCCACUUACAAUACCCUAUCGCGUAUUUAAGUCAUUUGCAAAGGAUUCUACCUGCAUCUCUGAUAUUAUAUUUUGAGUUCUAAUAAGGGAAUAUCUCUUUGUGGCUUGGCAGAUGCAAGCGUUAUUUAGGAUUGGCAAGGGUGAACCUCCUCCUGUUUCUAAUUCCUUGUCAUCAGAUGCCCGAGAUUCUAUCCUCAAAUGCUUGCAAGUCAACCCUGGUGAUGGGCCUACUGGUCAGUUACUGGACCAUUCAUUUGUCAGGAGCCCACAACACACUUUCUCUGGCCCUCAAUCUCCUCGUACAAAUGGAAUACGACCUUAAAAGCUUUUGAUCUUGCUACGGAGCAUCAAAUACAUAGAGGUAAAAUAAAACACUUUUACGUCUUUUCCACUUUUUCGUAUAUUUCUCAUGUGUAAUUACGUCUAAAUUCAUUCUAAAUAUUUUCUAAUUAUUUUACAAAAAAAUAAUUAUAAAAAAUUAUAUAAGUAAUAAAAUCUAUUUUUUUUUUUUUCAUGUAGAACUAACUGAUCAAUAUUAUUGUAUGGAUUUUAUAACAAUAUAUUAAAAUUAACUUUCAACUUCAUAUCAAACAACUUUUUAUGAUAAAGAAGCUUAGGUUUGGAGAGGAUAAAAAAAAUGGAAAAGGAUAAUUAAAAAAUAAUUAAAUAGAUUAAUAGGAUUUAUAUUUUAAGGCGGAUAUGUAGAGAGUUUUAUUAGAUGUUUUUAAGUAUGCUGGCCAACCACCCUAAAACCCAAAAUAAUUGUCACCAAGUUCCCAAAAAACAAUGACCCCUAAAAGUUGGCCUGCACCUCUCAUUAUUUUAAUUUUUUUUUCUUUUUUCUUUUUUUCUUUUUUUUCUUUUUUUUGGUAAUCUUUUCAACUCUUCAUACUCUCAUUUUUAUCAUUCACUUUUUAAUUUGUUUAUUUGUUCUACUUUAGAACUCACUCAUAUUCCCAAAUACAAAAAUUCUUUAUAUUUACACAACAAUUUAACUUAACAUCUUUUUUUUUAAGAAUUCUUUUUCAUAUAAUAUUCCUUACUAACAAAAACUAAUUUUAAUGAAACAACUUUAAUUUGAUAUAUAUAAAUAUGAAGAUAUAUACUCCUAAACUUACACUUUAGCCACUUGAGUCCAACAAGGGUUUGAUUUAAAAAAUUUGUAGUUCUUAAAGAUGUUAAACUCCUUUAAAAAGCAUCAAAUGGUAAUAAAUAGGAACUAGAGAAAACCAUUCAAAUAAGCAGAUUUCAUCUAUAAUACGAAGUAAAAUCCAAAAUAGAAAUGUGAAGAAAAAAAUUAUCAUUGACUCUUGACUCUUUGACUCUUGCCAAACCAAUCCCACUACCAUCUAAUGCUAAAUUGUCUAACAAAUGGGAAUUGAAAGCAUAGAACAGAAUCAUUGACUCUUGACUCUUCCCAAACCAAUUCCACUACCAUCCAAUGUUAAAUUGUCUAACAAAUGGAAAUUGAAAGUAUAAAAGAGAAUCAUUGACUCUACUUAGCCCAUUAUCUAAAAGAGGCUACCUCUCUCCUUCUUUCAUGAAGUUUCUUAGAAAUUUCAAGCUUCUUUAUCAUAUAAAGUAUAAAAAAGAAUCACUCUUAACCCAUUACAUUAAAAAUCCUACCCCUUCUCUCCUUUCAUAAAGUUUCCUAGAAAUUUCAAGCUUCUUUGUCAUAUAAAGUAUAAAAGAGAAUCAUUGACUCAUUGUAACCCAUUAUCAAGUGUUGUCUCUCCUUUCUAAAGGUUAAUGCCCUUGUAGCCAUUCACAUGUGUUUCAAGAAAAAUGAAGUUAUUUUGCCCCCAAGAACUAUAGAAAUAAAAUUUUGUUAAGAAAUUUAAAAUAUAAAAAUAAAAAUUUUAAAUAAGAGUAUUUUAUAUAAUUUUUUUCAUAUUUUCUAAAAUUAAAUAUCCAAUUUUUAAUUAUCUCAAAAGCUAGAGAAGCUCCAAAAAAGAAAAAUAAUGUCUUGCAAUUAGAUAACUAAUUCAAAACAAUCCAAAUACUUCUUGAUCCACUUGUGGUUAACAUUCCAUUAAAAUUAUGUCAAAUUUAUUAAAAUCUACUUGCAUUUAUUUAUUUAAAAUUAUUCAAAGCAUUCUCAAUACUUUAUUCUUUUUUUUUUUUUUUGAAAAAAAAAAUUGUAUCACGUUUCUAGAAAAGAAUUAUUAAUAUAUAUUGAUUUUCUUAUAAAUAUUUUUCAUUAAAUUUUAAAACUUGUUUUUACUUUAACUUUAAAUGGGUUUGUAUGCUUGUGUUUUUAUUUUUCCUUUUCAAUCAAAUGAAUUAAUUUAUAAUAUGGGAAUGUCUACUUGAACUCAGUAUUUUAUUUAUUUCCUUUUUUAACUUUAUUUUAGUAAAUGCAUCCUUGAUCAAUAAUUUGAUGAUUGUUUUAAAAUCAAAUAGUGAAGAUAAAAUUUUGAUAAUUAAAAAACAAUUGACUUACUACAUCACUUACAUGAAAUAUUGAUUUGUUGUUUGAAGUUUUUUGGCAUUAUAUUUAAUUCAUCAUAAUAAGACAGUUUUUUACUCAAUAAUUUAUGUAGAAUAAUAAAUAAAUUAAGGAGCGCUUUAUUAAAAAUCAGUUUUAAUAGAAAAAUAUAAGUUGGAUAUUCAUUUUGAUUAAAAAUAAAAUUAUAAUUUGAUUUAAUUAGAAAAUGAAUUUUUUUCUUGUUAAUUUAAUUUUAAUUUGUAAUCCUGUUAAUAGGGAAAAUAAGAUAGUUUUCAUGUCUUUUUAAUUGAAAAAAUGAUGAUUUUGGUUGUAAUUUGUGAAUUUAUUUUAAUUUGUAAAAAGAAAAUAUUAUUCUAUUAGUUAAAUCAAUUUUGAUAAGAAUACUUAAUUUUAUGAAUAUAAUAAUAAUUGUUAAAGUAAUCUUAUAUGUGCAAAAUUUUAAAAUCUUGUAAAAAAUAAACAAAAAGAUAAGAAAAUAUGCAAACAAAAUUUUAUGAACUAGAAAUUUUGUAGGGUACAAUUCUUUGGAAUAAUACUCAUUAAAAAAAUAAUAUUUUCCUUUUAUUUGAUCACUUUCAUCACAACCCAAUGGAUAACAUGUUUUCACUUGCAAUUGUUUUUAUAUUAAGCUUUUAUAUAAGACUUUAUGUCAUGUGCUCAUGUGGACAACUCUUCAAAGGUGUAGAGUCACUUGCCUUGGAGGAUAUAUAGAAGCUCUCAAUGCAUACCUUAUAUGUUCAUCUCCACUACUAAAUAUUAUAUAAUCUAUUCUUGUUGCCAUGGGUUAAAAAACGUGAGUUGAUAUAGUCAAUCAUUUACUCAUCUUUCUACUGCUUGGUAUUUGUGAACUUCAUUAUGCUUAUCGUUGGUUGGGAAAAGUAAUUGUCUUCAUGCUUCAUUUGAUCACAACUGUCAAUAGGUUUAGGCUCAAGAUCCAUGUACCAAUCAAAAGCACACAUUUGGAGGGAACACACAAAUUGUUUGAGUAAGAGGUCACCCUCAUGCUAGCAUUGUUGCAAGUUUGGAUGAAUCAGACAUUGCAUUGCUUUGGAAUUCCUUUUCCAUCAAAUUAUUGAAACUUUAGAGGUUAAUAACUCAUAGGUAUUUGUAGGUUAUCAAUUUUCGUACUGUAAGGUUUAAAGCACACGAGUGUACUUCAUGACGAUCCACCAUACUAUUCUCCGAUGGUGUUACGUAUCAUGUUUUAACUCACUCAUUUAAAUUGGAAAUCUAUUAAUUUUUCAAUGAAAAUAAUUUUAAUUUGGCUUUAAGUUAUUUCUCGGUUAUAUAUAGAUAUAUGAGCAUACACAAGGUUUUUUUUUAAUAUUUAUUAUUUGAAUUUUAUUUUAUUCAUAAUCUCUUUAGAAUAUUAUUUGUUGGAAUUAAUUGCUAUGUUGUUAUUCUUCCAAAAAUAUUUUUUUUUGCUUAAAAAAUGAAUUUCUUCGAACACUAAAUUCGCUACUUUAAGUUAAUAAAAUCAUUUCCUUUUUUUUGGUUUCCUUUUAUUUAUUUAUUUUAAAUUAUAAUAUUUAUCAAUAAUAAGAUUUGUCUAUAAAAUGUUAAAAAAAAAAAUCAUCCUCUCAUUGUUUAACUUAUUUUUUAUUUUUACUUUUUUGUAUUUAUAUUUUAAUUUUAGUUUUAUGUUUAUUUUUAAUAUUUAUUUUUCACUUCUCGGUCAGAAUUUUUCUUUUUUUAUUUAUUUUUUUAAAUUUAUUAUUAUUAUUUCUUGUUGACAUCCUUUUUUUUAUAUAUAUAUAUAUAUAUAUAUAAACGUAAUAAUAAAAUAAAACACCAUGAAUAAAGUGAAGGAAAAAACUAACAUGUGAAAAAAAAUUAAAAAACUUGGUGGAGAAGUGUAGUGCGAGAGCCUAAUGUCUAAUGAUGAUGGAAUAAUCCCACCAAACCCGAAGAAAAGUAAAAGGUGAUAAGAAAAAGAGAAAGUGAGAAAAUAAUAAAUAAGAAGAAAGAGUUGCUUUUAACUUUCUUCAUUACUGUCCUGAAGGUCACCGGAAGUCACCUGCCAUCCCAAUUUAUAGAGAGAUGCCCCUAAUUUUCCUCGUCACUUUUCAGAAGGUCAUAGGAAGCCACCUGCCUUCCCAACUCUUUAUGUAUAGAUAAAUGAUAAUAUUUAUUAAUAAUAAGAUUUAUCUAUAAAAUGUUAGAAAAUGAAUAUAUCAAUCCAGUGAAUUUAAUUUUUACUUUUUUCUUUUUAUAUAUUUAUCAUUUAAUUUUUGCUUUUAUUUUUUUUCUUUUUAGUCUUAUAUUUAUUUUUCACUUCUCGAUCAAAAUUUUUAUUUUCUAUUUACUUCUAUUUUUUAUUUCUUUUUUAAGUACUUAUAUAUAAUAAUAAUUAAUAAAUAAAAUAGGAGACCAUGAAUAAGGUGAAGAAAAAAUAAAAUAAAAAAACUUGCUGGAGAAGUAAAGUGCAGGAGUUUGAAGGAUGAAUGUAAACAAGAGAAAAAAGAGAGCAAGAGAAAAGCAAAAGGUAAUAACAAAAAGAGAAAAGUGAGAAAAUAAUCAAUAUAGAGAGAGAGAGAGAGAGAGGGAGAGAGAGUGGCCCCUAACUUUCCUCAUCACUUUACAAAGUUCACAAGAAGCCAUCUGCCUUCCCGGAACUUUCUAUAUUGUAAACUAGGGUUGCUCACUAUCUUCAAGAGAAAUCAAGCCUCAAACUGUCUCUUGUAGUUUUGAGAAAUCAGGCCAAUUUAGUGAAUGAAAUUCUUACUCAAUUUCUUUGCCAAAGAUAUCGUUCAUUCUGAUAUGUUUUUUUUAUAAAUGUUUUAUUUCUUUUCAGUUUUUGAUCUUGAGGUAUUUUUUCUAAAUAAUUUGUUUUUUUAGAUAGAUCAUUUUAUAUAUCCUUCUUAUUUUAAAUAAAACAAGUUUCCAAUGACAAAUUUUUUAAGAGUUUUUAAUGUGAAAUUUUCUAAAAUUUUAUCUUUUUGUCAUAAUGUUUCCUUUUGUUGAUAUUUUUUUUGCAAAGUCAAAGAGAUAAUGUGAAAUAAUAACUAAUUUAAUAUAAGGUUAGCAAUUUAAACCUCACAACUAUAAAAAUGCAAGUGAAAAUAGAAGUGAAGGUGGAAAUUCUUUGGUUGGUCAGAUGAGAGGACUUGGUAGAGAUAAUUUUUAGAUGUAAGUAAGUAGAAAUGUUUAUAGGAUGGCGAAAGAAUUAGUAAAGAAAUUUGUUGAAUGUAACACAAAAAUUUCUUAGAUGAAUUGGUAAAGAAAUUUGUUGGAUGUAAUGGAGAAAUUUAUUAAUAAUCACAUGAUUAGUAGUAGAGAAUUUUCUGGAUGGCCAUAUAUAAAUGUGAAUAGUGGACAAUUUCUUAGAUGUCACACAAUUAGUAGAAUAGAGAAUUUUCNNNNNNNNNNNNNNNNNNNNNNNNNNNNNNNNNNNNNNNNNNNNNNNNNNNNNNNNNNNNNNNNNNNNNNNNNNNNNNNNNNNNNNNNNNNNNNNNNNNNAAAGAAAUUUGUUGGAUGUAAUGGAGAAAUUUAUUAAAUAAUCACAUGAUUAGUAGGUAGAGAAUUUUCUUGGAUGGCCAUAAUAAUUAAAUGUGAAUAGGUGGACAAAUUUCUUAGAUGGUCACACAAAUUAGUAGAUAGAGAAUUUUCUUCUAUUGUCAUAAUUGAAUAUGAAUAGGUGGACAAUUUCUUAGAUGGUUACAUGAAUUGCUAGGUGAGAAUUUUCUUGGAUGACCACAAUCAUUGAAUGUGAAUAGGAGGAAAAGUUUCUUGGAAGGUGACAAAGAUUGGUGGAAAAAUUUUCAAUCAAGUUGAGAAAUUUCUUCCAUGAUAACAAGAAUUGAUGGGGAAAUUUCUUAAAGGUGGAUAAUUAGGUUGAGAAUUUUUUUGGAUGGCAACAAGAAUUGGUGAAGAAAUAUUUUGGAAGGAUAGAGGAAACUACAAAAAGUUCCAUUUGUUUCAAACAACAUUAAAAGUGUGUUUAGUAAUGUUUUCAUUUGAAGUACUUUUAGUGAAUGUGUUUUUUUUAGAAAUAUUUUUGGAAGAAUCACUUGUAAAGUGUUUUAGGAAACAUUACAAGCGAUUUUUUAACAUUUUAAAUGUGUUUUCUAAAUUUUAUUAAAUACUUGGUUUUUCUUUUAAAAAAAAAUGUUUUUUGGUUUUAUGCUAGAAGUGAAUUUUUAAAUUUUAUCAAAUAUAUGAUUUUUCUUCAAAAACGUUUUUUAUGCUAUAAGUGCUUUAUAAAAGCACUACCAUGACCUUGACCUUUUGCCUCUAAUAAGGCUAAAGUGAUGACUAGUUGGUGAUUGCGUAUCUCUGCUAGUUUUAGCAAGUGAAUGUGCUCGCUUACUUGCUUUGCUAAAAAUGCAAUGAAUGUCUUUGCUUUGCUGUAGUCAUAGGACUCAUAGAGGUGUUGUGUCUUAACUUUGCAUACUAGAAAUUUGUACGCGUAAAAUUUGAAAGUCCUAUAAAAAAUAAGUAAAAAGAUGAGAAAAAUAUAUAAACAAAAUUAUUUGUAUUAGAAAAUUUUGAAGGUACAAUUUUCUAGAAUAAUAUUCUUUACAAAAUAAUAAUUUUUUUCUUAUUUGAUCACAAUCCAUAAAAAUAUAUAAACAAAAUUAUUUGUAUUAAAAAAAUUUUAAGGUAAAGUUUUUGGCUUAUUAUCAAAUUACUUUUGUUGAACUUUGAAUACAUAUUUAGUAUUUUGUAUGCUUCCCCAAAUUUACAAGAAUAUCUUAUGAAACCUCUUUUUAGUUCUCUUUUAAAUUUGAGAUCUCAAAUACUUUAUUGCUCAAAGCCCUAGAGCUUAAGGAAUACCACAGAGAACCGCUAACAUAUAUGCAUUUUGACGCUAAGUAUGGAAAACAAAAAAACAUAUUCUUUUUCUAAAAAAUUUAUAAUAUAAAAUAAAAUAAAAUAAAAUAAUAUUUUAAAAAAUUAUAAAAUUAGUUAAAAUUAAAUAAUUUAAUUUUACUUUAGUUUCAAUAUAUUUACAUUUAAAUACCAUAUAUAUUUCAUUUAAUAAUAUUUAAAAUAUUAUUAUAUUUAUACUUAUGCAUGAUUUAAUUUAAUAAUAUUAAAGAUAAAAAAUAAAUAUUAUUGAUUUUUAAUUUGGUUAUAUAUAUUUUAAAAUUUUUUAUUAUUUUUAAAUUUAAUAAUAUAUAAAUUAUAUAUUUACCAUAUCAUCAAUUCUAGGUGAUUUAACUAUUAGUCUAACUAGUGAACCGUGAACCAAUAAUUUUUUCGAUUUAUUAUCCGAUCUGAUUCCAAAAACAUUGUUUAAUAUUUAAUAUUUCAAUUUUAUGUUAUUAAUGAUCUCAUUAGAAUAUUAUCAAGGUUUUUAUCAGAAUUAAUUGUUAUGUUGUUAUUUUUCCAAAAUAAAUUUUUUUUCUUCUUAAAAACUAAGUUUCUUCCCACACUAAAUUCACUACUUCAAGUUAAUAAAAUCAUUUCCUCUUAUUCCAGGUAGCUUUUAUUUAUUUAUUUUAAGUUACAAUAUUUAUCAAUAAUGAAAUUUGUCUAUAAAAUAUUAAAAAAUAAAUACAUCACUAAUUCUAAAUAUAUCAAUCCAUCCCCUUAUUCUUUAAAUUAUUUUAAUUUUUAAUUUUUAAAAUUUAUAUUUAUAUUUUUUUAUUUUAUUUUUAGUUUUAUAUUUAUUUUUCACUUCUCGAUCAUAAAUUUUCUUUUUUAUUUACUUUAAUUUUUUAUUAUUAUUUCUUGUUGAUGUCCUUAUAUAUAUAUUCGAAAAAAUAUAUAAAACAUAAUAAUAAAAUAGGAGAGCAUGAAUAAAUUAAGUGAAGGAAAAAAAUGUUAAAUAAAAAAUAAAAAAAAUAAAACUUGNGGGAGAAGUAAUUGAAUAANNNNNNNNNNNNNNNNNNNNNNNNNNNNNNNNNNNNNNNNNNNNNNNNNNNNNNNNNNNNNNNNNNNNNNNNNNNNNNNNNNNNNNNNNNNNNNNNNNNNAAAAUAAAAACUUGGUGGAGAAGUAAUUGAAUAAUCGAAAUUCAAUUACUUUCCCGUCACUUUUCAGAAGUUGACAAAAAGCCACCUCCUUCCCAACUUUUUAUAUUAUAAAUUAGGGUUGCUCACUAUCCUCAAUAAAAAUCAAGUCACAAAUUAUGAGGUACAAUUGUUUGAAGUAAUAUUUUUUUAUAAAAAGAAUAUUCUUUUAUUGGAUGAUUUUAAUCACAGUCCAAAGAAUGAUGAUACCAGUUUCUUCUUCAAAUUGACAUCCAAUUCAAGACUUAUUUUUGAAUGACAUUUGUUGAAUUUUGGGAAUGAUGAAGAAGAUAUGUAUAGUAUUUAAAUUAUUCCUCAAUUAUAUAUGUAUAUAUGUAUAUAGAAAAGAUUAUUUUUUAAUAUUUAAUAUUUGAAAUUUAUUUUAGUAAUGAUCUCUUUAGAAUAUUAUCACGAUUUUUAUUGGAAUUAAUUGCUACUUUCUUAUUCUUCCUUCUUCCAAAAAAUAAAACUAUUUUUUUGCUUUAAAAAUAAAGCCCUUCCAAUACUAAAUUGACUACUUCAAAUUAAUAAAAUAAUUUCUUCUUAUUUUAGUUUACUACAAUUGGUCAAUAAUAAGAUUUAUCGAUAGAAUAUUAGAAAAUAAAUAUAUUAUUAAUUCUAAAUAGAUGAACCCAUUCUUCUUUAAUAAAUUUUAUUAUAAUUAUUUAAUAAACAAUUAAUAUCUACCUAUUUUAUGAUUUUAUUUUAAAACAUUUAUAUUUAUUUAAAUAAUUAUAUUAAUUGGUAAAAUCAUAUUUGUUUUCUUAGAGAGAGGAUAAGAUUAAAUUUUAUUAUUUGUUUAAAAAAACAUAACAUUUCAAAUUGUAAUUCAAAGACAUACAAUCUAUAUCAAGUUUUAUAAUAAAUUAAUACAUUAUUUAUUUAUUUCCUAUAUUUAUUUUUAUUAAUAGCUAACUUUGUUUAAAUUUGAAGUUAAGUCUUAUAAUAAUUUAAUAAAUUUAUUAUUUAUUUUUAUAUAUUUGCUCUUAUUAAUUUUUUUCUUCUUCUUUUUUAUCAAUAAAUUAAAAUAUGAAUUCAAAUAUAUAACGAUUGUUUUUAAGAUAUUGAAAUUAGAAGGAUUAUCAUAUGUCUAUACAUAUCUUCUAAUAUUAAUAUUUGGAAUAAAAAGUUUAGAUAAUACAUAAUAAGUAAUUAAUUAUUUCUUAUUAAAUUAAUUAGUCAUAAUGAAUAUAAUUAUAAUUAAUUUAAUUUAUUGUUUACUAUUAAAUAAACAAGCAUAUUAUAUUAUUUGUAGAAUUUUGAAAAGUAAAAUACCUAUUCAAAUAAGAUUUAUAAAUUUUAUAAAAUUAAAUCAAGAAAAAGUAUACUUUAAUCAUAGUUUUCUUCCAAAUAUGGAAGUGGGGACAUUUAUGAAUAUUGACAAAAAGAAUAGACCUUUGUGACACAUCAUAAUUAGAAAAUAAGUAAGUUUUAAAUUAAAAAGAAACUUUAAUUUUAAGUUAGAUAAUUAUUUGAAUUUUAAAAUCAAUGUAUCAUUAUCUACAAUUUUAUAUAAAUAUAGAAAUUAUUUAGAGUGAAAAAGGAAAAGAAAAAAAGAGUUGGAUAGUAUUUUCUAGUUUUGUUGUGAUGAUAAUUAGUCAUCACCAAAUCUAUCAAAAGAACAAUAUCUUCAUUAGGAAAAUGAAGUAAAACAAUUAUUAUUUUUUGUCCUAUAUAUAUAUAUAUAUAUAUAUAUAUAUAUAUAUAUAUAUAUAUAUAUAUUUAUUUAUAUAUAUUUCAUUUCAUAAAUUGAAUUUUUUAAAAAUAAAAAAUAAUAAUUUAGAUUACCAAAAAGUUUAUAUUUUAAUUUUAUAUAUUUAAUAAAUAAUAAUUUUAUCAUCAUUAAUAUUUGUUUGUGAUGAAUAUCUUUUUUAUUUUUCUUUUAAUUAAAAAAUGGAAAUGGAAAAGAGGAUGUGAUUGGAAUUUCUUUUUAAAUUUAUUAUUUUCAUUCAAAUAAGUGUAAUUAUUUUAUACCCUACAAUUUCUUUAUUUUUCACUCUUCAAACGCCAAAAAAAAUUCUAAUUGUAAAGAAAAAAUUGAAUUAUUUAUAUGAAUUCUAUAGCUAUUCAUAAUAGUAAAAAAAAUUAUUAAAAAUCAUUAUCUAAGCAUACUUCUUAUCUAUAAUUCAAUAUAAAUAAAAAAGUUAUUUACAAAAAACAAAAAUAAAUUAAACUCUUUUUAAGGAUUUUACUAAAUACCCUCAUAAAAAAAAUAUCCUCAUGUUUCAAAAGUUCAUUGAAAUACAAUUUUCGCAUAGUAAUUGAAGGAGAUAUUGACAAUUGUGCAAACAAGUUUGAAGCAUUUCUAAAAAGGAAUCGACAAAUUUGAGAAAAGAGUUAGGGAAAGUUGUGUUUUCAUGGACCAAUUUGCUAAAUAUAUGGUUUUUGGAACCCAGAUUUAUGGAAUAUGAAAAAUAUAUUUCAAUGUGGAAACUUAUAUCAGAUUCAUGCACUCUGAGCCUGCUGUAUUUUUUCUACCGAAAUUGCCCCUCCAGGUAUCCACAUCAGCAACCCAUCUCAGCAAGGGUUGAAACUGAACCGGUUGAAAACUCCAAAAUCAAAUGUUAAGCUUCCCACAAAAACACCUAGCCGACGGUUCUUUCUUCCCUCUUUCUCAUUUGAUACCCAUUCCUCUCAGUUGUCUUCACUCCGUCACCAAGGCGAUUUGAGAUUCCCAGAAAAACGGUGUAGCCGACGCUUGAAGACCCUUGCCGACGGUUCUUUCUUCCUUCUCUCUCAUUCCAUACCCAUUCUUCUCAUCUGUCUUCACUUCGUCAGCGAGGCGAUUUGAGCUUCCCAGAAAAACGGUUAGGUCUUUCUUCCCUCUCUCUCAUUCCUUACCUGUUCCUCUCAUCUGUUUUCACUUUGUCACGGAGGCGAAGCAGAGAACCAUGUAGAGUGUUAAAAAAGUUCUGUCAUUUCAGUUGAGAAUGGCUUAAUCCCAUUUGUUUCAUCUCAGAUUUUCUGUCUCGAGGUAACGCAUUCCUUCCUUCUGUCAUUUCAGUUGAGAAGGGCUUAAUCCCAUUUGUUUCAUCUCAGAUUUUCUGUCUCGAGGUAACCCAUUCCUUCCUUGUUUUGCAUUCGCAUUUACAUUCACGUAAAUAUGUUGUUUGUGUGGGUUUUUUAUGAACUAGGUGUGGCUCAAAUGUUGGCAUUUAGGAGUUGGUACUAAAUUUUUAAAUCUAUUCGUAAUAAAUCAUCAUCAAUUUUUUCAAUUCCAUGCAUUUUUUGAGUUUUUACUGUUUUAUUUGGAUUGGCAAAUUCUCGAAAAUCUAUUGUUUUGAUAUAAAAUGAAGGCAAGAAUAUGGGUUGGGAAUUGUUUUUGUUGUGGUUUAGAAUUGGGAAAAACAUAUUUUGAAUUGGUUUGCCAAAAAAGGAAUUUUUUUUUCCCCAAACUGUUUUUGGGUAUUGGGAAACAAUGCAUUUUUAGUGAAACCCAUUUAUUGGAUUGUGUUUUUGGAUUGGGUUAUGCAGUGGAUUACCAAAAUGGAACACUUUUUGGGGAUGAUGUAUUUCUUUUGAGAGCGAAAUAAGUGCUUCUGAAAUGGUGAUUUAUAGAUUCGAAAUUACUCAUGUUUUUGGGUUUUUGUGAUAUUCAUGGUUAGUGGGUGCUAACGUUUUCGUUGUUGUUUUUUUAUUUUUAUUUUGUAUUUGUUUUAUAUGUAUAGUUUAAAUUCACGGCCCAUUUCUUCAAAUAUUUUUGGUUAGUAUAUGUUACUCUUCUUGUUGAUUAGUAAUUGAUAUUGAUUUAGAGAUCUCUUCUCGUUGCUCUCGUUGUCAUAUGUCUGGCCACAAUAGAAAAACCUGCAGGAAACCUUUGCCCUAAAUGCAUAUUUGUCACCUUAUUGCAUUAUGUAGAUCUUGUCUUACUCUAUUUCAAGUAUCUUUAGUGAAUUGGUUGUCACCAAAUCAGCGUUACUAUGUUCAUUGAGUUAAGUUAUAUUGCUUUGAUUAUUAAUUUCUUUCACAAUGUCCGAACUAUGGUUGCACUACAGUUUGUUUUAUUGGUAUUUACUCCAACCGCAUGUAUUGCCUCCCAUUACAUUGCUUAAACCAAUUUAACCAAACUGCAGCAUAUGUUUCCAUGUAUAAAGACUACUGCUUUGUUGUACUAUAUAGUACGCCUACGCAAUAACAUGAAUUGUAUACCAUUGAAUCAAUGUAUUUUGUUAUUCUUAGUUUUUCCCUCAUUUCCCCUUUCUGUCGCCGCCACAGCUUAUCUUCACUUGUUUGUUAGUCUUCUCAUAGUUUUGACAGUUCCGAUUUGUUCAUUAGUGCAUACUGACUUUAAACUAAUUGUACAGGAGCGUGUUGAAAAUUUGGGAAACAUUUUUUUCCAUCAGUGUUCAUAGUUUUCUUCUUCAUGUUUCAGAGCUGUUGAUCUUGUGCUAAACCAAUGACAUUAAUAUAUAUCACAAUAAUCUAUUUGAAGUCAUACGUGUCUCAUUUUUACUCCUUUGUACAACUUUCAUAUCCAUAGGCUUCAAUGUUCAUAAGGCCAUUGAUUACUUUGUAGGUUUCGAAACUCGCCGAUUCAGUAUCGCCAUCCAAACAUACUGAUUAUACACAUGGCAACAGAAAAGAGAAAAAGGAAGGAGCAUGUUCCACCAACAUGCACACAGGUGGGUAAAACAGAUUUCAUUGAACAAUGGCUCCAAUCUUCAAAUUCAGCUUAAUUGGAAAUUUGCAUAUAUUGGAUUUUUUUUGUCACUAACCCAUAUUUCAUUUUAACUGUAGGUUAAGCUUCCUAAGUCCCGAUGUUCUGGGAAGAAAUUCAUAACUGCCAUUGCACGCCUAGCCCCUGAAAAAUAGCAAGCCAUUAGAGAGAUGGGCUUUGGGGGCCUACUGACUUUUGCUUGCCACGAACUAAGAUAUGAGCUAUGCGGGUGGCUCAUAUCUCAAUAUGACUUUACCUACCAUAGACUUAAUAUGGAAACCGGCAAUGCUAUCACUGUCAAUGAAGAACAUGUCAACAAAGUGAUGGGCAUCCCUAACUUCGGGGUAGACGUGGUUAUCCUUAAGAGAACAACCCCGUCCAAUCGCACAUACACUCUCAGGGUACUGGAGCAAAACCUUGAGAACUUGCCCGUGUGUGAUGAAUUUUUAAAAUCAUUUUUAAUUUUUUCAUGUGCCACUCUACUGGCACCUAAUUCAAAGCUUGAAGGAAGCCAUGACCUUUGGGACACCAUAUGGGAUGGUGAUGUUGGUGUCCAAAGGAAUUGGGAAAAGUUUCUGCUGAAACACUUAGAAGAUGGAAUCAAGGAAUAUCGACAAAAGCAGCCUACUUACAUCCGAGGCUGCCUCAUGUUCCUCCAGGUACAGUUUAGGCUCCAACCCCUUUUGCAAUUAGUAUGAACUUAGUUUACAUUUUAAUUUGAAUGUCAUGCUUACUGCAAUUUGCUGUUUUAAUGCUCCUUGUUUCAUAUACUUCCCUUGGACAGCUGUUCUACAUGGCAUACUUCUACAUGCCAUCAGUCAAUGUUGAAGUGACCAGCCCGCUAGCUGCUGCAUGGACUGACGAUGUAAUGAAACGCCGAUUAGCAGCUGAAAUAUCAACAUUCGAUGGUUAUGGAUAUGUGCAUGUAUGCUCUAACUUAACAAAGCUUUCCCUACUAGUUAAAUUACCAUAUUAGCCUCGCACCAGUAAUAACCAAUUUGUUGAUUCCCUCAUUUAAAUAAUGAUGCAAGACACAGGCACAGGAGCGAGCACAAAGCACAACCAAUAUGAAUAUACCAUCAGUAGCCUCAACCUCUACAGCUGAUGACGAGGCUACAGAGGUAGUUCUUCUUCACUAACCACUCAUACAAGUUCUUCUAUACAAUGCAUACAAUACUAUUCUAAAACUAUUCUGUUUUCCACUAUGUAAUAGGUAAUUGAAGCCCGUGUCAUUGACACAUCGGAGAGUAUGGUACGAUUAGCUUCCUCUCUGGCGCGGGAUGUUGCUGCACUAUGUUCCCGCCGAAGUGGACCAGAGGGGAUAUCUUCAAUCCCUUGCCCAAAAGCACAGCACCACGCUGAAUAUCAACCAAUGCGCGAAACACCGGGCAAGCAGACGUCAGCUGAUGAAAUGGAACCACAAGAUAACCUCGCACCAACCCCCCAUUCUCCAAUUGGAAUGGAACCGUCACCAGAAGCCACUCAUUCCGAGCCAAUGGCCCCACAGUCUCAUGCAGAGGCAUCGCUUCCACCACAAGUGACAACAGAAGAAGUGCGAGAAUGUGAUAGGGUAGGUGGGAGUGGUAAUCAAGCCAUUAAACCUUCAUCUAUCAACAGAUUUAAGCGGACUUGUAAGAGGAUAGUGAAGCGUCCUCCCACUUGCAAAAGUCCAUUUGUCACCCAAUGCGUUAAACAAUUCCCUAAAAUCCCCCAUGCUCAUCGGGUAGUAGCAGAUUACGCUUUGGCAGAAAUUGGUGAUCCUAGGUACAUUUCAUUUUUCUAAAAAUAAUUCUUGCAAUCAUUUAAUAUGUGAAUAACUUUACAUCAUUAUGACAUUAUUCAUUUUCAAUCAUUCUAGCGAGAUUUUAUGCGAGAUGUAUGGGAUGUACAUUACCCGAGAAGAAAUUUCUUGUCUAAAUGCAGGGCGGUGGGUUAAUUCAGUAGUAAGUUACUUAUCUUUAUGUUGAAUUAAAUUCAAAAUUAAUAGGUCAUAUAAUGUAUAAAGUGUUGAUGGGGUUGUAAAAUAUGUUCAUUUCUACAACUUUGCCAAAUUGUGGCGAUUGUCUCUCGCAUGAUGAAUGGACAGCAAGCACCACCAGCGCGCACACACUAUUUUGAUCCUUCGUUCUCGGUGAACCCUCUAAUAUCCUAAAUUGACAUAGUCUCAAAAUAGAAUAGCAUUUGUUGAUGUUUGUAUUGAUAACCCCACUCGUGAACAGGUGAUUCUGACCAACUUGAAAACAAAUGCAACCAGCCAAGUGAUCAUGGAUAGAUGUCGCAUGUAUCUGGAUGCUGGUAUAUUGGGCCAUGAUUUGGGGACAUGUGACAUGGUAAAUAACGGUUGUUAAAUUUCAUUUCCAUAGUAAUAUAUGCAAUGGCAUUGGACAUGACUAUUAUCUUAUACCAUAAAAGGUAAUAACUCUUUUAUGAUCAUGCAGAUGUUCAUCCCAGUUUGUGAGAACAAUCACUGGCACAUGCAUGUAGUUAAUUUUGCAGCUGGACGAGUUGAAAUUCUUUCAUCUUUGCCCUUGAGGCGAGGAAACAGUAUUAGUGCUGCAACAAAGCGAUUAUCUAUGGCAAUCAAUAAAGCACUGCAUGCAUAUGCAAUUCAUAUGGACGUGGAUGUCUCGACUUUUGAGCAUGUCCAACCACACCUUGUGCAACAACUGAAUGGGUAAAAUAUUCAUAUAUUCUAACCAAAACGGACAUUUGAGGUGAAUUUUUUUUCUUAGAUUUCUAUGAUAUACAUGACAAGCCUAAAUGUGAUGUGUUAUAGGUUUGACUGUGGUAUCCUUGCCCUAAAAUUCAUGAAAUUUUGGAAUGGGGCCACCUUAACUACUUCAGUGGCAGAGGUUAGAGCUAGUUUACAUCCUAAUUGGUUUUGUUUUUUUUUAAAAAAAAAAACAGUAUAAAAUAAGUUUUUCCCAUUUCUGUAGGACAAGCUCAACAUGUACAGACUCCAGCUUGUUGUGGAACUAGUGCUCAAUGAACGCAACACUGUUAGAGAUAAAAUUAUGGCCUCCUGUCAUUUGUGACUUCAUGGUUGAUGAUAAGUUUUUUCCUAUCUGAAGCUACUUACCAUAUAAAGCAAUACUUGAUUGUAGUUUGUCCACAAAUGACUGAAUUCAUAUCCUGUUAUGUGAUGAUGUGAUUUUGUUCCCAUUCUAAAACCAUUAUUUAUGUUCUAUAUUUAUUGUAUCUUAUUAAGUAUACCACAUCCCAUUGUAAUAGUGACAGUAUGGUGAUGCUGAAUGUCAGAACUUUAUGUACAACAAUGGGCAACGCGUAAGGGAAAGAAAGACUGCAUGGUGAUGCUAUUGCUAUAGCUUACAAGAGGGAGUAAUAUCAGAAUGAGUCAUAUGUUAUCCUCUUUCUUCGGAUUGUAUGAAGCAAACUUGGUUUACCAUAUGAUCAAAAUUAGGUUUAUUUGGUUUGUUGACUAUAUUACAAACAUUUGGCUGAUGUACACAUUCCAAGGACUAUGUUUGUGUUUUGUUUUAUACAGGAAAUCCUAAUAUAGAUAAGGCAUUUGUUACAUAUCCUUUCAAUUUUUUCCCUGUUCCAUCCCAAUGUCCUCUCCAAAUAUAGUUCAAAAAUAAUGAUCCUUUGUUGAAGUAGAAUGUUACAAACCAUGGUGACAAAUUUAGGUGUCAUGGGUGAUGGUGAAGACAUUGGAUGGUAUUCGUAAUGAAUCAUUGAAGACUAUUGGCACUGGUCAUUUUUUUAGAUUGUCAUGUGCUGAGAUAAUUCUUUGUUACAUAUCACGAGUUUUUUUUCUUUUAGUUAAUAAUAUUAAGUGAUGAUCUGGCAUUUCAUCAUGUUCUUAAUAUUUGGCUUAGCUCUUACUCAUGAAGAAUAUUUCUCCUCAUCCUUCGGUCCCUAACUUAACAUCAUUAGGGAAAUGAGAAUUCUAAUGUUGAUCUUGUAGGGCUGGCACUCGCUCUCCCAAAGAAAGAGCAUCCCCAUUUGCAAAAAGUUAUAUAGGGUUCCAAAAUGGUUUUGCAUGUAGCAUGUUUUGCUUCCAACAAUCUAUAGGUUGUGAUAGGCAAAUAAAUAUAUGUUACAAAACCAAAAAAAAAAAUUGGUUCACAUGAUCACAUUCCAUAUCCAACCACAACCCUUCAAAAUCUAGAUGAAUACCAAAAUGGGAAGACAACUGUUUACUUAAAUAAAUAGUCACAACAAAAUAUUGACAAAAGAACAACAUUUCUCGAAUGUCCAUUUAGGUAGUACAUGAGGUACAUUAAGGUAGUACCUAAGGGUCUUAAGGUCGUACCUCAUGUGCAUUAAGGUAGUACCUUCAAUUUCUGAUGAUUACAUAAGCUAUCGAAUGAGUCAGCAAGAGGAACAUAACAAUGGCAUGCUGUAAAUAUUAAUGCAAUGAACUAAUUGUAGCUUAAGUUAUAGAAGAGCAACAUUUCUCCAAGGUGCCUUAAGGUAGUACUUGAGGUACAUUAAGGUAGUACCUAAGGUUAUUAAGGUAGUACCUCAUGUGCAUUAAGGUAGUACCUCCAAUUUUUUAUGAUUACAUAACUGACCGAAUGAGUGAGCAAUAAGAAUAUAAUAAUGGCAUGCUGUAAUAUGUAAUGCAAUGAACUAAUUCUGACUUAAAUCAUAGAAGAGCAUCAUUUCUCUAAGGUGCCUUAAGGUAGUACCUCAGGUACAUUAAGGUAGUACCUCAUGUCAUUAAGGUAGUACCUCAUGUGCAUUAAGGUAGUACCUCAAAUUUUUUAUGAUUACAUAACCUACCGAAUGAGUAAGUUAUAAAAACAUAACAAUGGCAUGCUGUUAUAUGUAAUGCAGCAUGACAUUGUUAUGUUCUCAUAGGUUACUCCAACGGUACCUUAUGUAAUCAUAAGAAAUUUCAGGUACUACCUUAAUGCACAUAAGGUACUACCUUAAUGGUCUUCAGGUACUACCUUAAUGUACAUAAAGUACUACCUUAACGAACCUGCGAGAAAUGUAGCCACUUUGUGGCUUUAGAUUUUUAUUAGUUAAUUUCAUGACCUAUUGCAGCAUGACAUUGUUAUGUUCUCAUAGGUUACUCCAACGGUACCUUAUGUAAUCAUAAGAAAUUUCAGGUACUACCUUAAUGUACAUAAGGUACUACCUUAACGCACCUGCGAGAAAUGUAGCCACUUUGUGGCUUCAGAUUUUUAUUAGUUAAUUUCAUGACCUAUUGCAGCAUGACAUUGUUAUGUUCUCAUAGGUUACUCCAACGGUACCUUAUGUAAUCAUAAGAAAUUUCAGGUACUACCUUAAUGCACAUAAGGUACUACCUUAAUGGUCUUCAGGUACUACCUUAAUGUACAUAAGGUACUACCUUAACGCACCUGCGAGAAAUGUAGCCACUUUGUGGCUUCAGACUUUUAUUAGUUAAUUUCAUUACCUAUUGCAGAAUGACACUACCUUAAACCAUAUUCGAUAAAUUUUACUCUCCCGACAAUUUUUCACUCUCAAUAUUUAUUUAAUCAUACUGUUGUUUUCUCAUUUUUCUGGUUAUGUCAAGUUACGAUGGUUGUGGUUGGAUACGGAAGGUGAUCAUGCGAAGCAAAUAUUUAUUGGUUUUCUACCACAUUUAUUUUUUCUAUAACAACCUGUACAUGGUUUGAAGCAUAAAAUUAGCAAAAUGCACAAUCAUUUAGGAACCCUGAGUAGCCCGUGCCAAUGAGAAUGUGCAAUAGUCCUGAACCCUGGUAGUAAAUCACCAAUAACAUUAACACAAGAUGAUAUGUAAAAGCUUACACAAUAAGUAAAUAUGAAAGGAAAGUCGUCAAACAAUUUACUAAUGUGUGUAUGGAAGGAUAAACUGAAACUGCAUCAGUGUACAAACAAAUAGGUUCCAAUCUAUGUUUGUUGUUCUCUUAUGAAAGUAGUACCAUACCCCAUAAUCAACCUAUCACUGUGGAUCACAUCUUACAAUCACAGUUGUUGUCCAAUCAGUCGCCAAUACAACACUGACCAGCACCCUUAACUAUAAUAAAAGAACAAAUACUGAGUGUUGUCCAUGUUCCUACUCCCUUACUUUACAAUAUUGAAGGAAAAAUGAACAGCCCUAUUACAUUGCUGUGACUGCAUCCCAUAUGCUCCAGCAGCAGGAUUACCAGGUACUCUUCCUUUCCCUUACACGUUGGCCAUUCUUGUACAUAAAGUCCUCAUAUUCAGCAUAAUUCAUUUUAACUGUUACAAUGGGAUGUGGAAUACUUCAUCAGAUACAUCACAUAUAGAACAUAAAUAAUGGUUUUACAAUUGUAACAAAUCACAUCAGCACACAACAUGAUAUGAAUUAAUAAAUUUUGGACAUACUUAAAUCAACCCUUGGUCAUUUUGGUACGUAGCAGCAGAUAGGAAGAAACUUAUCAUGAACUAUGAAGUCACAAAUGACAUGCGGCCAUGAUUGUAUCUCUGACACUGUUGCAUUCAUUGAGGACUAUUUGCAGCUCUAGCUGGAGUCUGUACAUGUUCGUCUUGUCCUACGGAAAUGGGAAAAAAUUAUUCCAUGCGGUUGGGAAAAUAACACUCAAAUCAAAGGACAAAUAUGCACAUAAUUAAAUGAAACAGGCUAGCUGACACUGAUAUUAGCAACCAGCCUCUGAAAAAUGCCACCAAAUGAUGCCACUCAUUCAAAGUAUUUAUUUUCGGAUAAUUAAAUGAUGCCACCAAAUGAUACAUGGGAACACAAACUGCAGUAUGGUUGAAAUGGCUUAAGCAAUGUAAUCUUACCAAAUACAUGGGAUUUGAGUAAAUACCAUUAAAACAAGAUGUGGUGCAAACAUAGUUCGGACUUUGUGAAAGAACUGAAUCAGCAGAGAAAUAUAAUGUAACUCAAUGAACAUUGGAGGUGAAUGGAAAGGCACAAAACAUUCAAAUAGUAACGAUGAUUGGGUGACAACCAGUUAGUUGAAAUAGAGUAAUACAAGAUCAGCAUAAUGCAAUAAGUAGACAGAUAUGCAUUUAGGGCAAAGGAUUUUUGCAGGUUUUUCUAUUGUGGCCGGACAUAUGACAACGAGAGCAAUAAACAGGUCGUUUAUCUUGAAAUUGAGACUCAAUGCGCUUCUUCCUUGGCCUUCCGAGAGGGCGCUUUGUAUGUGGAGGCUUUAGAGAGAAGAACACCUCCCCGGUGAUAGAUCGAACCAAACCAUCAUCGUCCACAGUAGGCAUGUCAUGGGUCUCUAUGCCGGAGAAAGAGCCCCCAUAUAUCAACUCUUGCAUUGGGUAUUUGUAGCAAUCAUCGACGAAAUCAGUAACAUUUUGACCAAUGGAAAUAAUGACGGCUGUGGCAUGCUCACAAGGGAUUCCCAACAUCUGCCAACCCCUACAAGUGCAUGUAUGGUUCAGAAUGUCUACAUUCAACAAGGCUCUCCCGAUACAUACCCCAAAUACUCCAUUCUUGAACGGUGUGACUGGAUACACCGCACCCUUUGCAAUAUUUUCCUGCACCUUAGCUUCAAUUUUUGGCCCUAUACACCCUUUCCAAUUCUUAGACUCUUCUUGAUGCUUCACAAGCAUAGAAGCUAACUUGGACAUGUGCUCCAAUAAAAAGUUACAAAUAGAGUGAUGUCUUUCAAUCCGUAACCAAGCAUUAAAUGACUCGGCAAGGUUCGUAGUCAUUUUAUCCCAUCUUUGUUUUGGGAAUUUUGACAUGGCCCAAUGGUGCGGCGCAUUUUCUUCAACCCAUGUGGCUAAAGCCUCGUUGUAUUUUUUUAGUUCAACCAUGGAAACGUUAUAAUCAUGUUCUAGCCUUCCAUACGCAAUGCUAUCUAGGAAUUGCAAUGCAUUUUCUUUACCCUUGUUCCCUCGUGUGUUAUGCUUGGACAAGAAACUACUAAAAUUCUCCUUUAGGUGACGGUAGCAAUAAGCAUGGUUUUCAAUGCCAAACACCUCAGGAACACUACGAAGCAAAGCAUGAUGUCUAUCUGAGAUAAUAAUAACUUCCUUGUUUCCCACAACUAUCUUCAGUUUUUCCAAGAACCAUAACCAAUCUUCAUAAUUUUCCGAGCUCAUCACUCCAAAGGCUAAGAGGAACAUGGAGUCAUUAGCAUCGUAAGAGGUGGCUGAAAAUAGAGCACCGCCAUAAGGCCCACUCAUAUGGGCCGAAUCAAUUGCAAUGAUUGGUCGACACCCCCUUACAAACCCUUCGAUAGAUAUUGAAUGAGCAACAAAAAGCUUCUCAAAAUGGUCAUCAUUGGAAUAACUCAGCUCAACACUCGAUCCCGGAUUUGUUGCAAGCAUUCUUUCACACAUCCAUGGCAACAAUUUGUAAUAAUUCUUGGGUUGUCCAUAAAUGCGCUCCUUAGCCUUCUCCUUCAUUUGCCAUGCUUGUAGGUAAGUUAACUGGAUGCCAUGUUGCCUUACAAAGUCCUUACAAAUUUGGCGUGGUUGGUAUUCAGGAGUAGAUCGAAUGACAUCAUCAAUGACCAACGAUGCACGAGUGGAUCUCACUAAAGGCUGAGACAAGACAACAUCUUCCAAGCAAUGGUUAUGCACAUUUCGGAAUGUGUGUACUUGAACAAUGUUUGAAUCCCCUAUUGCACGCGCAGUGAUUUUCCAAGGACAAUCUUCAAUUGUGCAUACUACGGUCAUGUGUUUUGGACUAUUCCUUUUGUAAGAAUAUCGAAAUUUUCCAGCCAAAGACAUCAAAUAGAUUGCAUCUCGAAACUCCGACGCAUUUGGGAAGGUAUGUCCACUACCUACAAUUGAAUGUUCGAACCGGCUUGGUUGAAGUUGAACGGUAUUUGUCAUAGCACAUCUUUGGGAAAACCCAACUGACUGAAUUGUGGGCGACUCAUUAGAGAUGUGUAAUGGGGGCUGGCCAAUAGAGGAAACAUGAGCUGAGUUUGAAGCAACAAUGGGGGUUGGGCCACUGCAAAAAACAUAAGGAAAAAAUUUGAUCAUCCAUCAAUCUAAGUGUGAAAAGCGAUUAUACAAAAGGGAACAUUAUUGUGGAAGGACAUUAGGCACCUAGUAGGGCAAAUGAAGUCAUCACCACAUUCAGUACAAUGGGAGAUGUAGACAUGACAAAACAUGUCGUUGAAUUUGAACAUAUUGACUAUGUCGCCAUCAUUAUGCAGUGGCAAUAGACAUGAUGGGUCAAACUUGACUGUGAAUUCCAAUUUAAUGGAAUUGGAAUCCAAGUUCAAUACACCACAUACUUUUGAAACGAAUUCAGAUUGUGAGAUAUUCUUGCUAACAACACUGCAAUUGGUCCGACCUCCCUUAUAUUCGACGGACCCAACAGCAGUCUUAACAAGCUCACCACCUUCAUGAAUGUAACAAAACAUCUCCUCUUCCAUUUUCUUAUUGACAUAAAGAUUUGUUAAAAAUAAUACAACAAUGAAAGAUUGAGGAAUUAUGCAUGUUGAUUCCAUAGACUUUAAGGUUCAAACAUGCUAAUUAGCUGAUGCACACAAUUAAGGUUCAAACAUGCUAAUUGGCCGAUGCACACAAGUAGUGUACAAGUCCAACUACGGUAGUACCUAAGGAUAUCUAACCUAGUACUUAAAGAUUACUAAGGUUAGACCUAAGGUUAAUUAAGAUAGUACCUAUGGUACAGUCUCAAGUAAAGGUACGGGGGAACCAAAUGAGCAGAGUAGUCAAACACAUAAUGUCAUGAUAGCUUGUAUGUGGAAGUGAAUACAAUUUAAUUUAUGCAUGACUUGAAAACAGCCUGUAGGUCCUAUGUUUGACAAACUGAACCCCAUUGGGUUAACAAUAAAGACAACUUUUAUUCACAUAUGAAUUAUUUGAAUAUUAAAAAAUGAAGUUUCCAGUCGUCACACAACUUGUACCCAAUAUUGGUUCAGGUAGUACCUGAUGUUGACUAAUGCAGUACAUACAGUCGAUUAAGGUCGUACAUUCAGGAAUAAUGAGGUAGUACAUAAGCUUAACUUACCAGUACAAUAAGGUUAACCAACUGAUCACCAAAACAAACAAUAUAUAGAUAAAAAUGCAUUUCAUCCAUUCUGACCAGCAUUCCCUAUUUUCUAUUUAUGUUAUGAAGGGAAUUAAACCAAUGCAUGGAUACCAAUAGUUCCUAUAUAGCCUUUCCUAUUACCAUCUUCUAAAACGGAUCUCUGAAUCAAUAUCAAUUACUAAUCAACAAGAACAUUAACAUAUAGUAACCAUACAUAUGUUACUAUAUGUUUGAAGAAAUGGGACGUGAUUUGAAACUAUACAUAUAAAACAAAAACAAAAAAACACAACAAAAACUUUAGCACCCAUCAACCAUCAAUAUCACAAAAACCCAAAAAAUUGAGUAAUUUGGAACAACUUUCCCAUCUAAAAAUCACCAUUUAUUAAGAACUUUUUUCGCUCUCAAAAUGAAAACUUCAUCCAGAAAAAUUGUUCCCUUUUGGUCAUCCACUGCAUAGCUUAAUCCAAAAACACAAUCCAAUAAAUGGGUUUCACUAAAAAUGCAUUGUUUCCCAAUACCCAAAAACACCACUAGGAAAAAAAAAAUUCCUUUUUUGCUAAUCAAUUCAAAAUAUGUUUUUCUCAGUUCUAAGCCAAAACAAAAACAAAUGUCUUUUUCAACGAAACAAUUCCUAACCCAUAUUCUUGUCUUUACUUUAUAUCAAAACAACAGAGUUGCGAUAAUUUGUCAAUCCAAAAAAAACAGUACAAAAUCAGAUUUGCAAAAAGACGAUGAUGAUUCAUUACCAACAUAUUUAAAAUUUCAGUACCAACUCCUAAAUGCCAACAUUUCAACCACGCCUGGUUUAGAAAAAACCCACACAAACAGCAGAUUUUCAUGAAUGAGAAUGCGAAUGCAAAACACGGAACAAAUGGCUUACCUCGAUAGAGAAAAUCUAAGAUGUGACAAAUCGGAUUAAGACCUUCUCAACUGAAAUCUGCUUCGCCUCGGUGACGGAGUGAAGAAAUAUGAGAGGAAUGGGUAUCAAAUCAGAGAGAGGGAAGAAAGAACCCUCGACUACACUAUUUUUAUGGGAUUUUCUGCUUCGCCUUGGUGACCGAGUGAAGACAGAUGAGAGGAAUGGGUGCCAAAAUGAGAGAGAGGGAAGAAAGAACGGUCGAUCGGCUAGGGUUUUCUUGUGGGAACUUCUGCUUCGCCUUGGUGACGGACUGCAGAAAGAUGAGAGGAAUGGGUAUCAAAUGAGAAAGAGGGAAGAAAGAACCAUCGGCUAGGGUGUUUUUGUGGGAAGCUCAACAUUUGAUUUUGGAGUUUUCAACCGGUUCAGUUUCAACCCGUGCUGAGAUGGGUUGCUGAUGUGGAUACCUGGAGGGGCAAUUUCGGUAGAAAAAAUACAGCAGGCUCAGAGUGCAUGAAUCUGAUAUAAGUUUCCACAUUGAAAUAUAUUUUUCAUAUUCCAUAAAUCUGGGUUCCAAAAACCAUAUAUUUAGCAAAUUGGUCCAUGAAAACACAACUUUCCCAAAGAGUUAUUAGGCUCAAGCCCUUGUAUUAAAUGUAGGAUUAUAAAAUAUUUAAAAGAGGAAGCCUCGGGCCCACCAACUGCACCCAAACUUAAGUAGAAAUCAGUUUUACUUUUUACAGGAAGGUGCCUUGAAAUUGGAUGAAAUCACUAAAUUGCCAUCAAUAUUCUAAUCUUCCAAAUGAAAGGAUGGUAGUUUAAAAAAUAUAUGAAGAAAAUAAAAUUAAAUAAUAAUAAUAACAAAAUAUAUUAAAGAUAAUAGUAAGAUAGGAGAGCAUGAAUAUAAUGAAGAAAAAAAAUGUUAAAUAAAAUAAAAAACUUGGUGGUGUCCCACUUGAAAAUAGAAAAAAAAGAAAAAAGAAAAACGAAGGUAAUAAGAAAAAGAAAAAAGUGAGAAAAGAAUAUCUAAGUCAAUAGAGAGAGAGAGCGUUACCCUUAAUUUUCCUCGUCACUUUUCCGAAGGUCAUAGGAAGCUACCUGUCUUCCCAACUUUUUAUAUUGUAAUGUCCUUUUUAUAUUGUACAUGCUUUUCUAUACUCACAGGAUGUCUUAUAAAGUUUUUUCUUUUUUCAAUUUAUUCAUUUUAUUUCUUGGAUUGAUUUUCAUGUGAAAAUUCAUUUUAUUUUAAAAAAAUAAUUAUUUUACUGAUUUUUUUAAAUAUUUGAUAUCUCUUAAAUCAUUCAUAAAAUGAAUUAAUUUUUUAAUAAAAGUAUUUUUAAUUUAGAUUUAAAUUAUUUUUCAAUUAUAUUUAGAUGUAUGCAUAUAAAAAAGAUUAUUUUCUAAUAUUUAAUAUUUAAAAUUUUAUUUUAAUAAUAAUCUCUUUAGAAUAUUAUCACGAUUUUUAUUAGAAUUAAUGGUUACAUUUUUAUUCUUCCUUCUUCCAAAAAUAUUUGUACUUCAAAGAUAAAGCUCUUCCAAUAUAAAUGACCCGAGAGACACAGAGCUGUCCCUAACUUUCCUCUUCACUUCCUGGAAGCCGCCUUGCCUUCCCAAUUUCUUAGAUUAUAAGUUAGGGUUGCACAAUCUCCUCAUUCACUCACUAUCCUGAAGGGAAAUCAACCCCUCUAAACUGUCUUUGUAGUUUUGAGAUAGAAACCCAGAAUGGCUUCCACAAGCUCCUUCAGAGCCUCUUCUUCUUCUUCUACUCCUGCCAUCCCUCGAACAAGUACUUAUGAUGUUUUCUUGAGUUUUAGAGGCGAAGACACCCGCUAUAAUUUCACUGAUCACCUCUACAGUGCUUUGGGUAGGAGAGGGAUUCACACCUUCAGAGACGAUAAACUCAGGAGAGGAGAAGCGAUUGCUCCAGAACUCUUGAAAGCCAUUGAAGAAUCAAGGUCUUCCGUAAUUGUUUUCUCUGAAAACUAUGCUCAUUCGAGAUGGUGUUUGGAUGAGUUGGUAAAGAUCAUGGAG
rnacentral:lncRNA from 1 species